rnacentral:lncRNA from 1 species
UCAUCAACUGUAAGGAAGCACAAGAACUGACCACUCAGGUCAACUAGGAUGGGACAACAUCAACAUCCUCUCAAUCAUAUGCAAAUACUGCUCAAUGAACCAUAAGGACUGACCACUCAGGUCAACUAGGAUAUAUGCAUAACGAAUCGAUGAAUAGGUCAUCAGAGUGUAUCAAUAGAAUCCAGAACUACCGUCGGCCACUAGCCAACAAUCCAACCCCUUUAGGGUACAUCGACCACAACGGUCAUCGAACGACAGAAGUCAAGGAACCGACCAAAUGUGUCACAAAUAAGAGAUACGAGAACCAACCAACCAAGUCACUGAUACGAAGUACAGGAAUCGACCUACCAAGUCACUGAUAUGAAGUACAAGAAUCGACCAACCAAGUCACUGAUAUGAAAUACAAGAAUCAACCAACCAGGUCAACAGAUACGCACGUAGAUAGAACCACUCUACUCCUACUCAGGAUACUAAGCAUGCAAACAACGAGUAGAGUAUAAUGGAAUAACAUGGGCGCAAGUCUCAAUAUAUACUAUGCAAUAAUAACAACAGAAGAGUAAGGGUAAGAAACCAUCACCAAGUAUACACCACUGUACCACGUCGGAUCGAAGUACCCACCUGUAAGGAUGUCGCGUCUGUCUCCUGACUGCAAAAGAAUAUCGAUAGGACCUAUAGAGGGUCCACCGGGUUAGUAUCUAAUCCACAACUAAUAACCACAGUAUCCACAACCCCACAACAAUUUCACGAAGAUCGGUUUUCCAAUACCGAUUACCGAACACGUCGGAAGAAUUCCGAACCGAACCCUCAUUCCGUCGGCAGUUUUCGCCGAACGACGCUCCGAAAAUCACGAUUUGAUUUCCGCAAGAGCUUGGGGCCUUGGACGAUUAGUCCAGAGGUUGUCCUCAGCCCUAACCUGCUGCCAACAACAGCUACGUCAAAGCGAACGGCAUACAAGUCCCUAACGACACAUGAAAUCACAUCAUUUUAUGUGAUUUCAUGGCUCUAACGAGUCGUACAAGCAAACUAGGGAUCAACGAAGGUGAUAUCGCACUUGCUGCUAGGUUUCAGCAUGCCUGAGGCCGUGCUCACUUUUCGGAGCACUGCCGGCCGCAACAGCGCACGCACGAGCGGCGCGAAAUUCAGCGAACCAGCGCGCAAAGCGCGAAGAUCUACCUAAACCCGCUAACCGGGGCAUCCCUAACCCUCACAGAGGUGAGCAUCGUGUUCAGCACGAACCCAUGAUCACUGUGCUCACCUCCUGGGGUGUCGGGGAGUCGUCGGAUCACCGAAAAGGUGACCGGAAAGUGCAAACACAGUGCAAGAAAGCAAACUAAAUGCAUACCGGAGCGGUGGGAGCAAGGGUUGGCCGCCGGCGAUCGGACGGCGGGCGCUCCGGUCGGGGACGAGAGCAGUUGGUCCGAGAGGUCCGGGGAUAGUGCUGGCCGAUGGCGGGCGGCAGCCGGUGGCGCGGCGGCGGAGAUCAAGCCCGCCCAGUCCUUCUCGGGUUCAAGGUUGCCGGCGGCGAGGCGGCGGCCGGGGGAGCUCGGGACGGCGACGGUUCGGUGCCGGAGGCCGAGGGGAAGGCAGUGUACCCCUCGGUGGGCGACGGCGGCGCUCGGGGCGGCGCGGCUCCAAGGUCGGCCCGCACAGGUCUGGGCGGCUGCGGGAGUUCCCAGUGGCGGCCGGCGGCGUGCGGGGACGGCGGGGGACGCACGCCGGAGGUCACCGGAGGCUUCCAGAGGGCGGCGCGGCCGAAGGUUGGCGAGGGCGGCGCGCCGACGUGAAGAUCACCCAGGCUCGGCUUGGAUGGCUGCUGGCGGCCGUAGCAAAGAGGGGCGGCGCCCGGCGGCGCUCGGGGACGGCGGGGCCGGAGAGAGGUGACGCGGGCGACGCGUCUCGUCCCAGAGGAAAGCGUCCCGAGGCGCUGGGCUCCCCAACCACCUUCGGCCAAGGAGGGAAGGAGCGUGGCCGCGAGGGUGGUUCGGGGCUGCAGGAGCAAUCCGGCGGCGGGAGCCGCACGCCGACGGCCGGGACGCGCGCACGGCUGGGUGGAGGGUGGCUGGAGUCGGCUGGGGUCAGCUGGGGGGUUCUAGGGUUAGGGUUUCUCCUCGGAACUCCAGAUCUACCUAUAUAUAGGUAGAGGAAACUUGCGAAAAACCCCCUCAAAGUUGAUCAAUUUCGACCCAGCUCCCUACCAGCUGGUGCACCUUGCACGACAGUCCCUCCGAGUUCGAAAACUCGAAAAACGGCGCAUAAAAUAAUGGGCUUCUUCGCGAUUUAUCCGUUUUGUCAAAUCAGCCCCUUUGAGGACUUUUCGCGAUUCCCGAAGAUCCGUCCGUCGGAUUUCCGAUCGGAUCGCACCAGGGCGAUCAGCACGACAGAAGCAUCGAAUCUAGCAUUUCAUUUCGCCCGAAAAGGUCUCCGAUUUGCGACAAAACCCACCCUCAUUGGUUCCACCAAAACCACAAAUAGGUAUAAUUAUAUGUAAAAACCAUUAAACCCAUUUUUCUCGAAAUCCGUCCAAAUCCAAAUCCGUCAGUACCAAUGGGUCCAAGAUAGUCGAGCCGUUGAAAACGAACUAUUGGACGACUAUGAUCGGAGUUCGAUACGCGUCGAAAGCCAACUAUACUCCGUGGCCUCUUCGAAAAACCGGAGUUACUAUUCACUUAAGUGAUUCUUUCGGGUCGCGUAACUUCUCCGUCUUAACUCGUUUCCUCCUGAAACUUGACGAGUGCUUAUGUAAUUACAUUACACACAUAAACAUCAUCAAUAGAGAGUUUAGUUGCACUGUCAAAAUCUCAGUCCUUACAGCAGAUGUAUGAUGGUUUGGAUUUACCUUUUGCAAAAUUGCGUCUACUAUAAAAUGUCGAAACUUAAAAUUUUAAUUUUUACAUUUAAAAGUGAAAUUUCAACAUUUAAAAUUUAGUAUUUGAUUUUUUUAAAUUUAAUUUGUAAUUUAAUAUUUAAAAUAUUGAAUGUUUAAAUUUAAAAUUUAAAACUUAAAAUUAAAAAUUGUAUUUUUUUCCUUAAUUACUAAAACUAAAUGUUAAAAUUUUUCUAUUUUAAAUUUUAAAUUUUAGUUUCUAAAUUGUAGAUUUUAAAUUUUAUACAAAAAUUAUAAAGCUUAAAAUUUUGAAAAUUAUAUAUAUUAAUUUGCUGAAAUAUAUCAUGGAAUUUCAGAUUAUCUAGCUGAAUUCCUAAAAAUUCAAAAUUACAGCGCGUUAUUUGAUACAUAUAAAAGUUUAGAAUUUAAAAAAUUAGAAAUCAAUAAGACUCUAUAUAAAAUCAUAUAUUCAAAAUAUACAAACUGAAUUAAGAUAAAAUAUAUUUUUGAAAAUUUAAAUUUCUAAAUUGUUAAUUUCAAAUUUCAGAAUUUAAACAAAAGAGAGUUAGAAAUUUUAAAUUUUAAAUAAAUUACGUAAAUUUUUCGCCGUGAAGCGCGGGCCUACCCUAGUAAUACAUAAUAGUCUAGUUCUUUAUAUAGAGUCCGGCUACAAUGCUGUCGAUGCCAAGUUUUCAGCCAUUAGAUUUAUCCUUUUAACUAUUUUCACCAUUUAGAUCAUACUAUUUCACCAAUCACUCAUUUAACUAGUGGCGGAUUUGCUGUUAUCUCAGUGGGGGUCUAUUAAUCCCAUUGAGAUAGCCAAUAAAUAACGCUUUAUGCCUUUCUUUGAAAUGUUGACCUCACUUUGGGGUCAAAGUUGAUUCCAAAGUGGGGUUAACAAAUAAAUAGAUAACGGUUUUAUCUCACAAAAAAAGAGGGGCCUUGAUGGUAAAUCAAAUCUAGUCCAUCCGGCAAAUAAAAUUUUUAUAAAGAGUAAAUUGCGCAACUAUAAGUGUGAUCAAUUAAUAAACGAUUAUUUUGUGAUUUGUAUAAAAAAAAAAAAUUCGACGAUGAUACCAUCUAUAUCGUUUUUAGAGUCUGAAAAUAUGUUGCGAAUAACUGUAAAUAGAAAUGAUUCAUUUUUUUAUUAUAUAAUAUUAAUGAAAAGUUUACUCUUUUAGUUUAUGUUUUUGUGUUUUCUCUAGCUUCAUCAUAUAUUUGACCCCACUAAGAAGAUUUUUUUAAUCCGCCACUGUAUUUAACCCUAUGGGACCACUAUCAUCUUAACCGCACAUCCUUUUAUCUUAAGGCGAAAACCUAAUAAUACUAAUGACUUAGUACUAUUAAUAGUAUAUAGUAGCCUAGUUCUAACAAUCUAACCAUGCAACUUGAAUAAGUCAAAUUAAAAAAAAAAACUCUAAGACUUAAAUUUUCUUGCUUCUCAAAUUUUGAAUCAAUUCCAGCCGUUGAUUGGCAGGUCAGGCAAGAUUUUCCUGAACCUAACUUCGUUUUUUAGUUUAAAUUUUUUAUAUUGCUUAUAUUAUACAUGAGGAAUCUUGUAAUAUUUUUUUUUUCUCAUGCUUUUUUUGUUAGGGUCAUGCAUUUAGUGUGAUUUUACCUUAAAAUACCUAUAUAAAAUAUUGCCAAGAAUUAUUCAACAUAGAUGAUAGAACUGAUAGAUAAUCGAUUAAUUAUGAUAAAAAAUGUUUUUGAUAAUCAUCUUGAUAUAUUCAAUUGCAUCACGUAGUGCGAUAUUGGAGAAAACUAAAUUACCUUAUAUGAUUUAUUAUUAUAAUACGUAUUAUACCCUAAAUUUUUUAGGUUAGUAUGAGAUAGAAUUUAAAGUUUAGUUUAUUGCAUAUAAAUAUGUGAAUUUUGGAAAUAUAGUAUUCAUAACUCAAAGAAACUUAUAACAUCAGAUGAACUAGCAACACAUGGAAUAUUUUCGUUUAUUUUUGUUGGAUAUGUAGAUUUUAUUGAACUUACAUUACUCUAUUAACUAUCAUUCAUCAACUUUUUCAAUUAUCUACUACAAAAUUAAAUUAUUAAAUUUAAUAGAUUAUAUUUCUACUUUAAUUGACAAAAAUUAUUCAAUUUAAAAAAACACAGAAGUCAAGACGCUAAUAAAAACAGUUUCAUUUAGAGGGGCUAUUUCAUAGUUGCGUAUAGUUGAGGGUGUCGUCAUAUAUUGUAAGGACUGAGAUUUUGAUAGUGUAGUUGAACUCUCUGUUGAUGAUAUUUUUGUGUGUAAUUUAAUUACAUAAGUACUCGUUAAGUUUCGGAAGAAAACGAGUUAGAACGGAGAAGUUACGCGAUCUUUAGUAUUCACUUAAGUGAAUAGUAACUCCAGUUUUCCGGAGUAGCCGCGGAGUAGAGCUGGCUUCUGGUGCGUAUUGGACUCCGAACAUAGGACUCCAAUAGCUCGUUUCGAACGGCUCAACUAUUUUGAACCCAAUGGCAUUGACGGAAUUGUGUUCUGAUGCUCGGUUGUGAGGAAAAAGGGGUUUGAUUGAUUUCACAUAUAUUAAUAUAGGUGAUUAUGUGGUGGAAACAAAGAGGGUUGGUUUUGUCGCAAAUCGAAGGCCAAAUCGGACGAAACAAAAUACUAGAUUUGAUGUCCCAGCCGUGCUGAACGCGCUGGCAUAAUCCGUUCGGAAAUCCGACGGACGGAUCUUCGGGAAUCGCGAAAAGUCCGCUGAGAAGUCAAAUUGGCAAAACGGAUAAAUCGCGAAAAGACCCUAUGUUUUAUGUGCCAUUUUGCGUGAAUUUGAACGUCGAGGGACUUGUGCACAAUGUUCACCUACUGGCAGGGGACCUAGUAGAAAUUAGUGGGCUACGGAGGACUUUUCAGCAAUUUUAACCUAUAUAUAUAUAUAUAUAGGUUAGCUAGGGUUUCACAAAGGAAACCCUAACCCGAGUCCACCCAGCUACCAGCUAACCCUAGCCGUCGUUAGCUUCAUCCCUGCCCUGCCGUGUGCGCGCCCUGACCGCCGGCAAGCUCCUCCGGCCACCGGAAAACCCUUCCGCACUACUUCCUCCCUCCCUCUCGACCAACCACUCCACCACGUUGUGGUUGGGGGUCUCAAGGAGUCAUCUAAGUCUGAGUGCCAUCAUCCCCUGGCCGAGACCAACGUCCGGUACCGUCGCCGAACGUUUCCGCCGUCAGCACGCGCCGCUGGAGCCAACUAAGCGAGCUGCUGCCAGCUCGGGUCAGCCCAGACCGAGCAGGCUCGAGCUCGGGUUUUGCGUGCGGCCACCGCUCCCCAUCAGCCGCGCCGCCUUCCGGCGACCUCUGGAGACCUUCGGCGCGCUUCCCCGCCGUCCCCGCGCACCGCCGGCCGCGGCUUUUCCAUCCUGCGGCCGCCCAGAUCUGGUGCGGGCCAAGGUGGAGCCAACUCCGCCACCGUGCGCCCCCGCUGCCAUGCGCCGUGCGCGCCACCUCCUCCUCGACCUCCGGCGAUGGAUCGUUGCAGUCCUGGGCUCUUCCGGCCGCUGCCUUGCCGCCGGCGCCCUUGAACCCGAGAGCAGCUUGGCGGAUUGGGUUGCAGCCGCUGCGCCACUGGCCGCCUCCUGCCGCCGGCCAACAGGUGCCCCAGACCCCACUGACCGGCAGCACCCUUCCCUGGCUAGACCGCCCGCCGUCCGGCCGCCGGCGACCAACCCUAGCUCUCCCUGACUCCAGUAUGCUGUUUUUAUGUUCCAGCUGACGUUUCCAGUCACCUUUCCGGUGAUCCGAUAAGCCUCCUAGACCUCGAGAAGUGAGCACAAUGAUCUACAGCUCGUGCUUAACAUCGUGCUCACCCCCGUUACGAGCAGAGAUGCACUAGUUAGCAAGAUUAAUGCAAUUUUAGCGCUAUGCGUGCUGUUCCGCUGAUCUUCGCACCGCUCGCGCGCGUGCCACAGUGGCCGGCAGUGCUCCGAAGUGUGAGCACGGCCCCCGGCAAGCAGAAACCUAUCAGCGAGUGUGACGGCUUGGCUAAUCGAUCCCUGGUUUGCGUAUACGGAUCAUAAAAGCCCCAAAAUCACAUAAAAUGAUGUGAUUCUAUGUAUCGGCGUGGGCUUCUAUGCUUUUUGCUUCGACGUAGCUGCUGUUGGCAGCAAGUUAGGGCUGAGGAUAACCUCUAGACUGAUUCCAAGGCCCCAAGCCUUUGCGGGAAUCAAAAUGUGAUUUUCGAAGCGUUUUUCGGGGAAAUCCGCCGACGAAACGCAGUUUCGGUUCGGAACUGAAAGAAGGGCUAAAAUGCAUACCCUCUUGAGUUGUGUUAAUGAAUAUAUAUAGUACAAGAGAUUGUCUUACUAUAGUAACAAUGACUACUAUAGUAAGAGUAUAACUAGGAUUACAUAUUAUAUAAUCCUACUCUAUAGAAGGCAAUGAUACUACUCUAUAUAAGACAAUAAAACACAAUAUCCUAAUAUAUCGUAACAUCCUAAUAUAGAUAAAAUAUAUUGUAACAUCCCCCCGCAAGCUAAGCAUCCGGUGGUCGGAUGCGAAGAUUGAGCCGCAAUAUCGAAAACCGAGAGGAUGACAAGGGCUUGGUGAAAAUGUCGGCAAGUUGCUUGUCAGAAGGGAUAUGAAUUAAGGCCAAAUCACCAGACUGAACUUUUUCCCGCAAAAAUUGAUGAUCAAGUUCAAUGUGCUUCGUGCGAGCAUGGAGAACAGGAUUGGCCGCAAGGUAGGUGGUGCUGAGAUUAUCGCAAUAAAUACUGAUAGAGCGCCAUAAGAAAACACGAAGGUCACGAAGGAGACGACGAAUCCAGACUGUCUCAGCAAGUGUGUAGGCUACAGCACGAUACUCUGCUUCAGAACUAGAACGAGAAAUGGUGGGUUGUUUCUUAGCGGACCAGGAGAUAAGAUUUGGCCCAAGAAAAAUGCAAUAUCCAGAAGUAGAGCGACGUGUAUCGGGGCAACCAGCCCAAUCAGCAUCAGCGAAGGCCACAAGAGAAGGAUUGUCACAGCGAGAGAUAGGAAGGCCAUAAGUCAGCGUCCCCCGAAUAUAACGCAGAAUACGUUUGACCGCUUGCAUGUGUGGUUCACGAGGUGCAUGAAGAUACUGGGCAACAGAGUUGACGGCAUAUGAAAUGUCCGGUCUGGUGAAAGUGAGAUACUGGAGAGCACCAACGAUCUGACGAUAAGUGUAUGGAUCCUCAAGAAGAUGCCCUUCAUGGGAAGAGAGACGAGAUGUUGGCGAAAGAGGAGUAGAAACGGGCUUACUGUCAAGAAAACCAUGUCGCUGAAGCAAUUGAUGCGCAUAUUUUUGUUGAGAUAGAUGAAGACCAGAUGGAGAGCGAUGAACCUCAAUACCCAAAAAAUAAUGCAGCGGUCCGAGAUCCUUCAUGGCAAAUUCGCGUUGUAAAGUAACGAUAAGAGCAUCGAGAAGAGAUGAGGAACUGCCGGUGACAAUAAUAUCAUCAACAUACAAGAGGAGAACAAGAGUGCCAGAGGAAGAAUGACAAACAAACAUUGAGGGAUCAGCAGUGCUGCCAACAAAACCAAUCUCAGAAAGAAAAGAAGUGAAACGCUGAAACCAAGCCCGAGGAGCUUGUUUGAGACCAUAUAUCGCUUUACGUAGGCGGCAAACGUGACUAGGAAGCGAAGGAUGCACAAAGCCAGGUGGUUGUUUCAUAUAAACCUCCUCAGAGAGAGUGCCAUGAAGAAAGGCAUUCUUCACAUCAAGUUGUCGGAGAGACCAUCCAGAGGAGAGAGCGACUGAAAGAACAGUACGAAUAGUGGUCGACUUGACAACCGGAGAAAAAGUCUCAUCAAAAUCAAUGCCUUGUUGUUGUUUGUAACCCUGAGCCACUAGUCGAGCUUUGAGACGCUCAAGAGAGCCAUCCGCCUUCUGUUUGACUUUGUAGACCCAUUUACAGCCAAUAAGAUUGACAGAAGGAGGAGCAGGAACAAGCUCCCAAGUAUCAUUGGUGAGUAAUGCAUCAAAUUCUUCAGCCAUGGCAGCACGCCAAUCUGCAUCCUGAAAAGCUUCAUGAAAAGUGAUAGGCUCAGUAGGAAGAGUAGUAUGUGUAGAAGCUAGGAAGGAGGUAGACCCAGCAAAAUUCUUAGCCAUAGAUCGAGUAAGCAUAGAGUGUGUCCGGAUUGGUAAGGAAGGCUCUGCAGGCUGAGGUGAAGGUGGCCUGUCCGAUGUGGAAGGCGUCAACUCAACAGGAGAAGGUAAAGCUGUAGCAGCAGAAGGUCGGAGGGUGUGUCGUCUGGUAUAGACUCGGAGUUCAGGUGGACCAGCAACAGUGGCAGCAUGUUCAUCACUAACCUGUGUGGCAUCAUGAUUCAAGGUGGAAGGAAAAGUCGAUACAGUCUCAGAUGGUGAAACAGAUGCAUUUGAACUAACAUCCGGAGAAAGGCGUGUGAAGGAAAAACCAGAGAUGGCAUCAAGAGAGGAAGGACUUUCGCCCAAUAAGGGAGGAUUAGAAAGAAAAUGUUGAAACAUUUGAAAAUUUGAGGUAGUGGGGGAAGAUGAGGAAGAAAAUUUGGACAGACAAGAGUAAGGAAAAACAGUUUCAACAAAAGUAACAUGGCGAGAAAUAAAAACUUUACCAGUGCUCGGAUAGAGGCAGCGAAAGCCCUUAUGUUUGUCAGAAAGACCCAAGAAAAUACAAGGAAGUGAUCGGGGAGAGAGCUUGUGAUCUGCAAUGUCCUGAACAUCGGGAUAACACAAACAUCCAAAGACUCUGAUAAGUUGCAAGUCAGGAGAAGCACAACCAUGGAGAAUGUCAUAUGGUGACCGCCCAUUUAAAACAGUAAGAGACGGAAGUCGAUUUACAAGAAAAACAGCAGUUUGAAUGGCCUCAGCCCAAAAACGAGGAGGCAAGCCAGCUUGGAAUAGUAGACUUCUAACAAUGUUAGAUAAAUGCCUAUGUUUUCUCUCAGCAAGGCCAUUUUGUUGAGGAGUGUAAGGACAAGAAAAUCGGUGAAUAAUUCCAUUUUGUGAGCAAAAACUAGAAAACUUGUCAUUUACAAAUUCCGUACCAUUGUCAGAUUGAAAAAUUUUUAUUGAGCUAUGAAAUAUAUUUUCAACCAUCUUCUUGAACUCGAAAAAUUUGUCAAAAACUUCAUGUUUAAAUUUUAAAAGAUAAAGCCAGGAAAAUCUAGAAUAAUCGUCGAUAAAAAUAACAUAAUAUUUGUAUCCAGAAACCGAGGGCACAGGUGAUUGCCAAACAUCAGAAUGAACAAUAUGAAAAGGAAAAGCAGAUUGAGAUUCUGAAUCAUGAAAUGAGAGUUUAACAUGUUUUCCCAUAUUACAAGCAUUGCAGACAGAUAAUUUCAGUGCAGAAUCAGAAACAAUUUUAUUAUUUUUAAUAAAUGUAGAAAGAACAGGAAGACUAGGAUGACCUAACCGUCUAUGCCAGACAUCUCCACUAAAUCUAGAUGCAAUAAGAGCUAGUUGUUGCUUAUUCCCUACACUUGCAAGUCUAGAAGAAAUUGGAUAAAGUGAUGUUCCCGAGCUAGGACAUCGAAGAAGCUCCUUCCCUGUUUCCUUGUCCUUCACAGAGAAACCAGUAGAGUCAAAUUCAAAAAGAGAAUUAUUAUCUUGACAGAAUUUACGCACUGAAAGUAAAUUUCUCUUAAUAGUAGGAACAACAAGAACAUUUUUUAGAGCAAAAGAGUUAGAAGAUGUAUUCAAUUGAGUUUCACCUGUCUGAGUAAUAUCAAGUAAAUUUCCAUUACCAACAAGAAUUUUUUCAUGCCCACUAUAAGGUUUAGAAGAUGAGAGAAUACCAGAGUUUGCGGUUAUAUGAUUUGAUGCUCCGGUAUCCGGAUACCAGACUUCCUCACCGGGUUCGUGAAGGUUCAUAGCAGCAAAGGUCUGAGGAACUUCAUCAGCAGCGAAAGAAUGAUUGAAGCGUUGUCUGCACUGAAGAGCAGAAUGAUUGAACUUUCCACAUAUCUGACAUUGUAUGCCGGACUUCGGAAUAUAUGGUUGUUGAUUUGGAGUGUAAGAUUGUUGAGGAUAAUUAGGUUGAGACUGUGGGUAGAUUUCAGGAGAUCCACGACCAGAAUAGUGUCUACCACGUUGUCCUCGGCCUCCACGAUAUCUACCUCCACGGCCUCCACGAUUACCACGUCCACGAUUGGCAUAAAGAGCUUCACUGUCAAUAGUGGGAAUAGCAGAGGACGUAGUCACACUAGUGCGACGCUGAACUUCUGUUUCUUCUUGCAUCAAGAGUGGACGAAGUUGUUCAAAAGUUGGCUUAUUUCUGUGUGUGUUUAGAGCACUAACAAAACCUCGAUAUUCCUCAGGUAGCCCUAGAAGAACAGUCAUGACCAAAUUAUGGUCUGACUCGAUUUCACCAAUCGCCUGAAGAGCAUUACCAAUCGUCUUGAUCUUUUGCAUGUAAUCACUCAUGCUCAUUGAGCCUUUCUUGAUGCUCCGCAAUUCAGAUUUUAGAGAAAAAGCCGUGGAAGCAGUCUUAUCAAGAAAAUAUGCCUCAAUAAUUCUCCAAGCAUCAUAUGCAGUUUUAGGUGAGCUAGAAACAACCAUAUGUAAUAUGCUAAGAGAUAAAGUGGCAUUAAUCCAUGAAAGUAUAGUAGUAUCGUUCUUUUUCCAACUCACAUAUUCAGGAUUUAUAACCUCCUUCUUAUCAGCAGUAUCGAUAGUCUGAGAAGGCACAACACUAGUUCCGUCCACAUGUUUUGUAACAUCAAAACUUUCUAGAACAUUAAGAAAGACUUGUUUCCACACAAGAUAUGUAGAAUCGGUGAGUUCUAGUGGUAUGAGAGUUUUGAUAUUAACAAUUGGCAAAUUUGAGGUAGAAGAAGACAUGUUUACUACCUUAAGAUAAGGAUCCACCACUAGAUAAGAAAGAAAGAUAAAUCGGAAUGUAGCGGAUGUAAAAAAAAAAAAAAAGAACCUGAAUUCUAUCACAUGAGAGGAACCACUUAUCACCAAAUAAGAUCGACCGCACCAAGGAAAGAACCGAGUGAUACGAGCAACAAACAGUAGGACAGUCCGAGCGGUACCAGAGGAGCAAAGAGAAAUCACAGAAAGGCUGAAAAUAUUGUAGCAGAAAUACUGUAGCGCUGUUACUGUAGCGCCAGUACUGUAGCGAUGAUACUGUAGCAGUACUGUGGCAGUAUUAGGAAGAUAGAAAACCAAAAGAAAAGACACCUAUAGAAAAAGGUGAGAUUAAUGGUGGAUGGUAGCUAUGGAUCGAUAUCCCCACAUUAGGGUUCCCGCUCUGAUACCAUGAAAGAAGGGCUAAAGUGCAUACCCUCUUGAGUUGUAUUAAUGAAUAUAUAUAGUACAAGAGAUUGUCUUACUAUAGUAACAAUGACUACUAUAGUAAGAGUAUAACUAGGAUUACAUAUUAUAUAAUCCUACUCUAUAGAAGGCAAUGAUACUACUCUAUAUAAGACAAUAAAACACAAUAUCCUAAUAUAUCGUAACAUCCUAAUAUAGAUAAAAUAUAUCGUAACAGGAACUCUUCCGACGAUACUUGGUGAUCAUUUGCCACGUCGCUGAGCCUUGUUGGCUCGUCACUCGCGUCGUUUCGAGGGUUUGGAAACGACGGGUGAGCGACGGUGGGUUCCGGUGUCGAAAUCGAUAUUUUCGGGAACCCAGAUCGGAACGAUUAUCCGACGAUAAUUGUUUCGGAGUGAGUUAAGGUCUUUACUUCCAAGUCACAUGUAAAUUUGUAUUUAGUGGCAGCGGGUGCCUCGUGGUACGAGUCGGUGAGUUCCGGGACAGUCCGUGGUUCCCGGCGGAGUCCCAGUACGAUUUUCGAGACUUUCGGCGAGUUACGGUAAUUGGUUUUGGGAAACUGAUCUCCGCGAGAUUGUUUGUGGAGUUGUGAUACUACGGUUAUUAGUUGUGGGUUAGACACUAACACGGUGGACCUUCCGUAGGUCCAGUUGAUGUUCUUUUGCAGUCGGGAGACAGGCGCAAUAUCCUUACAGGUGGGUACUUCGAUCCGAAGUCGGUACAGUGGUGCACGCGCGGUGAUGGUUUCUUACCCUUACUCUUCUGUUGUUACUAUUGCAUAGUAUAUAUUGAGCCUUGCACCCAUGUUAUUCCAUUAUACUCUACUCGUUGUUUGCAUGCUUAGUGUCCUGAGUAGGAGUAGAGUAGUUCUAUCUAUGUGCGUAUCAGUGACCUAGUUGGUCGAUUCUUGUACUUCAUAUCAGAGACAUAGUUGGUCGAUUCUUGUACUUCAUAUCAGUGACCUGGUUGGUCGAUUCUUGUACUUCAUAUCAGUGACCUGGUUGGUCGAUUCUCGCACUCCGUAUCAGUGGCCAGGUUGGUUGGUUCAUGUAUGUCGUAUUGUGACCUAUUGUCGGUUCUUGCAUCUACACUUUAGUUGGCCUAUUGAGCAGUAUUUGCAUACUUUUGAGAGGAUGUUGAGUUGUUCCAUCCUAAUUGACCUGAGUGGUUAGUUCUUGUUCUUUCUUACAGUUGAUGACCUAUACGGUCGGUGGGCCCUAAGGGGCAGGAUUGUCGGCUGGUUACCAACGGUUGACCUUUGAGCAUAUCAGCAUUGACCGCUUGAGACUCGUUCGCAUUUCACGAAUACUGGCGGUUUGAUCCAUCGCAAGGGGUGUUCUUUUCCGGAAAAGUGGUUCCAGGUGUCAACCCGUGAGCCCUAGAGGGGUUAUAUGCAUGGUAGAGUGGCAGUAGUACUGUCAGGAGGUUUGCGGUGCGGACCUCCAGGGCACAGGCUUGAGGUUCAGGUGCGGACCAACAGAGCAGCAGAUUUCAGAUUGGGUAUAUUUGGUCUAUAAAUCCAGUUGACGUAUAUGUCUAUAGUAGCAGUCGUUGCAUGCAUACUUACAGUUCUUACUUUACAGUUGUCUUGCUACUAUAGUAGAUAUUCAUGUAUGCUUUCUGUUCUAGUUACAGUAGCGGUAGUCGUUAUUCAGUAUAGUUCCUACUUUCUUUCAGUUUAUUGCUACUGUAUUCAGUAUAUCUGCUCAUUACCUUAUUUAUCUCUUCCUAAUUCGGUGAGUACUCCUUGCCUUCAUCGACUUGCGGUACCCACUGGGAGGGGAGACAUGUUUACAUGUUCUCACCUCCCCCACCAUUUGUUAGGUAUUGCGGGCGGUGAGAUUGAGACGAGAUGUGAGACAAGUGGAUAGCUGUCGAUAGAACUUCUGACCCGGUUUGUGUAGUUUAGUUACUACCUUUAUUAUUUCUGUUGAUAUGAUUUAGACAUCUAUAUGGUUCAGUAUUUCCUUAUGUUUAAUUAUUCAAGAUUUUAGUUGGUUUUUCCGAAUGAGAUAAAGAUUUCUAGAUUUUUAUAGAAAGGAAAGGUUUUCUAUCCCUCGUGGUAGCGUGUUUUCAAAAGAAAAGAUUUCCGUGUGGGAAACAGCUUUCAAAAGAGUUUUCUCGUAGUUUUCUUGACUUAGUAUUUCAAAAUAAGUUUCCGGGUAGGAAACGUUUUAACUGAUAGUUGUGGAUUUAUAUUCAGAUCUCUAUUUAUGAACUUGUGGUGAAUGGUGUAAGGAUAUUGAAUGUAUGAUGACUUGUAUAUUCAUUUAGUUGUGAUUGUAUCCUGUUUUACAUCUUGUAUUUGUGCGACGCACUGUAAAUAUAUGGGAGACUCUGUCCGUGUGAACAGUGGAAUCACUGUAUUUGUGGCGGAUCUGGCAUACCCUGGGGUCAGGUUUUCAAAAACAAAAAAAAAAUUCUAGUCGCUUCCGCUUUAUUUUCAAACUAAAAGAGACCCCGGGGCAUAACAUAUAUAUUUCCAGAGAAUAUAUAAAUUAGCUCGUAAUUAAAAUAUACUAUUCUCGAGCAUUUUAAAGGUAGAUUUGAGUGGCCUGAGCCCCAAAAAGAAAAUAGGAGAUAUUUUAAGUUCAAUUUCCCGCCUAUAUUGACGAUGCGGUACAAAUUAAAUAGGGUUGGGUAGAUUAAUAAAAAGGGAAAAUUUCAUGGAUACCACUCGCAAAGUCUAAAAUAUCAUGGAUACCCCUAUAAAGUUUUAAAUAUCACCUAUAUCCUUGUGAAUAUAGAAUAUUAUCAUCAAUACCCCAACCGUUAGUUAUAUUAGUUUUACCAUAGUUAUUAAAUGGUUAAAAAUGGGUUAACUUUUGAAAUGACUUAUUUACCCUCAACUAUCUCUUAAGUAAAAAUGUAUGAAGACCGCCUCAACUAUAUGCCAUUUUGAAACAAUCCCUCAACUUUUAUUUUUUUAGUUGAUAUCCCAUUAACUUUUAGUUUUUUAAAAAAUNAUGGGUUAACUUUUGAAAUGACUUAUUUACCCUCAACUAUCUCUUAAGUAAAAAUGUAUGAAGACCGCCUCAACUAUAUGCCAUUUUGAAACAAUCCCUCAACUUUUAUUUUUUUAGUUGAUAUCCCAUUAACUUUUAGUUUUUUAAAAAAUUAACUAAUUUCAGUUUAUAUGAAAAAAUGAGAAUUUUUGAGUUUUUUUGAUGAUUUCACCAAAUCUAAUGGCUCUAUUUAUUUUUUAUCUAAUAUAUAACUAUGUAUAAAAAUUUAAAUGAAAAUAAUGUUAAGGGAUUAUCCGAUAUUUCUUUAAUUUUGAAAGCUUAAAAUUUUUUUAAUCAAAAUUAUUCUCAAUAAUUUUAUAUAAUAUAUUUUAGCUUUCGAACAAAACUUUUUUUUUUCAAUCGACAAAACAAUGCAUUAUGGGAUUUAUUUUUGCUUAAAUAGAAAAAAAUAAAAUCUAUAAUUUAUUUCAAAAUUACUAUUACUAAUUAGGAAUGUGAAUUGAUAUAGAUACAUAAUUUCAUCUAAACUCAAUUUUGAAUGGGGUGAGCUUAAUCGAUGCUGAGUAGGAAUAGUUUCAGUUAUAAGUACCAAAAAAUGAGAUCUCAACGUAUGUAAAUUCAAUUAUAUUUUUGGUCUAUAUUUAAAUAAAACCUGAACCGACACCCGAAACCAAGAACAAAACCAAAAUCAGAUAAAAACAUAAUAUAUAAAAUACAAUUUUUAUAUAUUUUUUAGUAAUUAAUAUAUAUUAAUAAUUUAAUUUAAUAUUUAUAUAUUAAAUACUCAAAUUUAGAUUUACAAAAAUUCUUUUGAAAUACCUAUUAGUAUUUCUACUAUUGAUAAGAGAUAAAGGGUAAAAAUGGUAGUUUGAAAAUUUAACUCCAUUUCAGAUGGACCUUAAUGAACCUUAACUAGUGAAGAGCAUUUAUGAUAAUUUUUAACAUUUUGGAGGGCAUUCAUGAUAUUAUCAAUUUUAGAAAUGUAUUAAUCAAAUUAAUAGUCCCUAGAAAGGCAUUUAUAAAAUUAUCCCUAAAAUAAAACUACAUUACAAAUCCUAACUAUAGGCCAUUUGAAAUAGCCCAUAGUUAGGAUUAGCGCAAGUUCAAUUUCCAGUCUAUAUUGACAAUGCUGUACAAAUUAACUCGGAUUAAAUCGGCUCAAAUCCUAGGCCAUCUGAAAUAGCUUUUUUUUUUUUGAGAGAUAGGUAGCAUACUACCCGCUUCGUUUAUUUCAUUUAGAAAUAAACUUAGCUGAAAAUAUGAAUCAACUAGGAUUCGAACUCGGACCUCGGGUACCAACCAUUAAGCCCUUUGCCAUUUACGUUAAAACUAUUAGUUACACAAUUGUUUUUGUCUUAUGUAUUACUAACAGUUCUAUAAAGCUUCAAAACUCUAGUAUGUAAAGAAAAAAAUAAAAAUGCAAUAGAAACUAAAGUUUGGUUAAAAAAAAAUAGAAAUUUCUUAUUUCGAAGUUCUAGGAUUAGAUGAACGAUAUUUAAUCAAAACGGUAGUGCAAUUAGUAAAUUCACUUGAUUACAUGAGUUUAUUGAACUCUCUGGCAAAGUAUGAAAUAUAAUUGCAAAAAUAAAAAACAUAGUCAUUUAUUUGCAAGAGUGCUAAAGCUAAUAAGUAUUUUCACUGACGUGGAGCAAGCUUUUUCUGCUUCUAACUCCAUUUUAUUUUUAUUUUGCAUCUUAAUUAUUAUCUAUGAUGAUUUAUGUAAUCUGUUAUCUCAUGCUAUUUUUGUUAGGGUCAUGCAUGAGUAUGAUUUCACCUUAUAAUGCCUAUAAAAAUAUAAUGCCUAGAAUUAUUCAACAAAGAACUGAUAGAUAAUUGAUUAUCAGAAAAAAAAAACUUAUUUUCUGAUCACCUUGAUUUAUACAAUUACAAUACAUAAUGUGAUAUUGGAGUAAACUAAAUUAAAUUGUAUAUAUUAUAAUAGACGUUAUAUUUGGCCCCGAUAUGUGAGAACAAGACCGGAGAUAAUAUAUGGAUAGAUAAAAGAAAUAAACUGGACACAAUAUAUGUAGAGAUUCACUUGUGCGUAAUAUACCACAUCGAUCUACUACAUAACAUUUUCCAAUUACUUGGCCGAUAGUAGUAUCUUAUUGACUUGGAAUUAUGAGAUUUGUUGUGAAUGAACACUUCGAUGUAUGGUUUUUUUUUUUUUCAAAGUAAUAUACCCACUACAACAGAAUUAGGUUAUAGGGACACAUGUUUGGGACACUUUUGAGUAAGUGUUUCAUUUAUCCUAAAACUUAAAAAAACAUUUACUAAUGCCUAAAUAUAAAGUCCAAUCCAACCAAAAAUAAAAGAUUACUCUACUCAACCCACCACACCCAGUCCAUUUGGCCCGAUUACAAACAGAAAAGAAAAAAAAAAAUCAAUUACCAUCUUUUCUUCUCUCUUCACUCAAUCCACUGAAAUUCUAGACGAAGAGCCAUUCCUGUCGUCCUCCUCCGCCACCGUAGCCAACGAGAUAGAGUUUCGGCGGUUGCUAAAUGCUUAAAUAAGUGUUGGUAAAUUAGUAGCACUCUUUUAAGUUAUAGCGACACUCUUUAACUGUCACUAUAUACCUAGCGACCCCACAUAUAGCAACACUUUUUAAAAGUGUCGGUAAUUUUAGCUAGCAGCACUUUUUUGAUAUGUACCUACAUUUAAAAGUGUCGCUACAGACUGUUUUUGUUGUAGUGACCAUAUCUAUCUACUAGAAAUUUUAAUGGUUGAUGUGAUGUUUUUGUGAAUUUUACAGUGUAAAAUAAUUCAAAUCUAAUGAAGUUUUUAUAAUUUUUUUUUUCACUAGUUAGAAUAAGAUCAGCACCUCUGAUCUUCAAUUCAAGUCUUUUUUUAUCAUUUUUUAUGAAAUUUUUAUUUUUAGCUGUUCUUUUUUAUACUACUUGUUUUUUUUAGGUAAAUGAUGUCGAAAAAUUAUAAAAUUUAGUUUUCAAAUACUUUUAAUAGUGUAGAUCAAAUUUUAUGGAACCGAUCGUCGAUUUGGAAGUCACAACAUUGAAAGCAACUUGGUAGCACGGAGGUCUCUAUACUACCGAUAGUAUCUCUCUAUAUAUAACCAAUAUAAUAUACCAAUCUAUUUUAGCAAAAUUUUGCAUUUGAUUUUUAUUAUUAGAAAUUGUCAAGCGUGAUAGAAAUAUGCGUCCUAAUUUUUAGUUGGUUGCAUGUGUCAAACAAAUAUUCUUUAAUGUAUCUCAAAUUUCACUGCUUACAAAUAAAAUAUAAAAUUUCUAUCAAACUUUUUACAAUUCUCUCUAAUCUAUUCAAAAAUUUUCAAGUCUACAAAUACAGAUAUUUCCAUGUGAGAUAAUCAAAAUAGAAAGGACUUGUUAGAGUAUUAAUUUAGUACAAAAUAAUUAUUUUUAUUGUAGAACUACCAUGCUUUUGGAAGCAUAAAAGAGUUCGCAGUUUCAACUUUUUAGCCUUUGGAUGAAAAUAGUUGGAAUGAUAGUAGUCCGUCUAGAAAAAUAAUAUUAAUCUAAGAAUUAGAAAUGAUCAGUUGAUCCAAAGUUUAAAAAUUUAAAAGUACCAACUCCUUUAUAUUUUCGGAAGCACUAUAGUCGGACACAUCAUUUUCGAAGAUGAUAAAUUGUCAAAUAGAGCUUCCAAAAUACCUAGUACAAAAUAUUUACUUCUACAAGCUUAAUCGAAACAACUAGAAACUAUAAUAUAUAAAAAGGGAUAAUUGUCUAUAUACCUCUCAUAUGUUCGAAAAUAUACAAUUUACCUCUACUUUUUUUUUUUUUUUCUAAAAUACUCCUCAUAUGUUCCAUCAUUAUUACAAAAUACUCCCGCAAUAUCCCUGUUAAGUUAACUUCAGUUAAACGUGAGUUAAAUAUCUACCACAGUUAAAAAAAAAUAAAAUACCAAUCUUGCCCUUAACUUAAGAGCAAAUAAGAAAUGUUGGUGAUGGUAGAGGGGUAUAUUGAAAAAGACCAAAAGUCAAAAUACUUUUUGUGCCCCUGACUUUAAGAGCAAAUAAGAAAGUCAGUAAUGGUGGAAGGGUACGUAUAUUUGCAAGGGCAAAAUGGUAAUUUUACAGAGAUAACAGAGUUAAUUAAUAGAUUUUAACUCUAUGGGUAUAUUAGAAAUAUGUUGGAACGUAGAAAGGGUAUUUUCAAUAUUAGCCUUCUAAGAGGGGUGAAUCGGAAAGUCAGGAACUUUUCGGGGUAUAUAACUAAUAGCCCCAUAUAAAAAACACUUAAAUAAAAAUAUUUUGUCCAGUGAUCUUAAUCGAUUAUCGCAUUUUGAUAGUUAUAAAUUUUUUAUAAUUUUGAGACUAAUGAUUUUUUACAAGUUUUCAACUGAAUAGCUUUGACUCUUAAAAAAGCACAAGUGAGAUUACAAUAUCAAUAAGCAGUUAAUUACAAUUAAGCUGUUACUGCUUUAUUUGGUUAAACUGGCUUUUUUUUCUUAAUCAGAUAUAAGUUGUAAACUAGAAAUUCUUAGAGUGGAGUUAAAAUAUAAGAAAUUAAAAAAACUAUUUAUUCUAUCCACUUAGCAUACAUGACUAUAUUAAUACAUAAAAUUUUAGUGUGCAAAAAAUAAACAUCUUAAUAAAUAAUGAUCCACAAGAUUCUAGUUUGAUUCGGAGUUGGCCACAAAAUUGUGCAAAUUAUAUGAUCAAUUAAUUUUUCAGAGCAAAAACUGGGUGAAUGUGUUACGUUUUUGUUGAAAACAAUACGGUUUUUCAUGGAUAUUUGUUUAUAGAGAGUUUUAUAGCUUAGAAAUUGAAUUUUAGAGUUCAAAAAUGUUCUAUUUGACGGAAUAGCAGUUAUAACUUUUGUUAUCUCCUGUUUUAUUUUUUGCUUUAUCUUAAUAUAUUUUAUAGAUAUAAUUAAUUAUAUUUUAGUCGAGAAACCAAUUUGAUGCUCAAAAUAUUCAUCUUUAAAAAGGUUCUAUUAAACUUGAUAAAUCCAAAAAAGAAAAUUAAAAUUUUUGCCUUUUAUAUUUCUAAAGAAGUAUAUAAACAAAAAAUUUUGAAACUUAAAUGCAUUAAUAACAAUACAAAUUAUAUUUGGUUAAUAUAUAUAAAAAGCGCAUAUUUAUUAACUUUUUAUUUAUUUAAAACUUCGUUUGGUUCGGGUAUUUCUAUUAGAGGGAUAGAUACAAGUUUAGAUAUAAGGAAAAACUAGAUCAAUCUUAGGAUCAGAUGAAAAUUGGUUGUUCUAGAAAUAAAAAAAAAAUAGCGUUUAGAUAGAUAAGAUGAAAUAAGAAGAAUAGUGAGUAGUUAUAAAUAAAAAAUUAUUAUUAUCCCUCUCAUUAUAUUUGAAUUUAAAAUUUAAAAUUUAAAAUUUAUAUUUUUAAAUUUAAAGUUUUAACUUUUAAAUUUUAAAAUAUAAAAUUAAAAUUUAAUAUUAAAAUCUCAAAUUUCAAAAUUUAAAUUUAAGAUCAAUUUUAAAUUUAAAAAAUAUAAAAUAUCAAAUUAAAAUUUAAAAUUUAAAAUUAUAAACUUUAAUUUGAAAAUUACAAAUCAUAAAUUUUUAAAAUUUAAAAUUAAAAUUAAAAUUUUUUAAUUUUAUUUUUUUAAAAAAAAUAGAGGUGGGAACAGCUUGUUCCAUCCUUAUUCCACCUAAGGGUGGGAACAGCUUGACAAUUAUAUGACUCUUCCAUCCUUGGCAUUAUUGUUUGCUAACAACCUUGGCAUUAUUGUUUGCUAACAAUAUACUGUUGAGGAUGGGAACAAUCUGUUCCCACCCUUAGUUUUAGCGUUUGGAGAAUAAGAAAGUAACCCUUUAUCCCCAUCCUUAUUCUCCAACCAAACAGGACUAAUGUGUAGAGUUCUCGCUAAUGUGUAGAGGUGGCCGUUGAUGCGGCUGAUUGUCCUAGCUGGCGGUAAUCCAAUCGCACUGAAUUGUUGGAAAUAAUUUUAGUUUUCUCCAAUAUCACAUUAAGUUUUAUAAUUAUGGUACGAUGGAUUGAUGGGAAAAUAAUUGCUAUAAUUGCUUUUAGGUGAUCAGAAAUUUUUUUUUUCUUUCAUACCUUCUCAUUUUUUACUACUAUGUCAAACUUACUUUAUAGAUGGUAUUAUGAGGUUAAACCAUACUAUAUACAUGACACCAAUAAAAUUUGCAUGCUUCUUACAAGCCAGCCGCAUGAUAAGCAUUAGCUUUUUAAGCCAAUACAUAUAAAAUAAUCUUCAGAUUUAAUUAACUGAAAUAGAUUUGGGGACCUUUUUUUUUUGUAAAAAAAUUCUGGUAAAAAAUGACCACUGCAUGUUGAUUGAAAAUGCAAACUUGAUUGCCAUGAUUGCCUCCUACAUUUAAAUCAUUUAUCUCUCUACAUGGGAAAAAAUAGUGAUUUUCAAUUUAGAUACUACAUCAAAUUAAAACUAGCUAGUUUAUUAAACACGUAAUAGUGAAAUACAUUUAAAUCAAUUAUUCACUCGCAGAUAAAAAAAAAAAAGAAAAAAAAAAGAGAAACUUAUUCUAUUGUUCUAGCUUAGGGAAAACUAUUCGAAGUUGUUGAAGAAAAUGCAAAGGCAUAUAUGUUUAUACUCUAGUGACAGUUGCACCGUAAUUUAUUAAAAGUCUUUUUAUGCUUUUUGGACUUUUCAAAAUAUAAAGUUGGAUGUUUUUAAAAAUGCAUUACCAAACUAGCUAGGCCCUAAUGUGCUAAUUGAUUAGUUAGUGUGAGCUCAAAUUAAUUCAUUAUAAUCAAGUUUAAGUUCAUCUUGCAAGAGAUCAUAAGGUGCACACUAUUUUUAUGUUUGAUCACUCCCUAAGUAUGAUUUCACAUCAAAAUCAAGCUAUCAAAUAAUUUUUUAUUUUUUUUUGAGAGAUAGAUAGCAUGUUACUGUUUCGUUUAUUUCACUUAGAAAUAAACUUAGCUAGAAAUGUGAAUCAACUAGGAUUCGAACUUGAAACCUCGGGUACCAAGCACCAAGCCCUUUGCCACUUGCUCUAGGGAUGGUCGGUCAAGCUAUCAAAUAAUUACAAUUAAUAAACAGUCAAAACACCUCCACUCAAUCGCUUUAGUACUAAUACUUUUCACUCAAACAAUUAAAAGUUGUAUGUGAUAUUGGAAAAAACUAAAUUAUGAUUAUGACCAUCAAACAUCAAAACCUUGAUCGAAAUAGAGUUUCAAAAAUUAGAAAACCGAAUUCUAGACUAAUUCAAACACAGGGAGCCCACUUUGGAACGCCCGAAAAGUCAUGCUGGUGCCCUGAUGCUAUUUUGAACCCUCUCUGCGGAUGCCCAAAAAAGAUUCAGACUCCUUACUAGAAAGUGGUUCUGCUAGAUGGUGGAUUUGGAUUCCCGAAGUGUCUUGCAGAUGCUUGAAUUGCAUUUUGGACGAUCCACUGUGGGCGGUUGAAGUCACUUUCGGACACUCAACCCGAGAGCACCCCUUGCGAGAGAUGCCGACCUUUCGGAUGCUCGAAUCAUCCUAUGGGUGCCCGAAAUAAGGAGCGGGUGGAAUUAGUAGUUGACCAGUCCCUCGAUUGGGUGCGUAGCUACGUAAAACUAGAAGCCUCAAAAAUCGGACGGGCGCCUUAAACCCAGCACAAUAGAAUUUUUGAGGGGUUUAGUUUGCUAUUAUUGCAUGUGAGAGCCAAGAUUUUUUCCAAUGUAAAUUUGACAUCUUUUAAGUGUUAUCAUGUGUACUUUAAUUUUAAAUUUGCCCGUCAAAUUUCAGCGAAAAAUGCUUUAAAAUAAAAAGUUUACGUGAUUAUUACUUUUCACUUAAAGUGAAUAGUAACUUGUGUUUUCUUUUGAGGCAUCACGUCGAGGAUGGCUUCGGACAUGAAUUGGACUGCGUUUUGGACGAUCCAAUAGGUCGUGUUCGAUGGUUUAGCUAUUUCGGAGGUGAUGGCACUGUUUGAUUUUAUGUUUGAUGCAUGAUUUUCGAAAAAAUUAGUUUUUAUCACAGAUUGACCUUUUUCUACUCGAUGCUCUUGCUUUUUUAAGGUGUUCGGUGUUCCGUUUAACACGAAAACCCAUGGGUCGGUGCCACUGGGUAUAUUACACGGUGAGUUUUUGAAACAAAACUCAAGGAUUUGAGUGCUAAAUUACUAUUUUUACAAAGUGUCAAAAUUAAGCACUUUACAAAAAGCUUAUCAUUUUAUGUGAGAAAUUUCACAGUAUUGGUGAGUGGAAGGUUUUAUAUAAAAGGAGACUCAGAGAGAAUUUUAUGUCUCAAAUUUUACGAAAUUCGGGUUUACCAUGCAGAAUGGUGUUGCUUUGUUCUUGUGAGGGAGAUUUGUGAUAAUGUAGCUUUUUGGACUUAAACGCGAUUUUGGACGUAUCUAAGUGCACAAGAUUGUUUGGAGAGGGGCUAUGAUAAAAUUCUCUUAUGUCGGAAAGGGCUGGGUGCAGAAUUUUGAGGUUCUAGGAGGACUUAUGUGCAAAUCCUCCAAAUACAAUUUGUAUAGAUGUAUAUGUAUAUAUAUUUGGUAUUUACAGAGAGAAUGAGGGAAACCCUAACCCUAGCCCCUACACCCUUAGCCGCCACCUCCCUAUCCCUGCCACCUCCCUGUCCCUGCCGGUGCGCCGCCUGUCGUCGGUGAUCCUCCUCGGCCAGGUUACUCUCUUUCUCUUUCUCUCUCUCAUAGCCAUUGUUGGAGAGGAGGCCCAAGCUCGCUUCCCCUGAACCACUGCUACUCUAGCGCCGUUGCCGUCGCCACCCAAGCGCCGUUGUCGCUGCCACUUGAGACUUCGGCGACCUUCCCUGAGUCGCGACCUUCGUUGCUGCGCGCUAGGAGAAGCUACUGCCAGAGAUGGUGCCUUGGGAGCCUGUGCAGCUGAGGAGCUCCACCCGACCGCCCCCAGGGCGGACUCCCGGCACCAUCGGACGACCUUCCCAAAUCGCCGGAGAGGCCGUGCGCGCGUGCCCUAGCCGCGGCCAGAUCUUGAGCCGCAGCGUCAUAACCGCGCUGCUACAGUCUUCCGCCGCCGGCCAUGAGUGCCGACCAUCUCCCCUGUGUACGGUGACCUCCCCCUGGCUGGAGCUCGUCUCCUCGCGCCGUUCUGGUCGCCGCCGUAGCUAAGGAGAGCCACCUGAGCCCGACUCUUAUGCUGCUGGCCGAACCUUCUCCCAACUCCACCGCCGCUUCCCACCACCGGCUCGGGGAAGCAUGGAGUCCCCUUUGACCUCCGCACCCAGCCUCCACCUACGGUUGAGCCGCCGCGUCGCUGGCGGCCGGCCGGAGCAAGGUUGCUCCCUGCCAGUCCGGCGUGGGGCAUUUUGGGCUUUCUUUCAUUGUUCCGGCGAUCUGAGGGGUCCCCGAUCUUCCGGAUAGUGAGAACGGUUACCCCAAGCCCUCAUUGAUCAACAUCACCUCAGAUCUUGCCGUAAGAAGAGUGAAGGAGAGGGUAAAAUAGAGUUUUAGAGCUUUAUGGUUGGUAAAGGGAGUUAUAUAGAUGAGUUACAUGGCUAAUAAACCCUCUAUAAUAUCAUAUUUCCAUUCUCAACUCAUUCUCCUAAACUACGCAGGGUCCGGAUUGUCUCUGCAUGGUUCGGAUCCCACGUGUUCGAGCUGCGUGACCAAAGUUGAAAUCCUCCGGUUAAGGUCCGGAUUUAGAACGUUGAUUUUAUUCAUUUUGUGGCAAAGAUCCGGAUCCUCCCUCUAGGGUCCGGACUUUGAUAUUUGGAGCCUUCUCACAGUAACAUUAGGGUCCGUCUGAUGGCCCAACAUCAACUUGUCUCGAAAUUUUUGUUUUCCUUCCGUGGAGCCCUAAAUCGAGUUCAAUUAUUCUGAGACCCCCAAAAUCCAUCACAAACAGUAUCACAUUUGUUUCAUUACCUUGCUUCUCACAAUUCGGUCAAAGUUUAGUCUAUUAUAUUGAAAUUUAAUAUAUUACAUUUAGUUUUCUCCAAUAUCACAUUAUAUUUUAUAAUUAUAGUAAGACACAUUGAUGGGAGAAGAAUAGUUUUAGGUGAUCAAUAAUUUUAUUUUUCUUUCAUACCUUCUCAUUUUUAUUUCUUUGUCAAAUUUAAUUUAUAGAUGGUAUUGUAAGGUUAAACCAUACUUUAUACAUGAGACCAAUAAAAUUUGCAUGCUUCCUACAAGCCAGCUGCAUGAUAAGCAUUAACUUUUAAGCCAAUAAAUUUAAAAUAGCCUUAAGAUUUAAUUAGUUGAAAUAGAUUUGGGUUUUGACUUACUAUUAUUUUUUUAAAAAAAUCUGCUACAAAAUGAACACUGCAUGUUGAUAGAAAAUGCAAACUUGAUUAUUGUAAUUGCCUUCUACAUUUAAACCAUUUAGUUCUGCAUUAAAAAAAAAAAAAAGUGAUUUCCAAUCCAGAGACACUACAACAGAAUUAGGUUAUAGGGACACAUGUUUGGGACACUUUUGAGUAAGUGUCCCAUUUAUGCUAAAUCUUAAAAAUAUAUCUAUUAAUGCCUAAAUAUAAAGCCCAAUCCAACCAAAAAUAAAAGAUUACUCUACUCAACCCACCACACCCAGUCCAUUUGGCCCGAUUACAAAUAGAAAAGAAAAAAAAAAGAAAAAUCAAUUACCAUCUUUUCUUCUAUCUUCACUCAAUCCACUGAAAUUCUAGACGAAGAGCCUUUACUGUUGUCCUUCUCCACCACCGCAGCCAACGAGAUAGAGUUUCGGCGGUUGCUAAAUACUUAAAUAAGUGUUGGUAAAUUAGCAACACUAUUUUAGGUUAUAACGACACUCUUUAACUGUCACUAUAUACCUAGCGACCCCACAUAUAGCAACACUUUUUAAAAGUGUCGGUAAUUUUAGCUAGCAGCACUUUUUUAACAUAUACCUACAUUUAAAAGUGUUGCUAUAGACCGUUUUUGUUGUAGUGAGAUACUGCAUUAAACACUAGCUGGUUUAUUAAACACGUAAUAGUGAAAUACAUUUAAAUCAAUUAUUCACUCACAGAUUUAAGAAAAAGGAAAAAAAAAAAGAAAGAGAGAGACUUAUUCUAUUUUUCUAGCUUGCUUAGGGGAAACUAUCAGAAGGUGUUGAAGGAAAAGCAAAGGCAUAUAAGUUACUCUGGUGGUGAUUGCAUCGUAAUUUUGUAACAUAAAGGAGAAAAUAUUAGAAUACUUUUACAUUUUUUGAACUUUUUAAAAUAGAAACUUGAAUAUUUUUAAAAUGCAUUACCAAAUUAGGUCCUAACGUACUAAUUGAUUAGUAAGUGUUGGCACCAGUUCAUUGAUUUUAAUCAAGUUUAAGUUUAUCUUGCAAGAGAUCUUCAUAAGGUGCGCACUAUUUUUAUAUUUGAACACUCCCUAAGUAUGGUUCCACAUCAAAAUCAAGCUAUAUAUAUAUAAAAUGAUUACACUGGAGUGGAAACUGAUUAACAGUCAAAGGACUUUCACUCAAUCACUUGAAUACUAGUAACUUUCACCUAAACAAUUAUAAGUUGUAUGUGAUAUUAAAAAAAAACUAAAUUAUAAUUAUGAUCAUCAAAUAAAUAGACAAAUAAAUAGAGAGAAAAUGGGCGAUGAUUAUUUUUUAAACUAUUCUUACUUCUAACAUUCUUUUACAUAACAUUUCUGCAAUGAUAUUUUGUAAAUUUAAUUGAUCUUUCUGUUCCGGUGUCAUAAAAAAUAUAAUAAAUUAGGGUGGUAUACUUCGUAUUGUCUUUUUUUUUUUUUUUUAUAACCUUUCAUUUUUUUUUUAUUUUUCAGCUGUUAAGGUUUCUAUUUUUGACCUAUUGUAAUAGAAAUAUUUUUAGAGCUAGAUAACUCGAAAUAUAAUGAAAUUAAUGGUACGAGUAGCGGGCCAUAAAAGUGAAAGAGAAUACAAAACGCAAACUGCUGUUUGAACAUGAAGGCUGGUGCUAAACAUCUGUCUUUAUACAUGUGCGGAGUCUGACUAUUAGACUAUCAAUAGCAUUAAGAACUUGGUGCUAUUAAAUACAGUCAAUCUUUGAGGAUUAUUAACUAUACAUCACUUCAUUCAAGGGCCGAAAAUCUAAUAGCCUAAUAGCACCAAUUAUUUUUUUGACAGAUAGAUAGCACGUCACCCGCUUCGUUUAUUUCAUUUAGAAAUAAACUUAGCUAGAAAUGUGAAUCAACUAGGAUUCGAACUUAGGUCUCAUGAACCAACCACCAAGUCUUUUGCCACUUGCUCUAGGGACGGUCGGCUAAUAGCACCAAUUAUUUAUACUAUUAAUAGUAUAGUCAAAAUCAAAAGCGUAACCAUUUAUUUACAAAAGAGCUAAAUCUCAAAGUAUCUCUAUACAUUUUACCCUUUUAUUUUUUCAGAAUUAACUGAUUUAAGCCAGAUAAAUUAAAAAAUUUUAUCAAAUUUAUUAAUAAUUUUGUCAAAUUUAAUAGUUUCAAUAAUUUUAUGUGUUACAACCCAACAUUUAAAAUAGUCCCAUAUAUAAGAUAUAAUAAAGCUAAAUCUUUUAAUUCAAUUAUAUAUAGCAUGUUGGUCGGUAGCCAGUUUAAGAAGUUAAGAAAGUUAAGCGUGGUAGGGUGUUACCAAUGUCUCCCUAGCAUUAAUUUAGAGCUAAAUUUUUUGUCUAAUCAACUUGAAUAACUCAAUUUUUUUUUAAGAAAAUGUCUAAAAUGGACUAAAAUAAAAUUAAAAGUGACGAAUUUAUUUUAGAAUGACCUAAAUUUGAGAGAGCUUUUAUACAUUUUCACUUUAGCAAAUAUACUUAGCAAAGAGAAUAUAUUUUAGGGGCAAUUUCAUAGAUACCCCUCCCAAAGUUUAAAAUAUCAUGGAUGCCCCUAUAAAGUUUAAAAUAUCAUAUAUGCCCCUAUAAAUAUAAAAAAGUAUCACCAAUACCUCUACCGUUAGUUAUAUUAUCUUUACCAUAGUUGUUAAAUGGUUAAAAAUGAGUUAACUUUUAAAAUGACCUAUUUACCCUCAACUAUCUCUUUAAUAAAAAUGUAUGGAGACCCCCUCAACUAUUUGCCGUUUUGAAACGGCUCCCUCAACUUUUUUUUUUUAGUUAACAUCCCAUUAACUUUUAGUUUUUUACAAAAUUAACUAAUUUUAGUGUAUGAAAAAUAAAAGUUUUAUCAAGGUUUUUAUGAUUUCACCAAAUCUAGUGGCUCCAUUUAUUUUAACUAUGUAUAAAAAAUUAAACAAAAGUAAAUGUCACGCCCCGGGAUUCCUUUUAGUUUAAAACAUAGCGGAAAAGCGUCUAAAUUUUUUUUUUUGAGAACCCGACCCCAGAGUAUGACAGAUCCACCACAAAUACAGGGAAUCCACUGUUUACACGGACAGAGUCUCCCCUGUAUUUGCACGGCGUCGCACAAGUAUAAGAAGUAAUCCAGGUACAACCACAACCAGAUGAAUAUACAAACAACCAACAGUUAUAUAUUCAUACACCAUUCACCACAGGUUCACAUUUUAACAUUCCAUUUUUAAACAUAAAUUCACAUCUAUCAGUUAAAAUGUUUCCAACCACAGAAAUAGGUUUUGAAAUACUAAGAUACAAAAUCCACAUAAAACCUUUUGAAAACUGUUCCCUGCACAGGAACUUUUAUCUUUUUAAAACGCUACCACGAGGGGUAGAAAACCAUUUUAUUUCAAGAAACACAAAUUCCUUUAUUACAUUCCAAAACCAACUGAAAACAUCAAUAUCCAAUAGCAAAUAAUAGAAACUGAACCAUAUAAGUAUCUAAGUCAUUUAUUUAAAGAAAGCAAGGUUAGGGAAGAUAAACCAAACCACGGGACGGAACGCUCUAUCGUAUGCUAGACCCGCUCCUCACCAGCUGUCCCACUCGGACCUGCUACGUCACCUGUAAUGGGGGCGGGGGGUGAGAACAUGUAAACAUGUCUCCCCUCCCAGUGGGUACCGUAAGCCAAAGAGGGCGAGGGGUACUCACUAGUCACGGAGAACAACAAAGGUAUAGAUAGUGGUAAUACAAUAGCCAUAAUAAACAAGUAACGAGAUGUAUAUAUGUAUGAAACACUGCAGCUACUGUAUGCAUGCGUCAACCGGACGACAAUCCAAAAAUACCCAAUCUGUACACGACCCUCGCAUAGAGCACCCGGGUCUGAAAGCAUGUGACCCUCGCAUAAAGCACCCGGGUCUGAAAGCAUAUAAGCCUCGCAUUAAGCACCCGGGCUCACGGGUUGGCACUCCAACUACUCUUCCGGAAAAGAACACCCUCUUGCGGUGGAUCAGACCGCUGGUGUUCGUGAAAUGCGUACAUGCAGUGGCGAUCAAUGCUGAAUGCUCAAUAGACAGCCGUCGGCAAUCAGCUGACAAUCCUGCCCCUCAGGGCGUACCGACCGUAUAGGUCAUCAAGUAAUCCAACCGAACAGGUCACAGAUAUCAAUGCGGAUAAAAUCUACUCUACUCCUACACAUGGUACUAACAUGGAGACAACCGAGUAGAGUGAACAUGGGUGCCAGGCUCAAUAUGUAUAUGAUAAGCAAUAUAACAGUAAGGGGUGAAAGGAACGUCACCGAGCGUGCACCACUGUACCGACUACGGGUCGAAGUACCCACCUGUACGAGUCUGUAACUGGUCUCACGAUGGUGGAGACGAAGCAACCGGACCUACGAAGGGUCCACCAGGUUAGAGUCUAACUCACUAACAUGCUAAAACAAAUAGUCCCCACUCAACCCCAUAGGGAUCGGCUUCCCAAAACCGAUUGCCAAACACGUCGGAAGAAUUCCGAGUCGAGCCCUCGUUCUGCCUACGGUUUUCGCCGAACGACGCUCCGGAAAUCACAAUUUAAUUUCCGCAAGAGCUUGGGGCCUUGGACGAUCAGUCCAGAGGUUGUCCUCAGCCCUAACCUGCUGCCAACAACAGCUACGUCAAAGCGAACGGCGUACAAGUCCUUAACGACACAUGAAAUCACAUCAUUUUAUGUGAUUUCAUGGCUCCAAUGAGUCGUAUAAGCAAACCAGGGAUCGAAGAAGGGUGAUAUAGCACUUGCUGUUAGGUUUCAGCAUGCCUGAGGCCGUGCUCACCUUUCGGAGCACUACCAGCGGGAACAGCGUGCGCACGAGCGGCGCGAAGUUCAGCGAAUAAGCGCGCACAGCGCGAAGAUCUAUCUAAACCCGCUAACCGGGGCAUCCCUAACCCUCGCAGAGGUGAGCAUCAUGUUCAGCACGAACCCAGGAUCAACGUGCUCACCUCCUGGGGUGUCGGGGAGUCGUCGGAUCGCCGGAAAGGUGACCGGAAAGUGAAAACACAGUGCAAGAAAGCAAACUAAAUGCAUACCGGAGCGGUGGGAGCUAGGGUUGGUCGCCGGCGGCUGGGAGGCGGGCGGUCCGACUGGAGGAGGGAGCAGUCGGUCCAGGAGUUCCGGGGAGGGUGCUGGCCGGCCGCGGGUGGCAACCGGUGGCGCGGCGGCUGAGAUCCACUCCUCCCACUAUCUCUCGGGUUCGGGCUUCCUGGCGGCGUGGCGGCGGCCGGAGGAGGUCGGGGCGGCUACGGUGCGGCGCCGGAGGCCGAGGGGAAGGCGGUGCACCCCUCGGUGGGCGGCGGCAGCGCCUGGAAGCUGAGCGGGCCCGACUCGGCCCGCACGUGUCUGGGUGGCCACAGGAAGUUCCAGCGGCGGCCGGCGGCGCGCGAGGACGGCGGGGGACGCGCGCGCCGGGUUGCCGGAGGUCGCCGGGGCCGACUGAAGGGCGGCGCGGCUGAAGUGAGGCAUGGACGCAAAACUCGAGCCGGCUCGGUCUGGGCUGACCCGAGCUAGCCGCAGGGAGCAGGGGUGGCUCCGGCGGCACUCGGGGGUGGCCGGGGCCGGCAGGGGAGGACGCCGGAGAAGAGCCUCGGCCAGGGGAGGGUAGAGCUCGGUUUUGAUGCUUUCCCGAGCACAACAAUCACAAGUAUGGCAAGUAGGGGCUAGAGGGAAACCGAGAGGAAGCCGGGGUGACUUUUCCGGCGGCCGGAGUAGCUCGCCGGCGGCCGGGGCGUGAGCACGAGUUGGGCAGGGAGAAGAUGGGGCGGCUAGGGCAACUGGGGAUGAUUAGGGUUAGGGUUUCCUUGGCUGAACCCUAAAACCUCACUUACCACCUGACCAAAAGGUCCAACUGACAAUACCAAUUGAGCUAGACAAUUUGUCUCCUCAAACUUAAUUCGGUACCAACAGACCACCGAAAGCUGUUUGCAAGUCCAUUACUUGAUGCACAGGUCGCCAAUCGCAAAAGCGAUACUAACCAUCGGUGAUGCUCAACACCUGCCUCCACGAGACCCUGUCGCUGCCGUCCUACAAGGGACCCUAGCGAUCGAUGUUCCGAGCAACACCUAAAUACCUGUUUCAUUGAGACCCAGGCGCACCUGUCACCAAAUAACCUGACAAGCAAGCUAACCCAAGGUUCGCACGAUAAGCCAAGUCGCAAACAUUUCAUGCUAUCACAUAUAGUGACAAACAAAGCCAACACCCAGGCUCAAGCCCGAAUACCGCACUCACGCGCCUAUACAUCGUAGGUCUUCCUAGGGUCAACCUAACCAAUGGUUCAGUUCUAUGUAUUUCAAAACAACCUGUGAAUGGUGUUGUGGUUGUAACUUGGCUCUGAUACCACUUCAAAACAACCUGUGUCAUUGGGUUUAUAAUAGACCUAAACACUAGUAAUAAUAACUGGCCUUAAGCAUUUUGAGCCGGUUGUUGGGCCCAACGAGUUAUUAUUGCUAGUGGGCUGGGUCGUUACAGUAAAUGUUGAGGAUUUUUCUAUCUUUCUUUAAUCUUGGAAGAUUAAAUUAUUCUCAAUAAUUUUAUCUGCAUUAAAUGCAUUAAAAACUGAAAUAUAAUAUAUUUAAGCUUUUGAACAAAACUCUCUUCUUUUUUUUUUAAAUCGAUAAAAAAAGCAUACAUAUUGAUAUAGCUAGUUAUGUGAUUUAUUUUUGAUUAAAUAGGAAAAACAUAAAAUCUAUAAUUUAUUUCAAAUUACUAUUACUGAUUAGGAAUGUGAAAUGAUACAGAUAUACAAUUUUAUCUGAACUCGAUUUUGAAUGGGGUGAGCUUAAUCGAUGUUGAGUCUGAUAGUUUCAAUUAUAAGUACAAAAAAAUGAACUCUCAUCGUAUUUAAAUUUAGUUAUGAUUUUGGUCUAUAUCCAAAUCGAAUCUGAACCAAAACCUGUAAGGACUGAGAUUUUUUGACUGUGCAACUAAACUCUCGGUUGAUGAUGUUUAUGUGUGUAAUCUAAUUACAUAAGCACUCGUCAAGUUUCAGGCGAAAAUGAGCUAAAACGGAGAAGUUACGCGAUUAUUAGUUUUCACUUAAGUGAAUAGUAACUCCGGUUUUUCGGUGAAGCCACGGAGUAGAGUUGGCUUUCUACGCGUACCGGACUCCGUUCAUAGCGAUCCAAUAGCUCGUUUCGACCGGUUCAGCUAUUUUGGAACUACUGGCGCUGACGGAUUUUGAGUUUGAUGCACGAAUUUCGAAAAAAUCCGAAAAUACAUGUUUUAUAUGUAUUUAUGUGUUAUUCCUUCUAUUGGAAAGAAAGUUUGGAUUUUGUCGUGAAUCCGUGAUCGAUCGUGGUGAAACAAAAUCGUAGCUUUGUUGUCUCCGAGGUGCUGAUCGCACUGGUGCAAUCCGUUCGCGGACACAGCGCGACAUUAGGGAAUCACGUCACACGACAGAUCCCCCUGUAUUUGCACGCGUCAACAAGUACACAAAAGUACCCAGUAACAAACCACAACCAAUGCAACAUACAAAUAACCAACAACUAUAAUUUCAUACACACAUUCACAUCAAGGUUUACAUUUAUAUGAUCGAUAUUAACAUAAAUCACAAUCUAUCAUUAAAAUGUUUCAACCAACAAGGAAAUAGUUUGAAAUACUAAACAUCAAAAAUCCAAGAAAAAUCCUUUUGAAAACUGUCCUACACGAAAACCUUUAUUCAUUUAACAAACCACCGACGAGGGUAGAAAACUUUUAUUUCACAAAAUCCCAUUUAUACAUCACGAAAAUUCAUAUUUCAAUUAACUAAAAAACGAACCAUAUAACUAAUCCUAAGCUAUCACAAUGAAGUAAUAAAGGGUAAUAACUAUACCAGAAAUAACCUGGUCGAAGCUCAGACGUAAUCACGUACCUCCAGUCUCCGUCCAGCUACUCAUCACCCACAUACUCUUGAAAAGGUGGGAGGUGAAAAUGUAAACAUGUCUCCCCUCCAGUGGACCGGCAACCGAAAAGGCAAGUUACUCAACCGGAUAAGAAAGAGAUAACCAACAUAAUGUAACUAAAAUACAGUAUACAACGAUAAGUAACGAACGAAUAUAUAAUAUAUAGAAAACAACUACUGCUACUGUAAAUGUAACAACUGCAACAUACAAACGGAUAACAAACUAAAGUAUAAAGACCACGUAAAAGAAGACACUAGAAGUAUAAUACAAACAACCGCUACUAUAGCAUAUUGCGUCAACCGACUGAGAAGUCCAAAAGUACCCAAUCUAAAACCGCCGUGUCCGGUCAAGACCUCAGGCAAAAGCCACUAUCUUCACACUGCAUGAACCUAGCCAAAGAGAACACCGCUGGGCUCACGGUCCGAUUACGACCACUUUCCGAAAAAACACCCUCUCUGCGAGGGAUCAACCCGCUGUGUACGAAAGCACUCCGAGCUGUCGAGGAUCAUGCAAUCAUGAUCAAUUAUCCAAACGCGUCGCAAUCAGCCGAACAAUCACCUGCCCCUCCAGCUAACCGAUCGGUAGUCAUCAAGUAAAACGUGAACCACCAAGAUGGUCAAUAUACAUAAGUAACGAAACACCAAAACAGGUCCCACACGAGCAAACAUAACCGACCACACCAGGCCACAAAGUAUAGUAUAGUAAAUCAUCUACAUCUUACCCCUAAUACAGGAUACCUACACAAUAGAACAACCAGGCAAGGCAAGUAACAUAAAAUAGUAAGUGGACACUGCUCCAUGGCAACUAAAAGUAAACAAACGCAAAAACGACCGAUAGGUCAACAGAUUGUAAUCAUAUAGUUUAGUCAGAACAACGUCCAGCACCAGCCGACAAUCCUACCCUCAGGUAAUACCGACCCUCAAAGGUCCAUGCGAACGACAAAUCAAACCAGACAUCAAUACAUAAAACAACAACCGACAACAGGUCAACAGAUAAAGAUAAACACGCACUGAUCAACUAGGUCAACCAAACAAAUCGAGAAACCAGACAAUCAUCACCGAAAAACAAAGUACGAAACGCGACAAUCAGUCGUUCACCGAAACAAAGUACAAAACCGACAUCAGGUCACCGGUAUCACAUAUGAUAAUACUACUCUACUCUACACAUGAUACUAACAUAGAAACAUGAUGAUACAUAUAAUAAAAACAACGGGGAUGCAAGUCAAAUGCAUAAGUAAAUAGAAGGAUAAGGUUAAGAAAACCAUCACGAUAAAGCUGUACCACUGCUACNNNNNNNNNNNNNNNNNNNNNNNNNNNNNNNNNNNNNNNNNNNNNNNNNNNNNNNNNNNNNNNNNNNNNNNNNNNNNNNNNNNNNNNNNNNNNNNNNNNNNNNNNNNNNNNNNNNNNNNNNNNNNNNNNNNNNNNNNNNNNNNNNNNNNNNNNNNNNNNNNNNNNNNNNNNNNNNNNNNNNNNNNNNNNNNNNNNNNNNNNNNNNNNNNNNNNNNNNNNNNNNNNNNNNNNNNNNNNNNNNNNNNNNNNNNNNNNNNNNNNNNNNNNNNNNNNNNNNNNNNNNNNNNNNNNNNNNNNNNNNNNNNNNNNNNNNNNNNNNNNNNNNNNNNNNNNNNNNNNNNNNNNNNNNNNNNNNNNNNNNNNNNNNNNNNNNNNNNNNNNNNNNNNNNNNNNNNNNNNNNNNNNNNNNNNNNNNNNNNNNNNNNNNNNNNNNNNNNNNNNNNNNNNNNNNNNNNNNNNNNNNNNNNNNNNNNNNNNNNNNNNNNNNNNNNNNNNNNNNNNNNNNNNNNNNNNNNNNNNNNNNNNNNNNNNNNNNNNNNNNNNNNNNNNNNNNNNNNNNNNNNNNNNNNNNNNNNNNNNNNNNNNNNNNNNNNNNNNNNNNNNNNNNNNNNNNNNNNNNNNNNNNNNNNNNNNNNNNNNNNNNNNNNNNNNNNNNNNNNNNNNNNNNNNNNNNNNNNNNNNNNNNNNNNNNNNNNNNNNNNNNNNNNNNNNNNNNNNNNNNNNNNNNNNNNNNNNNNNNNNNNNNNNNNNNNNNNNNNNNNNNNNNNNNNNNNNNNNNNNNNNNNNNNNNNNNNNNNNNNNNNNNNNNNNNNNNNNNNNNNNNNNNNNNNNNNNNNNNNNNNNNNNNNNNNNNNNNNNNNNNNNNNNNNNNNNNNNNNNNNNNNNNNNNNNNNNNNNNNNNNNNNNNNNNNNNNNNNNNNNNNNNNNNNNNNNNNNNNNNNNNNNNNNNNNNNNNNNNNNNNNNNNNNNNNNNNNNNNNNNNNNNNNNNNNNNNNNNNNNNNNNNNNNNNNNNNNNNNNNNNNNNNNNNNNNNNNNNNNNNNNNNNNNNNNNNNNNNNNNNNNNNNNNNNNNNNNNNNNNNNNNNNNNNNNNNNNNNNNNNNNNNNNNNNNNNNNNNNNNNNNNNNNNNNNNNNNNNNNNNNNNNNNNNNNNNNNNNNNNNNNNNNNNNNNNNNNNNNNNNNNNNNNNNNNNNNNNNNNNNNNNNNNNNNNNNNNNNNNNNNNNNNNNNNNNNNNNNNNNNNNNNNNNNNNNNNNNNNNNNNNNNNNNNNNNNNNNNNNNNNNNNNNNNNNNNNNNNNNNNNNNNNNNNNNNNNNNNNNNNNNNNNNNNNNNNNNNNNNNNNNNNNNNNNNNNNNNNNNNNNNNNNNNNNNNNNNNNNNNNNNNNNNNNNNNNNNNNNNNNNNNNNNNNNNNNNNNNNNNNNNNNNNNNNNNNNNNNNNNNNNNNNNNNNNNNNNNNNNNNNNNNNNNNNNNNNNNNNNNNNNNNNNNNNNNNNNNNNNNNNNNNNNNNNNNNNNNNNNNNNNNNNNNNNNNNNNNNNNNNNNNNNNNNNNNNNNNNNNNNNNNNNNNNNNNNNNNNNNNNNNNNNNNNNNNNNNNNNNNNNNNNNNNNNNNNNNNNNNNNNNNNNNNNNNNNNNNNNNNNNNNNNNNNNNNNNNNNNNNNNNNNNNNNNNNNNNNNNNNNNNNNNNNNNNNNNNNNNNNNNNNNNNNNNNNNNNNNNNNNNNNNNNNNNNNNNNNNNNNNNNNNNNNNNNNNNNNNNNNNNNNNNNNNNNNNNNNNNNNNNNNNNNNNNNNNNNNNNNNNNNNNNNNNNNNNNNNNNNNNNNNNNNNNNNNNNNNNNNNNNNNNNNNNNNNNNNNNNNNNNNNNNNNNNNNNNNNNNNNNNNNNNNNNNNNNNNNNNNNNNNNNNNNNNNNNNNNNNNNNNNNNNNNNNNNNNNNNNNNNNNNNNNNNNNNNNNNNNNNNNNNNNNNNNNNNNNNNNNNNNNNNNNNNNNNNNNNNNNNNNNNNNNNNNNNNNNNNNNNNNNNNNNNNNNNNNNNNNNNNNNNNNNNNNNNNNNNNNNNNNNNNNNNNNNNNNNNNNNNNNNNNNNNNNNNNNNNNNNNNNNNNNNNNNNNNNNNNNNNNNNNNNNNNNNNNNNNNNNNNNNNNNNNNNNNNNNNNNNNNNNNNNNNNNNNNNNNNNNNNNNNNNNNNNNNNNNNNNNNNNNNNNNNNNNNNNNNNNNNNNNNNNNNNNNNNNNNNNNNNNNNNNNNNNNNNNNNNNNNNNNNNNNNNNNNNNNNNNNNNNNNNNNNNNNNNNNNNNNNNNNNNNNNNNNNNNNNNNNNNNNNNNNNNNNNNNNNNNNNNNNNNNNNNNNNNNNNNNNNNNNNNNNNNNNNNNNNNNNNNNNNNNNNNNNNNNNNNNNNNNNNNNNNNNNNNNNNNNNNNNNNNNNNNNNNNNNNNNNNNNNNNNNNNNNNNNNNNNNNNNNNNNNNNNNNNNNNNNNNNNNNNNNNNNNNNNNNNNNNNNNNNNNNNNNNNNNNNNNNNNNNNNNNNNNNNNNNNNNNNNNNNNNNNNNNNNNNNNNNNNNNNNNNNNNNNNNNNNNNNNNNNNNNNNNNNNNNNNNNNNNNNNNNNNNNNNNNNNNNNNNNNNNNNNNNNNNNNNNNNNNNNNNNNNNNNNNNNNNNNNNNNNNNNNNNNNNNNNNNNNNNNNNNNNNNNNNNNNNNNNNNNNNNNNNNNNNNNNNNNNNNNNNNNNNNNNNNNNNNNNNNNNNNNNNNNNNNNNNNNNNNNNNNNNNNNNNNNNNNNNNNNNNNNNNNNNNNNNNNNNNNNNNNNNNNNNNNNNNNNNNNNNNNNNNNNNNNNNNNNNNNNNNNNNNNNNNNNNNNNNNNNNNNNNNNNNNNNNNNNNNNNNNNNNNNNNNNNNNNNNNNNNNNNNNNNNNNNNNNNNNNNNNNNNNNNNNNNNNNNNNNNNNNNNNNNNNNNNNNNNNNNNNNNNNNNNNNNNNNNNNNNNNNNNNNNNNNNNNNNNNNNNNNNNNNNNNNNNNNNNNNNNNNNNNNNNNNNNNNNNNNNNNNNNNNNNNNNNNNNNNNNNNNNNNNNNNNNNNNNNNNNNNNNNNNNNNNNNNNNNNNNNNNNNNNNNNNNNNNNNNNNNNNNNNNNNNNNNNNNNNNNNNNNNNNNNNNNNNNNNNNNNNNNNNNNNNNNNNNNNNNNNNNNNNNNNNNNNNNNNNNNNNNNNNNNNNNNNNNNNNNNNNNNNNNNNNNNNNNNNNNNNNNNNNNNNNNNNNNNNNNNNNNNNNNNNNNNNNNNNNNNNNNNNNNNNNNNNNNNNNNNNNNNNNNNNNNNNNNNNNNNNNNNNNNNNNNNNNNNNNNNNNNNNNNNNNNNNNNNNNNNNNNNNNNNNNNNNNNNNNNNNNNNNNNNNNNNNNNNNNNNNNNNNNNNNNNNNNNNNNNNNNNNNNNNNNNNNNNNNNNNNNNNNNNNNNNNNNNNNNNNNNNNNNNNNNNNNNNNNNNNNNNNNNNNNNNNNNNNNNNNNNNNNNNNNNNNNNNNNNNNNNNNNNNNNNNNNNNNNNNNNNNNNNNNNNNNNNNNNNNNNNNNNNNNNNNNNNNNNNNNNNNNNNNNNNNNNNNNNNNNNNNNNNNNNNNNNNNNNNNNNNNNNNNNNNNNNNNNNNNNNNNNNNNNNNNNNNNNNNNNNNNNNNNNNNNNNNNNNNNNNNNNNNNNNNNNNNNNNNNNNNNNNNNNNNNNNNNNNNNNNNNNNNNNNNNNNNNNNNNNNNNNNNNNNNNNNNNNNNNNNNNNNNNNNNNNNNNNNNNNNNNNNNNNNNNNNNNNNNNNNNNNNNNNNNNNNNNNNNNNNNNNNNNNNNNNNNNNNNNNNNNNNNNNNNNNNNNNNNNNNNNNNNNNNNNNNNNNNNNNNNNNNNNNNNNNNNNNNNNNNNNNNNNNNNNNNNNNNNNNNNNNNNNNNNNNNNNNNNNNNNNNNNNNNNNNNNNNNNNNNNNNNNNNNNNNNNNNNNNNNNNNNNNNNNNNNNNNNNNNNNNNNNNNNNNNNNNNNNNNNNNNNNNNNNNNNNNNNNNNNNNNNNNNNNNNNNNNNNNNNNNNNNNNNNNNNNNNNNNNNNNNNNNNNNNNNNNNNNNNNNNNNNNNNNNNNNNNNNNNNNNNNNNNNNNNNNNNNNNNNNNNNNNNNNNNNNNNNNNNNNNNNNNNNNNNNNNNNNNNNNNNNNNNNNNNNNNNNNNNNNNNNNNNNNNNNNNNNNNNNNNNNNNNNNNNNNNNNNNNNNNNNNNNNNNNNNNNNNNNNNNNNNNNNNNNNNNNNNNNNNNNNNNNNNNNNNNNNNNNNNNNNNNNNNNNNNNNNNNNNNNNNNNNNNNNNNNNNNNNNNNNNNNNNNNNNNNNNNNNNNNNNNNNNNNNNNNNNNNNNNNNNNNNNNNNNNNNNNNNNNNNNNNNNNNNNNNNNNNNNNNNNNNNNNNNNNNNNNNNNNNNNNNNNNNNNNNNNNNNNNNNNNNNNNNNNNNNNNNNNNNNNNNNNNNNNNNNNNNNNNNNNNNNNNNNNNNNNNNNNNNNNNNNNNNNNNNNNNNNNNNNNNNNNNNNNNNNNNNNNNNNNNNNNNNNNNNNNNNNNNNNNNNNNNNNNNNNNNNNNNNNNNNNNNNNNNNNNNNNNNNNNNNNNNNNNNNNNNNNNNNNNNNNNNNNNNNNNNNNNNNNNNNNNNNNNNNNNNNNNNNNNNNNNNNNNNNNNNNNNNNNNNNNNNNNNNNNNNNNNNNNNNNNNNNNNNNNNNNNNNNNNNNNNNNNNNNNNNNNNNNNNNNNNNNNNNNNNNNNNNNNNNNNNNNNNNNNNNNNNNNNNNNNNNNNNNNNNNNNNNNNNNNNNNNNNNNNNNNNNNNNNNNNNNNNNNNNNNNNNNNNNNNNNNNNNNNNNNNNNNNNNNNNNNNNNNNNNNNNNNNNNNNNNNNNNNNNNNNNNNNNNNNNNNNNNNNNNNNNNNNNNNNNNNNNNNNNNNNNNNNNNNNNNNNNNNNNNNNNNNNNNNNNNNNNNNNNNNNNNNNNNNNNNNNNNNNNNNNNNNNNNNNNNNNNNNNNNNNNNNNNNNNNNNNNNNNNNNNNNNNNNNNNNNNNNNNNNNNNNNNNNNNNNNNNNNNNNNNNNNNNNNNNNNNNNNNNNNNNNNNNNNNNNNNNNNNNNNNNNNNNNNNNNNNNNNNNNNNNNNNNNNNNNNNNNNNNNNNNNNNNNNNNNNNNNNNNNNNNNNNNNNNNNNNNNNNNNNNNNNNNNNNNNNNNNNNNNNNNNNNNNNNNNNNNNNNNNNNNNNNNNNNNNNNNNNNNNNNNNNNNNNNNNNNNNNNNNNNNNNNNNNNNNNNNNNNNNNNNNNNNNNNNNNNNNNNNNNNNNNNNNNNNNNNNNNNNNNNNNNNNNNNNNNNNNNNNNNNNNNNNNNNNNNNNNNNNNNNNNNNNNNNNNNNNNNNNNNNNNNNNNNNNNNNNNNNNNNNNNNNNNNNNNNNNNNNNNNNNNNNNNNNNNNNNNNNNNNNNNNNNNNNNNNNNNNNNNNNNNNNNNNNNNNNNNNNNNNNNNNNNNNNNNNNNNNNNNNNNNNNNNNNNNNNNNNNNNNNNNNNNNNNNNNNNNNNNNNNNNNNNNNNNNNNNNNNNNNNNNNNNNNNNNNNNNNNNNNNNNNNNNNNNNNNNNNNNNNNNNNNNNNNNNNNNNNNNNNNNNNNNNNNNNNNNNNNNNNNNNNNNNNNNNNNNNNNNNNNNNNNNNNNNNNNNNNNNNNNNNNNNNNNNNNNNNNNNNNNNNNNNNNNNNNNNNNNNNNNNNNNNNNNNNNNNNNNNNNNNNNNNNNNNNNNNNNNNNNNNNNNNNNNNNNNNNNNNNNNNNNNNNNNNNNNNNNNNNNNNNNNNNNNNNNNNNNNNNNNNNNNNNNNNNNNNNNNNNNNNNNNNNNNNNNNNNNNNNNNNNNNNNNNNNNNNNNNNNNNNNNNNNNNNNNNNNNNNNNNNNNNNNNNNNNNNNNNNNNNNNNNNNNNNNNNNNNNNNNNNNNNNNNNNNNNNNNNNNNNNNNNNNNNNNNNNNNNNNNNNNNNNNNNNNNNNNNNNNNNNNNNNNNNNNNNNNNNNNNNNNNNNNNNNNNNNNNNNNNNNNNNNNNNNNNNNNNNNNNNNNNNNNNNNNNNNNNNNNNNNNNNNNNNNNNNNNNNNNNNNNNNNNNNNNNNNNNNNNNNNNNNNNNNNNNNNNNNNNNNNNNNNNNNNNNNNNNNNNNNNNNNNNNNNNNNNNNNNNNNNNNNNNNNNNNNNNNNNNNNNNNNNNNNNNNNNNNNNNNNNNNNNNNNNNNNNNNNNNNNNNNNNNNNNNNNNNNNNNNNNNNNNNNNNNNNNNNNNNNNNNNNNNNNNNNNNNNNNNNNNNNNNNNNNNNNNNNNNNNNNNNNNNNNNNNNNNNNNNNNNNNNNNNNNNNNNNNNNNNNNNNNNNNNNNNNNNNNNNNNNNNNNNNNNNNNNNNNNNNNNNNNNNNNNNNNNNNNNNNNNNNNNNNNNNNNNNNNNNNNNNNNNNNNNNNNNNNNNNNNNNNNNNNNNNNNNNNNNNNNNNNNNNNNNNNNNNNNNNNNNNNNNNNNNNNNNNNNNNNNNNNNNNNNNNNNNNNNNNNNNNNNNNNNNNNNNNNNNNNNNNNNNNNNNNNNNNNNNNNNNNNNNNNNNNNNNNNNNNNNNNNNNNNNNNNNNNNNNNNNNNNNNNNNNNNNNNNNNNNNNNNNNNNNNNNNNNNNNNNNNNNNNNNNNNNNNNNNNNNNNNNNNNNNNNNNNNNNNNNNNNNNNNNNNNNNNNNNNNNNNNNNNNNNNNNNNNNNNNNNNNNNNNNNNNNNNNNNNNNNNNNNNNNNNNNNNNNNNNNNNNNNNNNNNNNNNNNNNNNNNNNNNNNNNNNNNNNNNNNNNNNNNNNNNNNNNNNNNNNNNNNNNNNNNNNNNNNNNNNNNNNNNNNNNNNNNNNNNNNNNNNNNNNNNNNNNNNNNNNNNNNNNNNNNNNNNNNNNNNNNNNNNNNNNNNNNNNNNNNNNNNNNNNNNNNNNNNNNNNNNNNNNNNNNNNNNNNNNNNNNNNNNNNNNNNNNNNNNNNNNNNNNNNNNNNNNNNNNNNNNNNNNNNNNNNNNNNNNNNNNNNNNNNNNNNNNNNNNNNNNNNNNNNNNNNNNNNNNNNNNNNNNNNNNNNNNNNNNNNNNNNNNNNNNNNNNNNNNNNNNNNNNNNNNNNNNNNNNNNNNNNNNNNNNNNNNNNNNNNNNNNNNNNNNNNNNNNNNNNNNNNNNNNNNNNNNNNNNNNNNNNNNNNNNNNNNNNNNNNNNNNNNNNNNNNNNNNNNNNNNNNNNNNNNNNNNNNNNNNNNNNNNNNNNNNNNNNNNNNNNNNNNNNNNNNNNNNNNNNNNNNNNNNNNNNNNNNNNNNNNNNNNNNNNNNNNNNNNNNNNNNNNNNNNNNNNNNNNNNNNNNNNNNNNNNNNNNNNNNNNNNNNNNNNNNNNNNNNNNNNNNNNNNNNNNNNNNNNNNNNNNNNNNNNNNNNNNNNNNNNNNNNNNNNNNNNNNNNNNNNNNNNNNNNNNNNNNNNNNNNNNNNNNNNNNNNNNNNNNNNNNNNNNNNNNNNNNNNNNNNNNNNNNNNNNNNNNNNNNNNNNNNNNNNNNNNNNNNNNNNNNNNNNNNNNNNNNNNNNNNNNNNNNNNNNNNNNNNNNNNNNNNNNNNNNNNNNNNNNNNNNNNNNNNNNNNNNNNNNNNNNNNNNNNNNNNNNNNNNNNNNNNNNNNNNNNNNNNNNNNNNNNNNNNNNNNNNNNNNNNNNNNNNNNNNNNNNNNNNNNNNNNNNNNNNNNNNNNNNNNNNNNNNNNNNNNNNNNNNNNNNNNNNNNNNNNNNNNNNNNNNNNNNNNNNNNNNNNNNNNNNNNNNNNNNNNNNNNNNNNNNNNNNNNNNNNNNNNNNNNNNNNNNNNNNNNNNNNNNNNNNNNNNNNNNNNNNNNNNNNNNNNNNNNNNNNNNNNNNNNNNNNNNNNNNNNNNNNNNNNNNNNNNNNNNNNNNNNNNNNNNNNNNNNNNNNNNNNNNNNNNNNNNNNNNNNNNNNNNNNNNNNNNNNNNNNNNNNNNNNNNNNNNNNNNNNNNNNNNNNNNNNNNNNNNNNNNNNNNNNNNNNNNNNNNNNNNNNNNNNNNNNNNNNNNNNNNNNNNNNNNNNNNNNNNNNNNNNNNNNNNNNNNNNNNNNNNNNNNNNNNNNNNNNNNNNNNNNNNNNNNNNNNNNNNNNNNNNNNNNNNNNNNNNNNNNNNNNNNNNNNNNNNNNNNNNNNNNNNNNNNNNNNNNNNNNNNNNNNNNNNNNNNNNNNNNNNNNNNNNNNNNNNNNNNNNNNNNNNNNNNNNNNNNNNNNNNNNNNNNNNNNNNNNNNNNNNNNNNNNNNNNNNNNNNNNNNNNNNNNNNNNNNNNNNNNNNNNNNNNNNNNNNNNNNNNNNNNNNNNNNNNNNNNNNNNNNNNNNNNNNNNNNNNNNNNNNNNNNNNNNNNNNNNNNNNNNNNNNNNNNNNNNNNNNNNNNNNNNNNNNNNNNNNNNNNNNNNNNNNNNNNNNNNNNNNNNNNNNNNNNNNNNNNNNNNNNNNNNNNNNNNNNNNNNNNNNNNNNNNNNNNNNNNNNNNNNNNNNNNNNNNNNNNNNNNNNNNNNNNNNNNNNNNNNNNNNNNNNNNNNNNNNNNNNNNNNNNNNNNNNNNNNNNNNNNNNNNNNNNNNNNNNNNNNNNNNNNNNNNNNNNNNNNNNNNNNNNNNNNNNNNNNNNNNNNNNNNNNNNNNNNNNNNNNNNNNNNNNNNNNNNNNNNNNNNNNNNNNNNNNNNNNNNNNNNNNNNNNNNNNNNNNNNNNNNNNNNNNNNNNNNNNNNNNNNNNNNNNNNNNNNNNNNNNNNNNNNNNNNNNNNNNNNNNNNNNNNNNNNNNNNNNNNNNNNNNNNNNNNNNNNNNNNNNNNNNNNNNNNNNNNNNNNNNNNNNNNNNNNNNNNNNNNNNNNNNNNNNNNNNNNNNNNNNNNNNNNNNNNNNNNNNNNNNNNNNNNNNNNNNNNNNNNNNNNNNNNNNNNNNNNNNNNNNNNNNNNNNNNNNNNNNNNNNNNNNNNNNNNNNNNNNNNNNNNNNNNNNNNNNNNNNNNNNNNNNNNNNNNNNNNNNNNNNNNNNNNNNNNNNNNNNNNNNNNNNNNNNNNNNNNNNNNNNNNNNNNNNNNNNNNNNNNNNNNNNNNNNNNNNNNNNNNNNNNNNNNNNNNNNNNNNNNNNNNNNNNNNNNNNNNNNNNNNNNNNNNNNNNNNNNNNNNNNNNNNNNNNNNNNNNNNNNNNNNNNNNNNNNNNNNNNNNNNNNNNNNNNNNNNNNNNNNNNNNNNNNNNNNNNNNNNNNNNNNNNNNNNNNNNNNNNNNNNNNNNNNNNNNNNNNNNNNNNNNNNNNNNNNNNNNNNNNNNNNNNNNNNNNNNNNNNNNNNNNNNNNNNNNNNNNNNNNNNNNNNNNNNNNNNNNNNNNNNNNNNNNNNNNNNNNNNNNNNNNNNNNNNNNNNNNNNNNNNNNNNNNNNNNNNNNNNNNNNNNNNNNNNNNNNNNNNNNNNNNNNNNNNNNNNNNNNNNNNNNNNNNNNNNNNNNNNNNNNNNNNNNNNNNNNNNNNNNNNNNNNNNNNNNNNNNNNNNNNNNNNNNNNNNNNNNNNNNNNNNNNNNNNNNNNNNNNNNNNNNNNNNNNNNNNNNNNNNNNNNNNNNNNNNNNNNNNNNNNNNNNNNNNNNNNNNNNNNNNNNNNNNNNNNNNNNNNNNNNNNNNNNNNNNNNNNNNNNNNNNNNNNNNNNNNNNNNNNNNNNNNNNNNNNNNNNNNNNNNNNNNNNNNNNNNNNNNNNNNNNNNNNNNNNNNNNNNNNNNNNNNNNNNNNNNNNNNNNNNNNNNNNNNNNNNNNNNNNNNNNNNNNNNNNNNNNNNNNNNNNNNNNNNNNNNNNNNNNNNNNNNNNNNNNNNNNNNNNNNNNNNNNNNNNNNNNNNNNNNNNNNNNNNNNNNNNNNNNNNNNNNNNNNNNNNNNNNNNNNNNNNNNNNNNNNNNNNNNNNNNNNNNNNNNNNNNNNNNNNNNNNNNNNNNNNNNNNNNNNNNNNNNNNNNNNNNNNNNNNNNNNNNNNNNNNNNNNNNNNNNNNNNNNNNNNNNNNNNNNNNNNNNNNNNNNNNNNNNNNNNNNNNNNNNNNNNNNNNNNNNNNNNNNNNNNNNNNNNNNNNNNNNNNNNNNNNNNNNNNNNNNNNNNNNNNNNNNNNNNNNNNNNNNNNNNNNNNNNNNNNNNNNNNNNNNNNNNNNNNNNNNNNNNNNNNNNNNNNNNNNNNNNNNNNNNNNNNNNNNNNNNNNNNNNNNNNNNNNNNNNNNNNNNNNNNNNNNNNNNNNNNNNNNNNNNNNNNNNNNNNNNNNNNNNNNNNNNNNNNNNNNNNNNNNNNNNNNNNNNNNNNNNNNNNNNNNNNNNNNNNNNNNNNNNNNNNNNNNNNNNNNNNNNNNNNNNNNNNNNNNNNNNNNNNNNNNNNNNNNNNNNNNNNNNNNNNNNNNNNNNNNNNNNNNNNNNNNNNNNNNNNNNNNNNNNNNNNNNNNNNNNNNNNNNNNNNNNNNNNNNNNNNNNNNNNNNNNNNNNNNNNNNNNNNNNNNNNNNNNNNNNNNNNNNNNNNNNNNNNNNNNNNNNNGCAACAACCGACAACAGUCAACAUAUACUAAGAUAAAAGCACUGAUCAACUAGGUCAACCAAAACAAAGUACGAGAACCGACCAAUCAGGUCCGAAACAAAGUACGAGAACGACCAAUCAGGUCACCGAAACAAAGUACAAGAACCGACCAUCAGGUCACCUGGUAUCACAUAUGGAUAAACUACUCUAACUCCUACACAUGAUACUAAGCAUAGAAACAUAUGAGUACAGUAUAAUAGAAAACAACGGAUGCAAGCUCAAUGCGAUAGUAACAAUAGAAGGUAAGGUAAGAAACCAUCACCAAGCGUGUACCACUGUACCGACGUCGGAUCGAGUACCCACCUAUACAAAGUCUGGAUCAGAUCUCACGACGGCGCGGGAACAGAGCAACCGGACCUACGAAGAGUCCCAAGUAUCAGAAGGAAACCCUAAUGUCAGCAACUAUAUAAAAUCCCCAGACAAGGAACCACCGGGAAUCGUUCCAAGACGAUUGCCGAAUCACAAUCGGGUGUCCCGAAUAUCGCACCGGGGCUUCGCCGGGGUCCACUAAUUGUCCCAGAACUCCCCAACUCCAACUGGGGAUCAAACCGCUGCCACUAAUACUCUUAUAUAACCCACAUUGGCAGCAGCGCACCACACUUCGCUCGGAACAAACAUCGUUGACUAAACGUCUCGAACCGGUCCCGAAAGUGUCUGUUUUGACACCGGGACCACCAGUCGCUCACCCGUCGUUCUGAACCCCGAAAUGACACGGGUGACCUGCCAGAAGGCUUAGCGACAUCACAACAGAUCCCGAGGCACCGUCGGAUAAAAACCGAACUAAGAUCGCGUUCCGUCGACGAAUUUUGCCGUGAAACGCCCCAAACAAGGUUUUCGAUCUCCGCAGUGGCUUGGGGCCUUGAGAUUAGUCCAGAGUUACCCUCAGCGUUUACACGCUGUCCCAGUGACCGAGUCGAAGUUAUAAGCAAGAGAAAGCACAAACAUGAACCUAAAAUCUAUCCAUUUUAUGCGAUUUUCGACAUUUUUAUGGCCCGAUCUUGCGAUACGGGUUCGUUGAGUCAACCGUCUACCGCUGAUAGAUUUCAGCGUGCCGGAGAUCGUGCUCACCAUUCGGAGCACAUUCGGCGACUGCGGUGGGCGCACAAGCGACCGCGCGAAGGUCAGCGAAGCAGCGCGCACCGCAGGAGUCGGGUCCCGAGAACCAAGGCAUCUCAGGGCUCGACGGAAGUGAGCACGAUGUUCAGCACGACCUAAGGAUCAUCGUGCUCAUUCCGGAGGUCAAAAAGACCAUUCGAAUAGCCGGAAAAGUCACCGGAAAGUGGGAAAACAGUGCUGGAAUGCAUAAAUGGACACUCACAGAUGGGGGAGCUAGGGUUGGCCGCCGCGUAUUUCGGCGGCCGGGCGGCCGGCGGGAGGGUGACCAGGGGGGCUCGGGGAACUCCACGUCAGGCGGCGCAGGGCGGCGAGGUGCGGCGGCGCGUACGGAGCCGCUAACUCCCUUGUCGGUUUGCUGUUUUCCAACAGCUGCGGCGGCGACGCGGCGGCCGGGCUGGUCGGGGCGGUCGGGGAUGAUGCUAGGGUCGAGGCUGGUGUGCCGAGCUUGCGUCAGCGGGGGGCGCGAUGCACCGGCGUGAAGGUGGCCCGCGUUCGCCUACAGCACCAGGCGGCGGCAGUGGCUCCUGCGGCGACCGGCGGCCCUCGAGGUGUGGCGGGGUCGGGCGGUGGUCGCCGGACGGUCGGCGGAGACCGCCCCCGGCCUCGGGAAAUGGGCGGCAGGCUCACACACCGACCACAGAGCUUCGGCCGGGUGGUGUCCCUGGGCCGCAGGCGGCUACGGCGGCUCACGGCGGCGCAUGGCGACGGUGGGGGUCGGUCUUCGCGGUGACGGUGCCGGCGGGUGCCUGCGGUCGGGGCUCACCUCACCCGAGGCCUGGCCGACUCAGGAUGUGCUUGGUACUUCCUCGGCCAAGGUGGAGGGAGAGGGAGGAAGGUUGGGAGCUUGGGGAAGUCAUUUCCAGCGACGGCGGCGGCGGCGGCCGCGGACGGGUGCAAGCACGGCGUGGGCAGGGGCCUCCUAGCGGCUGGUGCACAGGGAGGGCUGAGGUUAGGGUUAGGGAUCAAAAACCCUAGGUACACUAUAUAUACAUAAGUGCAAAUUGCGCAGUAAGUCCUCCAAAAACUCAAAAAUUGUAACGAGUCCUCCCCAGUGCGUGUAAAACGCGAGAAUACCCCUCCACGUGCGAUCCCACGCAAAACGGUACAUAAAAUAGUUCGCAUCUUUUGCGAAAUUACCCAUUUUCCAACACCGACUCUCCUCGAUCAACGCUGCGAUCUUGCAGAUCCGUCCGUCAGAUUAUUUGUGGCGGAUCUGGCAUACUCUGGGGUCAGGCUUUUAAAAAAAAAAAAAAAAAAAAAAAAAUUCCAGACGCUUUUCCGCUAUGUUUUAAACUAAAAGGGACCCCGGGGCGUGACAAAACCCAAAGCCAAAAACAAAACCAAAAUCAUAUAAAAACAUACUAUAUAUAAAAUACAAUUUUUAUAUAUCAUUUAAAAAUUAAUUUAAUAUUUAUAUAUUAAAUAGUCAAAUUUAGAUUUACAAAAAUUAUCUUGAAAUACCUAUUAGUGUUUUUAUUAUUGAUAAGAGAUAAAGGGUAAAAUUAAUAUUUUAAAAAUUUAACUCUAUUUCAGAUGAUUUUAAUGGAUAUUAACUAGUGGAGUGCAUUUGUGAUAAUUUUUAACAUGUUGGAGAGUAUUCGUGAUAUUAUCAAUUUUAAAAAGUUAUUGAUGAAAUUAACAGUUUCUAGAAGGGCAUCAAUGAAAUUAUCCCUAUAGUUAAAGGAGUGGUGCAAGGGUAGAAAUGGUAUUUACACCUUAUUCCGUUAGAUUCUAACGGUACAUAACGUGUAGGGGUAUUUAUGAAUUUUUUUAAAAUUUAGAAGGGCAUUGAUAUUUUGAAUUUUAGAGGGCUAUUGAUGAAAUUUCAGUCUCCUAUAGUGGCAUCUAUGAAAUUUUCCCUAUAUUUUAAUUGCCCCAGUGCUCUUUGCUAAGUAUUUUUAUUAAGUUCAGGCAAGUUUUUCGUGCAUCUACUUCAUUUUAUUUUUAUUUUGCAUCGUAUUAAUUAUGAUGAUAUACAAUAAUUCUUCUAAUUUGUUAUCCCAUUCUAUCUGUGUCAUUUUAUUUUGGAAAAACUUCAAAAACCCCCCUUGUGGUUUCAAUUUUUUUCACUUUAGUACCCUGUGGUUUAAAAUGUAUCAAAUUAGUACCCUGUGGUUUCUCACUUUAUCACUUUAGUACCCUGUGGUUUAAGUUGUAUCAAAUUAGUACCCUGUGGUUUUGCACUUUAUCACUUUAGUAUCCUGUGGUUUUAAUUUUGUAUCAAGUACCCUGUAGUUUUUUAAACCAUAGGCUACUAAAGUGAUAAAGUGUGAAACCACAUGGUACUAAAGUUAUAAAGUGAAAAACUACAUGGUAUUAACUUGAUACACUUUAAACCACAGGGUAUUAAAGUGAUAAAGUGAGAAACCACAGGGUACUAACUUGAUACACUUUAAACCACAAGGUACUAAAAUAAAAAAGUGUGAAACCACAGGGGGGUUUUUGAAGUUUUUUCCUUUUAUUUUUAUUUUGCAUCUUAUAUAUGAUGAUAUAUAAUAAUUCCUGUAAUUUGUUAUCUCAUGCUAUUUUUGUUAGGGUCAUGCAUUGAGUAUGCUUUCACCUUAUAACUCCUAUAAAAUAAUGCCUAGAAUCUUUCAAGAAAAGAUCUGAUAGAUAAUAGAUUAUCAAAAAAAAAAAUUUUGUCCGAUUACCUUGAUAAAUACAACCACAAACAAAACAUAAUGCGAUAUUGGAGAAAACUAAAUUAAGUUGUACAGUUUGCUAUUAUGAUAGGCACUAUUUUCUACCACCAGAUAUGAAAUUGAGAUUGAAAAUACCAUAUGAAUAGAUAAAGUAAAAAAGUAAUGUAAAAUGUAAGGUUACACCGUGUAUAAUGCACUACAUCAGUUUAUUACAUUACAUUAAUUUUCGAUUAUUUGGGCGGGCGGUAGCUAGCAUCUUAUACACUCUGGGAUUAGCAACCUCUAAUGAUAUAGCAGCUCACUUCAAUAUAUACAUCUUCUUGAAAUGCUCCAAGCUUUCUUUAAUAUUUAGUAAAAAGUAUAGAAGCACUUAAUAUAUCUACAUACGUGUAGAUUUACCCGCCUCGUUUAAUUCAUUUCGUUUAUUUUAUUUAGAAAUAAAUUUAACUGAAAAUGUGAAUCAACUAGAAUUCGAACUUGAGACCUCAGUUAACAACCACCAAGUCCUUUGCCACUUGCUUUAGAGACGGUCAGUAUUUUUCUUAUUAAUGUUGGAAAAUUAAAUUCUACGUUAGUUAAAAAGAUUGUAAUGCAUCUGCAGCGGAGGAUGAGAAGCGCCGUUAGGGCUAAGAGGCAGAGAGAAAAUUCAGAUCCAACGAACACCGGAUGCGCCACUUGCUUUAGAGACGGUCAGUAUUUUUCUUAUUAAUGUUGGAAAAUUAAAUUCUACGUUAGUUAAAAAGAUUGUAACGCAUCUGCAGCGGAGGAUGAGAAGCGCCAUUACGGCUAAGAGGCAGAGAGAAAAUUCAGAUCCAACGGACCCCGGAUUCGCAUCCAAAGCAUGAAGCCCAUUUGGCUAGAGAACAGCCAGAAGACGACGGCUGAAAAGACUAUUAAAUCAUUAUUAUCUUUUAUAAUUUGUACUUUAUUGUUAAGAUUUUCAUACAUGAAUACUAUCUUAGCAUAUAAUAGAAGUAUAAAAGGAUUCCUAGGAUGUAAGAAGUAAACAAGUAUGAAGUAAAAAUUUAGGGUCGCAUAUAUACCAAUUAAAAUUUUUUUAUUUGAAUUAAUAUAAUUAUAAAAUUAUUCUUCUUUAAAUUAAUUAAUUUAAUAAUUAAACUAAAAAAAUUCUAUAAAAAUAUAGAUAAGUUAACUAUUGAUUAUUAAUAAAAUAUUUUAAAUUUACGAUAAGCGUAGUUUCUUAAUUACAUUCACAUAUGAUUCUAUCUUACAAAAUUUUAAAAAAUAUAAUAAUUAUAAUCAUUUAAAAUGAUACGGGAGGCUAAAUGAGAGGUACAAAGCCAGGCCCAGAUGUUAUUUUUUUAGAUAUAAUUUAAUUUUAUCUUUUAAUGUUUUUGUUCUUUGGGUGAAAUAUUCACAAGUAAUAAUACUAAUUGAUCUAAAAAUAAAAAGUCAAAAGAAUGUGAGUGGAAAUGAUACUGAGUAAAUUAACCAAUAGAAUACAUCAUGCCCGUUCUUGAAUCAGUUUAUACCAGUUAUCUUUGAAUCUAUUUGGUAUUAAGGAUUCUCUAAUGCUACUGAUCAAAAGAAGUUGAUGUGAAAGCACCUCCAAACCAGAUGAAAAAUGAAAAUUUUAUAAAGAGUGUAAAAAAAAGAAGAAGAAAGAUUCAAAGCUUUUUAUUUUUUAAUUUUUUGUUGCAAAAAAAAUAUUUUUAAUGUAAUUAAAAACUGCAAACAAAUCACUACGGGCUACACAUUCUUUCACAUGAAUUUACAACAAAAUAAUGAGCUAUAAUACCAUAUGGUUGGCUAAUAAAUUAACAAAUUUGUAAUUUUUACCUUUUUUAUUUUCUAAUAAUAGAUCAAUAUGUGUUACAUAAGGAGCAAUUUAGGCAGAGUUCAAAUAUAUACACAAUCAAUAUAACAUGCCAAUAAAUUUUGCAUCUGAUUUUUUUACUAGUACAAAUUGUCAAGCCUUUUGAAAUAUAUCCGUAAAUUUUGGUUGAUUGCACUUGUCAAACGCGUAUUCUGCAAUGUAUCUCAAAUUUCACAACUUACAACUAAAAUAUACAAUUCUAUCAAACUUUUUACAAUUAUCUCAUAAUUUAUCGAAAAUUUUUUUAGGCCUGUAAAUACAAAUAUUGUAAUGUGAGAUAAUCAAAAUAGAGAGAAUUGGUAGAGUGUUAAUUUUUUACAAAAUAAUCAUUUUCCAAGGUGAGUAAUUAUCAAAUCGAGCAUCCAAAAUACCUAGUACAAAAUAAUUUACUUCAAAACCUUAAUCGAAACAACUAGAAAUUAUAAUUAUAUAAAAAAGCACUUAAAUAAAAAUAUGCUGCCCACUGAUCUUAAUCGAUUAAUACAUUUUCAUAAUUCUAAAUUUUUAUAAUUUAGAUACUAAUAAUUUUUAACGAGUUUUGAUAUGAAUAGCUUCGACUCUUAAAAAAAAGCACAAGAUUCUAGUUUGAUUCGGAGUUGGCCAGCAAAUUGUGCAUUUCGUUUCUAACUGGCACACCCUCCGUCGUAGCUAAAAUCAAGCCAUCAAAUUUUUGGAGCUAAAACUGGGUGCACAAUUUGCAUUUAGGGGCCGUUUGGUUGGAUGUAGUUGUAAAAACAGUGUAAUUAAAAAUACAUGCAGUUGCAAAUGCUACAGUUAGUCUAUUUGGUUUUAUACAGUUGUAACUGCUGCUGCAGUUACAUUUCUUCUGUUUGGUAGGCUGCAAUUGAGAUUUGUAUUUAUAAAUGCUGUCAAAUUUUAGAUAGAAAUGUGAGAUUACCUCUUCUUAAGAUAACAUACUUAUGAGAUUAUAUAAUUAUUAAUUAAGACUUAUAUAUAUAUUAUAAAAUUAUAUAUGAAUUUAAUAAAUUUUAAAUGUAAACAUAUUAUAAAUUUGAUCGUAACAAAAAUUUUUUUAAAAAUAAAGUAAAUCAAUUACUAACAUCACAGGACUAGAGAGAGAGUAAUGAGUGUGAUGACUAUUUCUGUGUGUGAGAGAGAGAGAAAGAGAGAGACGCACCACCCUAGGACCUAUUGUGAAGCACGAGAAUUGAAGAAGCACGAGAGUUGAAUAACGGCCGCCGCAAACUCUAGGACCUAUUGUGAAUAGAUAUUUUCGGAAAAAAGAAAAUAGCAAAUGAAAAAAUUAGAGUUUAUUUUUUUUGGGUGAGCUAACUCGUGCCCAACUGCUCCAGUUGGUACUAACUGUCUACAGUAUCAACUGCAGCAAUUGGGCCCGUUCAUGUGGAUGCAACUGCUACAGUUAGGCCUAACUGCACCAAACUAAACAAAAAAGUAAUUGAUGCAUGCAUUUCCAACUGCACUGCAGUUGGAAAAGCAUGCAACCAAACUGCCUCUUAGUUUUCUGAAAACAAUAAAAUAACUAGCUUUUCAAGGGCAUUAAUUAUAUGUAAAAUGUUUUGUGACCUAUAAAUUGAAUUUUAGAGUUCAAAAAAUGCCCUAAUUAAUGGAAUCGGAUGGGCAACUUUGGUUAUCCCCAUUUUACCCCAAAUUAAAUAACCGCUGUAUGUUUAUUUCUCUUUUAUUCUUUAUUUUUUGUUUUAUCUUAAUAUAUUUUAUAAAUAUAACUAAUUUGUAUUUUAGUCCAGAAAUCAAUCUGAUACUCGAAAUUUUCAUCUUUAAAAAAAUUCUAUUAACCUUAAUAAAUUGAAAAAAGAAAAUAAAUGCAUUGAACUUCCAAAGAAGUAUUUUUUUUUAAAAAAAAAUCUUGCACAUAUAAGUUGCAAUACAAAUUGUUUUUGGAUAAUAUAUAUAAAGUGAGCAUUUUUAUUAACAUUUUAUUUAUUAAAUGUGUAGAGGUCGCCAUUAAUACGGGUGAUCAUCCCUGACAAACCCGCCAAUUGAACUAAAUUGUUGGAAAUAUAUUCGCAUUAAAUAUAAAAAAAGAAUAUUUUCAUCAAUGUGACGAUAUUAGUAUUUUUUAUAAUUUUAGUUUUCUCCAAUAUCACAUUAUGUUUUAUAAUUAUAGUAAGAUAGUUUGAUGGAAGAAAAUUUGCUUUUAGGUGAUCAGAAAUUUUAUUUUUCUUUCAUACCUCGUCAUUUUUACUUCUUCGUCAAAUUCAUUUUAUAGAUGGUACUGUAAGGUUAAACCAUAUUUUAUACAUGACACCAAUAAAUUUUGCAUGCUUCUAAUUACAAACCAGCUGCAUGAUAAACAUUUUCUUUUAAGCCAAUACAUUUAAAAUAAUCUUAAGUUUUAAUUAGUUGAAAUAGAUAUCGGUUUUGACUUGUUUUUUUUUUUAAUUCUUGUAAAAAAUGAACACUGCAUGAUCAUAAUUGCCUCCUACAUUUAAAUCAUUUAGUUCUGCAUGAAAAAAAAUGUGAUUUUCAUGAAUCCAGAGAUACUGCAUGCAUUAAACAACUAGCUGGUUUAUUAAACACGUAAUAGUGAAAUACAUUUAAACCAAUUAUUUACUCACAGUUAAAAAAAAAAGGGAAAAAAGAGAAGAGAAACUUAUUCUAUUUUUCUAGUUAGCUUAGAGAAAACUAUUGGAAGGUGCCGAAGGAAAUGCAAAGGCGUAUAAGUUACUCUAAUAGCCGUAGCACCGUAAUUUUAUAAGAUAAAGGAGAAAAUAUUAAAAUACUUUAUAUUUUUUGGACAUUACGCAAUACAAAAUUGGAUUUUUUUUUUAAAAAAAUACAUUACGAAACUAGACACUAAUGUACUAAUUUGAUUAAUUAGUGCUAGCUCAAAUUUAUUGAUUAUAAUAAUCAAGUUUAAGUUCAUCUUGCAAGAGAUCAUCAUAAGGUGCACACUAUAUUUUUUAUGUUUGAUCACUCCCUAAGUAUGGUUUCACAUCAAAAUCAAGCUAUAAAAUGAUUACAUUAAUACUUUCACUCAAUCACUUGAAUACUAAUAAUUUUCACCUAAACAAUUAAUUAUAAGUUGUAUGUGAUAUUAAAAAAAAUACUAAAUUAUAAUUAUGAUCAUCAAAUAAUUAAUAGACAAAUAAAUAGAGAGAAUAUCACUAUAACAGAAUUAGGGGAUUGAGCUCCUAUACUUGUAAAAGUACCAAGUCAUUGGUACUUGUAAGUUUUUAGCCAUUGAAAUUAAAAGAUUGCGAUCAGGAUGACAGUAGUCCCCUAGUAUUGAGUGGGUAGUUGGUUAAAUAGUAUGACCUAACGGGUAGAAAUGAUCAAAGAAGUAAAUCUAAUGGUGAAAAACUUACAAACACCAACUGCUUGGUGCUUUUACAAGCACCAUAACCGGACUCCAGAAUUAGAUUAUAGGCACACAUUUUUAGGACAUUUAUAUAAGCGUCUCAUUUAUGUCAAAAUUUUUUUUAAAAAUCUUCUAAGACUUAAAUAUAAAGCUCAAUCCAAUCAAACAUAAAAAAUUUCUCUACUCAACCAACCACACCCAGUCCAAUCGGCCCGCCAUUCGGCCUGAUUACCAUAAAAAAAAAAAUGAUCACCAUCUUUCCUUAUCCUCCUUUACCUUCGUAACCGACUAGGUAGGGUUCCGGUAGCUAGAGUUCAGCCGCAAGGAUCUCAUAGGGACCAUAGAGGGCUACGAUCGUCACAUAUCCCUCCACCACAGGUCGCUGAAGAAGUGAGUGCCAAAUAUCAAGGCGACCCUAUCUAUAGCGACCCCACAUAUAGCAAUAUUUUUAAAAAGUGUUGCUAAUUUAGCCAGCAGUAUUUUUUUUAAUCUGUACCGAUAUUUAAAAGUGUAACUAUAUACUAUUUUUGUUGUAGUGUUAUAUGGGCAAUGAUAAAUUUUUAAAGUACAUAUUAUUAUUCUAGUAUUGUCUUCUUUUUUUUUUGUAACCUUUCAUUAUUUAUUUUUCAACCAUUAAGAUUUCUGUUUUUGACAAAUUAUAAUAGAAAUUUUGUAGGGUGUUACCAUACAAAGAGUACAUACGUCAAAACAUGAUAGAAUGUUACGCUACAAGGCUAAUGGUGAAAGAAAAAUAUGGGAUAAAUGGCCCGACAAUAUCAUAUACUCGAAAGGUAGGAUUGAAAAUGUGAGUAUUUUGCAACUUAGUAUUUUUACUACCCCUCGAACAUCUUUAAUUGGGGUUAAUUUUGCAUAAUGAGUUCAUGGCAAUAAUGGUGCUAUUCAAAUUUUUAUUGCAAAUAGUCAGCGGUAAUUAACGAAAGCGUGAUGAAAAAUAAUCAGCUUCUCCCAUGGUGAAUUAAACCGUGGGUAAAGAUUUUUUUUUUUUGAGAGAAGGUAGCAUGUUACCGCUUCAUUCAUUUAGAGAGUGAACUCAGCUACAGGAUGAGACUGUUAAGAAUAUGCCUUCUUUUGAACCUGGGUUGAGUCAAAUUAAUUAACCCAUUAAGUUGGUUCAUAAAAUAUAUCAAUUGGUUUUGAAAUUGAUUCUCAUUGGCGAAAGAUACGUGCUUAUCUGUAUAAGAUUGAACUAUAUCUUUACCUCGGAAGGAUAAAGAUAUAUUAGGAUCGCACGUAUUAGAAGCAUAGUCGGUUUAUGCUUCUCAAGCCGAGUCCAAUUGAUUGCGGUUGACUUCUUGACCGGGCUAAUGCAUUAUAUAUAUGCAUGCGUUGUGAACCGUAUUGUGUGGCCAAAAUUAAUUAAGUCUUGAGGGCCAUACGACAGCAAGAAAAAGGGAGGCUAAUUAAUUAAGUUCUUGAAGCCUACGGAAGUGCUUCAAGGUGUGCGGCUUCCGCAUGCAUGCAACGUCGGAUUGUUGUUGGCGGCGGAGCGGCGGUUCUCAACCAAUUGCCUGAGCGGUUCGGAUUCUUCGAAGCAACGGCAUAAAGGAAUUUGGUUAGAGUUUCUAUACUUCUCUAAUUUGGUCUUCUCGGUUUUACGAAAAGCUUUUUCGGUAUUUUUCUUGGAGUUUUCGUUGGAACAAGAAAUGUGGGAUUCACCAUAAGGUUCUUGGUUUUUUAUCCGGAGAAGACAUAAGGUAUAAGCUUGUACUUCUAUUUCUUCAUAUAGUGGAAUACAUCUCUCUCGCUCUCCCCGUGGACGUAGGCAAUUGCCGAACCACGUAAAUCUUGGUUUCUUCUUUCUGCAUUUAUUUCUUUUACCGUUCGGUCGAUUUUCUCUAUUUUUCGUGCAUCUUUGUUGGUAGCACAUGACGGACGAUCCAUCCGGUUCCCAACAAGUGGUAUCAGAGCGUAAGGUUCGUGCUACAUCAGAGAUGUCGAAAGUCUCGUCUUCUAAGUUUGAGGUGGAGAAAUUUGACGGUAAAGGAAACUUCGGUCUCUGGCAGAGAAGAGUGAAAGCCCUUCUGGUUCAACAGGGCCUUCAUAAGGCGUUGCUCGGAAAAUCGAAAAAGCCGACAUCGAUGAGCGACGAAGAUUGGGAGGAUAUUGAUCUGCGGGCGGUGAAUACAAUUAUAUUGUGUCUAGCAGAUGAGGUGAUGUAUAACGUAAUGGAUGAAGAAACUACAGUCGGCAUGUGGAACAAGCUAGAGAAGCUGUACAUGACCAAAAGCCUCUCGAACGUGCUGUACCUAAAGCAAAAAUUAUAUGGGCUACGCAUGAAGGAAGGUACGGCAAUAACGGAACACUUGAACACCUUUAAUAAAAUUAUUGCGGAUUUGCUCAGCAUUAAUGUCAAGGUUGACGAGGACGAUAAGGCGUUGAUUUUUCUUACAUCACUUCCGUCGUCCUACAAUCACUUGGUGACCACCAUACUGUACGGGAAGCAAACUCUAAAGAUGGAAGAUGUUACAUCGACACUUUUAUCUGAAGAGAUCAGGUUGCAGGCGAGUACCGAAGAAAGCAGUGCAGGUUUGGUCGUAAAUGAUACAAGUGGAGGAAGGGGACGAUCAAGAGAACGUGAUGCAGGUAAAGGAAGAUCCCGUUCCAAGUCAAAAUCGAAAAAGGUGAAGUGUUACUUCUGUAAGAAAGAGGGCCACAUGAAAAAGAACUGCGAAAAGAGGAAGGCUUGGCUGCGAAAUCAGAAUUCCUCUGCAGAUACGGCGAGCGUAGCCAGUGAUUCCGGUCAGGACGUCUUGACGGUUACAACAGAUUCUGACUCUCACGGUGACUGGAUAUUAGAUUCUGGUUGUUCUUAUCACAUGUCUCCAAACAGGUCUUUAUUUGAUACUUAUAAGUCUUGUGAAGGCAGUAGUGUUAUGAUGGGUAAUCGCACUAGCUGCAAGAUGGUCGGUAUCGGAACAGUAAAAAUAAAGAUGUUUGAUGGUGUGGUGAGGACGUUAACGGAUGUGAGACACAUUCCGGAUCUCAGGUUAAAUCUUAUAUCACUUGGUACUCUUGACUCUACUGGCUGUUCUAUUAGCAUUUCAGGUGGAGUCGUCAAGGUUAAAAAGGGUGCCAUGGUCGUCAUGAAGGGAGAGAAGAAAGGGAAUCUGUACAGGCUGAUCGGCGAGUCGGUGAUUGGAGGCGUUGCGGUAACAUCCUCAGAAGAUCAUGAUGCUGAUGAUACGGAGCUCUGGCACAUGAGACUAGCCCACAUGAGUGAAAGAGGGAUGUUGGAACUGCAUAAAAGGGGAGUACUCAAAGGUAUUAAAUCCUGUAAACUUAAUUUCUGCAAAUUUUGUUUAUUUGGAAAACAGAAAAGGUUGAGUUUCAGGACCUCCAGUCAUAAAAGUAAAAGUAUACUUGAGUAUAUCCAUGCGGACGUGUGGGGACCGGCUCCGGUGACUUCGAAAGGUGGUGCGCGAUAUUUUAUUACAUUUAUCGAUGAUUUCUCCCGUAAGGUUUGGGUAUUCUUCAUGAAGGAAAAGUCUGAGGCAUUUAUAAAGUUCAGACAUUGGAAGAAUGAGGUGGAGAAACAAACUGGGAAGCAGGUCAAGGUUCUUCGAACGGACAAUGGUGGAGAGUUCACUUCUCGGGAGUUUAAGAAAUUCUGCAAGGAUGAAGGUAUUGUACGUCAUUACACGGUUCCAGGUACUGCACAGCAGAAUGGGGUAGCAGAAAGGAUGAACCGGACAUUGCUAGAACGUGCCAGAUCCAUGAGGUUAUGUGCAGAUUUGCCAAAGGAGUUCUGGGCUGAAGCAGUAGAUAUGGCGUGCUAUAUUAUUAAUCGAUCUCCCGCCACAGCAAUCGAACUCAAAACACCGGAGGAAGUAUGGACAGGUAAACUUGCAGAUUAUUCCUCCUUACGGGUCUUUGGUUGUCCUGCUUAUGUCCAUAUCCAGGAAAAUCAGCGCACAAAAUUAGAUUCGAAGUCAAAGCCCUGCAUAUUUCUUGGGUACGAUAUGGGUGUUAAAGGAUACAAGCUGUGGGACCCUAUCGCCAAGAAGAAGGUGAUUAGCAGGGACGUAGUUUUUGACGAAAAAGCUAUGCCGCGUAAGGAUCAUCAGGAGGCUCAACGUGAAGAACAGUCAAAAACUACGCAGAUCCAGGUGGAGCGGCAAGAGGGUGUAGAUGAUCAGGUGGAGCAGCCCCACUAUCAGGAUGAUCAUGGUACACAAAGCGAUCCGAUUGAAAGCACUUCGGAGGAGCCCUACUCUAUCGCUAAAGGAAGGGAAAGGAGACAGAUUCGUCCACCUUUACGGUACAGGUUGGAGGAUAUAGUAUCUUAUGCCUUAUUAAUUACAUCAGAUGAUCCCACUUCCUAUCAGGAGGCGAUGCAGGACAGAGAUAGUGGCAGAUGGAUGGCGGCUAUGACAGAAGAGAUGGAGUCUCUACAGAAGAAUCAGACAUGGGAUCUGAUUCCAUUACCGGAAGGGAAGAGAUCUAUCGGUUGCAAGUGGAUCUACAAAAAGAAGCAGGGUGCAGAUGGAGAACCAGAAAAAUUCAAGGCGCGGUUAGUAGCCAAGGGCUAUGCGCAAGUAAAGGGAGUUGAUUUCAAUGAGAUUUUCUCACCGGUGGUAAAACAUGCGUCAAUCAGGAUGCUUCUAGCGAUGGUGGCUAUGUUUGAUUUAGAGCUUCAGCAGCUUGACGUUCGAACCGCAUUUCUUCAUGGGGAUCUAGUAGAAGAAAUUUAUAUGGAACAACCUCAAGGUUUUGUUCAGCCGGGGAAGGAGAAUCUGGUGUGCAAACUGAAAAGAUCUCUCUACGGGUUGAAGCAGGCACCGAGGCAGUGGUAUAAGCGGUUUGACGGGUUUAUGAUCGAGCAUGGUUAUAGCAGAAGUUUAUAUGACAGUUGUGUCUACUAUCGGAGGCUUGAAGAUGGUUCGUUUAUUCUGCUUAUGCUAUAUGUAGACGAUAUGCUUAUAGCGGCUAAGAAUCCGAAUGAAGUGCAACAAUUAAAGGAUCAGUUGAGCCGAGAAUUUGACAUGAAGGACCUAGGAGGUGCUAGAAAAAUCCUAGGUAUGGAGAUCAGACGCGACCGCAUACAGGGUAAGUUAUGGUUAUCGCAGAAGACAUAUAUACGAGCUAUUAUAAAGCAAUUUAAUAUGUCAGAGGCGAAGGCGGUCAAGACUCCAUUAGCCCAACACUUCAAACUUUCUGAGGAGAUGUGUCCCAAGACGGAUGAGGAGAUUACUUCUAUGUCAAAGAUACCAUAUGCUAGUGCAGUCGGUUGCCUGAUGUAUGCUAUGAUCUGCACUAGGCCUGAUCUUUCACAUGCAGUUAGUGUUGUCAGUCGGUAUAUGUCGAAUCCAGGAAAACAACACUGGGAGGCCGUGAAGUGGAUUUUGCGGUAUCUGAAGGGCACAUCAGAUAAAGGUAUUCUCUACUCGAAAGAUUCUGGUAAUGAUGAAGUGAAGGGGUUUGUAGAUUCCGACUAUGCGGGUGAUUUGGACAAGCGUAGGUCUAUUACAGGUUACGUCUUUCUGCUGGGCGGCGGACCUAUCAGUUGGAAAUCUACGUUGCAGCGCACUGUAGCCUUGUCAACUACAGAAGCGGAGUAUAUGGCGGCAAUUGAAGCAGCUAAGGAAGCAGUCUGGCUUAGAGGCUUGGUUGGUGAACUCGGGAUCAUGCAAGAAAAAAUGAUUAUCGGUUGUGAUAGUCAGAGUGCUAUAUGUCUCGCCAGGAAUCCAGUUUACCAUGGGAGGACAAAGCACAUAGAAAUCAAGUAUCACAAAUUACGGGAGCUCACUAAUGAGGAUGAUGGAGAAAUUCAGCUUAUAAAGGUUUCCACAAAGGAUAAUGUAGCUGACAUCAUGACAAAGCCGGUAACAGCGGAUAAGUUUAGACACUGUCUAAACUUGGCUAAUUUGCAUGACUGCUAAUGACUGGAUGCCUCAGGGAGAGGGGGCGAUAAGAUGAGAGAGAGUAAUGAAGUAAAAAAGAAGUCAAGGUGGAGAAUGUUAAAGAUAUGCCUUCUUUUUUAUUGGUUUGGUUCAUACACCGGAUUUAUGGAAAAAUAAAAAAGAUCUCAUAAGGAUUUAUUUUAGUGGAUCCUAAUUUAAAUUGGAAUCCUAGGUGGACUAGGAUUGGUUUUCAUAUAAUACUCUAUAUUCAAUAAUCAUAUUGAAUUAGAGUAGGAUUGAGCCAAAUCCCUCUCUAUAUAUACAUGCAUAUGCAUGUACGGCAAGGGUGUCGAGUGGUGGCCAAAAUUAAUUAGAGAAGCUAAUUAAUUAAAGGUGUCCGGCUCUAAUAGAGGGAUGUACGGCUUCGUGGGUGCAUGGUGUGGAGGCCCAAUUAAUUAGCAUUCGGUGCCUAGCUAAUUAAUUAAAGGUGCCCCGUCCGUACGGUUAAAGAAGAGAAGUUUGCUCGCAUGCGACGGAUUGAGGUCGGCGGCGGAGCGGCGGCUCUUGACCAAUUGUCUGAGCGGUUCGGAUUCUUCGAAGCAACGACAUAAAGGAAUUUAGUUAGAGUUUCUAUACUUCUCUAAUUUGGUCUUCUCGGUUUUACGAAAAGCUUUUUCGGUAUUUUCUUGGAGUUUUCGUUGGAACAAGAAAGGUGGGAUUCACCAUAAGGUUCUUGGUUUUUUAUCCGGAGAAGACAUAAGGUGUAAGCUUGUACUUCUAUUUCUUCAUAUAGUGGAAUACAUCUCUCUCGCUCUCCCCGUGGACGUAGGCAAUUGCCGAACCACGUAAAUCUUGGUUUCUUCUUUCUGCAUUUAUUUCUUUUACCGUUCGGUCGAUUUUCUCUAUUUUUCGUGCAUCUUUGUUGGUAGCACAUGACGGACGAACCACGUAAAGAUUUUUUUUUUUUUGAGAGAAGGUAGCAUGUUACCGCUUCAUUCAUUUAGAGAGUGAACUCAGCUACAGGAUGAGACAACCAGGUCUCGAAUGGACAUGUAAAAAAAAAAAAAAAAAAUAGUUAAUACAGAACUGCUCCCAGUGCUCUCUGAGAGAUCUGAUCUUGGCUAGUAGAAACUGCGGUGUGUGUUUCUCUUCCUUAAAGAUACGAUUAUUUCUUUCCAGCCAGACUACCCACCACGUGGUGAUAAUAGUUGUCACCUCCUUCCGUCCUAGCGCGCCGCCUUUAAGUUUGCUAUCUUCCCAAAUUUGGUUGAUAUUUAGACAGUGAGAUAUAACCUGUUUAUUUGGGAGCAGAUUCGCCAGCAAAGCUUUCGAACUUUGGCAACCUGCAAAAAGGUGAUCCGCAGUCGCUGUUGAAGUCGAGCAGAAAACACAGCAUUCUUCACCACUCCACUCUCUCCUCAGUAGGUUGUCCACUAUUGGUAGUUUUCUUUUCAAGGCUAGCCAUACAAAGAUCUUAACUUUUAGUAGGGCAUGACUACUCCAGAGUUGCUUAAAUUGCCGGACACGUAUUCUGCCGUUCUGUAAGAACUUAUACUGCGACCAGGCGCCUUAUCACUCCCUAACUGAAAGGUGGCUUUCUUGAUCUCAUCCAAAGAAAAAGGGCAGGUUAGGCAAUCAUUGCUUAAUACUGCAUUGUGAUUAAAAAGACCGCUCUAGUCUCCCAUUGUCUCAUUGCUACUACCCCUCGGCGCAAAAACCUGUUUGAAUUUGGAAUAGAAAUAUUCCAUUUUCUCCUCCUCCCUGUGCAUAAUCUUGCCAUCGUCUUCAACUACACUUAUGGUAUUUUCUCGUCUCCUGCCGUUAGCCCAUGCAUGAAAGAAUUUCGUGUUGCCGUCUCCUUCCUUUAACCAGUUUUGCUUGGCGCGUGUUCUCCACAUAGUCUCCUCAUCUGCCACGAUCUCCAACAUCUGUUUUUUAAGUAAACGCUUCUCGGUCUGUUGAGGACUUAAGCCUUGACCUUCUUCCUAUUUAUCCAAAUGUUGUAUCUCUUGGGAAAUAGCAUCCUUUGUUUUCGAGAUACUAUAAUAUCUCGUGGAACACCAUUCUUUAAUUCUCUUGCGGCAGUGUCUAACCUUGGCCACAAGAGUAAGAAUGUUAGUGGCUUUGUUCGGUAUCUCCAACCACCAAGUGGGAAUUAACUUACAAAAAUCAUCCCGGGCCAGCCAAACUGUUUCGAAUCUGAAUAUACCCCUAUUCAGCUUAAUUAUCACUAGUGGAGAGCAUGAUCGGAGUGUGAUCAGAAGUGAUUCUCGGGAUAGCCAUCACUUUGGUCAACGGGAAGCUUUGAUCCCAUUAUGUAGAAAUUAGGUAGCGAUCUAGCUUAGCUAGAGUAGGGCAUCUUUGCAUAUUAGACCACGUGUACAUUUGAUUACCCAUAGGUAAAUCAAUCAUCUGUAAGUCAUUUAAGAGGUCCGAGAACAUGGACAUUAGUCGUCUGCUCCAGCUUCUACCUCUCCUCUCCUGUUGAUUUCGAGUAAGGUUGAAAUCCCCACACAUCACCCACAAACCAUUGCAAUCGCCUUUUAGUGCCGCCAAUUCCGCACAGAACUCCUCCUUUCCUUCCCACGUAGGUGGACCGUAAACGUUCGUAACAUAGAAUUGUACACCGCUAUCGUAGUGUUUAAGCCUAACGGUAAGAGAAAAUUUGCGCACCACUACUUCGCUACAGGAAAAGACUUUCGAGUUCCAGCAGGUGAUAAUUCCUCCCGCCGUUCUAUCGUCUUUGAGGAACUGACAUUUAUCCAAAAAAGACCCAGCAAACGAUCGAAGAAAAGAGCACGAGACAUCUUGAACUUUCGAUUCUUGAACACAUAAGAUAGACGUUUUAAACUUGGAAACCACAGACUUAAACCAGACAUCUUUUACUCGGAUCGUUAAGACCCCUAACAUUCCAACUACAUACGCACCUCACGUAGAGUUACUCACAAACUCCUUAAAGCAACGCGCCUCAUCAUCGCUAAGAAUAAUCCCGCAUUUGGCGCUUUUCUUUUUUAUCUUAUUAAGAUCUGCAGCACAAAGCCCAAUAAUCUCGGCAUUUUGACCUUUCUCCUUGCACCUGGUACUCAUGUGUACUCCCUCCCUCAGGAUAGCUUUACGGGCUUGUGCUCUUUCCAUCGAAUCCCUAUUCUGAUGCUUAGCUUGACGACAGCUUUUCCUGGGUGUCUGGUUUGCAGAUCCAUUCGGCCUCCUCACAACACCGUGGGUGGAUAUCUGACUGCCUUCGGCGUGUGUGAAAUUCUCUUGGUAUGCUACGAGAGUCGUACUUCCUGUAUCCCCUAUAGUGUCCGCUAAACCCUCGAUCAUGUGGACGUCCACCGCCUUCCCCCCGCGGCGCGUACCGAAACCUUCGCUCAGGUGUCCCACGUCGGCACCAAGCUCCGGACCGGGUCGGGCCACCUCACUAAGAUAAGAUAAAGCUUUGGGUAGGAAUAAGGAUGAAUUCAUCACUAAAAUAACGGAAGGCCCACCACUGCUACCCACCACUUGGGCCUGUGGAGAAGUUCCCAACUUCACGGGGCCCAUAACGAUAACAUUCGGGCCUCUAAAAUUGUGUGGCCCAAAUCCCACCAACAGAAUAAGGAUCUUGUUCCCGCAGCUAGGCCAGAUGUGAAAAGGUAAGGUGGUCCCCACACCCCUAGAGGGCUUUACCGCGUCGAGGAGCAUGCCAUCAACCCCCUUUGUCUUCUUGAGGAACCACCUCUCACACGACUUUCCACCUGACAUCUCGUCGCGAAUCUCCACAUUGUCGCCGCCUGCAACAGCACCAUAUAUUACCUCAUUUUCUACCUCCCCUCUUCCCAAAGUCACUAUCCUGACUCCCCCAUCACCAUUCCUCCUAGGAAGGUCCCUUCUCCCACCUUCGUUUGAAAUUUUGCCGAAUCGAGCACCGUCCGGUUUUUCGAGGCGAGGUUCGGACCAUCGGAUCUGGCUUGAAGUUACCCGGGCCAAGCUUUGACCGGCGACCUGUGUGACUUCCGUCCAUCCAGCGGGUAAAACUGUGUCCCCUCCCACACCUUCUGACCUUGCCGGAGCUUCGCCGGAGAAUCCAGAGAGUCGGUCAUCUCUAGGUAGUCCAAUGGAACUGUUGCGCCAUCUGUCUCGCAACUCCGACGAGUUCCAAGAGUCGUCUUCUCCGUUCGCUUCGCCUUCCGUCGAGUCGUUGGCUCGUAAGUUUCCACCUUGUGGGUUAGCUCUUCUCGCAAUGUUCCGCCCGAGGGGGUCCGUCUGCUCCCCUCCUUCAUUCGGAUCACCUCCGACGAAGGGGAUGCCGCUAUCAUCACCCCCAAAUGGCGCAAAUCUUUCCAGCACCACAGCAACCGAUACAGUGAUAUCGCCUAAAAUAAUUGCCAAAUUCUCUGGGAUAUCCGCCAAAUCCUCAACAGCAAUCUGACAUCGAAAGCCGGUGAGGUCGAGCAUAUUGCGACUCUCUUCUUCCGCUCGGAUAUAUCUACCGAAGCUACCAACAGUUGCUGCCACUCUGUCUUCCGACCAGCACUCGAAUGGCAGAUUAACAAGCUUGAUCCACGCUUUAUAGAAAAUCAGGGAGUGCCUUGCACCGACGUAAGGAUUCCAUUCAUAACAGCGCAAUCGGCAAUGUUGGAGACGGAUAGUCUCCCUGCGAUAAAGUGUGUCCGGCUGCACCCACUGCGGUAGGAAAAUCACAUAGUCUCUCUCUCGAUGACGCGCCACGUGAAAAUCUUCAGAGAGUCCUCCGAAACGAUUGGCAAGAUCGGUCGCAAUCAUUUCUUGCAGACAGUGACCCAAUCUAGCUUGCCCCACUACCUUCGCUAGGAUAGCAUUCCGACAAAUUUGUUGUCGGGAAUGAUAUGCUUCAGUUAGUGGAACAAAAAGCUUCCUCGACACCGGGCGAAAGCCGUAGGCCCUCUGCAUCCUCCCCCGCCACAGAUCUCCCCUGUUCCGGCAAUAACGAGCGGUAUGACCGAGUCGGAGGCACACCGAGCACCGCAGCGGAUCUCUACAGUCGUGAUCUUGGUGAUCUCGAGCGAGACAUCUAAAACACCUCCCCGCCAAGUUGUAGCGGCGAAGAGGAAGAGUCUUCGCAUACCUGGAACGUGUGGAGAUAGUUGGUCUACUGAUCCGUGGGGGAGGUCCCAGGAGGGCCUCUUUAUACGACCUUUGCUUAGGUACCUCCUUCUCAACAAGGAGUACUGGGACACUCCCCUGAGUAGUAGUGCAGACACCUCUUAAACCCUUAUGCACCCUUGAGCCUCGAUGAGCAGGGGUACUUGCAUCAGCGCGGAUAAGACAGGAGGUUAAGGAGUCUUCUCUUUGAUCUGCCCAGGAGACCUUGAUAUUUGUCUUCUUCCCCUUGUCGCUGGUCCUGUCGUAGUUUGCUCCAGAUAUGCUGCCAUGUAGGAGAGAAUCUCGUUGCUUCCCCUUCUCAGACUUUUCCUUCAACUUUUGGAACCUUAAAUCCAACUGAUAAUCAAGUUCACAUGGCAGUGAUCUGUCCACCUCCGGGCGGCUCCGGUCUUUGAUGUUGACCUUCUAAGUUACAGGUCUAACAAGAUUGUGAACGCUUGGCGUAGGAGGGAUGGGUGGUUGUCCUGUCUGCCUCUUGACCGACCACCUGAUCGAUCUCUUGAUAUGCACCUGAUCGUUCGUCGAGGUACACCGCCGCUGUGGUGGUUAGAUCAACCGCCGUCGUUCAGGCACUGUAUAAGCUCUCACCCUGCUACAUCCGAAUUUCUGAUCGUCCCCCGCUUCUCCGGCACCGUUCGCGUUGAUCCCACACCUCCCCGCUCCCUUCUGGGACCGCUCAGUGGGGAUGAACACCGGAGGAUACUCCAUUUCUCUCGGUAAAGAUCUUUAGUGGCGGAGAUCUGGCAAUAACAGUUUUACCGACUGGUAAAUAAAUAUCGGAAAACAAAAAUUGAUAGCAGCUUUAGAGGUUUUUACCAACGAUUUUAACGCUUCUAUUUUCUUGUAAAGUAUAUCAAGUCUUUAGCCAAUUUCACUAGAUAUGGUCGGUUAGUAACUCAUGUUUUUAAUUUGUCAGUCAGCAUUCUAUUGAAUUUCAGUUUUCACUCUAGUUGUUCAUAAUAUUAAUUAUAAUUUACUUGAUCAAAACUAUUCCUUCAACCUUGCAUUAGAAGCUCAUACAAUGGAUAGAGGUAGCAGCAGAAGAAGAAUCGCAAGUUGCCAUGGUUGAAGUUCGACCAGGACGAGUAAAUUAGGGUGAGUUACGUUAGAUGAAGAUAAUAUUGAACGCAUAUUCGCACUGCAGAAGACAAUGUGAAGGUGAGUCUAAAACAGUAGGCCCACUGCUAUAAAAUAUAUGGGCAGCAUCAAUCAGAUGCUGAUACGUGUCGAGGAUUCUUAGUCGCUGGAGAGAAAGGUAAACCGAUUUUUUGUUUUUUCAUUUACCAAGAAAUUCAAGAGCUUGAGAGAUCUAGAAAGAGCGUAAGUAGCUUUAGCAUUCAGUAAUUUCUGAUAGUUUAAUUUCGAGGGUAGGUUAAGUAGUUAGGUAAAUUUAGUUUUUCUCUUUCGGCAAGUUUUUCAGAGGUUUCGGUCAUAAAUAAGAUUUUUUACUGAAAUUAGAGUCUCCCAUGGCUCAUCUGUUAGGAUUUUCAUAAAUAUGACCCAAUUAAUCAUAUUCAAAUUUGAAUUUACUAUAAAUAAAAGUCAAUUCUAAUAUAUAUAGAACUGCUUGAUAUGCUUUUAUUUAAAUUAAAUAGAAUCCUAAUCAAACUUUAAUGGGAAGUUGAUCUGGAUUUUAUAUAAAAGGGUGUUAGUCCUGCCACCUUUUUAUUUGCAAUCUGGUAAAAAUUAUUAUUGGUUCCACACCAUACGGGAGAUUGUUUGAGUAAGAAGGAGAAAUCAAAUUUUCCAAAUUCGAUUAUUAACGUUUAGAUUAUAACUGAAUUUCUCGCUUCCGCAGAUUGAAAAAGAAUUUUUUUUCUAUGGCGCUCCGUGAGUUAUUAUAAUUUUAUUCAUGAUCCUAAGUUUUGAUAUGUAUUUAUUUUUAUUGAUGUUUUAUAUGUCGAUAAAGAUUUAUCAAUUGUUAUCCGAACCAUUAAUGAUACAUUAUAUAUUACAUGCAAAAUUUUUUCUUAGAGCAUUGGACUAGUGCACGGAUAUAAUUUGGGUGCAUUGAAUUGUAAACAUUAUUUUAUAAAAUUACUGUUUCAUCAUCUUCUUCUUCCUUUAGAACACCUUACAAAAUAAUAAUAAUAAUAAUAAUAAUAAUAAUAAUAAUAGAGAAGUGUUGCAUAGGGUUAGUAAUAUUUUAAUCCAAAGGCUCGCUUUAAAGUUCUCGUCAUGAAUUAUAACUAUAUAAAACGGGCGUAGCGAGUUGCAACAACCUUUGCCAUCGGACCGACAGUCUCAAGAGCACGGAUAUAAUUUGGGUGCAUUGAAUUGUAAACAUUAUUUUAUAAAAUUACUGUUUCAUCAUCUUCUUCUUCCUUUAGAACACCUUACAAAAUAAUAAUAAUAAUAAUAAUAAUAAUAAUAAUAAUAGAGAAGUGUUGCAUAGGGUUAGUAAUAUUUUAAUCCAAAGGCUUGCUUUAAAGUUCUCGUCAUGAAUUAUAACUACAUGAAGCGGGCGUAGCGAGCUGCAACAAUCUUUGCCAUUGGACCGACAGUCUCAAGAGCAAGUGGCAAAGGAUUUAAUGGUUGGUAUUCAAAGUCCCAAGUUCGAAUCCUAAUUGAUUCACAUUUUCAGUUAAGUUUAUUUCUAAAUAAAAUAAAUAAAACGGUUAGCGUGCUACCUAGCUAUCGAUCUCUCUCAAAAAAAAAAAAAAAAAAAAACUUUGCCGUUGGCGUCUCGGCGACUUUUGGUCGCAUGGAAGUUCGGUCGGAACGACAAUCCGACUUUAUGCUGCAUGUAGUUGCGAGAUUCCGCUAAGGACGGUCGUCGGAUUUCAAUUAGCGCGAUGGUGCACGGUGCUUGGCCUAUUUGAGGGCAGCCGCAUCUUUUUGUUUAAUUGAAAUUCUAAUUAAAGAAAGGCCAGGAAGAAGAUGAAUAGGAUACUUUAUUGUGUUGCUUUUCCCCAAAAUUCAAAGUUCGGCUUGUGUUUUCAAAUAGCCGAAUUGAUCCGGUCCCCAAAAUUCAAAGUUCGGCUUGUGUUUUCAAAUAUUGUAAUUUUCUUUUCAUUCAAUAAGGUUCAAAGCUCUCUUUGGUUUGGUAAUUUAAACUUAGCCGAGCAAUUAUAUUCGACCAAACAAUCAUGCAAUUAGAUCGUGAAGAGCAUACCAGUUUCGUUGCUAGUCACGAAUUAAAUAUGGCUUCACAUUAGUCUGCUUGCUAUAAGAAAGAUAACAAAUGACUCAUCUAUGAAAGUUAUUCUAUAUCUAUAAAAUUAUAGAACAUCUCGCGAUAUUGGAGAAAACUAAGAUAUUGGAGAAAACUAAAUUAUUAUUAUGAGAAAUGCUUUAAAAUCACGGGAAUUCAAUGUUAUUUAUAAUAACUCAUUUUGUGUUUAUCCAAUCCAAUCGCUGCUUUCUAUCAUGACAUUUCUAAAUUAAGUUGUUAAUUUCAAGUAAGUUUAACAAACUUGAUUAACAUAAUUUUACUACACUUCUAAUAGUUACUUGAUUAAUGAAAAAGAAUAAACAAAACCACUUUUGAAUACUUAAGCUUAGUUGAUUAGAUUUUUACCAAAUUAGUAGUCCUCUGCGACAAUUAGUUGUAAUUUUUGCAAGUUUAUUAUAUCGACUAUUUUAUUUCCUUUUCGUACGCAUUCCUCUCUGCAAAUUGUUUCAAUAUAUUUUUGUUUGAGGAAACGGAAGUAUACUCUAUUUGUGUAAUCAUUACAAUUGUCAUAGUCUAGUGGCUGUGUCCAAAAACCCAAAAAAACCAAAAAAAGCUAUGGCUAAGAGCAACAUAACAGUAGAGAACCAAACUAAACAAAACUAAGAGAGUUUAGAAGGGCUAAAGAAUUAAGCUCCAAUCACAGAUAUCCAAAGUUUCACCGUACUGAUGAUUCUUCUUCCAGUCUCUUUUCUUUGGAUUAGGCGAUUGUUGAAGAUACACAUAUUUCGUUGUUUUCAUAAUUCCCAACACGCCGCUGUAAAGCAAAGAUCGAAGAUUCUCUUUAAUUGUCCCUUUAACGAUUGCCUUGCUCGAUUCCACCGGGUUGGUAAGGUUCCUGUGAAUUCAGUCAUCAAUUUUUGAGUAGUCGGAAUAGCUUGUAGGAGGUACUUAAUUAUUUCAUAGUUUUUAAUGUCUCAAGCAAGUCACUCGAACGGUAAAAAAUUGUUUGGAUAAGAUGAGGAAUUGAAACUUCAUAUUUUUCUCUAGUUUAAUAUAAUAUUAAAAUUAAUAUAUGUGAAUGCACGUUCUUAAAACUUCAAUUUUUUCAGCUUCUCCUUCGUAAGAGGAAGGAGAUUUCACAGUUUUUAAUAUCCCAAUCAAGUCACUAACCAAAAAAAAUUGAAAAUGGAACAAUCAAAAUUUAUUUGGAUAAGAUGAGAAAUUGAAAUUUCAUAUUUUUUCCAGUUUAAUUAUAUUAAAAUUAAUGUAUGUGAAUGCUUAUUGGAAGAAAUUGUCGCGUCCGUAAAACUAGAGAUUUUACAACGAACUAUCAAAAUCUAGAAAACUUUUAUGAGAAUAAGACAAGGACUUUUGAUAGAUCAGAAUUUGAAACCCUUCUAUAAAUUAGAACAGUGAUAUAUUGUUAAGCAAUAAUGAUCUUCGUGAAUUAGAGUCUAGCUAGUUAAGAUUUAUUUUACCUGUAAUUGAAUCAAAUAAAUAUAGAGUCGAAUUCUAUAUUAAUUUAAAAUUGGUAAUUUUACAAUGGAGUGGUCGUAAUUAAUUGCAGUUGCUAUUUUACUUCUUCAAUAAAGUGUUUUAGUUUUGCUUACAUAAGAAUAUCCUAGAAUUAUUAUUCUCUUUUAAAAUAUAUUUUUUACGUGUGAUACGGUACUUAUUAGAGAACAGCCGCAGUAACUAAUGGCAGAAUAAUUAUUACAGUUAAUGAUUAAUAUCGUAAGGAAUAAUAUCAUAAGAAAUAUUGAAUUUUCUAACACAUAUGUACCAUAACCAAAAAUAAUAGUUUAAUGAUCAUCAAAUAUAUUGUUAGGAAUUAGAGAGAAGCUUUGAUAUUAUAUAUUCACUUGAUUAGUACAAGAGUUAUAUAGCAAGUGGGAUCAAAUGGCGUGUAUCGUUAUUUUUAUGUGAAAAAUACUUGAUAUACUCUAAUAUUUAUACCUUCUAAUAUCAUUGAUGUAUAUUGAGAUGCAAGUAUAGAGAGUUUAGAGUUUAGGAUUUAGGUUGUAAUAAUGGUACUUAGUCGGUGUUUGUGGUUUAAUAAUAAAAUUUAAGGAUAAUUGUUUAUAUACCGCUCAAAACUUCGAAAAAUAUCUCAUUUAUUCCUUUUUUUUUUUCUCUCCAAUAUACUUUUCAUACUUUCCUAUGUUAUUAUAAAAAAUAUCUCUACAGUUAUCACCCAUUAAGUUAAUUAGGAUUAAACGUGCGUUAAAUAUCUACCGGAGUUAAAACAAAAAAAAAAACCUCUUUUGCCCUUAAUUUAAAGACAAAUAAAAAAUAUUGAUAAUGGUAAAAGGGUAUAUUUGAAAAGAUCAAAAAAUAAAAUACUUUUUGUACCACUAACUUAAGGGCAAAUAAGAAAAGUUGGUGAUGGUAGAAAGGUAUAUUUGAAAAGACAAAGUAGUAAUUUUAUAGAGAUAAUAGUUAUUGCUAAUAGUUUAUUAACUGAAUUUAAUUCUAAAAAUAUAUUAGGAAUAGGUUGAAACGUAAAAAAGUUAUUUUCAAUAUUAGCCUUCUAAGAAGGAUAAAUUAGAAAAUCGAAAAUUUUUCAGAAGUAUAUAAACAAUCGCUCCAAAAUUUAAAGUAUAAAUACUUAAUAUAAUCUAAUAUUUACACCUUCUAAUAUUAUUGAUGUAUUGAGAUGCAUAUAUAGAGAGUUCAGAGUUUAGGAUUUAGGGUGUAAUAAUGGUACUUAGGAUAUAGUGAUGGUGUAUGUGGUUUAAUAAUAAAAUUUAAAGUAUAAUAAUGAUGAUGCCAUAUUAUCUACAAUAUUAUAGGGGACUCUAGAUGGGGUACCCAUAACAAUGCUCUUUUUAUAAGUAAAUGAAUAAUGUCUUAUGUGUUUCCGAGUCCUACUUGAAAAACUUAAGGGCUUAAGUGUUGGCAGCCAAGCUCCAUUACUAGAAAAACUGGAGGGCUUAAGUGUUGGCAGCCAAGCUCCACCACUAGAAAAACUGGAGGGCUCAUAGAGGCGGUUGUUGUAACCGCCUCUGCACUAUAAGUUAGAAUCACAUUAGAGGCGGUUUAAUACAACCGUCUCUAUAUCUAAAACAAAAAUUCUAAAUUUUUCCCUUCCCCCCGAACUCUGCCCAUUCCAUCUUCUCCAAAAGAAAAACCCUAAUUAAUUUCCCCCAAAACAAAUUCUCCAAUGGGUUUUUUUAGUGCAAUAGUCUUCUUCUAAAAUUUUAUUCUAAAAAUAUACCUGUUAAAUUUUUAUUUAUAAAUAUGGUCCCAUAAAAGCGGUGAAUGGUUCACUGCUUUUAAAAACGGUGAACUAUUCACCGCAUUCUUUCUUUUUUUUUUACUUCUUUUUUAUAUUUCUACGAUGGUAAAAGCGGUGAAUGGUUCACCGUCUAUAUUCAUUUUCUAUUCCUAAAAAGAAGUAAAGAAUGUAAUGAAUCAUUCACCGCAUUUAGAGAUCUAUUUUUAUAAUUUUGACUAGACAUGCAGUAAACACCAUCUUUUAAGUGACGAAAACAUUGUGGGUAUUGUUAGGUUACGACUUAUUUCAAUCCUAUAUCUGUUAAUUUGAUUAAUUUGUGAAUAUUGUUUUGUGCGAUGGAAAUGGCCGGCCUAUAUUUAGUAGUUCUGAAGCAGAGGAUUUUCUCAUCAUAGUUAUUUGCCUGUUUCUGCACCGAAAUCUUGUAGGCAUUACAUCCAUAUUGAGCGAGUGCUUGCAAUCAAUUAUCGGUUCCUCUAGCGACAGCCAAUGGGAUGAGAGCUGUGUGAAAGUUGCAGUCUAUUGCUCGCAGGUAACAAUUGAAACAGUAUUUACUUCAGAACUACUGAGCUUUGUAUAUUUAUUGAAAUUCAGAACAUCUUAUGGUGUGUAGAAUCUCAGGUAUGAGUGCUCAUUGUCCUUCACGAUUUGAAUAACACAACUAGAUAAAUUUAUGUGAGAUGGGUACAAAUUAAGUUCUGAAGUUUGAUCAUGAUUUUUAAAUUUACGUCCUUAGAGUUUCAAACUUAACAAUUGAAGUGUCUUGUACUAAUUAUUAAACAUCAUGUUAACCUACCAUUGGAAAAAAGUCUUCGUCCAUAUUACGUUUGAGUUCAAUUUUCUUGGAAGGACUUAAUUGUUAUGCAGGGAAAGCUUUGGAGGCUAAAUUAGUAUACCUGAAUGUGACACCCCAAUAAUCCCACAUCGGAUAGAAAUAGUGUUGUCAUUGGGUUUAUAAGAGACCUACACGCUAAUAAUAAUAACUGGGCUUAAGCAUUUUGGGCUGUGGUUGGGCCCAACGAGUUAUUAUUGCUAGUGGGCUGGGUCGUUACAUUUGGUAUCAGAGCCGGUUCACCAGCUGGACAUGUGUGGCGAGUCUCGACUGAGCCAGGGUCUGGAUGACAGGCUGGUUUAUAAGAGAUCUACACGCUAAUAAUAAUAAUUAGGCUUAAGCAUUUUGGGCUGUGGUUGGGCCCAACGAGUAUUAUUGCUAGUGGGUUCGGUCGUUACACUGAAUCUUGGACAGUGGAAUUGACGUUGGGAUCAUACUUCUGUAGCUCAGUAGUGGGAGAACCAAGUAAGCUCUCUUGUGUGAUGGUUAUACUUGGAUUUUCCUUUUUGCUUUGUUCUUUCUUAUCUGAUUGCACAUCAUGAAUAUAGAUGCUUUAUAUCUAGUCCAUUGGUUUAGUUAGCAUGGCUGAUCUAGUGUGGGUUCAGACAUUGUAAAUAUGUCUGCAUAAGGAGAUGCUUUAAACAAUCCGAGUUUUCACUUGCAGAUAAAAAAAAAAAAAAGCAUAUGAAUUGAAAUUCCAAGUAUAACCACAUUUGUAAAUAAUAUGCUCAUGUAAGCUGAUGUUUUACUUGGAUGGUUUUGUCUUUGUAUUGAAAUAAUGAGCUUACAUGUUAGAAGCAUCAAUUUCGCCAAAAAUUGUAAUUCAAGUUGAUGAUGAUAGAGAUUGAGCGGUUUAAAAGCCACUCUCAGAUCUAUGGCUGUAUGAAAUCCUUAUUAGUUUUUAUUCUCUAAUUUGAUUUGGAGUUGUAUGUUUCAAGUUUCUUGAUCUGUUACUUCACCAAGGCGGUAGAGUUGUGUUUUAUUUCCUUUUUUCCUUUGAUUCGCAAUCUGUGUGACUUUGUUUGAUUGCCUUUUUCUAUCUAUAAUUUCUCUUUGAUACAAAAAUGAUAUAAUCCACUGUCUGAACGUUUCAAGUUGUCGUAUUCAUUUCCGUUACGAAUUAGUUUGGAAUUGUUGUAUUCACUUAUAUUAUGGCAACUUAGUUGAAUUAAUGCAAUGGAAUUGAUCUUCUUAUUUAUAGGGCAAAAGUUUUGUUUUUUAUUAGGAAGAAAAACUGAGGGACGAAGUCACUUCUGGGACUGCCACGGUUGAGGUUAUCUUCUACUUCUUCUGUUUGAAGAUUAGGUAAGUUAUACUAUGUUCCUUUUUUUAUUCUUAGCUUUUGUUAAUAUAUUAGUUUUAUUAUCAUUAAGUAAAUUAUUAUCACUAAGUUAGCUUCAUGACUCUGUAUUGGUAUUAAAUAAAGCUUUUGUUGUUUUUUUCAGUUGUUUUCCUAUAAUGGAUAAGAGUUGGAUGAUAAAAUAUAGAUAUAGUGAUGAUUAUAAAAAUGGAGUCUCACAAUUUCUUAAGUUUGUAUUUUUUUAAUGCAUCCUAUGGUGGCAAGUUAUUGUGCCAUUACAUACGUUGUGUUAAUUGUUCGUUACAAACUUAUGAGGAUGCAAAAAUACACUUGAUAUGUGAUGGCUUUCUAAGAGGAUGCGAUGACGGAAUCAAGUGGGAGCCAAUAAGAGGAGGUAGAAAAGCUAAAAGGGGAAUUAGAACGUAUGAAAAACAAAAUGGAUGAAGUUUUCAAUUCUACCGUUACAGAGAUGCGAGAGGAAAUGGAUCACCUAAAAACACUACUAUCAAAUACUCAAGUAUACCAAUUUGAUAACAAGUUAUUAUUAGUAAUAUAUUUAAGCAUUUUUGUAUUUCGUAUAAUUAACAAAUUUUAUAUUAUUUGAUAGGCUGCGGGUGGCAAUAUUAAUCCGAUUGAUACAUUCUCUCCCAACCAACGAUCAUCGAAUACAAAUUAUGAACUUACAAGUGAAGGAAACCAUCGAACCUUUUAAAUUUUUGUAAACUAGAAAACCCAAUUGUUGACUUAUCUUUAAAAUAGUUUAAACUUUUUGUUACUUAGUGUCUUGCUAUAUACUAUUGGAUAUAUAUUGAAUGAUAUUGUGUUUUGGAUCUUAUAUAUUUGUUCAAAAAUUGGUCCAUUUCUUGUUGAGAAUUGUGUUAAUUCUUAUGUUGUUGGUAUAUCUGUUGAUUAAAUGUUAAAUUAUAUUUUUUAUUGUUUGAUGAGAAAUAUAAUUUUUUUCUUAUGUAUACAAAUUAAAAUAAAUAUUAAUAUAAUUUUUUGCAAUUAUUUGUGUGAUAAAAGCUGUUGAAAUCGCCUCUACAUAUUGUCUCUGCAUGUUAAUAUUUGUAGAGGCGGUUCAAAUCGCCUCUAAAAAAUAAAAUUUGUAGAGACGAUCUAAACGGCCUCUACAGAUUAAAAAUUUAUUAACUGCUCGCUCAAAUCGCUGUCUGCGCCGGCGGUCUAGAGGCGGUUGCGGGAACCGCCUCUAUGAUUUGUAGAGGCAUUUUAAACCACCUCUAUAAUUACUAAAAAUUGUCUCUACGACCGUUUUUUCUUGUAAUACUUAGAGUGACCAAAAAAAUAAAAAAAAGUCUGUCAUUGUGUAUAGGAAUGAUUAUUCCUUUGUGAUCACAUGCUUUUUGCUUUUUAUAAUUUUUUUUCUAUUUUGUUUUCAUUUUUUUUGUUUAUGUGAUGGCCUACUUUUAGGAGGGUUACCCAUUUUAUAAUUAUUUUAAACCUAGCACGAUUAAACUCUUUAAUCUCUUGAACUUAAUUACCGUCCAAAAUACUAUAACUAGAUUAAGAGAUUUAGUCAUAUUAUAUCUUAUACGUAAAACUAUUUUAGAUUUUAUGGGUGUCACAUUUCUUUCUCCUUUAAGUUUUGACAUUCUCGUUAGACUCAAACACACUCAAAAAUACUAGACGACGUGAGACUUGUCUCACUAGUUUUAACCGAUUUUUUGGGGAGCCGCCCUCUAAUCACAAUGAUCAUCAUUGGGGGAGCUGCGCUCUACCUGUUGUAUAGUCGAUCUUUUAGUGAGCCAUACUCCACCUACAAUGAUCGUCAGUCGGGGAGCCGUACUCUACCCGCAAUAUGAUUCUAGCUCAGCUGGGACUCAUCUCCGACUUUCUGUUGGUGUUUGAUUCUGAUAUUAACUGUAAUACCCAACUUCUCAAGAAGGUCAUCUAUUUUACAACUUUUCUAAUCCUAUCACGUUUAAUUGUUUUAACCUCUUAGGUUAAAUCACCAUUUCCUCUUAGGUUAAAUCACCAUUCAAAAUGCUAUAGCUAGGUUAAAAAUUUUAGCUUUAUUAUAUUCUAUAUAUAUGAUUAUUCCAUAUUUUAUAGAUGUCACACUUUUUUCUUUUUUUUUUCUGUUUUUUUUCUUCUAUUGGUAAGAAGGUUUUAGCUAGGUUUUAUGUGAUUGGAUGCUGGUAAGAUAGAGUAAUAAAUCCUGGUGUUGUCAACUUUUGCAAAAAAAGUGCCCCUUGAACUUGCUAAUUAGUAAUAUUCUUUAUAUCUUUUACUACUAUUUUAAUUAGGGGUGGAACUGGGCCGGGCUUGGGUCGAGUCAUACUAUACCCAACCCUGGCCCAAAGGGCUUCGGGUAGGGCUUUCACCCAAUUGUUUUAAAAAAUUUAAAGCCCAGCCCAGAUUCAAGCUCAAUGCCCAACAACCAUCGGGCAUUGUGGAGGCCCACUUAAUCUAUUUGUCACAUACUACGUAUAUUAUAUUUUUAUUGUAUAAAAUUUAAAUAAAAUAAAAUAUUCUCAUAUUAUAUGUAUAUAAUAUGAGAAUAUAACUAUAUCAAAUAAUACAUGCUAUAUAUUUUUACUUAUAGAUAUGUAUAAUCGUAUAUAAUGACAUUAUUUAUAAUAUAUCCUCAUAUAGAAACUAAAUAUUUAGUUAUAUGAAUAAAAUAGUCAUAUAUAUUAAUAUAUUUCCUUAAUAAUAUUAUAUACUAUAUAUAUCAUUUAUUCCAAACAUAUUAUAUAUAAAACUAAAUAUCUUAUUUUGAUAAUUAAUGUAUCAGGCAUUCAGGUCGGACUAGGGCUGGGCUUGGACAUGUCUAAAUAGGGCCACAAUUUUUUCGGGCUUAAAUUUUUAAGCUCGUCCUAAACCAAGAGUUUAAUUUUGAUACCUAAAGCCCGGCCCAUACAUGGCCCAUCGGGUCGGGCCUUGUUUAGGCCCGGGCCCAGUUCCACCCCUAAUUUUAAUAGUGAUCAAAGAAAAAGAAAAAAGACUUACUAAAUUGUUGCUUUCUCUCUUUAGUGAAGAACUAUAUUCUUGUUGAAAAGAUUGUCGAAUCUUUGUGCUAAUCAUCAAUUUCAAAUUUUGAACGGUUAGAAAUACGCAACUAUUCACUUAAGACCUGCAGACAAAACAUUGUGACUCGGCCAAUCAGCCUCAUACUACUUUGAACGUGGCAUAACCCAACUUGACCUCUCACCAUUUCGAACGUGACUCGGCCCAACCUGACCUCCUAUCAUAAGGGAGGAUGCUGGCCCCUUAUAUAAAAAAUAAAUAUUGUCACUAGCUAUUAGAAUAGCUAAUUACCAUCCUUCUUGGAAUCUCAUAAUUCCUAAAUUCGAACCCAAGAAGUCACCUAAUCUAAACCUCGAUUCUAAAGGAUGACAUCUCGGGCUCGAACCCGGGACCUAUGAAAUACUAACAAAGAUGUUAGCCACCUACUCUAGCAACUGAUGACAUUGUUCUUUUUACUACUUAAGAUAAAAAGGAUAUUCAACUCGAGCAUCUUCUUAGGCAUCUCUACUAUUGUCGAGAUCAUUGGUACAAAGAGGAAACUCUUACAACUACGGUAGAUAAAUUUUCUCUUGAUCACGAAAGAUUAUAACUCGCUUUCUGUUAUCGAUCGUAGUAUAGAAGCUGAUAAGCUAACUCAUACCCAAAAUCACGUCGAAAUCCUUCAAUUGUUUUAAAGCCGACAAAUUUGUGGGUAUGAUCCAAUUGCUAGAAUUUGAUUAGAUUUGUAGCUGAUUUUUAAUUGGACUAGAAUAAAUAUUUAAAUCCACUAGAGAUAAAUUGAUUUGAAUUUAAAUAUUAAUUAAAGUAUAAUUCCUAAUUAUAGUAGAUUUUGGUACAUCCUUGGCAGAGCUUUAUAUAUUGCUCCAUGGCAUCCAAUUGGUAGAACUUUAUAUAUUCUCUGUCAGAUCACGCUACCUGUCCACCACAUAUGCCGGAAUGUGAGUUCCGAUGAAUCAGCACAUUUGGAGCUUAAAAAUUCCAAUCAAAAUCAAAAUUUUCAUUUGGUUGUUACUCCGGAAGAGACUGCCUACUGCCGACAGACUGCUCAACCGAGGCAUGCUUGUAGAUCAACACCGUGUCUUCUGCACGGUACUUACGGAAAGCUGCGACCAUCUUUUUUGCAAUUGUGUUUUCAUUCGAUUCCUACUUCUCAGUGUAGACGGACUGGAGACACUUGAGCCCACCUUGGGUGAUGUCCGAAACCUUUGGGUUAGUUUUUUAGCCAACCCUGUCGAAUCGAAGAGGUCACAAGGCUUGACUUAUCUGGCGGCGAUCUGGUAGGUGGUCUGGAGGGAUAGGAAUGACUCCAUCUUUUGUGGAAUGUUACCCAAUGCUUCUCGGUCCCUAGAUUACGUCAAAGUUCUCACGAGUAAUUGGUCAGCCGUGCUCUGAUGUGAUUCUCUAUUUUAUUCUCCUUUUCCUUUACUUUUCUACCCCUGCCUCCGCCUUCUCUAUCUGCAUGUUAUUUUAUCCCUCUUUCUUCGCCUGCAUCUCGGAAGUCCUAGCUGCUUCUAACAUGUACGCUCAGUUUAUUUAAUUUAAUGAAUGAAGUUGGUAGCUUGCUACCUAUUUCUCAAAAAAAAGAAGCACGACCAGCUCCCGAGAGAGCGGGACAAUAUGUUUGGUGCACCUGGUGUAUAGGUGCAUAGAAAUAGUUGAAGUUGGGUGCUUUGGGCGUUACGCUGAUUUCAACAAGAGAAGUCUAGGUUUAUAGAAGAUGAGAGAAGGACGACGAAAAAGAUUCAGAAAGAGAGCUCGGGUUAAAGCUACUCUCUAUACAAAAAGAGUUAGGUGUUAUUUUUCUCUUAUUUAGUAAAUCUUAUUUUACACCUAUUUUUUGUUUAAUUUUUUCUCUUUUGUGGUUGUUCCAGUAAUAGUUUUUUACUAAAAAGAUAAGUUUAUAGUAAAAAUAUGAUUUGACGCUUUCGUUUCGAAAUCCCAACUGUCGGUAUUGAGUCAACAGUAGUCAGUAUAAGAGCAUGUCUCAGAUUCAAAAAAAGAAAAAAGAUCUGGUAUCAGAACGAAUUGUAGAGAUUCCAAACACUGAUCACCAAUCUUUACCGGACAAGUCGGACAAAGUUCAACGACAAACAACACAUGAUAAAGAAUCUGCAAACCUUUCCAAAUGAGGCAAAGAAAUCAACUCCAAUAAUUUCUAGGAUUAGAAAAUUAUUGUGCUUUGUUUAAUCAGUAAAAUUCUAGUAAUAUAGACACUACUAUAUAUAUUGUUUUCUAGAAAUUACUCCUAAAAUAUUUUAUUUCCCUUGGCAAUAACUUGCAUAUAUAAUGAUCUUUUGAUAAUGUGGUAUAAGAGGCUAGCCAAUAACUCUGUGUUUUGCCAUUUUAAUUUGGUUGAAACUAAAUUUAAUUUAGAGAAAUAUUAUUGGCUAGCCUCUUAUACCACAUUAUCAAAAGAUCAUUAUAUAUGCAAGUUAUUGCCAAGGGAAAUAAAAUAUUUUAGGAGUAAUUUCUAUAAAACAAUAUGUAUAUUAGUGUCUAUAUUACUAGAAUUUUACUGAUUAAACAAAGCACAAUAAUUUUAUUUCCCAGCCAAUAUUUUAUUUCCCUAGACAAUAUUUUAUUUCUUCCUCCAAAUUUUUGGUUGGUGAAUUGCCCAGCAUCAUUUUCUUUCUUAAUUCUCUCCAUCUGUUGUUAGAGAAUUGUAAACUCUUUCUCUUGCCUUCUUAGCCUGAGGGGAAGUAAUGAAAUGAAAUUAUAUGUAGUUGAAGAGAACUAGAAAAAUUUGAUGAAAAAAGAUUAUAAAUUUAUUAAGAUUCGGGGGCAAUUACUUAUAUAAUCUUGAAAAGUUUCAAACUUUCUUAUUUAACAGCCGCUUAGCAAACUAACAUAAAAAGUACUUUUUUAACGUUUCAAGUUCUUUCAAAUAUACUUUUAAAAUUAGAUUCUAUUAGUAAACUAUUAGAAAUAUAGUACGUUAUCUCUGUAAAAUUACUAUUUUUAUUUUUUCAAAUAUAUCCUUCUAAACUCACUAAUCUUUUUUAUUUGCCCUAAAGUUAAGAAAAAAAGAGGUAUAGAGGUCUUUCAAAUAUACCAUUUUACCGUUACCAACUUUUAUUAUUUAUCCUUACGUUAGGGGUAGAAGAGUCAUUUUGACUUUUUUUUUUUAACUCUAAUGGAAAUUUAACUCGGAUUUAAUUAGAGAUAACUUAACGAGUAAUAAUAGCAAAGUUAGUUCUGAAUAACGGGAAAACAUACGAAGAGUAUAUUUGAAAAAAAAGGGUAUAUAUAAUAUUUCAGAAGUUUUGAGGGGUAUAUAUGUAAUUAUUCCUAAGAUUAAUAACCACCAAAACAGUUACUAUUCAGUGACCUACAAAUGCUCAGUACUACCACAAAUAUAUUUUUUUAAAAAACAGAUGUUGUAUGAUUUGGCACAGAUUAAAUUUCUAAGUUUUGUUUAUUUAUUUAUUUUGAUAAUAUAAAUUAGGAACAAUUUUAUUUUAGAUGUAGAAAUUAAAGAAUCUUACUUCUUUGUCCCAGUUUGUCCUUAACAUGAUGAUUCCAUAGAGCAGAUCCUGAAGGGAAAGAGCACAUAUUAUCCCAAUCCAAAGACCCUGAAAAGUAUAACUAUUUCUUAUACUCAUGUCAAAUAAAUUCAAAAAUAUUAUGGUAGAAAUGUGUAAAGACAACAACAAUAAAAUUAACAAAAAAAAAAAAAAAAAAAAAAAAAAAAAAAAAAAAAAAAAACCACCUUUCCUCUUAAAUGAGCAACAAAAGCCAAAAUAGCAGAAACAGGAACCCCCACAAUGUAGUAAGCUCCAAGAUUAAUGAAUGCACCAAUCUUUUGUAGACCACAUCCUCUUGUAGCUCCUGAAUAUUAGAUAAUAUUAUGUUAAUUUAAAUUCCAAGAGAGAUAGUGCUUGCUCGAUCUAGCUUCUAAAAAAAUCAACUUUUGCGAUGAUCAACGAAUGGAACUUCAAUAUUCGAGAAACUAAGUUCAAAAACUAUAUUGUGCAAGUCAUGAACAGUUCCAACACUAAACAUUUCACUAAACAAAUUUUAAGUAUUUGUUCACACAACAUUAUUCGAGCAGCACUUCUGCUAUACUCUGACCUAGACAAACAAAUCUAAAGUAUGCUUCACAAUGUGAUAAUGAAAGAACAUUUAUACUUGUACACCUCAAAAGGGGUACAGAUCUUACACUCUUCAUCUUAAGAUUUACAAAAAUUCAAAUAGUUUUUAGUUAGAAUAAAAAUAGAUUGAUGUAACAAGUAGAGAAUUAAAGGCUUUUAUAUAAAGUGGGUGUAAGAUGUACACCAAUUUUGGAAUGUACCAGUAACAUUGCUCAUAACGAAAUAGCAAGAUUAGGAAGGUUGUACCAGAAAGCACGCUCUGGAAUCCAUCUACUAGAUGGCCCAGUGCAAGCAAGGGCAUCAGAGCUGCAACAUGUCUCACCACUUCCUUCUCAUUGCUGUAUACUUUACCCCACACAUUCCUCACCAUUAUUAUGACUAAUCCUACGAUUAAGCCCUCCGCUAACGCAAGCGCGGCCGCCACGCGGACCGCCAUGCGUGCAGCGUGUGGACGAUCGGCGCCCAAUUCGUUCGAUACGCGUACGCUACAAGAAAAAAAAAAACACAAGAAAUUAAAGUGUCAUUUAGCUACUACUGUUAACUUUAUUACUGUUGUUGUUGCAAUUAUUAGAAAAGCUAACCUAAUAGCUGUACUGAGACCAAGGAUGAUCAUGAAGACCAUAGAAGCAGUGUUCAAUCUAUAGAAAAAAGGUAAAAGAGAUCAAUAUUAUAAGGUGUUAAUUAAAGAGCAAAACUAACACGAAAAAUCUGGGUAAUAAAAUUUUAAGAAACGUAAAUGAAUUGAAGGAAUAGAUACUUACAUGAUAGAUAACACCGAGGUUUCGAGCUUUGGAUUCGGCAGAAGGCCAGAAAGAAGUAUAAGCAACUCGAACGACCAGAAUUCCAAGCUGUUUCAAAAAAAAUCAAAGACUAUUUGAUAAAAUUAGAAGUAUAUAUAACACUAACUAAUUCAUGCCCAAUUUGCUUGAGAUAGUUGCAAUACAAGAAAAUAGAUUAUUGGCAAAAAUAAAGUGGCGACAAGUUUUAUCGCCAUUAGAUUAGUUAACCUAUAGUGGUAAUACCAUUUUUGCCACCGAAAUAUAUUUUGUCGUCACUGUAUACUUGUAACGCUCCAAUAAGUCUCACAUCGGAUGCAAAAUAAUUUUGAUUAGAAUAUAUGAGACUUUCACAUUAGUAAUAUUAACUGGGUUUAAGCAUUUUGGGCCGGUGGUUUAGGCCCAAUAAGUUAUUAUUGCUAGCGGGUCGGGUCGUUUUAAUUAGUAUCAGAGAUGUAUACCAGUUGGAAGUGUGAGAGCUAAGUGCUAUGCAGGGCAAAAUGCUACAUUAACGGAUUUAAUAGGAGUCACCUCUUGAACCCGUAGAAGUCACCUCUAAAAUCUCACAUUUCGCCUGAUAAUUCUAAUCUGUCUGUAAUCUGGAUUUGGACCUGACGAAGACGUCAAUAAGCCUCUACGCUAGUAAUAAUAACCGGACUUAAAUAUUUUGGGCCGGUGAUUUGGAUCCAACGAGUUAUUAUUACUAACAAGUUGGGUCGUAACAAUACUGACAUGUAGUGAAAAAAAAAAAAAUUCCAUUAAUUAGUUUAAGUUAAAUUGUCGCAAAACCCAUGGAUUCAUUUACCAGGGAGACCAACUGCGGCAACAUGUGGCGACAAUUUUUGUCGCCAUUAUGUACAUUUGGUGGCGACAUUUGAUAUAUUCGGUGGCGACUUCAGUCAUCACUGUACGAUAAUUAAUUUGUAGUGUUGAGAUACCCUGGUUACAACUUUGAAUGAAGCUCAACAUACCACAUCAUAAGGGCAGACGGAACGGCUAGUCUAAUGAAGCUGAAAACAUUUUUCAGAGCCUCCCUGGAAAAUCCAGUCCAGGUUGUGUUGAAUGCGGGGGACAGCUUGAUAUAAAGAGCCAAAAGCAAUACAUUAAACCAAUACGAGAUCGAAUUCGCCAACGCCGCGCCUCUGUUGCCGAGGCCGGAUUUGAACACCAGGAGCCAACACACAAGGAUGUGGAGCAGAGAAGUAAUCCCCGAAGUUAGCAUGAGAGGAAGGACGAUGUUCUGCGUCUGCAUGAAUCUAACUUGGCAUUGCAGGACGGCGUAUCCGAAAAGCGCCGGAAUCAUCCAGCGAGCGUAGAUUCCGGCUUCUGCUGAGAUCUCGCGAUCUUGUCGAAGCGCGACGAGGAUGCGGCCCGAGAAAGCCCAGAGGAAUGAGACGGGGACGCUUACGAGUGUUAGUACAAGCAUUGCCCUUUGCAUGUGUAUGCCCAGCAUGUAGUUCUCUUUCGCGCCGAAGGCUUGGCCGCAGAAAGUGUCCAGAGCACUCCCCAGUCCAAUCUUGUUCAUGCAUCAAUUAAUUUGCAGUAAAAGCAUAUCAAAACAUAUUUCUCCGUUUCUCGAUAGCACUACAUUUCUUAAUAGGACGGUAGAAAUUUUAUCGUAAUCGACUCAUUGCGAUUUACAGAACAUGAUAUUAUGUACAUAUACAAAUAGAAAACUCAUUUCAUAUAACAUAACCUUUCUGCAAUUAGAAACAAAGCCUAAAUCUCAGCAAGUGGCACCAUCCCGUAGAGGGGGGGGGAGAGAGAGCGCGUGUACUACGCACGAAAGGAAAUAGAAAACUCACUAUCCGUAACACAAUCUCCUUAUAAUAAAAAAACAGAGCCUAGGAAAACAAAUAAAAUACUCACUAUCAUUACAGAAAUAACGCCUACGGAAACAAAUAAAAAACUCACUAUUCGUAAUACAAUCUCCUUACAAUCAGAAACAGAGCCUACAAAAGCAAAUAAAAAACUUAUUAUCUGUAACACAAUCUUCCUAUAAUCAGAAACAGAGCCUAAACCUCAGUAAGUGGCACCAUCUCAUAGAGUGGAGAGGGAGGGUGUGGGGGUAGGGGGGAAGAGAGAGAAAGCACAUGCACUUACAAUGAGACCAAAACCAGUGAACCCAGCAAAGGAGGUGGCCAUGGAGGCACCAGAGAGAGCCAACUCCCCAAGAUGGCCCACAAACAUAACUGAGAUCAUGCCAAGAGCAUUAAGGAGAAGGUUUGAUACCACAAGGGGCCAUGCCAACCCCAAUUGCUUCCUCACCUCCUUCACCACCUCUUCCUUGUUACUCCCCAUUUGUGGCCACCACUCCCACCACCCCACUCUAAAUAUUAUUAUGUAUAUUUACUUCUUAUAAUGUGAGUAGUAGUGUGGAGAAGGAGCAAGGGAUAAAAAGUGGGGAGCACAAAUGUUGUGAGGGUCCACAUGUCAGCUUCAUAAGAUACUUCUUUUUUAAUUUUAAUGUAAUGUAAAGGGAGCUGAUGAUCCAUGUGUCAGCUUCACAAGAUUACGUAUUUAUAUUCAUAUGAAAACUUGUAGGAAAAUGCAUGCUUAGUGGUUUAUAAAUGUUGUUUUCUUUAUAGAAUUAUUAAUAUAUAUAUUAGUAAAUUUAUUUGAUGGUCACCCAGGCUUAAGUUGCGGUAAAAAUAAAAAGAGAGACAAUUCUUCGACAAAUACGAAAAUAUUAUUAAUCAGUACGUAUAUACAUAGGGUUGGAUAUUUGAAUCCUACUAUAAUUGCAGAUAAUAAAUUUUAGUAUAUCUAUAGAUCUAAGCCUAUAAAAAGUAAUCAAAUAAUCAGACACAAAAUACAAAAAUUUUUAAAAUAACCUAAAAUUGCAAAAACAAGAGGUUUAAACAGUUUAAUUUGGAUCCCAAAAAUGACCAGAAGGGCUUUACCUUUUGACGCGUAGAUCUCGAAAGGUGUCUUCGAAUUAGGGUUGUAUGCUGAUCAAAACAGAUACUCAAGCGAAAAAUUACGACCGUUUAAAAACUUUCCGCAAUGAUUGUAAAAUUGCCGGUGGGAAUUUCGGCCUAACUUGAUUGAGCCAUACUUUUCACGAACUUUAAUGCUAAAUUAGCCGCAUCAAAUAGUUUUAAAAUGCAUGUAUUAAUUAAUUAAAAAUUUUGUAUUAUAAGUGUCAACAUAUUAAUAAGAGUUGAGAGGUGCGGUACGUGCUUCCAAAAGAACGGAGGCCUUUAUACUUUUCUUUUAUAUUUCAUGAUCUAACUAAUUAACAUGCGGAUCGACAGUUUGUUCCUUUAUAUAUAAUCCAUAUUAUUAAAAGUAUCUAGGCACUAAAUUUUGUGAUUUCUUGUAUCAUUUGCCCAGUGAUCUAAUCAUCUAAAAACAAACUAUUAAUUAAAGUAGAAAUUUUAUUGAAACUGAUUUUACAAGACUUAGAUUAGAGAUCGAUUUUACUUGCUUUGGAUUGUUCUAUACAAUUAAAUUUGCGAACAUAUAAUUAAAAUUGGCAAUUAAAUAUAUCAAUUUUAAGACUUUUCGAUCACUAGAACAUAUUAAUAGUGCCGAAAAGCCAUAAAUUUGAUAUCUAAAUAAUUUAAAUAGUUUAGAUCAUACUAAUAGAGCCAAUGGUGAAUUUAAAUAUCCCGUUAUCAAAAGUAUAAUAAAAAUAUAAAAAUUUUCGUACUUUCGAAAGAAUUUCUAAUGCACUCUACUAAUAGUAGAUACAAACAAUAUUUGGAAUGACCUUACUGCCAUUAAAAUAGGCAUGUGAAAACAUAUUACUCUCUCUUUCUAAUAUUGUUAAAAUUCAAAAAAAUAAUUGUAUAAAUUCUAGGGAUAGGAAUACAACUCAUGGAUUCAAGAUAGUAAUCCUAUAAUCUUUUUGGGUUGUAGAUUAAGCAGUUCCUUUUUCCUGUUUUUUAUUUUGCGGAUUUAGAUAAUAUAUACCUAAUAAGACAAAAUUACCCAAACACUAAAACUUGUAUUUGGGGCUUCUUAUAUAUGCAUGUUGCCAACUCACUAAUGUUUCUCCUUACAAGCAUCUCCUCAACNUUUUUUUUUUUUUAAGAGAUAGGUAGCACGUUACCCGCUUCGUUUAUUUCAUUUAGAAAUAAACUUAGCUAGAAAUGUGAAUCAACUAAGAUUCGAACUUGGGUCUCGGGUACCAACCACCAAACCCUUUGCUACUUGCUUUAGGAGCGGUCGGUAUCUCAUCAACUACCUUCGUAAUCUCUUUUUCAAGUUUCACACUUUUUAAGACUCUUCAAAGCCUAAUUUACUGCUACAAUAUUUUUUUUUUUUUUGAGAGAUAGAUAGUAUACUACUCGCUUUGUUUAUUUCAUUUAGAAAUAAACUUAGCUGGAAAUGUGAAUCAACUAGGAUUCGAACUUGGGAUCUCGGGUACCAACCACCAAGCCCUUUGCCACUUGCGCUAGAGACGGUCGAUAAUUUACUGCUACAGUAUUGGUAGUUGGUAAAGGACACUGGUUUCAAACAUAGCAAAUGUAGUUUGGUUCGACCUAAUUAUAAAUACAGUAAUUUGAAGAUACAUGCAUGUAGUUAGAAAUACAAUAAGUAUAAUUAUAUGCAUUUGAUUUAGUUAGAUCUAGUUAAAAAAAAACUUGCAGGUAUGAAUACUUUGUUUGGUUACAUGCUGUUAAAAAGUGCAUUUAAGAAUUUUUAUUAUUUCAUACAUGUGGUAGUGAGAUUAUCUUUUAUGUAGAAAAGAAAAAAAAAAAAAAAAAGAUAGUGGAGAAGUAAGCUAAUCUCUGUGUAAAAUUAGUCUCUCCAAUUGCUGCAGUUAGAAUUGCAGUCAAUUUAUGCGUAGUUGCAAUUGCUGUAAUUAAGCCUUCUCGUGCAGUUGAAUUUAAACGCAUCAAAAUAUGUAAACACCGGAUUUGGACUGCAUGCAGUUGUAGCUGCAGUGCAGUUGCAAUUACGUAUAACCAAACAGCCGCUAUUUGUUAUAUGAGAUGACUACUUAAGAGGUUGAGAAUUCAAAUUUGAAUCUCGUAAAAAAUUAUUAUACAUGACUAGUUAAACUUGAGAUUAAGAGUGCUGAUCUUGUUAUGGCAGUGACGAGAAUUUUUUAUCAAUUUUAUUAAUUUGGAUUAUUUAAAUAUUAAAUUUACAAAUAUAAUAUAUUGGCAUGUAAAUUUGUCAAUUUUGAGUCUUUUCAUCGCUAGGCAAAUUAUUGUGUUGUAAAGCCAUAAAAUGCUACAAUAGUGGUAAUUAGUAUAAUAAUAAUUGCUAAUUGUUUGUAUCAUUACACUCUUUUAUUAUUUUGUUUAAAUAUUAAUUUUAUAUAAUUUAAUGUAUUGAAAAAAUAUCUUUUUUAAUUAUCAUAGUUGAUUAGUUCACAAUACAUUCGGCUAAGAGAUGGGCGAUAACCUAUUUUUUAAAAAAAUUAGAAGCAAAUAAAAUUGUUUUAAAUUUUUUAUUAUUAAAUAAAUAUCUUGCGUUAAAGAAUUAUAACUAAUUCACUAUCCACUCCUAUAUCUUUUCCAAAAAAUAAAAUAUGAAGAAAUGACCAUGAUACCAAACGAGGUCAAAGUUUGUAAUAUUUUGUUUUUAUUUUAAAAUUACAUAUGAUAUUAUGAUGUGAUGGGCCAAGUCUGACUACUAUACUUUUAUGAGUAUAGAUUUUUUUUGUAUUCAUAAAUUUUCGGCCAUUAGAUGUAUCAUUUAGACUAUUUUCAUCCAUUAGAUCAUAUUAUUCAACCAAUCAUCCACUCAAAUUUAGGAAAUCACUAUUAUCCUAACUGUGAACCACUAUCAUCCUAAUCAUACAUCUCUUCAUCCAACGGUCGAAAACUUAUGAAUAUAAAGGGGUCUAUACUCAUAAGAGUAUAGUAGCCCUAGCCGGCCCAAAUAUUAAUUUAUUUAAUUCCCUUUUUUACUCAAACAAACAAUAUACUUUUUCUAGUUAAUCAAACCUUUAAACUAAGGCUUCUUCUGGAAUUGCGGGAUGAUUGCGUUACGUGUGGUUAUUAUAUAUUUUCUGCGAUCCCACCGAAAAAUGCAGAAGCAUAUUCAUAUAUACUUUUUUCCUAACUCCAUUUUAUCUAACAGCGUUAGAUAGAUCUCAAUACCAAACUAAGCCUAAAAGUAAGAUUACAUAAGUGAAUAUUUGAAUGGUCAUUAAUAGAUUUAGUUGUUAUAACUUCUUUUAUAUUCUAAUGACCAAUGUUAUUGUUAAUUAUUAGUAAUUGUUUGUGUUUUCUGUAGAAUUUAUUUUAAGUUGGAAUGCUUUUAGAUUUUGAUACCUUCUCCACUACAGUCCACAAAAUCUCCAACUCCAUUAGUUGCAGUGCAUCUAAUUAAAAGCUCGCCAACCAAAGGUUACAUUUAGGGCACGUUUGGUUCAGAUAGAAAUCGCAAUCGAAAUGAGAAUGAGAACGUGAAUGAAUCGAAAUCGGAAACAGAUUAAGAGGAAUCGGAAUGGGAAAAUCAUAUUCAAGUUGAUAUUCAAAAAAUUUAAAUUUACUACUCAAACCCGUAGUCAAAAUUUGAAUCUACAUUUAGACUCUCAACUUGAAUUUAAAAUUUGAAUAUAUCACUUAAAUUCAAGUUAAACUCAAAAUUCAAAUUUAAAGCUGAACUCAAAUAUCAACCUUAUAUUAGAAUUUAAAUUUAAACUUAGAAAAUUAAAAUUUUUGAAUUUUGAAUUCAAAUUAGUUAUAAGGUUAAAUAUAGAUUAAUUGUUGGUGAAGAAAAAAAAAGUAAUUAUUUUCUCAACACCUCUAAAAUGGGAAUUGAGGAGAUUCGAUUUCUAUGUCUGAAUGAGAGUCAGAAUAUAUAUCAAUCCUUCAAACCAAAUACUACUAAUAAUUACGAAUGAAUUAAUCUGAUUCUCAUCCCAAACCUCAAAUCCUUUAAACGGAACAUUCAAAUCAUACAUGUUGUUAGAGAAAUCAUUGAGACAACGUGGUCCACCAUGCUAAUCAUAGAUUCCUAAAAAAUAAACUAGAAUUUUAAUGUAAAGCAGUGAUCCCAAAAAAAGAUAUGGAACAUACAGCGCGCCGUAGGAUACAUAUAAAUAUAUAUGUAUCUAAUCAAUUCCAAGCCGUACAAGAAAACAUAAAAUAUCAGAUACAUCUAAUAUAUAUAGUGUUCUCUAUAACAUAUGAUUUAACAGUUUGAAAUUACGUAUUGUCAUGUCCUAUCCCACGUGCAUGGUAAUAGUCUAAUCAAGAAUAAUAUGAAAUUUAUUUAUCAAAUUAAAGUUCAGACCAAAUAGAACCGAAAUUGUACGAUAUGUAAAAAAAGAGUGUGUAUAUAUAUGUAUGUAUAUAUAUAUAUAUACCAUUAAGCUGAGGCCGGUGACGAAGAGGAAGCUGGUGGCGACGGCGGUGCCGGAGAAGACGCGCUGGCCGAGGCGGCCGACGAACAUGAGCGAGAUGGCCUGCCGGCUGAAGCUGAGCAGGUUGGCUACCACCACCGGCACGGCCACCUUCAGCUGCUUCUUUGCCUCUUCCACCACCCCCCUCUCUCCCUCUCCUUCCAUUUUUAUUUCUCUUCACUUUGUUGGUGUGCCCCUCGCUCUCUAAUAUAAAAAAGGGGACAAAACUUGAGUGGAGAGCUCCUCAACACCGUCUCGUUGGGGAGUCCUUGAUUCGCUAUGAAGUAUUAGUUUCGUCUCAGUGCAAUGGUUUGUCGGAUGUUUUUUAAUAUUAAAAUUUAAAAAAUAAAAUUAAAUUUUUUAAAAAAGUAUAUAUAGUUUUUGAAUAAAGAUAAAAAUAAUACAGAACAACGAAUUUAGACUCUUUAACGAAACGUCAUUAGGAAUCACCCACUAAAGUUUUUUCCCAAAAACUGUGGAAAGCCAAAAAUUAUAUGGAAAAGGUGGGGGUAGGGAACAAACUUAUCUUUUAUCUUUUUCUUUUUUGGAUAAAGUGAACUACUAUCUAAUUCUUCUAAUUUUAGAAAUAAUCAUUUUUUUUUGUAAGAACUUAAAGUGUUUAGAAAAUAGUAUUUUAUUAUUUAUAUUCAACAUUCUCAUUUAUAUUUCGGCUGGAGCCUCUUCGAUAGGCCGAAGACGAUGACUUCGAAAGUUAAUAGAAAAAAAUUAAGUGAGAGUAGAAAUCUGAUGGUUCAAACUUAAAAUCUUCUUUUCUGAUAUUGUGUUAAAUUACGUAAAACAAUUAUUUUUCUUCAAAAUUUUAAGCCAUCAGAAAAAGAACGUUUUUAAUAUUUAUAUUCAACAUAUUGCAAUACACGUAUGUCUUUUUCGCUCGUAGUACGUAGAAUUCUAUUACAUAAUUUUGAUCGAGUGAGUAUCGCUCAUAGUAUUAACGUUUAUGCUAUUUAUCUAUAAAAUUAUAACUUCAUUUCGAUGCAGAACUACCUAAUUAGUGUCAUAUAUACUUUUCCUCCUCAAAUAAUUUUUCUUUUUAAUUUAUUAAGAAGUGCUUAUGUAUGCUUUUGUCUUAAUUAAUUGAAGGUGCAAUUAUAAUCCUUCCAGAAUAAAUUGCACUUUUUGGUCCUCAAACUGUGAGGCAGGUGACACUUUGGUCUUCAAACUUUUAUUUAUCAUAAUUUCUGGUUCAAACUUUUCAAAUUAUUUAACUAAAUUUUAACGCAUCGGUGAUGUAAAAGCAAUAUGACAUCUCAAUUAUUACGUAUUAUCGGUUAUAACACUACCACUUUACCUCUACAUUAGUAAUAUAUCAAUAAUUAGUUAACUAAAUUGUGUUAUACAAUUUAAUUGCAAAAAUUUUAAAAGUUCGAGCGAAAAAUUAUGAUAUAUUGAAGUUUGGGCACCAAAAUGUUACAGUCUUAUAGUUUGAGGACCAAAUGUGCAAUUUAUCCUCUUUCCACUUGGUGCCCUUCUAUGGUGGGGGAGCUCUCCAUUUCCACCUGCACGAACUAAAAGAUUUGUAUGUAGUGGCAUUUCUUUACAAUUUUUUUUUUCGGGGUUUUUUCGCAAAUAGCCCCCUGACAAAUUUUAUUUGCAAAAAUAGCCCUGUCUAAAAUUUAUUUACAAAAAUGGCCCUGGCCCUGCCACGCCAGCGCCACGUCAGCGCCACGCGGGCAGGGUCUGGGCCAGGUAGUCAAGUUGAACACGGUGAUUGGUUCACCGUGUCUAAACACGGUGAACCAAUCACCGUGUUCAUUGUGUUAAAAAAAUCACACCCCGCCCGGGGCGUUACUAUUGCAUUAGACACGGUGAUUCGUUCACCGUGUCUAGACACGGUGAUUCGUUCACCGCGUCUAGACACGGUGAACAAUUUACCGUGUCCUUCACUUCCAUUUUUGGCCAAACACGGCCUGGCUACUUGUAUUGGUCACGGACUUAACCAUUUUCGGGGGUGCUGAAUACAUUUGUAUUGGACACGGUGAACCACUCACCGUGUCCAGAGAUUUGUAUUGGACACGGUGAAUGGAUCACCGUGUCCAAUAGAUUUGUAUUGGACACGGUGAAUGGAUCACCGUGUCCAAUACAACUGCCCACCCAACUAAAAAUUUGCCGCAGAAAAAUCAAUUACAAGAUUCAAUACAAGAAUACAAUACAGAUACCUAUCAAUACACAUCACAACACAUCACAACAUCACAAAAGUAAUACACAUCACAACAUCACAAAAUUAAUACACAUUACAACAUCACAACCAAUAGAAUCUCAAUAAUAUAAUCAAUACCAAAUAAUCAAAACAGAAUAUACAAAAUAAAUGCAAGUUAUACAAUAAUAUAUAAAUAUAAUAUCAUGUUCUCCUCCCUCGACCUCCUCGACCACGUCGCCUACCACGUCCGCGACCACGACCAACAUCAUGCUCAUCAAAAGGCUCCAAGAUCUCCAACUGGUCUAGAUGCUCUAUAGCAGCACCCUCAAUAACCGGCUCAAUCACAGCAGUAGCAUGUGCCGGUAGUAUGUCUGGCCGUGGAGGAGCUGAAGAGGAGGGCUGAUCUGGCCGUGGAGGAGCUGAAGAGGAGGGCUGAUCUGUACGGAUAGACCUCGAUCGCCGUCGACGCCUAAAAUAAACAAUAUCACCUGCUCGAGCUGGAUCCUGCGGUACUGGUGCUGGUGCCGGGUCCGUAACAUCAGCAUAAGGUGGCUCCCCUAUCGGUGAUGAUGGCAUCGGUGGACUAUAUACGGGUGCAUGGCCGGACGUCGAUGCUCCACCAUAGUCUGCUGGUCCUGGAGGUACAUAGUGUGGAAGCGUAGGUAAAGUCUCCAGAACUGCCUCCAUCUGAUCGGCGACCUGUGAUAGGGUAGCUAAGACUCCACCUCCUGAAAUAUCGGAUUGGACACGUCUGAUCGUAUAAUGUGAUCUCUGCACGAUAUCAACCUGAAAUAAAAGCACAAUCAAAAAAGAUUAUACGAAACUUUCUUGUAUAUAUAAAAAUUAAUAUAAAAAGAUAUUUGCAAUUACAUUCAUACCAAUACUCUCUCGACGUGUCCACGUGGCUGAUAGGCAAGUGGUGGCCGCUGUACAGGUCUAGAUAUCCACCUCCUGGUGAUCGUCCAAUACCACUGCAUGUAAACAGUGGUAUCUCGUAUCGAAUCUGGAUCUGUCCCAGGGGCCACCUCUGCUAUCUACUAAUCUAUCAUUCCAACGCUCAAUGUAUGAGGCGUGGUAUGCCGCCCAAUCCUCAUCUGCUCUGCCUCGUGAAUUGAUGCGAGGUAUGGCAAGCACAGGUUCAGGUAUAUGCUGUAGUAGCCCAAACUGGCGAAGCACACGAUCGGGAUGAUGGAGCUCAAUAAUGUGGAAGCAGACUAAGGUAGUCGUCGAUCGGGCUUGGUCCAUUCACGAUGAGUACAUGAUGGAUCUUCAUUUUGAUAAGGAGGGAUAGUAUUUCUUACUGGCCAAGCCGACCAUUGAUGAAUACUAGAUUGUCCUGGACCUUCAUCUACAUAAGGAGUGUUAGUAUUUCUUACUUCCCAAGCCGGCCAUUCAUGAACACUAGAUGAUCCUGGACCUUCAUCUACAUAGGGAGGGUUAGUAUUUCUUUCUUCCCAAGCCGGCCAUUCAUGAACACUAGAUGAUUCUGGCCCUUCAUCUACAUAGGGAGGGUUAGUAUUUCUUUCUUCCCAAGCCGGCCAUUGAUGAACACUACAUGAUGGACCUUCAUUUUGAUAAGGAGGAAUAGUGGUUCUGACUUCCCAAUCCGUCCAUUCGUGAACAUAAGAUGAUGGUCGUGGGCUUUGAUAAGGAGGGACAGUAGACCUGUAGAGAUAUAUAAGAUUAACUAUCCACAUUGAUUUUUUACGUAACUAAAUCAUACAAUCACCUACCACUCAUUUUGAUCAACCAACGGAGACGGAUCCAUCACAGCAGAUGGCAAUGCUGCACUAACUGGCUGAGAUGGAACUCCAAACUCUCUGAAACACUUACAAGACAAAGUUAUUAAUUUCGCGCACCUAAACUAAUUAAGAAAUCACGAAAAAGAUUUAUAAAGAUCAUUACUUUAUACCUUGAUGUACGACCUCGUUCGCGAUUGACGUAAUUCCUUUGAUCAUUGCGGGUACGACACAUUUUCGUUUGAUAAACGGUAUUUGGACGGUCGUGUGCCGUCGACCCAUCUUUCUCCACGUAUAAUUUUAUACAUCCAUGGAACGGAAAUAUACUUAUCACGCCAGAUAGUGUAUUGUCAUUUGAUACGUUAACAAAUUCCCAUUCGCCUCCCAUUGGACAUUUCACCGUGAUGCGUAGACGGUCUUCCACUCGAUCAUAAUUAGUAACAUUGUAUAUUUCCAUCUCUAAAUCCCGAAAUGAGAUAUUGCGUCGGACCGCAACCAAUUCUUUACGGCCACCAAUAUAUCGUGGUACAUUAUUGUUCUCGACAAAAUUUCCGUCCCAAUGGAUAUAGAAAGGAACAAUGUCGCCAGAUAUAGAGUUCUAAAGUUAUAUAUUAACAUGUAAAAAAUUAUUAAACUCAAGACAUAUCACAUUUCUAACAUACAACAAAAGAGAGGGUAAAAAGAUGGUAUUACCAUUGUACAAGCACGGUCGGCGGGCGCGACUACUUUGCCAAUUAAGAACGCAAAAAUAACCUUUGACAAAGAGACAGACAACAAUAAGUGAAAGAGGAGGGUGUGGGGGGUUGCAGAGAGUUUGAGUGGGGGGAGGGGCAGUGGGGGGAGGGGGGGAUUCUCACUGUGAGAAGCCUCAAACCCCCCGUGCCUUACAGUGGCUUCUCACUGUGAGAAGCCCCCCCGCGCCUCACAGUGAGAAGCCUCACAGUGGCUUCUCACUGUGAGGGGGGGGGGGCAUUCUCAGAGUGAGGGAUUCUCACUGUGAGCGCUUCUCACUGUGAGAAGCCAAUGUGAGGGACUUCUCACAGUGAGAAGCUUCUCACAGUGAGGGACUGUGAGGGGGCUUCUCACAGUGAGAAGCCCUUCUCNGGAGACACCGGGUGUGGCGGCGGCGGCCGCUGCGGCGGCGGCGGGAAUGGGCGGAGACACUCCGAAGAGUGUCACUCUUCCCGAAGAGUGACACUCUUCGGGGGAGUGUCAGGGAGUGACACUCUUCGAAGAGUGACACUCUUCAGGGGAGUGAGAGAGAGAGAGAGAGAGAGAGAGAGAGAGAGAGAAGCUUCUAGGGCUAGGGAGAACGAGGAAUGAAGCUACCUCAGGCAACAAAGGGCGGCGGCGGCGGCGGCGUCGGCGGCGUCGGCCAGAGAGAGAGAGAGCAAGAGGAAGAAAGCGAGAGAGAGAGAGAUCGAGAGAGAGGGAGAGAUCGAGAUAGAGUUCGGGGGGGGGAGUGUAUUCAAAGAGAACACGGUGAAUGGUUCACCAUGUCCAGGACACGGUGAUCCAUUCACCGUGUCCAAUACAAAUCUCUGGACACGGUGAGUGGUUCACCGUGUCCAAUACAAAUGUAUUCAGCAACCCCGAAAAUGGUUAAGUCCGUGUCCAAUACAAGUAGCCAGGCCGUGUUUGGCCAAAAAUGGAAGUGAAGGACACGGUAAAUGGUUCACCGUGUCUAAAUGCAAAAAAAAGACACGGUGAACGAAUCACCGUGUCUAAUGCAAUGGGCGAGGUGGGAGAACUCAAAGAACACGGUGAUUAGUUCACCGUGUUUAGACACGGUGAACGAAUCACCGUGUUCAACUUGAAUACCUGGCCCAGACCCUGCCCGCGUGGCGCUGACGUGGCGCUGGCGUGGCAGGGCCAGGGCCAUUUUUGCAAAUAAAUUUUACACAGGGCUAGUUUUGCAAAUAAAAUUUGUCAGGGGGCUAUUUGCAAAAAAAGCCCUUUUUUUUCCUUUCACUUUCUUUUUUAAGUGGGAUAUGUACCUUUUUUUUCUAGGAGAAAUUGCUCAUACAUUUCAGAAAAAAAUUUCAACUUUUUUAUUUAUCACUCUUAAAAAGCUAGUAUUUAUAAUUUCUCUUAAAAAGCUAAUAUUUAUAAUAUCUUUUUAACGUCCCAAAAUCUUUCAAAUAUAUUCCUAGAGUUAAAUUUUGUUUAGUAAACGAUUAGGAACAGUCGUUAGCUUUGUAAAAUUAUCAUUUUGUCCUUUCAAAUAUGUCAUUUUAUUGUCAUCAACUUUUUUUAUUUGCCUUUAAUUUAGGAACAAAGUAAGUAUUUUGACUUUUUACGUUUUCAAAUAUACCUUUUUACAGUCACAAUUUUUUCUUAUUUGCUUUUAAGUUGGGGUUAUGGUAAAAAUUUAACUCAGAUUUAAUCCGAGAUAAUUGAACGAGCCCUAAUAACAUGUAUAUUUUUGAAUAACGAAGAACAUAUAAAAAAUAUAUUUGAAACAAAAAAAUAAAAAUAAAUAAAAUAUUUGAGAAGUUCUGUAGGGUAUAUAGAUAAUUAUCUCUAUUUUUUUUAGCCCUUUUUAACCCGUCUUUAGUUAAAAAGGAUCAAGAUACUUUUUUUUUUUUGUUUUUUUGAUAGAUGACAUUAUAAAACCAUUUCAGUUCUAACCAAAAAGAAAAAUAAAAAAAGCGCUAGUCCCGAACUAGUAAAUGAUGAUUUUUGUUGAAACGGUUGACAGAAAUAAAUUUAAACUAAUCAAAAAUAUCGGAUUACUUAUCAACAAUUUUGUCACAAGAGACAAAAUCAUCAUUCUUGGGUAAAAUUUUUUUUCACCAGUCACAUGAUGUGACUCGUAAAUUACACCCUACAUAAGGAUGGGUGGGCUUGUAAGAUAUACAUCCUUCUUAGGGUAUACCAUUAAUAUUUUCUAUUUUUUACCAUGAUACAUUAUCAAUAAUUUAAAAAUCGGGUUUAACACACCGAUUCGACAGAUCCGAUCGUGACAUCAGUUUAUAAAGUGAUUUAGUUCAAUUUUUUAAAAGAAUAAGUUAAAAAAAUACUUUGAACGUUUCAAGCCAUUGAACUGGUGAACCGAUCGAUUUUAAUCAAAUCAGCCAAACUUUUUUUUAUCAAGUCAUGUUAAAUUCUAACGACUUUAAAUUAAAUUAGCUGAUUUUAUUUCUAUUAGCAACAAAUUAAUCUUAUAUAAAGUGAAACUUGAAUAUUAUAUAUAUAUACGUAAUUUGGUUUAAAAAUUAAUAUUUUAUAAUUAAAUAUGAUACUAAAACAAAAAUAUAUGUAUAUUAUUUUAUAAUAUAAUUCAACAUUUAAAAUAAUAAUUAAAUAUUUAUAGCGUAAUGCUGAUGUCACUGAUUCAACCAGUAAUGAAUUCGCUCAUUGAACCAGCGACCCUUGACCCACUAAUAUUUGUCAUUUGCUAUGCGAUUCAAUUUUUAAAACAUUGCAUAACAUAUUUCUUUUGAGAGAUAGAUAGCAGCUAGGGGUGGAAACGAGCCGAGCUCGAGCGAGCUUAUGUCAGCUCAAAUUCGGCUUGAAAUUAAUUUCGAGCCUAAAUCUAGGCUCAAGCUCGGCUUGAAAUUAAUUCGAGCCGAGCUCGAGCGAGCCUAAUUUCGAGUCGAGCCGAGCUCGAGCUCUAACGAGCGAUUGAAAUUCUCGAAUUAUAUAAUCAAUAGUUUGAAUUUUUAUAGAAUUACCUACAUUUGAUGCAACAUGUCAAUAGUUCAAAAUACAAAAUAAUUGAAGAAAUUAUCAGUCAGGGUGAUCUGCCCUGACGGGUGAGGCGUUCAAAGAGAGAGAGAGAGGAGAGAGAAGAUCGAGAAGGGUCCGCGUGAGAGGAGAGAGAGAGAGAGGGGGGGGGAUUAGGAAAUUUGAGAAGUUGAAUGUUAUAUGUUUUAGGGUUAUGUUGGCAAAGUGAAAAUCUGAAGACGGAGUGUGUUAUGUUAAUUUUAGGUUGGGGCUCAUUUGCACGGUCCUGUACUUUGUUAGGUAUUAUUUUAGGGCCAACAAUAAUAGCCAAAUUAAAUUAAAGCUUAACAUAUAAUUAAAAUACAUUAUAGUAUAUAGUAAUAUAAUUAUAUAUAUUAUAUAUAUAUAUAUAUAUAUAUAUAAUAUAUAUAAUAUAUAUAUCUCUUAUAGUAUUCUAUAGUACCGAGCUCCGGCUACUAUAGUGUUGGUUUUCGAAUUUGGGCGUUCAAUAUCACGCAUCCACGACCGUUAAAUAUGAUCGUAGGGUAUACUGAAUUUCUUAAGAAUAAAUUUAGUUUUUUUCUGAUAUCGUUUACUAGUAAAUAAUUAUAAUCUAAAAUGACGGAAUGGAAAUUUGAAUAAUCUUUAAAUUGAGCAUAGGACUUUUAAAUUCAAGAUCAAGAAUGUUACCUUAUUUAACAUAGUUAAAGAUAUUUUCUAUUCAAAAAUUUGAAAAAAUUUAGUUUUCUACACUGCUGGUUUAAAUCCAACUCGUAUAUAGCCAUUGAAAUGAUAUUUGAAAUAGUUUGAUUGCAUGAAAAUAUAACUAAUGUCGAAAAAAUUAUAAAUUUUAUUCGAGAAACUUCCUUAAAUAACCAAAGAUCAGUUUUAACGUUGUUGGCAUCGUUGAUUGUGAGAACGCUUAAGAUCGAAAACCAACACAUAUAGUACCGGAGCUGGAUCUAUAGAUAGUAAUAGUCAUAGUCAGCUCUCUCUUCUCCUCUUCUCUCUCUCUCUCUCUCUCUCUAAUUAUAUAUAUUAAUAUAUAUAUAUAUUCGAGCUUUUCGAGCCUAAUUCGAACGAGCCGAGUAAUACUCAAGCUCGGCUUGAAAUGAAUUUCAAGCCUUUUAUUUUGUUCAAGCUCAGCUCAUUUAAUUUCGAGUCGAGCUCGAGCGAGCCGAAUAUCGAGCCGAACACGAGUCGAACGCGAGCCGGCUCGCUCGUUUGCCAGCCCUAAUAGCAGCUACCUGCUUCAUUUAUUUCGUUUAGAAAUAAACUUAGCUGGAAAUGUGAAUCAAUUAGGAUUCGAACUUGAGACUUCGGGUACCAACCACCAAGCCUUUUGCCACUUGUGUUAGGGACAGUCGAUAUAACAUAUGAUAUAUUAGUAUAAAUAUAUAAUGAGUGAAUGAGAAAAUUGUACCUCCAAAUUUAGUAGUGAGUUUGUUUUGCAACGGAAAACUAUACCAAACAGCUCUUUAAUGCAUGCCUUGAGACUAAAGUUAAAGAAUAUAGCAGUAUAUUCCCACAAGUUAAAGAAUGGAGUGAAAAUUUAGUAGAUUAGAAACCACAAUAAAAACAUUUCUCUCUUAUUUUUCUUCAGUAAAUCUUGGCAAAUUUCGCUUUGAAUCAUCCCCACUUUAUUGCUAUUUAUUAUACAAUCCAACAUAUUAAUGUAAGAUGAGCUCCAAGAAGAUAAUAAACUCAGUGCUUCAGCCAACAUAUGUACCUAGCUCAUUUACCAAAUUAAUGAUAAGGGUUAAAUUUAUUUUGUAUUCAUUGAGGCAUUUAUCUUUAAUUAUCUCACACCAACUAAAUUUUGGUACAAAUAUCAUAUCCUCAUAUCUGUGGCAAUAGUAGAGCUAAAUAUCCUAUCCUUUGCCUUCCUUCCCUGUAGAUAAUGUAGGAAAAAAUAAUAUGUUAUAUAUCUUAAUAAUCAAUCCAAAUAUUGAUGCAAAUAUAUAUUUCAUUAUGGUGUAAAUCAACUUCCAGGGUAGCUAACUUUGCCAUCAAAAGUUGUGCAAAUCUUGCAAUUUAGAUAAAACCAAAAAUUAAAACAAUUAAAAGUUGUGUUCCAAUUAACUAUGAGUCACGUACGUACGUGACGCUUUGAUUCCCAAAUUUUAAUUUGUUAAAAUUUUAAAUUCAAACUUUCUAAAUGGUUGCAAACAAGUGGAACCAUAGUUUAAUUUAGUAAACUAAAUAUUGAUGUGUUGUUACUUAUUAAUUAAUAUAGUUGUGAUUAUUGAUGACACCUCAAUAAUUAAAAUGACGUAUUAAUUUCACGUAAGUGAUACGUUAGUAUUUAGUUUUGUGUAACUGAAUUAUAAUAGGUUAAAAGUUUUGAGAUAUAAAUUAUAAUAAAUUAAGAUUUGAGUAUCAAAAUGUAACAAGUUUCAUAGUGUGAGGACCAAAAAUGUAAUUUAGUUAAAAAUGCAAACAUAUUUGUACCUAACAUUUAGCUUGAUUCUUUCUUCCAUAAAAGAAGAGGAUCUAUGAGAAUUGACCAUAACCAAGAGUAGUACUAAGGAAGUGCACCAAACAUCACAUCCAACCAUAGAAAAUUAUUAUUUUAAAAAUCAAAGAAACAAAAUUAAAAUAAAAAACAAAUAAUUAAGGCUCUUUUGUGUUUUGGUAAAAACGAAUGGAACUUAAUUGAACUAUGUAUUUUUAAUUUGACUAUUUAAUUUUUUAAAUUUUAAUUUAUUAUCUAAUUUUUCAAUCUGUUUGAUUUACGUCAGCACUUUGAUUCUAAAAUUUAAGCUAAUUACUUAAUUUAAUGAACUUAUAAUUAUUAGAAUUGUAUUAAAUGUAGUAACUAAAUAUGUGGAGAUAAAUGAGCAUUCGAAUUUUGAAGGCAAAGUGCCGUCGUUGACUGACUCAAAUCGAACAAAUUAAAAAAUUAGAUAGUAAAAUCAAAAUUUUGAAAGGCUGGACGAUCAAAUUCAAAUGUAAAUUCAAAAUUUUUGCAUUGUGUUUUUGGUGGAAUGUUUACCUCAUUUUCCCAGUCAGUGUAUAGGAUAAUAGUUAAAAACACCAACACUUGCAAGAAGGUGCCACAUAUGAUUCCCAUCCAAAGACCCUGCUCAUCACCAAGUGAGAUUUUAGUGAUCACACAAAUCAUUAGACAAAAUGGUCAAUUACAAUAGUUGUCUUAGAUCUUCAUGUGAGUUUUUGUUCUAAUUUUCAACAUUGUUGUUUUUAUAAUCCUAUUAAAUCUGUUAAUUUCGAUAAAAAUUGUCAUACCAGAAUCAAAUCAUAUUAAUUUGGUGCGUCACCGCCAAUAUAUUAGAACUUUCCAUGUGACAAAUUUUAUCUGAUUGAUUGAAAAGAUUAGUAAAUAUUAAAAUCUUAGUUAAAACAAUUUAAGAAAUUAAAGCAGAACAAAUUAAGAAAUUAACUAAAGAUAAAAAGUAAAAAUUAAAAGGGGAAUAAGGAAAACUACCUUUCCACCAAAAUGAAGAGCAAAUGCUAAUACAACAGCUGUAGGAAUACCCACAAUGUAAUAAGUUCCAAGAUUAACAAAAGCACCAAUCUUUUGCCAACCACAUCCUCUAGCAACCCCUACAUUUCAUGAAUAGUUAACACCAACUAUGGUUAUCAAAUAAAUUGAACAAAACAAAAUAAUCUUACAUACGCAUGCAGUAACACAACUUUACACUACUACACUCAACCAAACGGAGUAAUACGGUACUAGUAAUAAUCUGAAUUACGGAUGUUAUAUUACUAAUUAUGUUCAAAAAAUCAGUAAUGUCAAAUAAUACGAACCAAACGGGCCCUAGGAGUAAAAUAGCAUGGAUGUUAUAUUACUAAUUAUGUUCAAAUAACCAGUAAUGUCAAAUAAUGCGAACCAAACGGGUCCUAGGAGUAAAAUAGCAUGACACCUAUUUGGAUUUUGGCAUGUUUGAUUCCAUUCGUCUAACAAACUUUUAAAAGUUUUAUUUUUAGUUUAUGACAUUUCCAUUUGUUUGAUUUGAGCCAUUUGGUGGUUUUUCAAUUACAAUAUCAUUACAUACCUCUUUCUUGAAUUAAUGAGAGGUAACUUAAUUAUCAAGCCGUUUUAAAUAAAUGACUCACAUCCAAAUUUUGAAGUGAAAGAGCCAACAAAUUGCUCUAAUCAAAUAAAAUAAAUGUAAUGUAUAUACCAAUUAAAAUGAAGAAUUGUAUAAGUUAGAUAGUUAAUUUGAUCAAAUAAGUCAUCGUUCAGAUAAGUUUCAUGUAUUUAUGUUGCCAUCUAAUUUUCAUGAUUUCAAGUAUAUAUUCAACUGCACAUAAUAGUAGAGUAAAAGGAAAUGAAAAUAAUAAGUUAGGAAAUUUUUUUACCUGAUAACACAGCUUGAAUUGCAUCCAAAACAAUGGAUAUUGCAAGAAUUGGCAACAUAAUUGCCAUGUAAUUCACAACUUCUUCUUCAUUGCUAUAUGCAUAACCCCAAAUUUUGCGCAACAAAAUCAGGAUCAGUCCCACUAUUAAGCCUUCUAUAAGGGCUAAGAAUAAACCUACAUAUACAGUGAUCUGUGCCGCAUCAUGCCGCCCAGCACCGAGUUCAUUUGAAACACGCGUACUAAAAAGAAGAGAAAAUAAAUAAAUUAAAAUUGAUUUUAAAGAAACAAGGAUCGAUAGAGCGAGAAAAAUCAGAAAUUUAGAGCAUUGCGUACGUAGCUACCUUACUGCGGCACCAAGACCAAAAGGGAGCAUAAAUACCAUGGAAGAAGAGUUAAGGCUGAGGAAACAAAAUGCAUUUGGCUUUAGACAAGAUAAUGAGAAACUAAAAUUGGCAGUUUUUGUCUCUUUUAAACUAAAUAAAGGUAAAAACAAGAACAAUUCCAAAAAUUCAAGCAACAUUUGCUUAUAUAUAUAUACACACACACCCCAUCCCUAUCCUUAAUGUCUUUCACUAAGAUUGAAGCCCUGAUUCUAGAAAUAAGAGGAAAACAAAAGAGGUUCAAGAUCCGUACAAGAGCAUUUGUGCUUGUAAUUUUUUAGACGUCAAAUCGCAUCAAGAUCCAUACAGCACUAUUACCGAUGUGUCCCAUUAAAUCUCCUAUUAGUAUUGUACGGAUUUUAAGACGAUCCGAUGGCUAAAAACUUAUAAGCAUAUAUUUUGAGCUUCUGAACUUUUAAAAGAAUAAGAGCUCAACUCUCUCUCUCUCUUUCUAUAUAUAUAUAUAUAUAUAUAUAUAUAUAUAUAUAUAUAAUANAAGAACCGCUAUAAUUCCAAUUGUACAUUUCUUAGUCCAAAGAUCGAAAACUUAUUUGUACUUUCAAAGGUAUAAGAGCUCAACUCUCUCUCUCUCUUUCUAUAUAUAUAUAUAUAUAUAUAUAUAUAUAUAUAUAUAUAAUAGUUGUUCUAACCUUAUUGAUAACACAGAUGUCUCCAGCUGUGGAUUUGGAAGAAGACCAGAAAGAAGCACAAGAACUUCGAAUGCCGACCAUUCCAUGCUGUAUCAAGAAACACUUCAUCAUGAAAAUACUAAUCCACCAUUAUUUAAUUAUUGUGCUUAAUUUUAGGCUAAACUGCGGCAAUUAUCCUCGAAUAAUAAGUCGAUUAAUCUUGGUAACGUCUCGAACUAAUUUUAAACUUGCUAUGUUCUGAUUCAAACUCUUUUUUUGAGACUUUUUUAAUGAAUGACGUAGCGUUGAUACGACAAUAAUGUGAGUUUCAAAUUGCUAUCACAUAAUAAUGUGAGUUUCAAAUUGCUAUCACAUCAUUUAUUGCUAUUAUUAUAUAGCUCAUUGUUCAAUUGCUAAAAGAGAUGGAAACAAAAAGGAAAUAUAUUAUUAUUGUUUGCAUUAGAUCGGUAUAAAAAAAUAUAUUUUAGACGACGCUUUUUAGAUGACUCUCUAUUCUACCAUAUUUAAUAUUUGAUAUGUGCCGACAUCAUGAUUAAGCACCACCAAUUAUCAAGAGUCUGCCUACUAUACUCUUAUGAGUAUAGUUAUACUCUUAUGAGUAUAGUUCUUUUUGUACUCAUAAGAUUUUUGCCGCUAGAUCUACUUUUUUGAUCAUUUCUACCCGUUAGAUCAUACUAUUCAACCAAUCACCCACUCAACCCUAGGAAACCACUAUUAACUUAACCGGAAACCACUAUCAUUCUAACUGCACAUCUCUUCAUCUAAUGGUCAAAAACUUAUGAGUACAAAGUGGGCUAUACUCAUAAGAGUAUAGUAGCCCUAGCCUUUUUAUCAAAUACUGAUAAAAAUUUUCCGACGCUAUAUUAAAGUAUCGAUAUAUUUAUCCCGACAUGUUGUUUAACAAUUCUUUACUCGACGCUUUUACAAGCGUCGAAAUUGUUCUUGCCGACGCUUUUAAAAUAUCGCUAGUUAUUAUUUAAAGUGUCCUAAAAUAUAAAAUUUAUUAUAGUGUGUACGCUACAAGAUCAUCCAUUUAUACAUCAAAAAAUCACAAUUGAAUGCAUAUAAUUGUGCCCAGCGCAAAUAAUAAUUCGCCCAUGUUUCUAUAUUUUCCCUCUUAAAUACAAACACGACACUAAUGUAAUACUGAUAUUAUUGCAUUAUUAUCAUAGUGUUUUAUACAAUAAUUGAAAUAUCGUGUCAAUGUCAAUGUCGCGUGUGCGCAUGUGUAUAUAUAUAUCAGUUGUCACAUCAAUAUCUCGUCGUGGAGAAACCUGAUUUUCAUAUAAAACUAUAACGAAAUAAGCUGCGAGGAUCAAAGUGUCACUCGGUGCCUCCAAUUUUAGGAAUUGAGAGUGCGACGUUAACAUAAAUUCGAGAUCACGUAUAAAUAUAUAGAUAUAUAUAUAUAUAUAUAUAUAUAUAUAUAUAUAUAUGCAUAAAAUUUUCUUACCAAACCAUCGUAGCCGAGGGAACGGCGAGUUUGAUGAAGCCGAGAACAUCUCUCAGAGCCUCUCUGGAGAAGCCAUUCCAAGUUCUCUCGCAAUUUUUGGAAACUCUAACAUAACAGGCCAAAAUUAACACAUAAACCCAAUAAGAUAUGCUAUUUCCAAAAGCGGCCCCUGCGAUUCCGAGCUCCAAACCAUGCACCAAAAUAUAACACGCUCCGACGUGGACCAGGACCGUGAGCCCGGCGCACAGCAUGAUGGGAAACACGGCGUUUUGCGCUUGCAUGAAUCUGACGUGGCACUGGAGGAGUCCGUAUGCGAACAGGGAGGGGAUCAUGCAGCGUGCGUAUCUCCCCGCCUCGGUUGCUAUUUCCGGGCGCUGUCCGCAUAGAACGAGGAUCUGCGACGUGUGGGCCCAUAGAAACGCGAGCGGUACGCAUGCGAGCGUGAUCACGAGCAUCGCUCGUUGCUUGUGGAUUCCGAGCAUGUAGUACUGCUUCGCUCCGUACGACUGCCCGCAUAAUGUGUCCAGUGCGCUUCCCAUUCCCAUCUGCUCAAAGCGCCCAGCAAUAUAAAAAAUUUUUCGUAUUAACUAUCCAUUUCUUUAGACUUAAUUUAGAAUACUUUAAAUAGUUAAUAUUUUUUUUAUAAUUUUUUUGAUUUUAUUUAUAUAAUAUAAUUCUUUUUAUAUAGUAAUAUUAUUGGUAAAAUUAAUGACGUACUAGGGUCAAAUUGUGAGUCCAUACACCCUGUUAGAUCCGAUCAAAUUAAUCCUCGACAGCCAUCUACAUCGGCGAGCGCAUUUCACACUGGCUCGGUGAGUUGUUGGAGGACACGUUGCUGAGGAGGAGGACAGUAGGCCCGCCAUUCCACACAGCAAAGGAGAAAAGGUUGGGAUCGAUCAUACAAACAAACCCCGCCAUGCCAAGGCGGAGAUAGCGAUAUGCCCAAUCCGCAACCGUCUUGGCAAACACAGGAGUAACGGAGGCUGGCCAUGGCUGAAAAGAUGCCCCUAACUGGGUAGGUUCGCAUUGAUAUAUUAAUAUUAUUUCUUAUUAUCAAUAGUAUUCUAGCUUUAUUCUAUGUAUAAAGUUCACCUGAAAUGCUAUUAUUAAUUGGUAAAUAAAUAGUAUCUACUAUCAACUUUAAAUUUCUAUUAAUACAAUUCACUUAUUCCAGCUAAAUGCGACACAUCUGGAAGCUAAAAAAUUGAUAGCAACUACUAUUCCUUUANUGAUACGUUUUAAACCACAGGGUAGCAAAGUGAGAAUGCACGAAACCACAGGGGGGGUUUUUGAAGUUUUCCAAAAAAAAUUAUUAUUUUAUAUUUUUCAAAAUAUUAAUAAUAUUAUAAUUUUAUAAAAAAUAUUAGUUGGCGGGGCGGAUUCGGGGCGCCGGCGGGAGGCGGGUUACGAGGCGGGGCGGAUUAUGGGAUGUAUUUUUUAACCCGUCACGGAUUCGGGGCGGAAGGCGGGGCGGAUUUUUGCUAGUCGGGGCGGGUCUCCCGCCCCCAAAUCCGCCCCGUUUGCAUCCCUAGUCACAUCAAUAUCUCGUCAUGGAGAAACCUGAUUUUCAUAUAAAACUAUAACGAAAUAAGCUGCGAGGAUCAAAGUGUCACUCCGUGCCUCCAAUUUUAGGAGUUGAGACUUGAGAGUGCGACGUUAACAUAAAUUCAAGAUCACGUAUAAAUAUAUAGAUAUAUAUAUGCAUAAAAUUUUCUUACCAAACCAUCGUAGCCGAGGGAACGGCGAGUUUGAUGAAGCCGAGAACAUCUCUCAGAGCUUCUCUGGAGAAGCCAUUCCAAGUUCUCUCGCAAUUUUUGGAAACUCUAACAUAACAGGCCAAAAUUAGCACAUAAACCCAAUAAGAUAUGCUAUUUGCAAAAGCAGCCCCUUCGAUUCCGAGCUCCAAACCAUGCACCAAAACACAACACGCUCCGACGUGGACCAGGACCGUGAGCCCGGCGCACAGCAUGAUAGGAAACACGGCGUUUUGCGCUUGCAUGAAUCUGACGUGGCACUGGAGGAGUCCGUAUGCGAACAGGGAGGGGAUCAUGCAGCGUGCGUAUCUCCCCGCCUCGGUUGCUAUUUCCGGGCGCUGUCCGCAUAGAACGAGGAUCUGCGACGUGUGGGCCCAUAGAAACGCGAGCGGUACGCAUGCGAGCGUGAUCACGAGCAUCGCUCGUUGCUUGUGGAUUCCGAGCAUGUAGUACUGCUUCGCUCCGUACGACUGCCCGCAUAAUGUGUCCAGUGCGCUUCCCAUUCCCAUCUGCUCAAAGCGCCCAGCAAUAUAAAAAUUUUUUCGUAUUAACUAUCCAUUUCUUUAGACUUUUAAUUUAGAAUACUUUAAAUAGUUAAUAUUUUUUUUAUAAUUUUUUUGAUAUUAUUUAUAUAAUAAAAUUCUUUUUAUAUAGUAAUAUUAUUGGUAAGUAAAUUAAUUACGCACUAGGGUCAAAUUGUGAGUCCAUACACCCUGUUAGAUCCGAUCAAAUUAAUCCUCGAUAGCCAUCUACAUCGGCGGGCGCAUUUCACGCUGGCUCGGUGAGUUGUUGGAGGAGGACAGUAGGCCGCCAUUCCACACAGCAAAGGAGUAAAGGUUGGGAUCGAUCAUACAAACAAACCCCGCCGUGCCAAGGCGGAGAUAGCGAUAUGCCCAAUCCGCAACCGUCUUGGCAAACACAGGAGUAACGGAGGCUGGCCAUGGCUGAAAAGAUGCCCCUAACGGGGUAGGUUCGCAUUGAUAUAUUAAUAUUUUUUCUUAUUAUCAAUAGUAUUCUAGCUUUAUUCUAUGUAUAAAGUUCACCUGAAAUGCUAUUAUUAAUUGGUAAAUAAAUAGUAUCUACUAUCAACUUUAAAUUUCUAUUAAUACAAUUCACUUAUUCCAGCUAAAUGCAACACAUCUAGAAGCUAAAAAAUUGAUAGCAACUACUAUUCCUUUACUAGAGUUAGGCUAUUAUAUUUUGAAAGUAAGGAAAACUUUGUACUUUUUAGUUGUUUUUUGUAAUGAGACAUCUGAUUAUGUGAUCAGUUUCAUUAGACAUGAUUUAUAAUGUUAGAACUCUUUAGAAAUCAAAUUUUAUAAUUUUUUCACUUUGUUUUCCUAGUAAACAAGUAGCCUCAAAAUGAACGGAUAAAAUAAAAAUUAUAUAAAAAAAUAGUGAUAAAAAACUUAAAUUUUAAAUUAUAAGUAUUGAUAUUUCUCUUUAUGGUAAGUAAACUUUUAUUAAAAUUUUACCAAAUUUGCAUUUUUUUUUUAUACCAUUGAACUUACAAACAAACGUGGCACAUCAGUUAUUAUAAUACUCAUUUUUUAGACAUUUUGAUCACUUGGUAAAUUAUAUUGACAAAUUAUGAAAUUUGAUUUCUAAAUAGUUUUAAUAUUGUAGAUGAUUUGUUUUCGAUGAUAGAGCUUCCAAAUUGAUGAUCGGCACUGUUAAAUAAGAUCUAAACUAUUUAAACUAUCUGGAAAUCAAAUUUCACACAUUUUCGAUAUUGUUCUCUGUCCAUCAAGUGAACAGAAAAAUGAAUGGUUAGAAAUGAAUAUCCUUCAAAAAGUGAUGAUACAAUUUUUAUAUUUGAGAUCUAGAGUCUAGAUCUUAUUUAAAAUAGUUUAAAGAAUUUUUUAACAAAAAUUUAGUUGAUUUGAACUCUUCUAUACUGUUAAACGAGCAAACACACCAUAUCAGCCAUUAAAAUUAUAGAUUUUGUGACCCUUUGAUCGUUCAAUUAGUGAUGUCAAAAAAUCAUGAAAUUUGAUUUCUAGAUAAUUUAAAUGGUCUAGAUCAUGUUCAACGGUGCCGAUCGUCGAUUUGGAAGCUCUAUCAUCAAAAAUAAAUUGGUAGUAAACUGAGCAAUUUACUACCGAUAGUAGCCCAGUCAAACUCUAAUAAUUAGAUAAUUUAUCGAUAUAUAUAUGUUACUUGUCCUUAUACAUGUGCAACUUUAUUAUUUCUGCAAUGUGAACUAUUAUGUUGUUUAUCUGGUGAGGGCACCAAACCCAAAGGUGUCUCAUUAUGUCCCCAUUAAUACUGUAUGCAUGUGGCUUUAAAAACGAAGCUCUCUCUAUCUAGAUUCCUCUCAUCAAUUAAAACCAAGCUUUUACUCUAUAGGGUAAACUUCAAAUACCACCCAUGUAGUUUUAUACUUUUUUACUUUAAUAUUCUGUGGUUUAAAGUGUAUCAAGUUAGUACUCUGUGAUUUUAUUUUUUUCUUUUCGUCAGCUCCUCCGUUAAUAUUUUGUUAAAUUAUAUACAAAAAACUUCAGAUACUCCACCUAAGUUUAUCGAAUAUUCAUUUUAGUACCCUUUAGUUUUAAUUUUGUCACUGAUUUAACGAAAAAAAAAUUUAGGGGAAUGGAUAAUAAAAAGAGAAAAAUAAAAUCACAUGGUACUAAAUUAAUACACUUUAAACUACAAAGUAUUAAAGUGAAAAAGUGUGAAACCACAUGACAUAAAUGAUAUUUGAAGUUUUUCCUACUAUCUAUAAAUGAUUAAUCUAAAAAAAAAAGGCCUAAAUUGCAUUGCAUGUUGAUCUACUCUUGCGAAAAACCAAAUCACCAGUGGCUUAGUAGUAAGGUGUUAUAUAUAUGCAUACUUCAGGUUGUGGAUUUAGUUAAUUUGUAUAUGCUUCAAUUUAUAAGUUGUUAUUUUGACUUUGCGUUCAAUAUAAAUAAGUUUCGAGCAAGUUGGAAAUUAGCACUACAAAAAAAAACGGUGUAUAGUGACACUUUUAAAUAUCGAUAUAGGUAAAAAAAAGGUAUUACUGACUAAAUUAUCAACAUUUUUUAAAACUGUUGCUAUAUAUAUGUGGAGGGUCGUUAUAUGUAGGGCACCUUGAUGUUUAACACCCACUCCUCCAGCAACUUGUGGCGGAGGGACACGUGGUGAAAGUAGUCCUCUACGGUUCUUGCGAGAUCCUCGCAGCCGACUUCCAGUCGCCAGAACAGAUCCUCGCGGUUCUUGAGGUUGGUUGAAUAAAGGAAUUUUUUAUUUUUAAUUGGAUUUGGAUUUAUAUUUAGGUCUUAGUAAAUUUUUUAAAAAAGUUUUGACAUAAAUAUGACAUUUACACAAAAGUGCUCCAAAAAUGUGUUUCUAUAAUCUAAUUCUGUUGUAGUAAUGAUUCUGAAGAAAGAGAAACAAUAAAGAAAAAAAAAACUCAUGGAAAAAAAGCAGUAGACAUGCAGUUAAUUAAUUUAAAUUAUAUUAAACUUUAAUUUAUUGUAAUUGAUUUAUGAACUUUAAUUUUUAUUUCUAAUAGAUCCUUUCAUCGAUCAACUUGGAACAUAUUAAAGAACGCAAUUAAAUUGAUCAACUUCUAGUUCAGCGCCAUUGAAAUUUUUGGAGAUAUGAAACGACAACAAAAUUUGAAUGAAGCAUUACAAAGCGAUCGAUCUGAUUACGACAAAAAUUGAAGUCCAGUAAUGCUACAUGACGCGAAUCGAAACAUGCAUACCAAUAAGCUGAAACCGGUGACUGCGGUGAAAGAAGCGGCGGAGGCAGCGGCGGAGAGGGGGAGCUCACCAAGAUGACCAACAAACAUUAGAGAUAUCAUCUGGAUCAUGUUCUGCAUCAGGCUCCCCACAAUGAGAGGCCCUGCUAAGUACACCUGCUUCUUAACCUCACUUGUUAGCAAAACCUUGAAACCUUCUCUCUUAUUAUUAUCAUUAUUAUUACUAUUAGAGGUUGUGACUAGAGGUGCUUCUAAGCUACUUAUUGCCUUCUCCAUCUCUCUCUCUCUCGCUCUCUCUCUCUCUCUCUCUCUCGAGUUUAGAAUGUGGGACUGUGGAGCAAGAGAGAGAUACAAAGAGAGAGGAAGGUAGGUUCCAGGGAUAUGUAUGUGAAUAGUAAGACUAAAUAAUUAUUUCAAAAAUACGUACUGAUUAGACUUGGCAGUAUCAAUCCAUAGCCACCGAUAUCUAUAGAUUGUUCAUAAAUUUACGGAUAUAAAUGCUAGUUUUUUUAUCUAAAAAUUAUAAGUAAAUUAAAAUGGGCGAGUGCUCGUUAAAUUAUGGACAUUUUUGGUAACCUGCAGUUGCCCAUUGAUACCCGCAUAUAUAAUUUCAAAAAAAUAAAAAAAAUAAAAAAGUGAGUACUUUUUUGUUUUAUCAGUUUCUAGCACUAAAUUCUCCUAUUGUUAUUUUUUUUCUUUAUUAUUUAUUGUAUGUUGUGAUUUUGAAAUAAUAAAAUAAGUUUUUUUUAAAAAAAUAACAUAUAUGUUAUUUGUGUUUGAAAAGUAAAAGAGCAAAAAUGGAGGAAAAAAAAAAGUAUCUUGUGGCCCACCCGCAGGUGGGUAUGGGUAAGGGUGAUGACUAUCUAAAAAUUUGCAUAUAUGCCCGUAAAAUCCACGCUUAUAAUGACCGCUCCUGUGUUAUCUAACUCACCGGUUUGUCAGCCGGCUUUUUCUCUACCUAUUUUUCCGAGAUUGAUAAUCUCUCCUUUUCUUCAAAGUCUAAUGCUGAUAGAAAGAGUACAUUCAUCGAAUUUAAGGACACAGCCACAAUGCUCAUGGGCUUCAACUUGACUAAACCUAUCUGAAUGUUAGGUCUAUAAUUGGAUCUCUUCCCGUUAAAUCUAUUGUGGACCACAGGCCUCUCAACUUAUUAGUCUCUUGAGUUUAUUAUCACGAGAUAGGAAGUUGGAUCUAUUUUAGCCAAUAAUAAAUAGUCAACAAUGUUUAGAAGUUAUUGUAAAUAGAAUUGAUCUAAACUUUGAAUCAUUUUAAAUUGACUACCAAACCUUUCAAACUUUUAAUUUUAUUAUCCAACCUAUCAAUUUAUUUGAUUUGAGUCACUCAGUAGUUCUUUGACUUUAAAAGUUUGUAUAGUAAAUAUUGUCAAAUGUAACACAAUCUUUAGCACAGCUUAAUUGAGUAACACUUUUCAAAAAUUCUAACGCUAACUUAGCCAUCUAAACAACCUCGCCUCACCACAGCAAAAAAAAAGUGUAGAAUGCACGAUUUUUAUUGCUAAUAUGGUGUCUCCAACCAAUCAGAUAGCGCCCUUUUGGUUCACCCAUUCUAUCACGGUCUUUUCAGAAAAAUUAUUUUUGUUGUAUUUUUCUCUUAAAGAAAGAGAUGUGAUUGGCUUAAUUUAGAUGAUGUGGUGUGACUGCUACGUAGUAGACUUUCUCGAGACGGAGAGCCCAUCACUCCACUGUGCUUCUUGAACCUUUUAUUUGGACCAGUGAAAAGGAAAGAGCUAAUUAUUAGGGGUUUUCUAUAUUAUACACACAAUCUUAAAAAUUAAAGCUUUAUUAGCCUUUAAGAUUUAUUCCUUUACUAAAAGAAAGGAUAAUUUUGAUAGGAUUUUUUUUAGAAUUGUGACUAAUUCUCGGUACCAUAUAUUUUUUAGAUGGGUAAAUAAUUUUAAGACUAAUUUUAAGACUAUCUUUUAAUCUCUGUUUCCUGGGAAAUCGAUCUUCUGCUAUCAGAGAGUACAAAUUAAUGACUUUACAUAACAUCAUGGUGUGUCCUACACGUCCUAAUUAACAAAACAACUAGUUUAUCAUUGGUGGGUCGAUUAAUCCUCCUUCCCGUCCCACGUUGCUGGCCCGUACACGUUCGUAACGUAGAAAUUUUUCCCCGACUCGACGUGUGACAGAAGGACGGUAAUCGAAUAUUUUCUCACUAGGACGUCACGGCAAAUGUACAAGCGAGAGUUCCAACACGUGACGACGCCCCCGGUGGCACCAUCCGAUUCGAGAUAGACGUAUUUGUUAAGAAAGGAGCCACUUAUACUACGCAGAAAGGUGCGAGAAACAUGUUUCACUUUAGACUCUUGUAAUUAAGCACACUACCACAUUACAAAGCUUAGAAAGGACCUAGCGUUACGCUAGUUCCAACACGUGAUUAAUGCUAGUUUUUUUUUUUUUUUUUUCUUCGCCUGGUCCCUACUUCUGCGAUUUUUUCCGAGGCCAUGGUUGCCUCACUCCUGCGGCCUAAUUUAUCCAUUCAAUGAAUGAAGUAGAUAGCGUGCUACCUAUUCUCAAAAAAAAAAAAAAAAAAAAAAAAAACUAGUUCAACCAAGUAUCCACUCACAUCUACUUUCAAGAGCGAGCAUAGCAUUUCCUUUUCUUUCAAUUCAACUUGCAAAACACUUGAAUAGCGACAAAAAGGCUCAGCUAACCUUUCACAGCAUGUUUGGUUCAUCAUUGGAAUAGAAAUGUACGAUGGAAUUGGAUUACACUGGAAUAAAAAAAAAUAAAAUGAUGAAUCAUCCAAUAUUUCUGCAUGACAGAAGACUGCCACCAAAAUUUUAUUGAUUGAUAAGCAGAAGCAGAAAAGCAGAAAGCACUGCUCUUCCAGCAAUAUUUCUGCAUGAAAUCUCGACGCAGUUCGUAGUAGAUCCUCCUUGUUUCUGUUUCUGGGGUGGCCAACAUGGGUGUGAGAUGAGCUCCAAGAUGACCAAAUAACUGGGGCACCAUGAAACACAACUUAGAUUCGCAGGUCGCAGAUAUAUUUCGUGCUCAUGAUUGUUUACUCGUUAUCUGAUUUCGACUAGUUUCUGGCUCUAAAUCAUGUCGUCAUGUCGGUUGGGAUAGUGGUGCUAAAUACCCUAUCCUUCGCCUUCUUCGCCUGUCAAAUCACCAAACAAUAUCAGAUGUACAGGAAAAAAAAAUUAAAAAUAAUAGUAGCAUAAAUAGCUAAUACUAAAGCCUUUUAAUAACCUCAGCAAUGCUAAAUAUACAAACUUAGUUGAUAGAAAUAGUGAUUAUUGUCUUUGUGGGAAAAUAAAAUUAUCUUUGGCUCGCAAAAUAAGAUUAAUGCAAUGUUAAAAGAUAAUUUUGUUUCCAAUACCUCUUUAUCCCAGUUUGUGCAAAGGGUGAUGAUUAAAAGCAAAAACACUUGUAGAACAACGCCGCAUAUGAUUCCCAUCCAAAGCCCCUGUUCGUAGCCAUAUAUGUUUGAGACCGCAAAAGUUUAGUCGAAUGCAAUAUAUUGGCCGAAAUUUACGGAAAAGAUAGAAGAAAAUGAAAAUGAGGAACAAAUUUACCUUCCCUCCAACAUGAAAAACAAAUGCUAUUAGAAUGGCCGAAGGAAUUCCUACAAUGUAGUAAGCCCCAAGAUUCACAAAAGCGCCGAUCUUCUGCCAACCGCAUCCUCGCGCAACCCCUACAUGUUCAUGAAUCACCACCAAUUACAUGUAACCAUAGGGCCUAUAUGUGAGAAACCAAGUUUUCGAAGAAUGUGUAUGAUGUACGCGAUAAACAUAUAUAGUUAACUCUACAUGUAUUUUCCAUGAUUGUUUACCUGAAAGAACACUUUGAAUGCCGUCGAAGAAGUUGGAUGUUGCGAGAAUCGGUAGCAUGACGCCGACAUAUUUCACAACCUCCUCUUCAUUGCUAUAGGCAUAUCCCCAGAUGCCGCGCACCAGAAUCAUGAUUAGUCCCACUACUAAUCCUUCUAUGAUGGCCAAGAAUACCACUAUGCGUACUGCGAGGCGAGCGGCAUCAGGCCGCCCAGCACCGAGUUCAUUUGAGACGCGUGUGCUACGAAAAAAGAGAUAAAAAAUUAUCUUUUUCGUUUAGUUUUAAAGAGGUGGAAAUGAUCCAAAUGAAAGAGGAGAUAAGAAUGUUGAGAAGUAGUUGUUUGCACUUUGCGCGACUAACCUUAUUGCAGCUCCAAGACCGAAAGGAACCAUGAAUACCAUCGAAGCAGUGUUAAGGCUGAAGAAAACGAGAUGCUCUUAGUACAAGAAUAUCAGAAACUAAACUUAAUGAUCAUUCCACUUAUUAAAGCAAAUAUAAACAAUGUCAAAAGGUUGAAAGUUGUGCUAACCUUAUCGACAACACGGAUGUUUCUAGCUGCGGGUUUGGAAGAAGACCAGAAAGAAGCACGAGAAGCUCGAAUGACCACCAUUCCAAGCUGUCUCAAAAAGCACUUCUAGUUAGAAAUAGUGAUCUGAUCAUAAACAUAAUUAGAUGAUGAAUCACAAGUUUAAUUAUUUUCCUACCAAACCAUCAAAGCUGACGGAACGGCGAGUCUGAUGAAGCUCAAAGUAUCAUGAAAAGCCUCUUUCGAAAGGCCAGUCCAAGUCUUCUUGCAGUCAUUCGACAGUUGAACAUAAGCUUCCAGCAGUAACACAUUUAUCCAGUAUGAUAUAGCAUUUGCCAGAGCAGCACCUUUGCUGCCGAGGCCUAAUCCAUACACCAGCACCCAACAAACUCCGAUGUGAAGCAAUGCCGUGAGCCCCGAGCUUAUCAUAACCGGAAGAACGAUGUUCUGCGUCUGCAGGAAUCGGACGUGGCACUGCAGAAGGCCGUACGCGAAGAGCGCGGGGAUCAUCCAUCGAGCGUAUAUUCCAGCUUCGUAUGCGAUCUCCGGGUCUUGCCCGCACAGAACAAGGAAUUGCCCUGUGUAGGCCCAUAUUACAGCGAGCGGAACGCUUGCGAGCAUGAGCACUAGCAUCGCCCUCUGCAUGUGAAUGCCGAGCAUGUGAUACUGCUUCGCUCCGAAGGAUUGCCCGCAUAGAGUAUCCAAAGCACUUCCCAUCCCCAUCUAAUCAAAGGAGAAGGGACAGACUAACAUUUUCACCAUAUAACCUUCGUUUGAUAAAAAGGCAGUGCAGACUACUUUUCUAAAGAACAGAUGUUCUUUUUGCGGCGCGCAUAUCAAAAUAGAAUAACAAACCGCAAACAGCUAAUUGAAGCAUCAAAAUAGUGAAUUGUUCAUCUUCUCAAGUUUUAGUCAAGAUCCUAAUUCGCAAACUAGGCUAUACCAGUACUGUGCUAAAAGAAUCUCUACUCCGAUAACUACGACUCCAGAAUAGCCAGAGAAUUGGAAACAGCUUAAAGCUCAUGACAAAGAAUGAAAAGCUAUACUCAUAUUUCAUUUCACCCUUUUCGCCUUCAACUAUUUCACUCGCCACUUUUCUCUACCAAUAUACUCUCUACUCACACGAAAAACUGUUCUCCGAGUAAAUUUCUCAUCUUCUUUUCCUCCUUUCUAACUUAAUCAUUGAAGUAUACUUCUUGCAUCAAAACUGUAACAAAGAACUGCUGAGAACUGAUUUAUGCUUCCAAAUUGUUUGCUGUUUUCUAAGGAGCUAACUUAACUACUUAUCAGCAAAACAGGGCAAAAGGAAUCGGCUGAUAAGCUUUUCAAGGAUCACAAGAAAAUCAUUUUUCAUGAAAAUCUUUGUUUACAAAAUAAUAUAAAUCUGAAUUUUUGAUAUACAGGUACCCUAACUUUGUUUCUUUUUUCUUCUUUUUCUUUCUUUUUCUUUUUUCCAUUUCAUAGUCAAAAUUGUUGAAUCAGAAUUCAGAAAAGGACUGGUGACUAGUUUCUACAGGGAGGAAAUUUUGUUGUAGAAAUUGACAAUCAAGUAAGCAAUAUUGCAAAACAUUGCAAGAAGAAGAAAAAAAAAAAGAAAAAUAGAAAAGCAGUAUCUUGGAAAAAUCUCAAUUUGAACACUGGUUACAAAGGACAAAAGCAAACAAGAAAAACAAAAGAUAGAAGGUUAAUGAGAGAUUUCCAGCCCCAAAGACAACUCAAAGGCAACUCAACUUUCUCUGAAAAGGAUUGAAACUGCCCCACUUUUGGAGAAAUGUGUAUCCCACAUAAUAUUAGAAUUUUCAUUUUCUAAAGAUCAAUAAUGAGGGAUUUUGACAAGAUUUUGACUCAAUAAGAUUUCUCACAUGACUCUGGCCCCUCCGAGUUGCUAAACCGCUCUCCUUUACCUGCAUCGCUCUCUGGACUUAUUCUAUUCAUCUUAUUUUAUGCAAUCCAAUUAUGAAUGUCAAAUGCAUCAUAUGAAUAUAAUAAUAUGAGCAAGUAAUAAAGAAGGCAAAUGAAAGAAUUGUAAUGCAAACAUACCAACAAGCUAAAACCAGUGACCCCAGCAAAGGAGUUGGCCAUGGAAGCCCCAGAGAGGGGUAGCUCCCCAAGAUGGCCUACAAACAUUACAGAUAUGACCUGUAUAAUGUUUUGCAAAAGGUUCCCUGCUAUAAGAGGCCCUGCUAACCACACUUGCUUCUUAACCUCACUCACAACCUCCCAUUCUCCUCUCUUCUUAUCACAGCUUGUGAGUAGAGGAACCUCCAUACUUGGCUUCUCUCUCUCUCUCUCUCUCUCUCUCUCUCUCUCUCUAAGGAGGUGAUUGAGUUUGUUUGAGAAGGGGAAGGGGAAGGAGAAGGGGAAGGGGUGGAAGGGGGUUGUGUUAGGUAUUUAUAGGGUUAUGAAUGUGAGGGUAAAAGUGAAGGCACAUGGGAGAAACUAAAUAAAGAUUUGUUUUGUUGGCAUAUUCUUUUUGUUUGUUUUGAUUUUUUAUCUUUUUUUUUUUUAAUAUGAUUAACAUGUAUUUUUAUUUGAGUUGAGUUACGUUGCUUUUUAAAAACUUACAACUUUCACGGACUGUUCCUAGAACAAGUGGCAAAGGACUUGGUGGUUGGUAGUCGAGACCCAAGUUCGAAUCCUGGUUAAUUCACAUUUUCAGCCAAAUUUAUUUCUAAAUGAAAUAAACGAAACAGGUAGCGUCCUACCUAUCUCUCAAAAAAAUAAAAAAGAAAAUUACAACUUUCAAUUUUGAGCCUUUGGAUCUUAUUAUUAUUAUUACCGUCACCAACUAGUAAAUCUUAGAAAUAUACCGGCUUGAAAGUUAAAAAAAUAUAUAUAUUUCUGAAAACAUAGUAGUCCCACACUUUUUAUUUUUAUAUUUAGCAGGUACACUAUGCUCCACGUGUUUUCUAUGGAGGCAAAAGUGAUCCAAACCAUGUUGAAAAGCUGGGGUCCAACUGGUCGGUUCGACCGGUCCUAUCUCGACUCAGUAUAUAAAAUUAUUCUGUUCAAUCUUUUAAAUCGGAUAAGUUAAAAAAAAUCACUUUGAACUGUUCUAACUAGCGGUUCAACCAUCGAACCGAUGAAUCGGUCCGAUUUUAAUUUAACCAGCUAGAUUUUUUUUGAUUAAGUCAUAUUAAAUUCAACACUUAGCUAAUUUUAUUUUCCAUUAGCAUAAAUUAGUCUUAUAAAAAGUAAACCUUGAAAACUUAUAUCUACUAAGUUUGGUAUUGGAAUCAAUAUUUUAUAAUUAAGUACAAUACUAAAAUAAUAAUAUAUAUAUUUUUUUGGAGUCCGACUGUUAUGCUAUUAAUAGUACGAAGUACUUGGUGCUACCAAGUUUUGCACCGUUAGAUCUACCCUUUUGAUCAUUUUCACCCGUUAGAUCAUACUAUUCAACCAACCACCCACUUAACUCUUGGGGGCCCACAUCAUUCUAACCGUAUAUCUUUUAAUCUAAUGGCCAAAAACUUAGUAGUACCAAUGACUUGGUGCUAUUAAUAGUAUAGUAGCCUAGUUCAUUUUUUUAUAUAAUAAAUUUAAAAAUAAUAACUAAAUAUUUAUGAUGUGAUGUUGAUUCCACUAGUUCAGCCAGUGGUUGACCCACUAGUUGAUCCAAAGGCUUUUUACUCUGUAACAUUUUUAGGUCGUUGUUCGACCCAAUUUUUAAAACAUUGUGGUGCAGGACACAAAUGGCACCCAAAUUUUGCACAAUCCAAUGCCCAAACAUUUUGGAGCUAAUUAUAUGGGAAUACGUAAAAUUUCUGCAUACUGUAGUCCACUUGGUAUUAAGGUGUCUAACUAUUUGGCAAACAGAAUUUGCAUAUAUAAAGUUAUAUUUUCCUUUUUUUUUUUUCGUAGAAUUACAAAAUUUAUAUUUUAACCAAAAAAUUGCGGUAUACGUUUAUUACUUUCGAAAGCAUAUUAUUUUUAUAUAGGGAUAAUUACCUAUAUGCCCCUCAUAUGUUUGAAAAUAUCCGAUUUACCCUUUUUUUUCUAAAAUAUCACUCAUAUGUUCCACCGUUAUUGCAAAAUACUUCCGCAGUUAUCUCCUGUUAAGUUAAUCUGGGUUAAACAUGAGUUAAAUAUCUACCACAGUUAAAAAAAAUUAAAAUGCCAAUUUUAUCCUUAACAUAGGGGUAAAUAAAAAAGGUUGGUGAUGGUAGAGAAAUAUAUUGGAAAAGACUAAAAGUCAAAACACUUUUUGUGCCCCUGAUUUUAAGGACAAAUAAGAAAGACAGUGAUGGUGGAAUGGUAUAUUUGAAAGGGCAAAAUAGUAAUUUUACAGAGAUAACAGAGUUACUUAACAUAUUUUAACUCUAAGGGUAUAUUAGAAAUAGGUUGGAACGUAGGAGAGUUAUUUUCAAUAUUAGCCUUCUAAGAGGAGUAAAUCAGAAAGUUAGGAACUUUUCAGAAAUAUAUAAGUAAUUACCCCCUUUAUAUAAUAUUUUAUUAUCGUAGGUAAUGCAAUCUGCUUGCAAUUUGGAACGAAACCUAAAAUUCUAUCUAGAAUUGUAGGAUGUAUGUGUUUUGUACGCUACAGAAUGUCAUCAAAUCAUAUUGGUCGCAAUGAUUGAUUAAGAUAAAAUUUUUAAUUACGAUCCUGUAGAAAAAUAUAAAAAUAUAUUUUAAUAGUGUUAGGUACCAAAUAAGAAGUAAGUGGUCACACAUUAAUUUUUUAGAAAAGACAAAGGUCCUUAAAAAGCUAUUUUCGAGCUAGCCCUAAGAAGUGUCACUUGUAUUUUAUUCAAAAUUUUCAAAUAUUACGUUAUCAAAAAAAAAAAAAAAAAUCAAGUUUGGAGAUUCAAUUUUUGAGGUCUAAGAUUAAACAUUUACUAUUGAAAUUGCAAACCUUUCAUAUAAUCAUUAUUUUAUAUUAUUGCUUCACAUCGUAAAGAAACUACUCUGUCAUGUUACUAGAAACCAAAAGCCAAAUAAUUUAAUUGUGGGAAUAGUGAUUUGCAAUAAAGCACAAAUCUGAAUAAAACAAAAUCUAAUUAAUCUGAGGUGGUUUGUUUAACUUUAACUAUUUUAUUUGGAUAAUUCGUACUGAGUUAAGAUGCUGCAAAUAGAAUAAUAGCAAUUAUUAUCAGAUGAAACCAUUAAUUAAAUGACUUGGUUUGAUCUAAAAGUCAUAAACAAUGUCGCUUCUGUAAACAAGGUCAUAAAAAAAGAGAAAUGCUUAACAUAAACCUCCAAAUGGGAUAUAUAUAUAUCUUUUAUUCAAACUGUCCAGAAGUUAAAACGACCCACUUGAGUUUUAUUAUUAUUAUUAUUAUUAUUAUUAUUAUUAUUAAAAGAGAAUGUCAUAAGUUUAAUGAGAUAGAAUUAAGUAUUAGAUGAAUAAAGAUUAUAAAUACUAACCAACUAUUUCAAACAUAUACGCUGAUAGAAAGAAAUUAAUCACCCGUCGCACUUAAAAGUUCAACUACAACACACAAAGAAUUCAACCUCACUUAAUUUAUCUGAAUGUUAGAUAUAUUGUUAGGCCUCUUACCAUUAAUAAAUAACCAACGAUCCUCUCAACCUAUCUGAAUAUUAGGUCUAUUGUCGGCUCAAAUACAAUACUCGUGGAUAGGCUUAUCUAAGAUUGAAUCUAUUUUAAGCAAUAAUAAAUAACCAACAAUACCCUCAACAUCUGCAUCGUUAAUACAAUAUGUGGGAAUCAAAUCCGCGUUACUGACUCUGAAACUAUUUGUAGAUCGUAAAUACUAAUCAAUUAUUUCGAAAGCAUGUGUUGAUGAAAGAGCGCACUGGUCGCACUUAAGGGUUCAAAGUGCUCACGGAUUUCGACCCGACUCAACCUAACUCGACGUUAGAUUUAUUGUUUAACCUAACUUGACAUCACGUCUAUUGUAGAUCUCAGUUUCACUCAAUUUAUUACGGUUCAUCCACCUCAGAUUAUUAUUUUUCUAAUCCUAUUACCAGGGGACAGAAGCCCUAUUUUAGGAGGAAUUCUACACUGUCACACUUGCACCACGUCAUCAAUAACAAGCCAAUCAUAUCCCUUCUUUUCAAACAAAAGUACAAUAAAAAUACUUUUUUACAAUCAUGAUGGGAUAUAUAUAUUCUUAAAAGAAUUAAUUUGAUUGGUUUGUUACGCUACGGCACUAAUAUACCCGUUGCAUUCUAGAAUUUUUUCUAUUUUAGACAAUAAAAGAAAAAUAUGUACUAAAUCAUGCCAAAGAAAAAGACCAAAAAAAAAAAAAGAAAAAAAGUAUGGCUUUUGGAGGAGUGAGAUAAAAGACGAGACAUCUGAUAUCAGAAAAGCUGAGACUGAUAUACAAACAUCUUCUGACUACAUUGGUUGGGUAUAUUUUGUCUCCAUAUAUAAAGGGUGAAUAUUCCAAAUAUUUAUUAACUAUUUAAUUAAUUAAUUAAAACUUGAUUCCCAAGAUAUCUAUGCAGGAAGUUGCCGUGACCAAUUCCCACUUCACAAAUAAUAAUAGUAAUAAAUAAAUAAAAUAAAAUAAGAAAAACCCAAGAAAUUCAGAUUUUUUUUUUUUGAGAGAUAGAUAGCACGCUAUCCGCUUCGUUUAUUUCAUUUAGAAAUAAACUUAGCUAGAAAUAUGAAUAAAUUAGGAUUCGAACUUGAGUCUCGAGUACCAACCAUUAAGCCAUAUAGGGGAUUAACUAUCCUUGUUAAUUUUAGGUCUUAGGUGGAAAUUAAGUACAUAUAUUGACACUUCUAUAAAAUUAUUAGGGUAAACUUCAAAUACCUCCCGUGGUUUCACACUUUCUCACUUUAGUACCGUGUGGUUUAAAGUGUAUCAAGUUAGCUUAUGUGGUUUCGUACUUUUUUACUUUAGUACCCUGUGGUUUAAAAUGUAUCAAUUUUGUACCUUGUGGUUUCAUUUUUCUCUUUUUAUUAUUCAUUUUACUAAUUUUUUUCGUUAAAUCAGUAACAAAGUUUAAAACUAAAUGGUGCUGAAGUAAAUAUUCGAUAAACUUAGAUAGUGUAUUUAAAGUUUUUUUAUAUAUAAUUUAACGAAAUAUUAAUAGAGGAAAAAAAUUAAUGACAAAGUUAAAACAAAAGGAUAUCAAAAUAAAUAUUCGAUAAACCUAGAUAGGGUAUUUGAAAUUUUUUGUAUAUAAUUUAACGAAAUAUUAACAGAUGAGCCGAUGAAAAGAGAAAAAUGAAACUAUAAGAUACUAAAUUUAUGCACUUUAAAUCAUAGAAUAUUAAAGUGAGAAAGUACGAAAUCACAUGGUACUAAAUUAAUACACUUUAAACUAUAGGGUACUAAAGUGAAAUAAUGCGAAACCGGAGUGGUAUUUAAAGUUUUCCAAAAUUAUUAUUUUGUUUUCUUGCUUGGUGGUCACGAGUAACUUUCUGUGUGACCUCAAUCUAUUCAAUUAUCAAAAAAGAGUGUGGCUAAAAUAUUACCAAUAGUAAAUUAAUGAGUUUUGGUAUCACUAUUUUAUUUUUUAAUAAUAAGAUAUUAAUUAUAUCAUUAAAUAUAAUCUAAAAUAUAUAAAGUAUUUAUAAACUAAUUUUUAUGUCUUUGGAUAUAAAUUAUCAAAUGGUCCAACGGACCCAGUAGGGGUAUUUAUUCAUUAGUGGCUGAGAAUAAUCCAAAAUAAUUAUAUUUUUAUUAGAAAAAUCUAUAAACUAUUUGAAUCAAGAUCAAUACACUGGAUACUGGACGCAAGAAUAUUGUCCUUGAUUUUUAGGUUUUAGCGUAUUUGCUUUCUCCUGUAUAUGUAAGCGGCCGCUUGAUGCACAAAAAGAUAAUUUCGAAAAGUAUAAUUUUAAUUUUUUAAGAGAAAUGCAAAGUUUACGAUCCAUUUUGGGUUGUAACAUAAGCAAUCGUUAAUCCUAGGGUUAUAACAACACUCUAACAUUUACUUAGUAAUAAGACUAGUAUAAAAUUUAUGAUCUUUGGAUUCGAUUGCUAUUUAAACCGAGAUGCGGUUCUACAGGUAUCAUUGCUCAUAUUUUAAAUGGUUUAAAUUACAUAGUAUCGAUUUGAAUAUUUUAUCAUUAUAAAUAAAUCAGUAGUAUCAAACACAUUUAUCAAUACUUAUUUAAGUAUUUAGCAACCGUCGGAACCCUAUCUCGUCGGUUGCGUCGCGGAGGAGGAGAAGGAGAAGAGCGAGGGGCUCUUCGUCUAGUAUUUCAGUGGAUUGAGUGAGUGAAGAAGAGGAGAUAAUGAUCGAUUUUUCUUCUUCUUUUAUUUUUCUUUUCUGUUUGUAAUCGGAACAAAUAGGUUCGAUGGGAUGGGCUGAAUAAAAUAAUCUUUUAUUUUUGAUUGAAUUAGAAUUCAUAUAUAUUUAGGCCUUAGUAGAAUUUUUUAAAAGUUUUGUCAUAAAUGAGACAUUUACACAAAAAUAUUCUAAAAAUAUGUUCCUAUAAACUGAUUCUGUUGUAACGUGAUCAUAUCCAAAAGCUGCAAAUAAAUAAAUAAAUAAAAUAAAAUAAAAAAAUCAGGGUGCAGGUCCACAUAGUUUACAUUAGCGGAGCCCUGCAUCCGCAUAACAUUUUUAUGCGAAGGUUGGGAUUAAAGAGGUCCUCAUGAAUUUGAAUAAUUGUUAGUGUAAAAACAAAAAAAAAAAGAUCUUUUCUUUAAUCCAUUUAGGAAUCAAAGUUGAUUUCCAUCUCUAUGGAAGAAAUCAUUUUCGAAAAAUUUGAUUUUUUGAUAUAAAAAUCAGAAGGUCACAUUUCCAUCUCUAUCGAAGAAAUUAUUUUCGAAAAAUUUGAUUUCGUGAAAUAAAAAUCAGAAUGUCAAUCCCAUAGCUCAAAUACUAAUAAUAAAGAUGAAUUAUUUUCGAUUCUGAUUCCAAAUCUUAGUAAGUCCAUCAAAUCAAACACAUCUUUAGUUAAUUCUUUUCCUUAGUCUAAUAUGGGCGUUGUUCUCAAUGCGUUUUAAUACAAAUUACCAAUUAAGUUUGGAUUUUCUUGCACAGCAACAAUUCUAUUUUAUGAUAUUUUCCAACAUUUUAUCUGUCUUUUUAUAUUAUUUAGAUUAGUUGAUUGAGUCAAACAUGACAAAAAAAAAAAUCUCACAUUAUUGAAUGGACAAAUCGAAUUGUGUAAGGUCUCCUUAAUUAAUAUUCUUAGACUUGGCGUACGUACAUACAGAUUGGACAUCUCACGUGCAGAUCAUUGUACCCAUAGGUUAUGCAGGCGCAGAUAAAAUUUACCCAUAGAAUUUUGGAUAUCUAUCAUCCUUACUUAUACCUGUCCGCGGGUGGGCGAGCUGGUAUAUCGGUUACUCGUAAUAUUUUCUUUUCUUUUUUUUUUUUCUCUUUCUAUGGUUAUACUUUUCAAACACAAAUAAUAUAUAUCAUGAAAUGUAGGCCAGAAAAGGCAGAAUGAACUGCAGGCUGCAGGGCCAAGCAGGCCUUAAUUUUAAUGGAAGAAAGAGAAUUACCAACAAGCUGAAACCAGUGACAGUGGCAAAGGAGGUGGCCAUGGAAGCACCAGAGAGAUCCAGCUCCCCAAAGUGGCCAACAAACAUCAAUGAUAUCACCCUUAUAAUGUUUUGCAAAAGGUUCCCUGCUAUGAGAGGCCCUGCUAACCACAGCUGCUUCUUUACUUCACUUUGUAUGACCCCCUCUAACCCUUCUCUCCUAUUUCUGGAACUUGUGGUGAGCAGAGGAGCCUCUAGGCUUAUUGGUUGCUCCAUCUCUCCUUAAUCACACAUACUCUCUCUCUCUCCCUAGAUCUCUCUCUUUCUCUCUAAGUGGCUAGAGAGGGAGGAGUGGCCAUUUUGAGAAAAGAAGACAAUUUGUCUUUCUCUUUGUUGUGAGGGCAAAUUAUGUCACUUGCCAAUUAUUAAUAAAGGUAUAAAAGAAUAUAGAACUUAACUUAAUUAUAUAUAUAGGGUGUUUUUGAAAAGUGAUUUCAGAGUCAAAAGUAACUUUCGGCCUAAUUGGACGUUCGACAAUCUUAUUUUCAAAAUCUAAUUCUGAUUUAAAUUAGAAUUAGCUAAACUUGCUUUUUGAAAUCUGGUUCUGAUUUUGGAAUCAAAUUUCAAAAUUUUAUUUUAAUUUUCGACUUAAAAUUUAAUUUUAAUUUUAAUUUUAAUUUCAAUUUUUAACAUUUAUUUUUGAAUUUUUAAAUUUUAAAUUUCAAAUUUUUAAAUUUGAAAUGUCCAAUUUUAAAUUUGAAUUGAUUUAUAUUUUAGCCUUUAAUUUACAGUGUAGAUUUGAAAUGUUUUCAUAAUUGUCAAAUAUAUUUUUUAAUUCAAAAAAAAUUUAAAUUUUUAGAAUAACUUAGUUUUUAUUCAAUUUAAUUAUUUGGAAAUAUAUUUGUAAAAUAUUUAUUUAUGCAAAUAUUAUUUUUGUCAACUUUAAAUUUUAUUACUCCAGAAAAAUUUUUUUAAUCUAAACUCAGCCAAACGCUUUAUAGCUUUUAACCAAAAUUAUUUUUCUAAACCAACAUCAAUUCUACAGAAAUCACUUUUCCACAAUCUAAGCAAAACGGGCCCAUAGACAUUUUGAAUUUUCUAUCUAACCUUUCAAAAUUUUGAUUUUAUCAUUUUACCCUUCAAUGUAUUUGAUUAGAGCUCGUCAACGGUACUGUGAUUUCAAAAUUUAAGUUAAUUAUUUUCUUUAAUAAACUUAUAUAUUAUUGCGAGAAUCGUAUGAAAUAUACUAACUAAACUUUUAAAAUAAAUGAUGCAUUCAAAUUUUGAAUUCAAAAUAUUGUUCACUAACUGAAAUCAAAUAAGUUGAAACGGUAAAAUCAAAAUUUUGAAAGGAAGCUAUAUCAAAAUGGUCCAUAGUUUGGAAAAGUAUUAAUUGUAUGUUUCUAUCUUAUUAAAAUAGUAAUGCUACAUGUACGCCCAAAAAGUAUGCAUAAAUCUUAUACCUUACCAAUUUAAUAAUCAAUAUUUUCACAUUACUUCAAUUAAAUUUUAAUAUUUAAAAUCCAAAGAAGCUUUCUAAAAUUUUGGAUGGUGUAGUGUAAGAUUUACAUCUCACAUUUUUUAUAUACAAAUAGUAUUUCUUUUACUAAGAAAAUGAUUACUAAUAAUAGAUCUGCAGAUCUAAUUUGUAUUGUCUUUUUUUUUUUUUUUUUUUUUUUUUUAAAAAAAAGAGAGAUAGGUAGCACACUACCCGUUUCGUUUAUUUCAUAAAAGAAAUAAACUUAGCUAGAAAUAUGAACAACUAGGAUUCGAACUUGGGUCUCGGGUACCAACCAUCAAGCCCUUUACCACUUGCUUUAGGGACGGUCGGUAUCAAAAUUGUAUUAUCAGUUAACAGUUUAUAAGGCUUGUGAUGCGGCCAAUUUUGCAUUAGAAUUCAUGGGGAAGCUUGACUAUAAGAAGUUAGGUCGAAAAUUCCAUUGAGUUCGGCAAAUUCUACAAACAAUUUGUAAACUUUUUUAAGCCGUCAUAAUAUUUUUUUGCGUAGUUGUCCGCUUUAGUAUGCAAGUCCAAUUUGAAACAUUUUUUAAGAUCUAUGCACCUAACAGCACUGUUUCUGCUGAGUUUCUGACCCAAAUUUAAUUAUUUACACCUCCCAACUUGCACUUUUAGACUACUUUUGAAAAGAAUUUAUAUUUUUCCUGUUUUGAGACAAAUUAAUGAGUUGGUUAUAGUUAUUCUGGUCAAAUUAAAUUUAGAAAUAGGCUAAAUUAUAGAAAACCUUUCUCUCAAUAUCCGCUUUUUAUGUUAUUCAAAAACCUACACUUAUUCCUUUAAAAAAUAAAAAAUAUUCACAUGGGGGUACGCUGUGGCAAAACAACCAAAUUGCCCAUCAUCUUCUUCAAGAUGGGUGUAGACGGAGAGGUGGGCGAGGACGAGGGCGAGGGUGAGGUGGCGGAGGCGGGCGAGGGCGUGUGUGCGGGCAUGGACAGAGAGGUAAGCGAGAGUGGGGCGGCGGACGGCGAGGCGGCGCGGCCGAGGAUGAGGAAGAAGAAGGAUUUCGGGAAUAUUUUGGGUAUAAAAAAUAGAAUGUAAAUGGAACUCUAACGGAACACUAACGAUGGGAUUAAAAUGAAUUUUUUUUUUAUUUUUUAAGGAGGCAAAGCGUAGAUAUUUGAAUGACAGGGGGGAAAGUGAAAAACGGAUAUUGACAUAAUUUUUUUUAUAACUUAGCCAUAUAAAUAUUUUAUAUUAUGUUAUUUUUUAUACUAGCAGGAUUCUGAUAUCACCUAUGUAAACAUAUGACAUUCGAUUAAUGUAAGCAGUCUAGAGUUUUGAUGAAUAAUAUUUUUCUCUUUUUGAAUAAUUUUUUUCUUCACGUCUCACUCUUUCUUUAUUUAUACUCUUUUCCUCUCAACGCAAUUUAGACCUGCGUCAAUUUGGAAGUACUUAAGAGCAAUCUAAAAAAGAGAAUUAAAUACGCAAUCUAGACCAUUCAUUGCUCUUCAAAUAUAAAGAGUUGUAAGAAAAAGACAUUAAUUCAAACUAUAGCGCAAAUAAAAUUAGUGACAAGCGGGUAAAAUUGAGUAAUUAGUUUCUAUUUUGUUUGUGGGUCCUUCAUUAAAUCUGAUUGUUAAUUAUUUUUAUACGUGAACUGUAACUAAAAGAUAAUAAAAUAAAAUGGGAUAAUUGGCAAAAUAGAUUCGGGAUACGUGAAACACAUAAAAAGUAAAAUGUUGUUCGAAGACGACGCUACCCAUCUCUUGCUAUCAGAUCCGUCCCGUUCGCAUCCCCAUCUCUCGCUAUCCUCCCCCCCCAGAUGCGACCUAUUUCUAGCGAUCAGAUCCGUCGCGUUCGCAUCCUGAUCGCAUCCGAAUCUCCACAUCCACCCACCCACCCCGGACGGGACCCAUCUCUCGCUCUCAGAUUUGUCCUGUUCGCAUCCCGAUCGCAUCCGAAUCUCCACACCCACCCACCCCCCAAUCUCUCGCUCUCAGAUUCGUCCCAUUCGCAUCCCGAUCGCAUCCGAAUCUCCACACCCACCCACCCCCCAAUCUCUCGCUCUCAGAUUCGUCCCUUUCGCAUCGCCAUUCGUCCCAAUUAAUUGAUUUGUCCACCAUAUAUGUUCCUGUUCCUAUAAUGUUUUUAACUUUUGGAUCUACCUUUUGGGCUAUUGAAUAAAAAAUUUAGUAAUAAAGUUAUUGGCGGGGUCUAUUAUUGUGUAUGACAUAAGGAUUGUUAGGGUUGAUCCAAUGAGCCAAAAAGGUUAUAACACCAACAUUUUAGCGCUUCUAAAAGCAUUUCGGUUGGUCUCUCUCUCUCUCUCUCUCUCUUUUAUAUAUAUAUAUAUAUAUAUAUAUAUAUAUAUAUAUAUAUAUAUAUAUAUCGGCUACUGUACUCUUAUCAGUAUCAUCGUCUUCGUACUCAUAAAUCGUUUUCGAUGAUAGAACUUCCGAACCGACAAUCUGUCAGAUCGUUGGCGCUAACCAUUAAUCCCAAAAGCUCGAGCUGUUAAAAAUAUAUAACCAAUUCACUUAAAGCGUACAGAUACAACGCCCACAGAUCUCGAUUAUGACUCGGCCCACCCAGCCUCACGCCACUUUGAACAUGGCUUGGCUUACCUAGCCUCACGCCACUUCGAACAUAAUUCGGCCCAACAUAGCCUCCCGCCAUAAGGCAGGACUCUAGCAUCUGCAACAUGCAGGAAUUGAACUCUUGACCUCUGCCUCUGAUACCACUUGUCAGAUCGUUGGCGCUAACUAAAAAGCUCAAGCUGUUAGAAAUACGCAACCAAUUCCACUUAAAGCGUACAAAUACAGCGCCCACGGGUCUCGAUUGUGACUCGGCCCACCCAGCCCCACGCCACUUAUAACAUGACUCAGCCCACCUAUCCUCACGCCACUUUGAACAUGACUCGGCCCAACAUAGCCUCUCGCCACAAGGCAAGAUGCUCUUAGGUUCAUCCCAUUCGCAUCCCCAUCUCUCGCUCGUUGCUAGAUCCAUCCCGUUCGCAUCUCCACCCCCUCCCUUCCUACCCAUUUCUGGCUAUCAAAUAUGUCCUAUUCGCAUCCCGAUCUCUCGGCAUCCCCAUCUCUCACUCUCAGUUCCGCCCCAAUUAAUUGAUUUGCCCACCAUAUAUGUUUCUAUAAUGUUUUUAACUUUUGGAUCUACCUUUUUGACUAUUGAAUAAAAAAUUUAGUAAUAAAGUUAUUUAUGGGGUCUAUUAUUGUGCAUGAUGUAAGUAUCGAUAGGGUUGAUCAAAUGAGCCAAAAAGAUUAUAACACCAACAUUUCGGCGCUUCUAAAAGCAUUUCGGUUAAUGGUCUCUCUCUCUCUAUAUAUUAUAUAUAUUUCUAUAGAGUGCGGCUACUAUACUCUUAUGAGUAUUAUCAUUUUCGUACUUAUAAGUCAUUUUCGAUGAUAGAGAUUUCGAACCGACAAUCCAUACCGUCAAAUAUUAUCUACAGUAUUUGAAACUUAUAACAGUUAAAUUUUAUAAUUUUUCGAUAUUAUUUAACUUAAGAUCAAAAUAUCUCAAAGUUGACUGUUAGUUAUUUAUUAUUGGGCUAAAAUAGGUUUAACUUCCUGCCCUGUGACAAUUGACCAAGGAGACAAAUAGAUUGAGUUGGGUGAGUCUAAUAAGUUAAGUGAUAGUGUGGUCAAUAAUAGACCUAACGACAGAGGUCCAAUAAUAGACCCAACAUUCAGCUGGGUUGAUUCAAGUUGAAGCCCGUGAGCACUGUGGCUGAACACUUAAGUGCGAUGAGUGCACCCUUCCUAUCAGCACAUGCUUUUGGGACAGUUGGUUAGCGCUUAUGAUCCACAUUGACAACUUUUAACGAUCGGCAUGAAAUAGUUGUUAGUUUAACGAUAUAAAAGAAUCAAAAUUAGUUGAAUUUUUUAUGAAAAUUUUAUUCACUAUCUAUAUAAUGUUUAAUAAUAUGGAUUGUCGGUUUUCAUAUCAUCUAAAACGACUUAUGAGUAGGAAUGCGGUCAUAUUCAUCAGAGUAUUGUAGUCUUAUUUUCUUCGAGUCAAACUACUGUACUCUUAUGAGUGCUUAGCCCUUGGAUAAAGCGAUGUGUGGUUAGAAUGAUAUAAAUUCUCUAGGAUUGAAUGUGCGGUUGGUUGAAUAGUAUGAUCUACGUUAACGGAUGGAAAUAGUCAAAGGAGCAGAUGUAAUGGCGGAAAACUUAGUAACAUAAAGCGCUUAGUACUAUUAAUAGCAUAAUAGUCGGACUAUAUAUAUAUACAUAGAGAGAGAGAGAGAGAGUAGAGCUACUAUGCUAUCGGAAGCAUAGAGGAUCUUGGUGCUUCCGAUUUUUUGACCCUUAGAUCAGCCCUUUUAAUCAUUUAUAACCUUUGGAUUAAUACUAUUAUUCUAUGAGGACCACUCAACCCUAGGGGUACUGCUCAACGCUAGGAGGGAUCGUAAUCAUCCCAAAUGUACAAUUCUUAAUUCAUGGGUCAAAAAAUCGAAAGCAUCAAAUCUUCUAUGUUUUCGAUAGCAUAGUAGCUAUAUAAUUUUUAUGAAUAAUUUGGUGGCAUUAAAACUUUUUAUUAUAAAUAUUUAAUGUUAGAGAAACUGCACUCUGAUUUUUCCUUUGAAGAAAAAAGAAGAAUAAUGUUAAAUAUAAAAGUAUUUAAAUAUUAUUUUUUAAUUAAUAUGAUAUCAGAACAGAAGGUCUUGAGUUCAAGUCACGUCAGGUCACGUCUAAGUUUCUAGCAUUAUUAAUUUUGUCUUAUUUAAUUCAAAUCCAUAUUAUGGGUCUAGCGAAUAGUCUCGAAUCCGGACGUCAGCGCGCGAGAAUGAGCUUUGACGAUAAUGGUUGUUUCGUAUUAUUUAGCAAAGAAAGUCGCAUUUCUUUUUUUCAAUAAUUCCUAUUUCUUUAAGAUAAUUAUUAACUAAAUAAAAGAGAGAGAGAGAGAGAGAGAGAGAGAGAGUAGAAUAUUAGUAAAUAAAUAAUGUAAACAGGUACAUAAAAAGAUUGUGUGCGAAUCAAGAAGAAGAAAUUUGUUUCCAAUAACCCAGCCUGCAAUUUAUGGAUAUGCUAUAUAUCUGUAGCCAAUCUGGAUCAAAUAUUAAUUAUUAGGCAGAUGUUAGUAAAAAAAAAAAAUUAUUUAGGAAUAUUUUGGGAAUAAAAAUUGAGAGAUCCAAAAAUUAUUAUGGACAUAUUAUGAGUGAAGGCAAAUUUAAUUCUAUAUUUAAUUUUUUGGUAAAACGUGUGCAGGACACCCAAAUUAUUGUGGGAUUAUUUGGCGUUGCCACCGCUCAAUCCUAAGUAGGGGUGGUAAUCCAGCUCAUGUUCGGCUCGGAAUGAGCUCGCGAUCGAAUUGCUUGCUUAAUAAACAAGAUGAAAACGAGCUGAAUUUUUCAACUCUUUUAAUAAACGAAUCGAACAUGAGCUGGGGUCAACUCGCUCGUGUUCGGCUCGAUAAAAACUCGAAUACAUAUAUAUAUAUAUAUAUAUAUAUAUAUAAGUCCAACUCAAUUAUAGAAAAAUCAUUUAUAUGUAAGGUUUCAACUAUCAGAUCAAAAUCAAAUCGGUAAGAUCUUAUAAAUUUAUUUUCUAUACGUAUCAUUUAUAUUUGUUUUAACUUUUUAUGCAUUAGUCAGCUCGUAUUUGGCUCGUGUUUGGCUCAUCAAUAAAUGAGCUGAAUUUUUCGGCUUGAUAAUUUAACGAGCCAGCUCGUGCUCGACUCCUUUAGAAAUCAAGCCGAACACGAGUCGGUGUCAGCUCGCUCGUGUUCGGCUCGUUGACACCCCUAGCCGAACAUAACAUGCUUCGAGGAGGUCAAUUCACAGCGAAAAACCUAAGCCAAUUAAAAGCUUAGAGUUCUCAGUCUUUAAAAACUUCCUCGUUCUUAAUUAAUAAAACUUUUAUAUGUUUUCUUUCAUCAUCAACAAAUGAAAGCAAAUAUGGUAAAAAAGUUUAAGGACAGAGUACUUCUUGUGUUCAGAAUCAUGGGUAUUGAUCUUGAUUCAAAUAGUUUAAAGAGUUUUCUAAUAAAAAAUUAAAUCAUUUUGGAUUAUUCUCUACUACUAAUGAAUAAAUAAUUAACAUUGAAAAAUAUAGAAAUUAGCUUUUAGGCACUUCAUAUAUUUUAGAUUAUAUUAAUCUUUUUUUUUUCUUUUUGAGGGAAAGUACGUCAUGAGGUGAUCUUAUUUAAUUAAUCAGUGGAUACAGAUUUGAGAAAAUUCAUCAAUAAAAGACUAAAAAGAAAGUUUAUUUGCCUGUGAGUCCCCAAGUGGCUAAGCAAUCCGCAAUUAUAGCAUGUUUAAAAAAUCUCGAAUUCCAUAUGAAGUUGAAGAAAUUGAAUCUCUCUGUAAAAAACCAUAGUUCCAUGAUUUUUAUCCGAGCUUCAGGUGUUAGCGAAUCUGAGUGAUAACUCCUGCGGUACAAAGCUUUGAUGAUGGAUGCUGAAUCUGAGAAAAUAUAAAAAGUUUUUCCAGGAUACAUUUGCAAAAGAAGCUCUGUCACUCGAGAGAUUGCUACAUUUAGAUUAUAUUAAUCAGUAUAAUUCAUUGAUUCAAGUGCCCCUAUUACUAAAAAAUAAAUAAGUAAUAUCGAAACUCAUUAAUUUACCAUUGAUGACAUUUUUGGUCAAACUUGCUCUCGAUAUAUAAUUCAAUAGACAGAGAUUGUGGAUCGUACUAAUAAUAACAAUAACAAUAAUAAUAAUAAUAAUAAUAAUAAUCAUAAUAAUAUGGCAAUUUCGAGAAGUUUCAAUGCAUGCACCGUUUACAUGCGACAAAAAAUUAACAAGGAUAUUUGAUCUCUACGGGUCAUUGACAACCUCUUGAUUAUUUUUUUAUAAUUAUUUAUUUUUAAGAAUAAUUAUUUAUAUAUUUUUGAAAAUUUUUGGACUUUUUUAUUAACCUUACUUAGAAAAAUAUUAAAACAACCGUUAUCUUUAUAAAUUAAGGAAAACUUCAAAAACCCUUCCGGUGGUUUCGUAGUUUCUUACUUUGCCCUCCUGUGAUUUAAAAUGUAUCAAUUUGCCCCCAUGUGAUUUUUUUUUCUCUUUUUCUUAUCAAUUUUAUUAUUUUUUUUUCUUAAAUCAGUGAUAAAGUUAAAAUUAAAGGGUACUAAAAUGAAUAUUUGAUAAAUCUAGAUGGGCAUUUGAAGUUUUUUGUAUAUAAUUUAAUAAAAUAUUAACGAAAAAGCUACCGAAAAGAUAGAAACGAAAUCACAGGGGGGCAAAUUGAUACACUUUAAACCACAGAGUACUAAAGUGAGAAACUACGAAACCACGGGGAGUUUUUUAAAGUUUUUUCUCUAAAUUAUUACUUUGUCUUUUUAAAUAUACUUUCUAUCGUUACCAAUUUUUUUAUUAAUUUGUCCUUAAGUUGUUGAUAAAAAAAUAUAUAUUUUAAAAUUUUUUUAACUCAGUACAAAUUUUAUCUGGAUUUAAUUCGAAAUUACUUAAUGGAUACUAAGAGCGAAAUUAUUUGAAACAAAAUAUAUAAUUAUCCUUGUAUUUUUAUAUCUGAAGUAAAAUUGGUCACGGCAGCAUCCGACAUAGAUCUAUCUCUUGGGAACCAAGUUUCAAUUAAUUAAUUGAUAAUUAAUUAAUAUUUGGUAGAGAUAAGAGUGUGGGGGAAUUAGUAUUCACCUCUUGUGUCGUAGACUCCCUUUGUGAUGGAGACAAAAUAGUCAACUAAUAAGUCAUAACACGUUUGUAUACAUAUUUGUCUCACAAAAACAGAGCUUUCCAAAAGAAAGAUGAACAGUCUUCUUUCUCCGCCCUCAAUAGUCAUACUUUUUUUUUCUUUUUUUCUCUUCUUUUUCUGUCUUUUCUCUACUUCUUUUUGACUUAGUUAUUUCUCUGCCCUCUGCCCUCAGUAGCCAUACUUUUAUUUUAUUUUAUUUCUUUUCUGUCCUUCUCUUUAACUUGUUUGAUAUAUAUAUAUAUAUAUAUAUAUAUAGAGUGAGGCUACUAUGCUAUCGGAAGCACGGAGCCUUCCGUGCUUCCAGCUCGUUUUCGAUGUUANAUAGAGAGAGAGAGAGAGAGAGAGAGAGUUGGACUAGGCUACUAUUAGUAGCAAAAUUUCAUUAUUGCUAUCAGUUUUUUAGCCUUUGGAUCAACUCUUUUCAUCAUUUCUAACUAUUGGAUUAAAUACUAUAACCCAGUGGAGACCACUCAACUCUAACUGACUAAUAUCAUCCUAAUCCUAUAAUUUUUCAUCUAAGGGUUAAAAACUUGAUAGCAAAAAGUGCAUUUUACUACUAAUAGUAUUUCAGCCUAAUUAUAUAUAUAUAUAUAUAUAUAUAUAUAUAUAGUCCGACUGGAAUACUAUUAAUAGCAUCAAGGGAUUGGUGCUAUCGAGUUUUACACCGUUAGAUUCAAGCACCCACUCAACCCUAGGGGCCCACAUCAUCCUAACCGUACAUUUCUCAAUCUAAGGGCUAAAAAACUAAUAACACUAAUAGCUUGGUUCUAUUGAUAGUAUUCCAGCAUAGAUAUAUAUAUAUAUAUAUAUAUAUAUAUAGAGAGAGAGAGAGAGAGAGAGAGAGAGAGAGAGAAAGAAAUAGAGAGUUAGGCUCCUAUACUUUCGAAAAUAUAGAGGCUUCCGGACUUGUAAGUUAUUUUUGUUGAUGGGGCAUCUGAUUUGGAGAUCGACUUCGUUAGACAUGAUUUACGCUAUUCGAAUUAUUUAGAAACCAAAUUUUAUAAUUUUUUUACUUCAUUUGCCUGGUAAACAGGUAGGCUCAAAAUGAACGGCUGAAAAUAAAAAUCUCGUAAAAUAUAGUGAAAAAAGACUCAAAUUUCAAAUUGGAAAUAUUGUUCUUACUCUUGAUGUUAAGUAGAAUUUUCUAUUAAAGUUUUAUGUAAUUUGGAUUCUUCUACACCGUUGAACUUUAAAACGUGCCACAUCGGCCGUUAAAAUAGUCAUUUUUGAGACUCUUUGAUCACUUGGUAAAUGAUGUCAAAAAAUUAUGAAAUUUGGUUUUUAAAUAGUUCUAAAAGCGUAGAUCAUGUCUAACGGAACCGAUCGCCGAAUCAGAUGCUCUAUCAUCAAAAAUAACUUAUAAGCACGAAGGCCCCCGUACUUUCGAAAAUAUAGAAGACGUACUCGAUAUAUAUAUAUAUAUAUAUAUAUAUAUAUAUAUAUAUAUAUAUAUAUAUAUAUAUAUAUAGUCCAGCUGCUAUACUAUCGGUAGCAUGGGGCCUCCCGUGUUACCAAGUUGUUUUCGAUGAUGCGGUUUCCAAAUCGACGAUCGGCUCUGUUAGACUUAAUCUACACUAUUAAAAGUAUUUGAAAACUAAAUUUUAUAAUUUUUUGACAUCAUUUGACUAGUGAUCAAAAGAUCUCAAAAUUGACAAUUGUAAUGGCCGAUGUGGCGUGUUUUUUAGUUUAACGGUGUAAAACAAUUCAAAUCCGAUGAAAAUUUUAUUGAAAUUUUUUUUCACUAUUUAGAGUAAGAUCAGUAAAUCUGAUCUUAAAUUUAAAUCUUUUAUCAUUAUUUUUUAUGAGAUUUUUAUUUUCAGCCGUUCAAUUUUAGACUAUUUGUUUGAUAGGUAAAUGAUAUCAAAAAAUUAUGAAAUUUAUUUUCCAAAUAUUUUUAAUAGUGUAGAUCAAGUCUAACGGAGCCGAUCGUCGAUUUGAAAGCCACAUCAUCGAAAACAACUUGGUAGCACGGGAGGCCCCGUGCUAUCGAUAGUAUAGUAGCCGAACUCUCUCUCUCUCUCUCUCUCUCUUUCUCUGUAUAUAUAUAUAUAUACAUAUGUAUAUGUAUAUAUAUAUAUAUAUAUACAUAUACAUAUGUAUAUAUAUAUAUAUACAUAUGUAUAUAUAUGUAUAUAUAUGUACAUAUAUGUAUAUAUAUGUAUAUAUAUGUACAUAUAUAUGUUAUAAUAUGUUAUAUAUUACAUAUGUACUAUAUAUAUGUACAUUAUAUAUAAUAUAUAUAUGUUAUAUAUAUGAUACAUUAUAUAUUUAAAGAUGUAUAUUCGUAUAUAUGUACAUAUAUAUAUGUAAUGUACAUAAUAUUUAUAUGCUACAUGUAUAGAUAUAUACAUAUAUAUAUACAUUGUCAUGAUUAUAUGUAAUGUAGUUAUAUAUAUGUAAAUGUACAUACAUAUAUGUACAAUAUAAUAAUAUAUGUAUUAUAUGCUUUAUUAAUUUAUUAUUGUACAUGUAAUAUAUUUAUAUAUGUACAUAUUAUAUUGUACAUGUACGUGAUACAUAUAUAUAUGUAUUAUAUUUAUAUAAUAUUGUACGACCUGGACCGGCAAAUGUUAGUUCCGUUUAGCACGUGACGUUGACUCAGUCGUACUAUUAAUUUCUAGCUGGUGAUAUGGCUUGAUAUUAAAUAUACCCGAACACUCGUGUACCGUAGCAUAUAGUAGACCGAAUCUUCUCUCUCUCUCCUAUUUCUCUUUUAUAUAUAUUAUAAUAUAUUGUAACGACCUGACCGACCCAAAAUGCUUAGCCUAGUUAAGCACUGAGUUAGACCUCACCGGUAUAUCUCAUCACUUCUUAGUGGUGAAUGGCAUUACAUUUAAAUAUAACGACCGACCCAUAGCGAAUAAUAGACUGUUGGGCAAAAACAAUCGGCUCAAAUGUUAGCCAGAUUAUUAUGUUAUUUACAUCAAGCUAUAUACCCAUCUGGUCAUAACUAUAUAAUUUGGGAUAUUGGGUGACACAAACACAAACACGGCGUUACUCGAUGCGAGCGGCGCACAAACACACAGUAUAUAUAUAUAUAUAAUUAUUUAUAUUAUAUUUAUAUAUAUAGAGAGAGAGAGAUGAAGAGAGAGAGGAGAGAGAGGGGGAGGAGAGAGUAGGGAUAGAUAUUGUAAAAGUAUCAUGGGGGUGAUACUGUGUGUUUUUUAACCUAUGAUGAGAGAUGUGACGGUUGAGAUAGAUGUGUAGGUGAUGGUCUAGGUGGAAUAGUGUUUAAUCAAGGGUAUUAAUAUCAAAACAAAGUAUGAUGCUGGCUUAAACCUAAAUAGACAUGAUGAGUGUAUUGGUAAAUAGUCUAAGCUCAACAUGUACAUAAUAUUUAUAUGCUACAUGUAUAGAUAUAUACAUAUAUAUAUACAUUGUCAUGAUUAUAUGUAAUGUAGUUAUAUAUAUGUAAAUGUACAUACAUAUAUGUACAAUAUAAUAAUAUAUGUAUUAUAUGCUUUAUUAAUUUAUUAUUGUACAUGUAAUAUAUUUAUAUAUGUACAUAUUAUAUUGUACAUGUACGUGAUACAUAUAUAUAUGUAUUAUAUUUAUAUAAUAUUGUACGACCUGGACCGGCAAAUGUUAGUUCCGUUUAGCACGUGACGUUGACUCAGUCGUACUAUUAAUUUCUAGCUGGUGAUAUGGCUUGAUAUUAAAUAUACCCGAACACUCGUGUACCGUAGCAUAUAGUAGACCGAAUCUUCUCUCUCUCUCCUAUUUCUCUUUUAUAUAUAUUAUAAUAUAUUGUAACGACCUGACCGACCCAAAAUGCUUAGCCUAGUUAAGCACUGAGUUAGACCUCACCGGUAUAUCUCAUCACUUCUUAGUGGUGAAUGGCAUUACAUUUAAAUAUAACGACCGACCCAUAGCGAAUAAUAGACUGUUGGGCAAAAACAAUCGGCUCAAAUGUUAGCCAGAUUAUUAUGUUAUUUACAUCAAGCUAUAUACCCAUCUGGUCAUAACUAUAUAAUUUGGGAUAUUGGGUGACACAAACACAAACACGGCGUUACUCGAUGCGAGCGGCGCACAACACACAGAUAUAUAUAUAUAUAUUAGAUUAUUAAUUGAUAUAUUAUAUAUAUAGGAGAGAGAGAGAGGAGAGAGAGAGAUGGAGAGAGAGAGGGGAGAGAGAGUAAGGGCAUGAUAUUGUAAAAGUAUCAUGGGGGUGAUACUAUGUUGUGUUUUUAACCAUUGGAUGAGAGAUGUGAGGUUGAGAUGAUGUGGUAGGUGAUGGUCUAGGUGGAAUAGUGUUUAAUCAAGGGUAUUAAUAUCAAAACAAAGUAUGAUGCUGGCUUAAACCUAAAUAGACAUGAUGAGUGUAUUGGUAAAUAGUCUAAGCUCAUAUAUAUAUAUAUAUAUAUAUAUAUAUAUAUAUAUAUAUAUAUAGUUGAGCUAGAAUACUCUUAAAAGCACCAAGUAGGUGGUGCUUGUGAGUUUUUAACCAUUGGAUUGAGAGAUGUAGGAUUGAGAUGAUAGUGGUAGGUGGUGAUAGGUGGUGGUAGGUGGAAUAGUGUUUGAUCCAAAGGGUAUUAGUAAUUAAGGAGUGAAUCCAAAGGUUAGAAACUUGGAAGCACCAAGCGGUUGGUGCUUCCAAAAGUAUUCUAGCUCCACUCUCUCUCUCUCUCUCUCUCUCUCUCUCUCUCUCUCUAUAUAUAUAUAUAUAUAUAUAUAUAUAUAUAUAUAUAUGAGUAGAGCUACUAUGCUGUCGGAAGCAUAUAGGAUGUGUGGUUCUUCCGACUUUUUGCCUUUAUAUCAACCACUUUGAGUAUUUCUAACCUUUGGAUUAUUACUAUUAUCCUGUGGGAACCACUCAACCCUAGAGGUAUUGCUCAACUCUAGAAAAACCGCAAUCAUCCCAAUCGUACAAUUCAUGAUCCAAAAGUCAAAAAGUCGGAAACAUCAAAUAUUCUAUGCUUCUAAUAAUAUAAUAACUCUACACUAUAUAUUAUCAUUUUUUAUACAAACAGGCACUAAAAAAUAAGCAGAAAUUUUUCACUCUGUUCAUCUACUAAGGCUCAAUUAACUUUACCAUAAUUUUCAGCUUCUAUACAAAAAAUCAUUCUCCUAUAAAUUUUUUUUGCCUUUUCUUUAUGACUAUCUAAAAUUUAUAUUUUAUCAUAUAAAAUUUUAAGUUGAUGCAUCAGCUUUCGUCAAUAUCCAGUCCAUUUCAUUUCUUCUAAUUUAUACUAAAAAUUAUUUUAAAAAUAACAAAAAAAAUAUUAAAAAUUAUUAUUUUUAUAAAAAUAAAUAAGAACAGUUUACACAUUUUGCUCUCUCCAUUAACACUAUAUUCUUCUAAAAGUAUCUCUAAAAUUUUUAAGAAAAUAAAAUAUAAAAUUUUGAAUUCAAGAGCAAAAAGUUAAAAAAACAGAUAUACAUAAAAACUUCUCAGGGGAUUUAGCACCCAUCUUAUGACUAUUCUAGUCUUAACAUACUUAACUCUCUUAACCUCUUGAGCUUAACUACUGCCAAAUUUAUAGGGAGCCACGCUUUACUCACAAUAAUCAUCAGUAUAAGAAUUUCACUCUUUCCACUAUAUAACCCUAACUCAGCCGAGACUCAUAUCAUAUUUGACACCCUACUUUCUAGAAGGUCAUUCAUUCUAAAACUACUCUAAUCCGAUCACACUUAACUUUUUUAAUCUCUUGGGUUUAACCACUGUUCAAAAUGCUAUUUAAUCCUAUUAUAUCUUAUAUAUAAAACUAUCUGGAGUCUCAUAUUUUUAUAUUAAUUUUUUUUAAAAAAUAAUUUAAUUGUUGGAUGGCGUACAUGUACAUGCACCGUUUCUUUCUUUUUUUUUUCUUUUUUUUUUUAUAUAUAUAUAUUACCCUUGUUUACAGGAUUUUUUAUCAACUGUACGCGUCCAUUAGAGGCGAGGUAGUGACAUUUAGAUCAACGUCAUUCAAUUAUAGAUUGGUCUCAAUUGAUUAUAAUUAUUAGUCUAUUAACAGCAUCCUAACUCAGUACGAUUGUCCAAAUAAAAUAAGUUAAGUUAAACAUUGGUCUCAAUUGAUUAUAAUUAUUAGUCUAUUAACAGCAUCCUAACUCAGUACGAUUGUCCAAAUAAAAUAAGUUAAGUUAAACAAACCACGUCAGAUUACAUUUGGUUUUAUUCAGAUUUGUACUUAAUUUGUUGCAAAUCAAUAUAACCACAUUUUAAUUCGAUUAUAUAUAUGGGAGUAGAGCUACUAUAUGCUAUCGGAAAUAUAGAGGAACUGGUGCUUUCAAUUUUUUGGUCCUUAGAUCAAUCUUGUUUAUCAUUUUUAAUCUUUGGAUUAAUACUAUUAUCCUAUAGAGACCACUCAACAAUAGAAUUACCAUUCAACCUAAGGGAACCGCAAUCAUCCUAUUCAUUUAAUUCUUGAUCCAAAGGUCAAAAAGUCAGAAGCACCAAGUCUUCUAUACUUUCGAUAGUAUAGUAAUUCUACACAUAUAUGGUUCAUGUCCUUUUGGCUUUUGCCUUUUAGCUUCUAGUUCCAGAGUUGUUUUGUUACGGCAUGAAAUAAUUGCAGUUUAAACAGAACGGUAAUUAUUAGAUAAAAUAUAUAUAUAUAUAUAUACCGACCGUCCCUAAAGCAAAUGGCAAAGGGCUUGUUGGUUGGUACCCGAGACCCAAAUUCGAAUUCUAGUUGAUAGUUCUUAAAUAGCUAUAUAUAGAAGAUUUAUGAAUGGGUGUAAAAUAUAUACCUUUUUUGUGGUGUAUCAGUAGCAUUGCUCGUGGCGCAUAUUGUACAUACUAAAAAUAAGGAUAAACUUCAAAUACCAUCUAUGUGGUUUCGCAUUUUCUCACUUUACUAUCCUGUGGUUUAAAGUGCAUCAAGUUAGUACCCUGUGGUUUUAUUUUUUUCCUUUCGUCAACUCCUCCGUUAAUAUUUCGUUAAAUUAUAUACAAAAAAAACUUCAGAUACCCAACUAGGUUUAUCGAAUAUUCACUUUAAUACUCUUUAGUUUUAACUUUGUCACUGAUUUAAUAAAAAAACUUAAUAAAAUAAAAAAUAAAAAGAAAAAAAAAACCAUCUAUACUCUUAUAUGAAUCCUCAAUAUGAAAUGAUGACGUGGCAAGCUUUCAUUUUUUUUAAUUUACGUUUUAUCUCCACUUCUAAAUGCUCAACCCUUCACCUCUCCACAUUUAAUUAUAUUCAUCAUAUUCCACCAAUUAAUGAGCUUAAUUUGUAACUCCAAUCCACUCCCCUCCACCAUUAAUCCCUCACCAUCUCUUUUGCAUGAUAUGUUCUGAAUCCCCAAUAUGAAAUAAUGACUUGGCAAGCUCUCAUUUUUUUAAAUUUACGUUUCAUCUCCAUUUCUAAAUGCUCAACCCUUCACCUCCCCACAUUUAAUUACAUGCAUCAUAUUCUACCAAUUAGUGAGCUUAAUUUGUAACUCCAAUCCUCUCCUCUCCACCAUUAAUCCCCCCACCUCCUCUUUUUUGCAUAACAUGUUAUUUUCCAUGCAAAAAAGAAGAUUUUCAUGUAAUCGCUCACCUCACACUCUCUCUAUCUCAUUGUGUUAACAAAGAUUAUGAGGAUAAUGAAGAAGAAGAGCAUGCGAAGAACGUUGUCUCCUUCAAGAAAUAUUGUCCUGUAAAGUCCAGCCGUGGCUUAUAUAAGUGCUCGCGCAGACCGGUCUGCGCCGAAGCCCUCGCUCGCCGUGAACCGUCGCCACCUCGGCUGUCUCCUCGCGUGGCUCGCGCAUGCCCACACUGGGCCGAGGGGAGCGACGUCCUAGCCUCCUCUUCGCGGGGGCGUUGUGCGGGAGCUCGCUUCUCAAGAAUCGCAGGGACUUCUUGGUAAAUCAAAUUGUUUAAGUAUUAGAAUUUCUGUGGUUGAUGUGAUGGCAAGACUGUAUCGGUUUAGAUAUCGCAGUUUGGUGAUGCAGAUGAGAUGUUUGUUCAUAGGUUACAAUGAAAAUUCAGAAGUGACUCGACGCGGGAAGCAACUACCAGCUGAAAAUUAAGAAGAUGUAUAAGGUUUGGAUAAGUAAGAGAAGUGCUCCAAAAAAAUAUUAGUUUUUUUAAGAUUGAUGUUUUUUGUUUUAUUUUCAUCUUAUGACCAUUUUUUUUUAGUAAACACUGUUGUGGGCAAAAUUCUUUUCAUAGAUUAAAAAGUAUGAUGUGGAGACUGGAGCCUGAGACCCCACCCAAAAUUUUCUUAAGCCAAAAACGUUAAGUUAUUAUUUAUGUAUUUCAUAUGUUUCUAGCUAUGAUUUUAUUUUUUAACAAUUGAAUUUAGUUAUACAAAUUGAUUGUGCUUAACAUGGUAUAACUUCCUAUAAGCUGUAAAUAUAAAUUUUAUUAAAAUUUUAAAAAUUUAUUUUUAUUAUCUACCCGCUACAUCGCGCGGGUCUCUAUACUAGUAUAAUAUUAAAUUGAUACACUUUAAAUUACAUAGUACUAAAAUAAGAAGACGCGGAAUCACGGAAUGGUAUUUGAAGUUCUCUCCGAAAAUAAAAAUCAUAUAAUCAUGUUCACAAAAAAACAAAAGGACUAUGCCAAUAAAUGGCAUAAAACAAAUCUUUAUUUGUAGUUUUUCCAUGUGCCUGGACUUUUCCCCUCACAUUUUGAACCCUACAAAUACAUGAGACAAUCCCCUCCAACUCUUCCUCUCUCUCUUAACAAACUCAAUCACUCCCUUAUAGAGAGAGAGGGAGAGAGAGGGAGGGAGAAGGAGAUGGAGAAGCCAAGCAUGGAGGCUCCUCUGCUGACAAGCUGUGAUAACAAGAGAGAAGGGGGAGGGGAGGUUGUGAGGGAGGUGAAGAAGCAGCUGUGGUUGGCAGGGCCUCUCAUAGCAGGGAACCUUCUGCAAACCAUCAUACAAGUCAUAUCCAUAAUGUUUGUGGGCCAUCUUGGGGAGCUUGCCCUCUCUGGCUCUUCCAUGGCCAACUCCUUUGCUACAGUCACUGGUUUCAGUGUGUUGGUACGUCCUUUGCACCACAAUUCUUUCAUCUCCCUUCUUCUUUAUUGUUUGUUCAUAACCGGUUCAGAAUUGAACCGGAUAGGAUAAGUCUAGAGAGCGAUGCUGGUAGAGAGGUCUGAGUCAUGCGAGGAAUCUUACUGUGCCCAAAUCUUGUCGAAAUCUCUGUGCUAUCCCAUUCAAUCCAAUACUGAGUGCCAAACAAGGCCAAAAGUGAUGAAACAUGUCUUUAUGUAUGAUUUUUUUUUAGCAUGUAUGAUUCAAGAAAUCUAUCAUUAUCUAAUGUUUAGAAAAAUAAAAUAGCCUAAUGUUGUGGUUUUAGUUCUCACUACAUGUCAUGUGUCAUGUUAGUUUAUGGCAAGAGUUUAUUUAAGAAUUAGCCAUACAAUUAGAAGCAUCAAAGCUAUAAUUAUUUGUCUUUAUCAAAUGAAAAUUCUAUGAUUAUUUAGGGUAUUUCCUUCUCCUCAACUGGAGGAGGAAGUCUUGAUUGUCAAUUUCUAGUGCAAAAUCUCCUUCCUGCAGAAACUAGUGACCAGUCUUUUUCUGGGUUAACUAUUUUGACUAUAAAAUGGAUCAGAAAGGAAAAGAAGAAAAACUACAGAAGUGUUAGGGCACUUGUAUAUCAGAAAUUUAGAUUUAUACUACUUUGUAUGUAAAGAUCUUCAUGGAAAAGGAAUAGGAAAUAGCAAUCCAUUUGGCCCUGUUUUUCUGAUAAUUAGUUAAGUUAGCUUCUUAGGAGACAGCAAACAAAUUAAUAGUGUUUCCUUUCUCAUCCUUCGCCAGCAUAAACGGCAUAAGGCCUGUGAUGUAGAGAUAUUUCAAUCCCCUAAGCAUCUACAUAGAGAGUACCAUGUUAAAACAUUUGCAUUGGAUAUACACUUCGCGUAUACGUUCCGCACAUAUCGAAUAUUUCCAGAAGAGCAAAAUACACACACACUUUGUUUCUUUUAGCAUUUGGACCAGGGAUUAAGUUUUCUGUUAAUCUUGAAGCCUUACAUGUAAUAGCUGAAACUAAAGACUGUACAUUAUGAAUUUUCUAGUGUUUUAUGGUUAGUAAGCUGAAUAUUGUUCGCAUCUGACGGUUCUGCAUCAGAAAAUAUUGGUAUGAUGCUUGGUUGUUUGCGUACUACAUUAGUAACUUUCGCUUAAACAUUUUUGGCAUGUACAAUAAGUUGCGACUCUUGUGACAUCAAUUUCCUAUUAAAUGAACAGAGCAUGUAGGAUUCAAUUUUUUCAUCUACAUGCGGGCACUACUACAUUUCUGUAGAAAGAGAUGUAGGAAUAUUUGCAUCUACGUACAUAUGUGCAUAGCUAAUGUUCAUGUCCGUCCCGUGUCUGUGUCCGUGCAACAUAGAAUAAGAAAAUUCCUUCGCUUUAAUACAUAGUAUCAUUGAAAUUAUGCUAGAAUACAUUGUCUUUUAUACCGUACCUCGCUGUUAGCUUCUGCUCACAUGUUUAGUCGACGAACAUUUGAUAUACGAACAGAUAGUUGAAGGUUUAUCAUUUCAUCCAAAGACAGUGGCGAGGAUUAUGCAAUGUAAAGCUGUAGUUGUCGGAGAGAGCUUAAAGAUCCUUUUAAAAACAGUACUUAUUAGUGUAAAAUAUGUGCGUAAAUUACAUGAAAGCUCUAUUUUGGCACUGAAUUUGUGUUUUAUGGUUUUGUCACUGCUUAGUCAAUUCUCUUUUGGUUAUCAAAGCUUUACUAUUCUAAUUCCUUUUUAAUUAGAUGGGAAUGGGAAGCGCUUUGGAUACUCUAUGUGGGCAAUCCUUUGGAGCGAAGCAGAAUCACAUGCUUGGCAUUCACAUGCAGAGGGCAAUGCUAGUGCUCAUGCUCGUAAGCGUUCCGCUCACUGUAAUCUGGGCCUGCACUGGCCAAAUCCUUGUUCUCUGCGGGCAAGACCUGGAGAUCGCAAACGAAGCUGGAAUAUACGCUCGAUGGAUGAUCCCCGCGCUCUUCGCGUACGGCCUUCUGCAGUGCCACGUCCGAUUCCUGCAGACGCAGAACAUCGUCCUUCCGGUUAUGAUAAGCUCCGGGCUCACGGCUUUGCUUCACAUCGGAGUUUGUUGGGUGUUGGUGUAUGGAUUAGGCCUCGGUAGCAAAGGUGCUGCUCUGGCAAAUGCUAUAUCAUACUGGAUAAAUGUGUUACUGCUGGCAGCUUAUGUUCGACUGUCGAAUGACUGCAAGAAGACUUGGACCGGCUUUUCGAGAGAGGCUUUUCAUGAUACUUUGAGCUUCAUCAGACUCGCCGUUCCGUCAGCUUUGAUGGUUUGGUAGGAAAACAGUUGAACUUGUGAUUCAUCAUAUAAUUUUGUUUAUGAUCAGAUCACUAUUUCUGACCUAAAGUGCUUCUUGAGACAGCCUGGAAUGGUGGUCGUACGAGCUUCUCGUGCUUCUUUCUGGUCUUCUUCCGAACCCGCAGCUUGAAACUUCCGUGCUAUCGAUAAGGUUAGAAAUGCUUAUUUAGUUUCAUUGUUUUGUGUCUCGAAAUUUGGUUAUCGAGUUCGAUUUUGUGCUCACGAUUCACCAAAAGCUUCGCGGUGCGACAAAUUUUAAGAAAAAAAGGAUGCCUGUGAUGAAAGCUGAGGGAUCGGAUCAAACAAUUAAGGAACAAACAGAUCAGAUCACGUUCCAGUUUUUCUUUCCUUUUCCACGCAAAUCCUUGUGUUCUAUUUUCUUUUACUGUUUUUGUGGUUUGUUUACUUCCUGAUCGUCGUUUUUCGUUUCUGCUCGUACGCUCGUCAUUACAGUUUUGUCAUAUUCUUGUACUAAGAGCAUCUUGUUUUUCUUUAGCCUUAACACUGCUUCGUUGGCAUUCAUGAUUCCUUUCGGUCUUGGAGCUGCAAUAAGGUUAGUUGUGCACGCAAAGUGUCUCUCUCUCUCUCUCUCUCUCUCUCUCUUUUAUUUGAAUUGAACAAAAAGAUAUUCUCAUCUCUUCUUUCCUCGCUUUUUCAUAGCACGCGCGUCUCAAAUGAGCUCGGUGCGGGGCGGCCUGAUACAGCUCGGCUCGCGGUACGCGUAGUGGUGUUUUUGUGCAUUGCAGAAGGAGUAAUGGUUGGACUGAUCAUGAUUUUGGUGCGCGGCGUCUGGGGAUAUGCAUACAGCAAUGAAGAGGAGGUUGUGAAAUAUGUGGCUGUCAUGCUGCCGAUUCUUGCAGUAUCCCACGUCUUCGACGGAAUCCAAAGUGUUCUUUCAGGUAAACUCUUUGUUCUAUUUUCAUGUCAAGUUUACUAUGUUCAUGUAAUUUUUUGUCUUUAAAACUUAUUUUGCUUCUCUCAUUCUCUUCGAUUACAUAAUAUGAAGAAAAUCUAGCCGAGUUCCACAAUUUUUACAAUCAGCGCGGAAAAUCUUUCAACGAUCACAACUUUUCGCUCGAGUGUUCGUUUUUAGCUUGCAAUCCUAAUUCGAAAAACACUUUUCGAGAUCUACGUAUAGGACCAAAUUCAACUAUUUAGACCUUCUUUUUUACAUUUUUAUGUAAUUUUCGAAAAGUUUUGUAUUUUGUCUAUUUUGAGUCUGAUUAUUUGAUUAUUUCUGUUCGGUUUAGAUUUAGUGAUACAUUAGAAUUUAUUAUCAUCAAUUAUAAUAGGAUUCAGAUAUCAACCAUUUAUAUAUACGUGACGUUCGGUUAUUGUAAUUAGUUUUUAGAAUCGAAUAAUAAUAUUUUUGUCUUUGUUGAAGAAUUGUGUUUUUCAUGUAUCUCUCUUUCAGUCCUUGUACUUCUUUUCUCUCAAUAUGGCUUCGGCUUACUGAUACACUUCUUUUAGAAGUUCUCCCUCAUAAAUUUGGUUUUUCCCAAACAUUAAUGACAUUUUGAUAUGAAAUUUAGAGUUUUGAGGUGUACAUUUAAUAACUCGGAUAUUAGGGGUUUAAAUCAUGCUGAUUUUAUGAACAUGUAGGGGUUGCGAGAGGAUGUGGUUGGCAGAAGAUUGGUGCUAUUGUGAAUCUUGGAUCUUUCUACAUUGUAGGAAUUCCCUUGGCUUAUCUAAUAGCAUUUGUUUUUCAUGUUGGAGGAAAGGUAAUUAAUUUUGUUCCGCAUUUGUAAUUUCCUUUAAAACUUUUUUGUAAUUGAUUCUAGUUUUCGUCGAAAAUAAUAGCAUUCGACUAAACUUUUGCGGCCUCAAACAUAUAUGGCCAUGAACAGGGGCUUUGGAUAGGGAUCAUAUGCGGCAGCGUCGUACAAGAUUUACUGUAUGCAGCCAUUACACUACGCACAAACUGGGAGAAAGAGGUUUGCGAAACAAAUUUAUCUUCUUUUAUCUUCUCUAGUUGUAGAAAUUUCAGUUAUCGUAACGUCGCAUUGAUCGCCAAAGUUAGGUGGUUAAUUUUGCUUCAUUGGUAUUGUUUUCUGCAUAUCUGAUAUUGUUUUACGAUUUGACAGGCGAGGAAGGCGAAGGAUAGGGUAUUUUGCUCCACCAUCCCGACGGACAUGACGGCGUGAUUCAUAACUGAAAACUAGUCAUGAAUCAGAUAACACGAUUAAGCAAUCACGAGCAUGAAAUAUCUGCGACCUCCGAAUCUGAGUUACGUUUCACGAGGCCCUAAUUAUUUGAUCAUUGCAGAGUUCUUCGCACACUCAUAUUGGACUACAAAUAAAAACAAGGAGGAUCUACUAUGAACUACAACAUCAAUUAAGUUUUCGUGGAAAUCUCAUUGUUAUGUUUUUUUCAAUGAGAUUCGAUUUUGAGCAAAUUGAUUUGUGUUCUACUAUAUUUGGGUUUCAAACUAGUGAUCUUUCUCUCUGAGGAAAUUGCAACAUGUGUUGGGAAUCCGGUACUCGCCCCGGUACCGGAUCUCGUGAAUCCGCAACUCGCUCCGAUACCAACUGCUGUGGAUCCGGUAUCGAUUGUUGGGAUUCCGCAACGGAAGCGUCAAAUCGGGUUUUUUACCAUAAACCCGUCUCCUCAGCAAAAGCUGAUACAAUCAUAAAAGAGAAAAAUAUGCUGGUAAAAUAAGAUUCAUUAAAUAAGAGAAGAUUACACCUGACUCCUCUUCUGCACAGAGUAGUUACAACCCGAGUCCUCUUUCUUGAAUCUCUCCUACCCUUCUCUCGUCUUCUAUAAUUCCACAAAGAAGACAAUCAUCCACGCGCGCCCGUGCACUAGGUGCACUCAACACAUUGGAUAACUCUCUCUCUCUCUCUUUUUCUCUCUCUCGGGUACGGCACCACACAAGCUCCUGCCGUACACCCUCACAGCUUCUCACAAAGAGCUAUUUAUAAGGCUCUACUAAAACGUACCCCAAUCCUAAUAUAUUUAGGAUUUCUACUCCAAUUAAUAUCUAAAUCUAUCUUAAUUAAUCUCUAAUAGAUUUAAAUAUUAAUCCUAAUCUAGUUAGGUUUAUCCUCUAAUUAAUAUUUAAAUCUUAAUUUAUCUCAAACAGAUUUAAAUAUUAAUUCUUAUCCAAAUAGGAUUUAACUACAAAUCUAAUCAAAUCCUAACAUUCUCCACCUUGGUUUGAUUUGUAAUUUUCAACCGUCACGUCGAGCUCACCAUGCAAGCUCCACCUUGAGCUUGUCUCCUCCGCUCGAUGUCGCCGCAUCCGCCGCUCCGCCUCGAGCGACUGCACCUCCGCGAACUUUUGGAACCCAAACCGUUUUCGCUCUCGUUCUGACUGUGCUUCCGUUCAGAACGUAUAAGUUCCCACGCUUGUUCGCCUCGCACACGACCCGAUCUCGUUUUCGGACCCUCAUAGCUCCACCUGAAGCCGAAAUAUCGCAACCCUUCGAGUCCAAUGCGCCUAACGAGAUCAAAUUCCGCUUCAAUCCAGGAACGUGCCGCACACCUGUCAGCGUCCUCACGACCCCAUCGUGCAUUCGGAUCUUUACCGUGCCGACUCCCAAUACCUUGCACGCUGUCCCGUUCCCCAUCAGCGCCUUUUCACCUUUGAUCGCCUUAUAGGUGGCAAAAGACUCCUUCUCUGGGCAUACGUGAAAAGAACACGCCUAAUCGAGCACCCACGCAUCGUCCGAAAUUUUCGCACCUCCGGUUGCCGCAUACAACACAUCAGAAUCGAUCAUCUCCGACUCUGCUGUCUGCGUCGUCGCUGAUACCGUCUCGUCCUGGUUCACGACAGUUUGCUCCUUCUGUCGCUUUAACUCCUUCAGAUCAUUCUGAAGUUUUUGACAGUUGCGCUUUAUAUGCCCUUUCCUGUGACAGUAAAAGCACUCCACCUCAGAUAGCGGCUUCUUCUGUCGAUCUCCGGUCGCUAAUGUUGUCGCCUUCUUCUUCGCUCUAACCACCAAAGCUGUAUCCCGGUUCUAUGUGCCGGACUCUUGAGUCAUCUUCCGUAUCUCGUUCGAGAGAAGCGCCGCCGUGACUGCCCCCACGCUUAUGGUCUCUUUGCCAUAAAGCAACGUGGUCACCAGAUGCUCAUAUAUCGCCGGUAGCGAAGAUAGUAAAAUCAGCGCCUUAUCUUCAUCAUCCAGAUUGACUCCGAUGCUAGUCAACUGGGCUACCACCUUGUUGAACUCAUUUAGAUGAUUAUGUAGGCUCGCCGCUUCUUGCAUCCGCAACGUAAACAGUCGCUGCUUCAAAUACAAUCUGUUCGUCAGGGAUUUGGUCAUGUACAGAUCUUCCAAUUUCUUCCACAAUUUCGCCGGUGUCGUCUCGCCGACUACAUUGUAAAGAACCUCAUCUGCUAAUGAUAGAUGAAGCGUACUCAGCGCCUUCCGCUCCAUCUUCGUCCAUGCCGCAUCCGUGACCUCUGCCGGCUUCGCCUCCUUCUCGUUCAACGUCUCGUCUAACUCUUGCUGUACGAGGAUUGCUCGUACUUUAAUUUGCCAUAAUCCGAAAUUGUUCUUGUCGUCGAACUUCUCGAUUUCGAAUUUCGUGGCCAUCUCCGUCGAUCUCUCCCGCAGAUCGGUAACCUUUGGCUCUGAUACCACUUGUUGGGAAUCCGGUACUCGCCCCGGUACUGGAUCUCGUGAAUCCGCAACUCGCUCCGAUACCGACUGCUGUGGAUCCGGUAUCGAUUGUUGGGAUUCCGCAACGGAAGCGUCAAAUCGGGUUUUUUACCAUAAACCCGUGUCCUCAGCAAAAGCUGAUACAAUCAUAAAAGAGAAAAAUAUGUAGGUAAAAUAAGAUUCAUUAAAUAAGAGAAGAUUACACCUGACUCCUCUUCUGCACAGAGUAGCUACAACCCGAGCCCUCUUUCUUGAAUCUCUCCUACCCUUCUCUCGUCUUCUAUAAUUCCACAAAGAAGACAAUCAUCCACGCGCACCCGUGCACUAGGUGCACUCAACACAUUGGAUAACUCUCUCUCUCUCUCUUUUUCUCUCUCUCGGGUACGGCACCACACAAGCUCCUGCCGUACACCCUCACAGCUUCUCACAAAGAGCUAUUUAUAAGACUCCACUAAAACGUACCCUAAUCCUAAUAUAUUUAGGAUUUCUACUCCAAUUAAUAUCUAAAUCUAUCUUAAUUAAUCUCUAAUAGAUUUAAAUAUUAAUCCUAAUCUAGUUAGGUUUAUCCUCUAAUAUUUAAAUCUUAAUUUAUCUCAAACAGAUUUAAAUAUUAAUUCUUAUCCAAAUAGGAUUUAACUACAAAUCUAACCAAAUCCUAACAACAUGAACAAAGUACCAAGAGUGUUAGUUUUAUGUUAGAAUUAUAUCUAAAUACCAGCAAAAUUUGAGCUGUUGAUUAAGUAUUUUUAUAUAUAUUAAGCACUACCAUGUCCUCGUAAUGAUAUGUUCUAUUUCACUUAUGUGAUAGAUAUUGAAAUGUGCCUAAGCAAAGUUAGUGGAACUGUAUCGCAUUGAAAGGUUAGUAGAGCCUUUUUGUGGGUCACACACAAGUUGAAUUGCAAAAAAGUAAUGCUAUGCCCCCUCCUAAAAGUAGAUGUGAGUAGAUAUUUAGUUAAACUGGUUCGUUUGGGCUCUGUGGGACACACAUUAUAUGAUUUAAAUUCAUUGAUUUUGAUUCUGUAUGUUCUGAUAUCAAAAUUUAUGUCAUAAAAUGAUGAGCGUGGGAAUUGAACUUAAGAGGUACCUCUUAGAACAGAGAAGGCUUAGGAUAUACCAUAUUAUCCAAAAGUUCGAUUAGACUAUUCUGACAUCUGAAUAACCUGAGAGCAGACAUAGCUAAAGAAUCAAAUGGCAGCUAGGAGAAGAUGGGUGAUUUAGUUGGCAAAUAAAAUUCAAGUAAAUUUAACCUGAGAUAAAAACUGCACAACAUAAAUAAAAGAAAGAAAAGAAGAAAGCAAACAUAUAUGAAGCAGAUGAUUUAUCGCAGUUCGAUCUUUUCACCUACUCUAGUCCGGUCCUCUAUCUUCUCAAGACUCUCAUAUAAAUAUGAUUAGUUAAUUCAGAUUUGGCAAAAAUUCAGCACGGAUAUAAUUCGAAUAAAAUUCGUAUCUCAAUUUUUAAAUUUAUUGAAAAAUAUGACUUAAAAAAUGGAUUUGCCAAUUUUUCGGAUAUGCGAUUUAUAUGAAAAUUAUACGUUCACCAAUUAAAUAAAAAAUUCAGCUAUUAAACUAAGUUUUCUUCUCUAGAUUUAUGCUACUAGCAUACAUAAAUUCUUAAGAAUAUAAAAAUAGAGAGCUCCAAAGUAAAAUAGAUUAAUAAAAAAGUAAUAACAAAUUUUAUUAUCGUCUCCAUCUUCAUUUUUUUCAGAAUCCACAUACUCCGAAAGUUUAUGAAGUUUUUCAAUAAUACACGAAUAAUUCGGCAAUUAUUUGGAAAAAAAUUUUAUUCAAAAAUUUUACGUGUUUGUUUGGCUGAAUAGAUCGGCAUACGAGAGUUAUUUUAAAAAUAACUGUAUUUUAUCCAAGGCAAGUCCCCCGGGACCACGGCAAGACUUGCCUUGGGUCUAGGGUUCCGAGCCGUGCUGUGCCGGGCCAACGGCCUCUCCUCGUGCCUGGCCGUCGGGCCCCAGAAAUGCAGCCCAGCACGGCCUGAAGAGCCUGGCCGGCCCGGCCCGUUUUACACUCCUAACUAGCACUCUGCGAUAGGCUGGGUCUACCACUUGUUCCAAAACCAACUCUAUAUCCUAAUCUAUUUUAAAUAAAGUUCGGAUAAUUACAAAUUAUGAAUUCUCUUAAAUUUUGCUUCACACAAUUUUUGGUUGCAUCAUAAAACAAUUUGGAUGUAAAAAUUCGAGACAUAUUUAAUAGAACUUUUUGUAUAUAUAUAUAUAUAUAUAUAGAGUGAGGCUACUAUGCUAUCGGAAGCACGGAGCCUUCCGUGCUUCCAGNCCGGCUACUAUGCUAUUAAUAGUAUGAAGCACUUGGUGCUACCAAGUUUUCCGCCGUUAGAUCUACCCUUUUGAUCAUUAUCAUCCGUUAGAUCAUACUAUUCAUGCUAGUUAGGAGUGUAAAACGGGCCGGGCAGCCGGCCGCCCGGCCCGGCACGGAUAUUGUAGCAUUCGUGCCGGGCCGGGCCGGGCCGGCCAGGCUCUUCGGGCCGUGCUGGGCUGCAUUUCUGGGGCCCGACGGCCAGGCAUGAGGAGAGGCCGUUGGCCCGGCACAGCACGGCCCGGAACCCUAGACCCAAGGCAAGUCUUGCCGUGGUCCCGGGGGACUUGCCUUGGAUAAAAUACAGUUAUUUUUAAAAUAACUCUCGUAUGCCGAUCUAUUCAGCCAAACAAACACGUAAAAUUUUUGAAUAAAAUUUUUUUCCAAAUAAUUGCCGAAUUAUUCGUGUAUUAUUGAAAAAACUGCACAUCUCUUAAUCCAAUGGCCAAAAACUGGGUAGCACCAAUGACUUGGUGCUAUUAAUAGCAUAGUAGCCUAGUUCUAUAUGAGUCCGGCUACUAUGCUAUUAAUUNUUUUCGUGGAAAUCUCAUUGUUAUGUUUUUUUCAAUGAGAUUCGAUUUUGAGCAGAUUGAUUUGUGUUCUACUAUAUUUGGGUUUCAAACUAGUGAUCUUUCUCUCUGAGGAAAUUGCAACAUGAACAAAGUACCAAGAGUGUUAGUUUUAUGUUAGAAUUAUAUCUAAAUACCAGCAAAAUUUGAGCUGUUGAUUAAGUAUUUUUAUAUAAAUUAAGCACUACCAUGUCCUCGUAAUGAUAUGUUCUAUUUCACUUAUGUGAUAGAUAAUGAAAUGUACCUAAGCAAAGUUAGUGGAACUGUAUCGCAUUGAAAGGUUAGUAGAGCCUUUUUGUGGGUCACAAGUUGAAUUGCAAAAAAGUAAUGCUAUGCCCGCUCCAAAAGUAGAUGUGAGUAGAUAUUUAGUUAAAAAACUGGUUCGUUUGGACUCUGUGGGACGCGCAUUAUAUGAUUUAAAUUCAUUGAUUUUGAUUCUGUAUGUUCUGAUAUCAAAAUUUAUGUCAUAAAAUUAAUGAUGAAUGUGGGAAUUGAACUUAAAACCUCUUGGAACAGAAAAGGCUUAUGAUAUACCAUAUUAUCCAAAAGUUCGAUUAGAAUAUUCCGACAUCUAAAUAACCUAAGAGCAGACAAAGCUAAAGAAUCAAAUGGCAGCCAGGAGAAGAUGGGUGAUUUAGUUGGCAAAUAAAAUUCAAGAAAAUUUAACCUGAGAUAAAAACUGCACAACAUAAAUAAAAGAAAGAAAAGAAGAAAGCAAACAUAUAUCAAAUUGAUGAUUUAUCACAGUUCGGCCUUUUCGCCUACUCGAGUCCGGUCCUCCAUCUUCUCAAGGCUAUGAUAUAAAUAUGAUUAGUUAAUUCGGAUUCGGCAAAAAUUCAGCACGGACAUAAUUCGAAUAAAAUUCGUAUCUCAAUUUUAAAUUUGUUGAAAAAUAUGACAUAAAAAUUGGAUUUGCCAAUUUUUUGAAUAUGUGAUUUAUAUGAAAAUUAUACGUUCACCAAUUAAAUAAAAAAUUCAGCUAUUAAACUAAGUUUUCUUCCCUAGAUUUAUGCUACUAGCAUACAUAAAUUCUUAAGAAUAUAAAAAUAGAGAGCUCCAAAAUAAAGUAGAUUAAUAAAAAAAGUAAUAACAAAUUUUAUUAUCGUCCCCAUCUUCAUUUUUUCAGAAUCCACAUAUUCCGAAAGUUCAUGAAGUUUUUUAAUAAUACACGAAUAAUUCGGCAAUUAUUCGGAAAAAAAAUUUUAUUCAAAAAUUUUACGUGUUUGUUUGGCUGAAUAGAUCGGCAUACGAGAAUUAUUUUAAAAAUAACUGUAUUUUAUCCAAGGCAAGUCCCCCGGGACCACGGCAAGACUUGCCUUGGGUCUAGGGUUUCGGGCCGUGCUGUGCCGGGCCAGCGGCCUCUCCUCGUGCCUGGCCGUUGGGCCCCAAAAAUGCGGCCCAGCACGACCCGAAGAGCUUGGCCGGCCCGGCACGGAUGCUACAAUAUCCGUGCCGGGCCGGGCGGCGCGGCCCACCGGCUGCCCGGGCCGUUUUACACUCCUAACUAGCACUCUGCAAUAGGCCGGGUCUACCACUUGUUCUAAACCAACUCUCUAUCCUAAUUAGGGAUGUCAACGGGUCGGAUUUAGGUCGGGUUUUUAUUUUUUAUACCCAUAUCCGAAUCCAUACCCAUUUAGCUCGGGUAAACCCGUCCCGUUCGGAUUCGGGUUCGGAUAAUUUUUCGGGUAUCCAUACCCAUUGACAUCCCUAAUCCUAAUCUAUUUUAAAUAAAGUUCAGAUAAUUACAAAUUAUGAAUUCUCUUAAUUUUGCUUCACACAAUUUUAGGUCGCAUCAUAAAACAAUUUGGAUGUAAAAAUUCGAGACAUUUAAUAGAACUUUUUGUAUAUAUAUAUAUAGGCUACAGAAAUGAUAAGCCAAAAGCAGUUAAUUAAAAAAAUGAAAAAUUCCCCUAACUAUAUUAUUCGGAGGCAAUUAACUAAUCUGAACAUCAAAUCUGUCUCUAAGUAAAUUUAAUAGUUAUUUUAGAUGGCGUACAUUUUGAUGUAGCUAGUUUAGCAUUAGAGUUCCUGAAAAAUUAUAACUAAACUAAACUGAGCUGAAAAUUUCUUUGAGUACAGGAAUUUUUACGUUUGACGUGGAAAAACUUUAAACGAUCAUAAUUUUUCGCUCGAGUGUUUAUUUUUAGUGUACAAUUUCAAUUCAAAAAACACCUUCUAAGAUCUAUGCAAGAGCAACACAACUGUUUGAACCGAGUUUGGGAUCCAAAUUUGGGAUCCGAAUUCAACUGUUUAGGUCUCUGUUUUUUAUAUUUUAAAUUAUUUUGAAAAAUUUUAGGUCUCUGUUUCCUUUUUUUUUUUCCCUCCCUUUUUUUCACAUCAUUGUGUCAUUGAGAGAUUGAUAAACUUCUUGUAGAACACCUCUAAACCUACCAACAUCAAGCAUCACACUCUGCUCAUGCAAAAACACACUCCACAGCGCAUUCCACCCCUGCCGGUGGAUCGAAAUCGGAUCCGUAAACACUGCGUGAUCUCUCGGAUACCGGUAGAUCAGACUGCUCUCCUCUUUCGCGAUCUCGUACUCCACGUAUCUUAUCCCCAUGCCUGCAGUCGGCUCUCCGAAAUCGUGCCUGCAGGCCCACUUCAGCUCCCCCCACGGCACGACCUGCACCGCCGCCGCGCCGUCCGGCAGAAACACCAUGUUCGUCAGCCCCGCCCCGUGCACGCCCAUCAUCGCGUCGCACGAGUUCACCACCCUCGCGAACCUCGCGACGUCCCCCGUUGCCUCCGGUCGCGCCGCGACCACUCUGAAUCCUACGCUCUUCGCCAUCGACACCACCUCCUUCUCGUUCAUCAACGACCUCGACCCUCUUCGCAGCAGCAUCAGUAGUCUCGGCUUUCGCCUCUUAUCUACGCUCGCUCUCUUCAGCGAGAAGCAUUGUCUCAGGAACUCCUUGAAGUCGCUCAUGGAGUAGUUAUUUGGAGAUAUCGAGGAAUCAAUGCCGAGCUCUUUGUGGCUUUUUAGUCCCACAUGAACGAAGGGGAAGCAAUGAACUCGGCUCUCGCCGUCGAGGUCGAUGAUCGGAUACUUUGAGAGUUGCAGUAGCAUUGGCUGGUACUUCAUGAUCCAUUGCCAGUUGAAGUUCGUGACGAGGAACCGAACGUCGCCGUUAUAUUCGCGAGAGGUGAUGUAGAGGGGGAUCAGAAUGUCGGUGAAGUCGUGGAAGAGAUUUCCGACGAACCCGCCCGUCGAGAAGACGAUCGCCGGGACUUCGUGCCUGGAAGUGCAGACGGGGAUCUGAUCAUUUGCCGGAGAAGGAAUUAUGGUGAGUUCUUUGAUUGAGUCCAUGGUGUUCUGCUCCCACUUUCGCGCGUACGGCCUGAUCUUGUAUGAUGGAUGAGAGGUUGUUGUUGUUGUUGUCGAAGCCGCGAAGAUGAUGGACCAAACGCCGACAAUUCUGAUAUCGCCGUGCGCGUAACAAGUGUCCGAUCUUUGUUGCGAGUAGUCGCAAACGAUUUUGUUCUUUUGGAUUGAAACAUCUGUGUUUGAUCAGAGAAAUGUUAAUAUGUAGAAUAAUGUGAUGGAUAAAAUACACAACACAAUCUUUUCGCUUAAUGAAUGAAGCAGGUAGCUUGCUACUUAUUUCUCAAAGAAAAAAAAAAGAAGAUAAAAUACACAAUCUUUUGUAAGCUGAUUCUAAUGAUGACAAAAAAUUAUCUAAAUAUCACCCUUUUUUUCCCAUUUUUGUUUAUUAAGGCUUUGACAAAAGUAAUUUUUCUUGUAUCUACAAGAAUUGCAUAAGCUAGAUGAUCUUGUAAAUAUAUUGCAUGAUAUAUAGCAUUGAAUAUAUAUGGAUGCAGCAGAACUAUUAAUAUACCUACCCUUGGGUGAUUUUUUUUUUUUUUUUUUUGAGAGAUAGGUAGUACGCUACUCGCUUCGUUUAUUUUAUUUAGAAAUAAACUUAGCUAGAAAUGUGAAUCAAUUAGGAUUCGAACUUGGGUCUCGGGUACCAACCGUCAAGCCCUUUGCCAGCUUGCUCUAGGGACGGUCGGUCCUUGGGUGAUUCUUGCUCCCUUAUUUUUGUCUCAGGCUCAUUAGACAACAACAAAUCUUUUUCUUUGGCUUUCUCCUUCGUACCAUGUUGCUCGAAAGAUUGAUCUAUUAGGAAAGGAGCAUAGAAAUUCAUAUUAACACUUCCACUUACGUGCACGAUGGAUAUAAAAGGUAUAUAGAGGUGAAAAUUUAACCCGUUAAUUAAAUAUUUGAAGUGGGAAUUGAAUCCGUGAUUCCCCGCUAAAUAUUUAAAGUGGGGAUUGAAUUCACGACCUUACAGAAUGAAGGAGUUUAAAAUAGUUCUGACAUCAUGUUAAAUAAAAUAAAAUAAUCAUUUAGUUCCAAAAGCUUAAAUAUUUAUAUUGAAUAUUCCUCCUCAUGUUUGGGCACAGAAUAUUUCAAUAGGCCCAAGGUGUGGACUUGAAUUAAAUGAGAGAAAAUUGUAAAUAUUAAGAGGCUGACGAAACUCAAACUCAGAGCCUCCCAGUCUGAUACCAUAUUAAAUUAAAUGAAAUAACCGUUGUUCUACAAAAUCUUUAGCUUUUGAAAAAUAACGAUUGUUUCGUAUUAUUUAACAGAUAAAGAAAAAGGUUAUUACAUUUCGUAUAUGCGUAGGAAUUUCUACCUUUGAGUGGUUGUUGCUUUCUUAUCUCUAUCUCAGACUCAUUAGACGGCAACAAAUCUUCUUUUUCUGCUUUCUCCUUCGCAUCUACGGAUGACAUCGCCAUUUUGAAUUCUGAAAUUUCAUAAUGCACUGCAACAAAUUAAUCACAUUUUUUUCUCUCAAAAAGAAAAAUAGUUUGUUACGCUUCGUACGUGCUCACAAAUUUCCACUGAGCAAAUCGCAAAUCGAAAACAUGUUCUUAGUUAUAUAAAAGGUAAUUGCACCGCGCUAUACCUUCGCGGGCUAUGCCAUUUCCAUCCUCCUUCGCUUCGAUCGUAGAUUCUUUAUCUGCGAUAUGAAUUUACAGUUUACCGAACGUAAUUCGCCUAAAAUCCAUCUUUUGUGUGAGAACGAAUAAUAGAUAGUCAACUUGUUUCGACUUUGCGCUUUUGCGAAUGUUAUUUACUUUUAUACUAAGUUAUUAUCUUAUAUAUGUAUAUGAUACUGUUAUUAACGUAUAAUUACGAUUACUUGUCGCAAGUUGAAACUGCACCUGAAUAUGAGUUGUUUAAGUUUUGCUCUUCUUUGGGAGGAAGGUGCCAUUUGACUGGUUCUUUUGCUGCAAAAAGCAUGGUAAGAUAAUUCCUUAAUAGUGUAAUUAAGAUAUUUAAACAAAUUUAUCCAAGAGUGCGCAACUUUGCAUAUCAUUCCUAGGGUAACUCACUAAUGAGCAAAACUACUGUAUAUAUAAAAAACCGUAGCCACAGAAUAACGCAUUUAAUUAAUAUAUACUUGGAAUGGUAGUAGAUUUUUGAUGCUCAAUAUAUAUCUUAGAAAGAAGACAUAUCCCAAAAUCUGUGGGGGAGGUCAGGGGAGUUUGGAAGCAUAUGUUGGGGAAGGGCACCAAAGGGGCAGCAGAGAAGGAUCUAGCUAGCGUGAUAGUUUGUUGGUAGAUGAUUUCGUGAAAAAGAAACAAUGUGAUAUUUAGGAAUCAAUUUUUCGAUGCCUUGGUGGCUAUUAGACGAAUUAUUAUUAUUUGUUACUUCUAUUCAAUUAACAAGCGACAGCAGAGAAGGACCUAACUUGUGUGACGGCUUACUGAGCCUAGAAUCACUUUUCAAAACUAAGCCAACCACUAGGCCGUGUGCACUUUUUGAAGACUCAAGUUAUUGUAUCUCUAUGUCAAAGAAUUAUUAUUUCCAACACAAUUUGUAUAUAUUUCAAUGCAUAAAAAGAUGAGCCCCUCUUUAAAUGGAUCAGGAUCCAUCUUUAAUUGUCCCAGAUUAUAUAUAACAAUUAGCUGGCAUACUAAUUCUUCAAGCAAGCAUAUAAUUAAUGGACAUAGUUUUAUUUUGUGGAUAAUUGAAUUGCUUCUUAAUCUAUCUACUUAAUUUGGAAUUAUUAUUUGUUACUUUUAUUUAAUUAAUCUAAUAAAAGAGCAUCUUUAACCUAACUAAUAAUCAACAAAAGUUAUUUUCUGCCUUUUAGAUCAGAUUAAUUAUUUUAAUAGUAAUAGUUUUAAUUUACUAAGCCAAGAAACUAGCCUCGUUUAGUAAUAAUUUUUAUUGUAAUUUUAAAAACAAGUUUUUAAAGCGUACAAAUUUUUUUAAAAAAUAAAUUGUUAUCUAUCACUAACAACAAAAUAAAAAUAUUUUCUCCAGCAUAUCAAAUUAUAUAGAAUUAAUGUUUAAAAAAGUGAAAAAAAAGCAAUGGUGCCAAAUGUGGCCUAAAGUUCAUAAUUUUGAUUUUUUUUUUUUUUUUUUUUUUUUUUUGUAACGAAUUGAGAAAAGCAAGAAAUAGCUUGUUACUAUACUAUGUAAUAAACCCAAAAUAAUGCAAAAAAAAAAAUCUAAAUAUAAAUGUGAAAAAGAGAGAAUGCAUUAAGUUUUUUUGCAAAAGAAGCGAAACGCAGAAAAGAAAAAAUAUUUUAACCACGAAGAUCGUCGAAGAGAUUUCGUAUGAAUCCAAUAAAGGCUAAACAAAGUUUAAUAAUAAACUAGAUUAAUUUGCUUAAGUAUAAAGGGUGUAGUUAUUUUUUUAUAAUAAUAUUAUUUAUUUAUUUAUUUAUUUAUAUUCAUUUUUGCAACUUAGUCCAAGUCUUAGGGCUUUUAAAAGUCAACUCAUGUAUAGUUUGUGGACUUGCUCAUUAAUAAGCCAAAAAAUUUCAUCUAAUAUAACACGUGGCUGAGAUGCUCAAAUUAAUUUGCUAAUAAACAAACUUUUUUUUUUAGCCUUGAUUGUUUUAAUUAAUUAAUAUAUUUAUAAUUCGGAGCACUCUCUUCCAUAUAAAAAGAAUGAGGCAAAUAUUGUGCCUACCGAAAUCAAUAGAGAAAAUAUUUAUCAUAGUCUAAAUAUUUUGAAUUUGAGUCUGUCUACAACAGAUCCAUUUUUUGGUUGAAAAAAUUUUAGUUAUUCCAUUUUCAUACGAAAAAUAAAUAAUGUAACGAAAUAAGCUUUUAAUUUUUUUUUUUUUCUCUAUAGUACAUAACAUUUUAUUUUUUUGUUAAAUAUUUCUAUAUCAUUUCAUUCUUUCUUCUUAAGUGAAUAUUUUCAUAUUAUUUCAGUGCUAUUUAUUAAUAUUUAGUUAUUAUAUUAGCUUUUCGUUGAUUACAACCAAGAAUCAAAUUUUAAUUUAAAUUCAAAUGUAUAUUUAAAUUUUAAUUUUAUAUAAUUUAAAUUUAAAUUUAUGAAUUUUUAAAUUAAGAUUUGCAUUUAAAUAGAGAAUUAAAAAAAUAUAUAGAGAGAGCUAGGCUGGUAUAUUAUUGGUAGCCCGGAAGCCUCUAUGCUACCAAGUUGUUUUCAAUUAUGCGGCUUCCCAAUCGAUAAUUUGCUCUAUUAGAUUUAAUCUACACUAUUAAAAGUAUUUGAAAACUAAAUUUUAUAAUUUUUAAAUAUUAUUUGGCUAGUGAUCAAAAGAUCUCAAAAUUAAUUAAUAAUUUUAAUGGUCGAUGUGAUGCGUUUGUAAAUUUAACAGUGUAAAGCAAUUUAAAUCUGAUGAAAUUUUUAUAGAAAAUUCUUUUCACUAUUUAGAAUAAGAUUAGUACAUCUGAUCUUAAAUUCAAGUUUUUAUCAUCAUUUUUUAUGAUAUUUUUAUUUUCAACUAUUCAUUUUUAGACUACUCGUUCGAUAGGUAAAUGAUGUUGAAAAUUAUAAAAUUGAGUUUCUAAAUACUUUCAAUAGUAUAAAUCAAGUUUAACGGAGUCGGUCGUCGAUUUGGAAGCUACAUCGAUCAUCGAAAAAAAUGUUGUAGUACGGAGGCCUCCAUGCUACCGAUAGUAUACCAGCCUAGUUCUCUCUCUCUCUCUCUCUCUCUCUCUCUCUCUCUCUCUCUCUCUCUCUCUCUCUCUCUAUAUAUAUAUAUAUAUNNNNNNNNNNNNNNNNNNNNNNNAGUCCGGUUGGGAUACUAUCCGCCGUUAGAUUCCGUUAGAUUAUACUAUUCAACCAAUAACUCACUCAACCCUAAGGGGCCCACAUCAUCCUAAUCGUAUAUUUUUUUUAUCUAAGGGCCGAAAACCUAAUAGCACCAAUAGCUUGAUGUUAUUGAUAGUAUUCCAGCUUAGUUAUAUAUAUAUAUAUAUAUAGAGUCCGGCUACUAUGCUAUUAAUAGCACGAAGCACUUGGUGCUACCAAAUUUUCCGCCGUUAGAUCUACUCUUUGGAUCAUUUUCACCCGUUAGAUCAUACUAUUCAACCAACCACACACUCAACCCUAGGGGGUCCACAUCAUCCUAACCACACAUCUCUUAAUCCAAUGGCCAAAAACUUGGUAGCACCAACGACUUGGUGCUAUUAAUAGCAUAGUAGCCUAGUUCUAUAUAUAUAUAUAUAUAUAUCUCUCUCUCUCUCUAUAUAUAUAUACAACUUAAAAGCAUGGAACAUAAACAAAUAUUACACACGUAAACAAGCAAAACACACAUAAACAAACAAAUUAAGCACUAGUCAUGUAACAUCUUGCUCUCCUCGAAAUUAAAGAAGCAAAACCAAAAAGCAUAAGCUUGAAUAAUUAACUAACCUUCUUCCCCAGCAUAUUUGGUUUCUAUGGGGGUCGAGAACGGUGCGUAAGUGCUUACAGUAGAGAGCUGCAAAUGCACUGCAAAAUAAAAACGGCAAUACAUUAUUGAGCAAUAUUGAAUUUUAUAACUUCUCCAGAACGAAAUCGAUAUAUAUUGACUUCAAAUAGACUUACGAACACGCAGAGCUUGAUAGUUGGAAUCGAGAAGGACGAUUAUUGUCACGGUGAUGAGAAGGAAACUGAGGAGAAGGGUUGCGAAACUGACCGCCCCCCGCGGUUUGAUCCCGCCAAAGCUGUCGAGCCGCUUCAUUACUGUCGUCGUCGUCCUCCUCCUCCUCCUCGUUCUCUAUAGCAUGAAAUCAUAAAGAUGGCUCUUUUUGUUACAUAUAUAUAUAUAGAGAGAGAGAGAGUGUGUGUGUGUGUUAAGCUCCUUUGUUUUUAAAAGCAUAGGAGCUCAAUGUAUUUGUGAUUUUUUAGCCGUCGAGUCUUCUUUACUAGUGCUGUACGAAUUUUGAAACGAUUAUUCAAUGACUAAAAAUUCGAAAGCACAAAUAUUUUCGUACUUUUAAAAGUAUAGAAGCUCAACUCUCUUUCUCUAUAUACCUGUGUGUGUGUUGUGUAGAGAGAAAGGAAAAAGAGCUAGUUAGCAACUCACUUUCGUUGCAAGUAGUUAUGCAUGAUACUCAACAUGCACUUGAUUAUUAAUUAAAUUAAAUUAUUAUCUGUUCCCUUCUGAGGUGUUGUUGUAAUGAAGUUGACUAAAUAUUGUAGGAAUGGAAUAUGAAAGGAAUUAAUUAUUUUUGUGAUAUCUAUAUUGCCUAAAUGAAUUAGUCUUCUAAUUAAUUAACCAAAAAAAAAAAGCUACUUAUUGAAACCAAAAAGGGGAUGCAUGGAACGUUAAUUGUGUUGGAUUUUCGGCGCUUAUCACAAUUCCAGAAAGGAGACAAUCAGUUCACUUAAAUCGUAAAGACAUAAUAUCUACGCGUUCCGACAUAUAUAGGUAGGAUGCUAGCUUAUUCGACAAUAAUCCUAAAUUUGUGAAUCGAUCCGUGACCUUCUUAGUUCCAAAUCCUUAAUCUAUUUUGAUACUACUUGUUGGAUUGUCGACGCUAAUAACAAUUCCAAAGGCUCGAGUAGUUCAAAUGAGAUAACUAAUUCACUUAUUAGAUUAUAUAGAUACAUACAGUGUGCACGGAUCUUAAUUGUGACUUAACCCAAUCCAGCUAGAAUUGGUGCCUGUCUAUGUGACACCCUGACUUCUCAGGGGAUCAUCCAUUCUAGGAUUACUCCUAUACUAACAAGCUUAGAGGCCUCACCGAAAAUGCUUAAGUCGGGUUAAGAGUUUUAGCCCUAUUAUAUCUUAUAUAUAGGAUUAACUGGAGUUCACAUUCUCUCUCCUUUAAAUCUUGACGUUCUCAUCAGGCUCAGACUCACAAGUAUCAUGCGAUGUGAUCAUGAGAUUCGUCUUGCUAACCUUGUCANAAUAAAGAGAUAAAUAAAUAAACAAAACAAAACAUGUAGAUUCAACUUCCAUAGAAGCCAAUCAAUCUUUCAACGAAUGCUCAUAAAAAGUGUUAUAUAUAUAUAUAUAUAUAUAUAUAUAUAUAUAUAUACAACUUAAAAGCAUGGAACAUAAACAAAUAUUACACACGAAAACAAGCAAAACACACAUAAACAAACAAAUUAAGCACUAGUCAUGUAACAUCUUGCUCUCCUCGAAAUUAAAGAAGCAAAACCAAAAAGCAUAAGCUUGAAUAAUUAACUAACCUUCUUCCCCAGCAUAUUUGGUUUCUAUGGGGGUCGAGAACGGUGCGUAAGUGCUUACAGUAGAGAGCUGCAAAUGCACUGCAAAAUAAAAACGGCAAUACAUUAUUGAGCAAUAUUGAAUUUAAUUAACUUCGAAUAUAACUUCUCCAGAACGAAAUCGAUAUAUAUUGACUUCAAAUAGACUUACGAACACGCAGAGCUUGAUAGUUGGAAUCGAGAAGGACGAUUAUUGUCACGGUGAUGAGAAGGAAACUGAGGAGGAGGGUUGCGAAACUGACCGCCCCCCGCGGUUUGAUCCCGCCAAAGCUGUCGAGCCGCUUCAUUACUGUCGUCGUCCUCCUCCUCCUCCUCCUCCUCGUUCUCUAUAGCAUGAAAUCAUAAAGAUGGCUCUUUUUGUUACAUAUAUAUAUAGAGAGAGAGAGAGAGUGUGUGUGUGUGUGUGUGUGUUAAGCUCCUUUGUUUUUAAAAGCAUAGGAGCUCAACGUAUUUGUGAUUUUUUAGCCGUCGAGUCUUCUUUAUUAGUGCUGUACGAAUUUUGAGACGAUUAUUCAAUGACUAAAAAUUCGAAAGCACAAAUAUUUUCGUACUUUUAAAAGUAUAGAAGCUCAACUCUCUUUCUCUAUAUACCUGUGUGUGUGUGUGUUGUGUAGAGAGAAAGGAAAAAGAGCUAGUUAGCAACUCACUUUCGUUGCAAGUAGUUAUGCAUGAUACUCAACAUGCACUUGAUUAUUAAUUAAAUUAAAUUAUUAUCUGUUCCCUUCUGAGGUGUUGUUGUAAUGAAGUUGACUAAAUAUUGUAGGAAUGGAAUAUGAAAGGAAUUAAUUAUUUUUGUGAUAUCUAUAUUGCCUAAAUGAAUUAGUCUUCUAAUUAACCAAAAAAAAAAAGCUACUUAUUGAAACCAAAAAGGGGAUGCACGGAACGUUAAUUGUGUUGGAUUUUCGGCGCUUAUCACAAUUCUAGAAAGGAGACAAUCAGUUCACUUAAAUCGUAGAGACAUAAUAUGUACGCAUUCCGACAUAUAUAUAUAGGUAGGAUGCUAGCUUAUUCGACAAUAAUCCUAAAUUUGUGAAUCGAUCCGUGACCUUCUUAGUUCCAAAUCCUUAAUCUAUUUUGAUACUACUUGUUGGAUUGUCGACGCUAAUAACAAUUCCAAAGGCUCGAGCAGUUCAAAUGAGACAAUAAUUCACUUAUUAGAUUAUGUAGAAACGUACAGUGUGUAUGGAUCUCAAUUGUGACUUAACCCAAUCCAGCUAGAAUUGGUGCCUGUCUAUGUGACACCCCGACUUCUCAGGGGAUCAUUCAUUCUAGGAUUACUCCCAUGCUAGCAAGUUUAGAGGCCCUACUGAAAAUGCUUAAGUCGGGUUAAGAGUUUUAGCCCUAUUAUAUCUUAUAUAUAGGAUUAACUGGGGUUCACAUUCUCUCUCCUUUAAAUCUUGACGUUCUCAUCAGGCUCAAACUCACAAGUAUCAUGCGAUGUGAUCAUGAGAUUCGUCUUGCUAACCUUGUCAUUCCGAUCCUGACUCAGUCGAGACUUAUCUCACACUUUCAGCUGCUAAUUGGCUCUGAUACCAACUGUGACGCCCCGACUUCUCAAGGGGCCACCGCCUACCUAUCAACAAAUUUUUUUCCAUUAUUUUUUAUGAAUUUUCCAAUUGCUAAAGUAUAAUUAAGAAAUUAAAAACCGGUGAAGUGUCAUAACUCAAAUAAUUUGGGUUAAGAAGAAAAAAUGACUCUUUUCGUUAAUUAUAAUAAUUUUAAUCCUCAACAAGAAAUUAGGUAUUAAAUCAAUUUUAUUUUGAAUGGAAGCUAAUUUAAUUUAAUAUUUUACUUGCUCUUAAUUAGAACGCAACGCAAGAAUUAAACCUAAAUUAUAUAUUACGUAAAAUCAAUUAAAAAGGUACAAAUGUAUGAGGACCCCCUCUACUACAUGCAAUUUUGAAACAUAUACCCGGACUUUAUUUCUUUCUAUUAUUGAGUUUUCACAUACUCUUAACCAUAGUUAGUUACUUCGCGAAUUAUUCGCGAAUUAUUGAAAAUUUGAAUAAAACGGUUCAUAUGCGAUUUAUUCCCAAAAAUUCAGAAUAAAAUGCAAAUUUUUUGCUUAAAUUUAUUAUUCGCGAAUAAUUCGCAUAUGCCGAACUAUUCGGCCAAAAUAAUGCGCAAAGUUUUUUGGAUAACGUGAAUUAUUGGAAAACUUUAUAAACUUUUAAAAUAUGUGGAUCAUAAAAAAAAGAUGGAAAUAGAGAUGACGAUAAAAUUUACUAUUAAUUGCUUUUUUACUUGAUCUACUUUAUUUUAUAAAUCUCUAUUUUUAUAUUCUUAAGAAUUUAUAAUUAUAUAUGCUAGUAGCAUAAAUUAGAGAAAAAACUUAGUUUAAUAGCCAAAUUUUUUAUCCCAAAUUUUUAAUUGGUGAACAUAUAAUUUUCGUAUAGUAAUUGGCGAAUUCGUUUUUUAAACCGUAUUUUUCAAUGAAUUUAGAGAUUGAGAUACGAAUUUUGUUCUAAUUAUAUUCGUACCGAAUUUUUACCGAAUUCGAAUUAACUAACUAUGCUUUCAACUAGAGACUUUUCAACUAACAAGUGGAACAACUUGAAUUAAAUCAGAGUUUUAGUGGUCUAGUUCGUAAAGACCUAUACUUGAGGGGGUCUCCAUACACUUUUACAAUUAAAAAAGGAAUGUGCCGUUGAGAUAGCAUGUUUUGCCGAUGACUUUUUGAAAAGGACAAGAAUGCUAAAUAUAAAAAAAUUGGGGAGCUAAGUGAAAUGAUUUCUGAAAAUGCCACAAAUAUUAGAAAAAUAUAUACAAAGCCAAAGAGUGUAAGCUACAGUGAUGUUAACAACCCAACCAUAUAUUAUGCGUACUCAUGAAAGCUAAUUAACACCGACAAAAAAAAAGAAAAAAGAAAAAAGAAGUAAACUUCAAAUUCCAUCACGUAGUUUCACACUUUCGCACUUUAGUACCAUGUGGUUUAAAGUGUAUCAAGUUAGUGUUCUGUGGUUUUAUUUUUCUCUUUUCGUCAGUUUUUCCGUUAAUAUUUCAUUAAAUUAUAUACAAAAAACUUCAGAUACCUCACCUAUAUAUAUUUAUUAAGGCUUAGUUUGGUAUUGAGGUCUAUCUAACGCUAUUAGAUAAAAUGAAGUUGAGAAAAAAACAUAUAGGAUAUGCUUCUGCGUUCUCCGGUGGGACUGCAGAAAAUAUAUCAUAACCGACUCAUCGCGAGAUGCGGAAUGCAAUAUUACGUAGGAAAACAAACAAGAUAUUUUUCGAUCGUCGUUUCUCACCGUAUGUAACGUAAUUUUCCCGCAAGCCUAAAUGAAGCCUAAAUAUUCACUUUCUUACCCUUUAGUUUUAACUUUGUCACUGAUUCAAUGAAAAAAAUUAGUGGAAUCGAUAAUAAAAAAAUAAAAAUAAGACCACAUGACACUAAAUUGAUACAUUUUAAACCUCGGGGUACUAAAGUGUGAAACCACAGGAGAGGUAUUUGAAGUUUUUCCAAAAAAAAGUACAUGAAACACGGCACGACUCGAAUACUAAACACCAGGUAAGAAUACAGUAUAAAUACUAUUAAUAAAAUAUAAUAUUAUUAUUUGUGAUAAUAUAUAUAUUUAUUAGAAUAUGAUUGCUAUACUAUCAGUAGCACGGAGGCCUUCGUGCUAUCAAAUUAUUUUCACUGAUACGGCUUCCAAAUCAACGAUCAGCUCUGUUGAACUUGAUCUACGCUAUUGAAAGUAUUUGAAAACUAAAUUUCAUAAUUUUUCGUUACAUCAUUUACCUACUCAAAUGACUAGUCUAAAAAUAAAAAUUUCAUAAAAAAUGGUGAUAAAAGGUUUGAAAUUAAGAUAAGAGAUACUUUAUUCUAAAUAGUGAAAAAAAAAAAUUCUAUAAAACUUUUAUCAGAUUUAGAUUAUUUUACACUGUUAAAUUCAAAAAUAUUGUAAAUUCAAAAAUACAUCACAUCGAUCAUUAAAAUUGUCAAUUUUGAAAUAUUUUUCUCACUAGCCGAAUAAUGUCGAAAAAUUAUGACAUUUAGUUUUCAAAUACUUUCAUCCGUGUAGAUCAAAUCUAACGAAAUCGACUGACGAUUUGUAAGUUGCAUUAUUGAAAAUAACUCAAUAGCAUGGAGACCUCAGUGCUAUCGAUAGUAAAGCAGCCUAACUCAUUAGAGCACGACUACUAUAUUAUCAGUAGUAAAGAGACCUACGUGCUGCCAAUAUAAAUGAAAAUAAUAAUUUUGAUAAAAUAUUAUUAUAUUUCUGAUAGGAAUAAAAAUAAUAGAAUUUUUAUUAAUCGUUCAUACAUUAAAAAAAUAUAUUUUUACUAUACAAAAUUUAUUUAUAUUGUUUAGAAAAAAUUAUAUGUAUUCAUAAAAAAGCUAAAAUAGUUAUCAUAUUACAUAUAUGCAUAGAAAAAGAUAUAAUAAAAUUUUUUUUUUAAUGGAAUGUAUAAUGGACCGAUGUAGAACGUGCAUCUAUGGCAUGUCCGCAUCAUACACUAGCCUGACACAAACACACGAAAUUUAUAGAAAAGUCUAUGAUACAUAACUAUCUAAUAUUUUAAGUUAUUUAAUUUGAGUCAAUCAAUAAUUCUUUAACUUUAAAGUUUUAAUUGGUCAUUUAUUUGUGCAGGAUUAAGUAGAAUAUUUUAUACAAUUCUUCUAAUUGUCAGUUUAUUAAAGUAAACAAUUAACCUAAUUUUGUAUCGAGAACACCAUCGGACAACUUAAAUCAAAUAAAUUAAAAGUUUGAAAGGUUGAAUAGUCAAAUUAAAAUGGUUCAUGAUUCACUUAAUAAGUUCUCUACAAUUUUAAUGAAAUUGAUGGAGGAAGAAAAUAUAUAACAAUGCAUGGAGACCCCUCAACUAUAGGCCAAUUUGACAUGGCCCAUCAUUUUUAUUUAAGUGACAUCGCUUUAACUUUUGAUUUUUUGAAUUAAGUUAUUUUAGUCAAAUAAACCUAUAAUUUUAUCAAAUUUAUCGAUAAUCUUAUCAAAUUUUAUAUUAUUUUUAGUAAAUAAAAUCAAGAUAACAACGACCGAUAGGUAGCAAACAUUAAAUUUGAUAAAAUUUUUAGCCUAAUUAAUUGGGUAGGAUAACUCAAACAUAUAUAAAAGAAAAUUAGAAAAAUACAAGAUACCAAUCAAGUAAAAAAAAAUGAAAAAGUAUAAAUGAAUUGUUUCAAUAAUAGAGGGGGUCUCCAUACCUUUUUGCCCAGAAAAUAUGUAAUAAGAGAGAGAGAGAGAGAGAGAGAGAGAGAGAGAGGUUUAUGGCUUGGGAUUUUUAGGGUUUAUUUGGACAAAAUGUAUGGAUUAUAUUCAUCAACCAAAAAGAAAGGGAUCAAAGAGAAUAAUAAAAGAUACAUGGGGUAUGAAACUUAAUAAUAUUAAUAAAUAGUUAAUUAUGAGUGUAUUUAGGUGAAUCUAUUUGCAUUAUAGAGUUUUGGAUCAGGUCCAAAUCCACAUAAACCCAUGAAUGUGGCGUAUCUAAUGAAAUCUAUUCAGUCUAAAAGUUUAAACAUAUUAAAUUUGAAUCUAUUGGUAUGUAUUAAUAUUUUACUCUCUUAUUUAUUAUCUGAUGUGGAACCAUUUGCAAAUGAAUUAUUUGUGGUCCCAUUUUCAAUCCAUCAUAUAUAGUUGACUUGAUAGUUGUUAGUAUCUAAAAUCUCAAGUUCGAAGUCUACUUACUUACACAUGCAGUUCAAAUUUGUUUUGCGAGUUACCCGAAAGCCACUAACCCGAGCCUCCAUGUUUUAUGUGAUGCCGCAAUAGUCCCACAUCGGAUGAGAAUGAUUUUGUAAUUCAUGAAAAUAUAAGGUAACCAUAGACCCUAAGAACAAUAAUAGAGCUAGUCCCACAUCGGAUAAAAAUAAGUUUAUGAUUAAAAAUAUAAGAAACCAUGGAUCCUACCAAUAGUGAUUCAGCUAAGCUAUUUUUGGGAUCAUUAUAUUUGGUGUAUCAUAGCGAGUUUAUUAGCCGGAAGUGUGAAAUGAGCUUAAUGAGGACGUCCGAGUGUAAGCAAAGAGGUAUUAUGGAUACUAAUAAUAAUAACUAAGUUUAAAUAUUUUGGGUCAUUGAUUUAGGCCCACUAAAUUUAUUAUUGUUGGUGGUCUGUGGGCGUCAUACUUUAACUUGUGCUAUUCAGAAUCCAGCUGAACAUUUUGAUUUCUAAAUAGUUUAAAUGGUUUAGAUCAUAUUCAAUGAUACUGAUCAUUGAUUUGAAAGUUCUAUUAAUUAAAAACAAAUCGGUAAUAAAUCAAUCCGAUUACUAUUGAUAAUAUAUAUCUAAUAAGCUCGUAAAUAUAUUAUAUGUGUUGACAAACUUUCGAAUUCAUUGUUUAGGCCCAAAUAAGAAAUGGGCCACACAUUUGUGAUAUUGGCCAAAUUCGAUAUUUAUAUCAAAAUCGCCCUAGCCCAAAUUUCAUCAUGAACACAUCCAUAGUCCAAGAUCACUCUGUUUAGGACCUGACCUUCUCAUCAGCCCAAUGACACAUAGAGCUCAGGAUCAUCAGGUGAUGUGAACUUAUCUUAUACUUUCGGCCAGUAAACAGGCUUAUAUGCCCAAUCACAAAAUAUAACGUUCCGAUCCACUAGUAAUAACAACUCGCUAGACCCAAACCGCAGGCGCAAGAUGUUUAAGUUUAAUUAGUUAUUAUUGUUAGGGACCAUGGUUUCUUAUAUGCCCAAUCACAAUCUCAUUUCCAUCAGAUGUGAAGCAAUUGGUGUGUCACAGGGGUACAAAUUCUAAAUGCUGUAGAAUUGAGGUACAUCGUAGCCAUCACUUACGUGCACUUAAUACAUGGGUGCAUAGAAGGGCAUGGCCAAUAGAUGAAUUAGCAGGAUAAUUUGAGUACGUUUUGUGGCCGGAGAUCAUUUGGUAUAUUAUGUGCACGGAUGUACCAAAGAAUUAUUCAGAAAUUAAAAGAUGAGAAUCGGAUGAGAGAGAUUUAGAAAGAAGGCUCGAGUUGACAUUAUUCUACAGAGAAGAAGAGUAGAUUGCAAUUAUUCUCGUGCUUGUGGUUGCAACUAUUGCAAAAUUUCAACAACUCGCAUUAGAGCAAGAACUAAACUUUUUAGCAAUUAGUAUUAAAGCGGAUUGCAGAUUUUCAACAAUUGGUAUCAGAGCGUAGGAGUGGAAACGAGCCGAGCUUGAGUGAGCUUAUCUCAGCUCAAGCUUGACUUGAAAAUAAUUUUGAGCCUAAAUUUAGGCUCAAGCUUGGUUUGAAAUUAAUUCGAGCCGAGCUACAGAGAGUUUAACUUUGAGUAGAGUGAGCUCGAGCCCUAAACGAGCCGUUUGAAAUUCUUAAUAUCAUGCAAUCUAUAGUUUAACUUUUAUAAAAUAUUAUCUAAAAUUUAAUAUAAAAUAAUGUCUAACAUUUUAACAUACAAAAUGAAUGUAUGAAAUAUGAUAUUAUAAUAUUAAAAAAAUUAGGAAAAACAACUCUGCGAGCAAGUGAAAAAGAGAGGGCAAUUAGAGUAGGAUUUCGCUUGUUUCAUUUUGUGGGUCCAAUAACACCGAAACUCUACAUAUACAUAUAAUUAAAAUACGUAAUAUAUAUUUAUUACAUAUAAUUAAAUGUAUAUAUGUAAAGGCCGUCUAUUAUACUCUUAUGAGUAUAGACUUCUUUAUCAUAAUAAGUUUUCGAACGUUAGAUAUACCCUUUUGACCAUUUCACCCAUUAAAUCAUAUUAUUCAACCAACCAUCCACUCAACCCUAAGUGAUCACUAUCAUCCUAACUGCACAUCUCUUUAUCCAUUGGCCGAAAACUUAUGAAUACAAAAAGAUCGAUAUUCAUAAGAGUAUAAUAAUCUUCUAUAUGUACCAAGUGCUUGAUGCUAUCAGGUUUUCGGCCCUUGUAUGAAGGGAUCUGUGGUUAGGAUGAUAGUGAUCCCCUAUAGUUGAGCGCAUAGUUAAUUGAAUAGUAUAAUCUAAUGAUCAAAGGGAUAGAUCUAAUGGCGGAAAACUAAAGAGCAUCAAACAUAUGAUACUAUCGAUAAUAUAUAUAUAUAUAUAUAUAUAUAUAUAGUUGAACUAGAAUACUUGUAAAAGUAUCACCUAAGUGAUACUUGUGUAUUUUUAGUCCUUGGAUGGAGAGAUGUGAGGUUGAGAUGAUGGUGGUAGGUGGUGGUAGGUGGUGUUAGGUGGAAUAGUGUUUGAUUCAAGGACUAUUAGUAAUCAAAAAGUAGAUUCAAUGGUUAAAAACACACAAGUAUCACUUGGGUGAUACUUGUAAAAGUAUUCUAGCCCUAAUAUAUAUAUAUAUAUAUAUAUAUAUAUAUAUAUAUAUAUAUGCUAGAAAUAUUAUUAAUAGUAAAACGCUCUUUUGUAUCAAGUGUUUAAUACUUGGAUGAAAAAUGUACGGUCAGGAUGAUAUUAGUCGGUUAGAGUGAGUGGUGCCCCUAGGGUUGAGUGGUCCCCACUGGGUUAUAGUAUUUAAUCCAUGGUUAGAAAUAAUAAAAGAGUUGAUCCAAAGGCUAAAAAAUGAUAGCAACAAUGGGAUUUUGCUACUAAUAGUAGCCAGUCCAACUCUCUCUCUCUCUCUCUCUCUCUCUCUCUCUCUCUCUCUCUCUUCUCUCUCUUCUCUAUCUUAUAUAUAUAUAUAUAUAUAUAUAUAUAAUAGGGCUACUAUACUCUUACGAGUAUAGAGCUCUUGCUACUCAUAAGUUGUUUUCGAUGUUAGGGUUUUUAAAUCGACGAUCCACACCGUUAAAUAUGAUCUAGAAUAUUUGAAACUUCUAGAAAAUAAAUUUCAUAAAUUUUCGAAAUCAUUAUAAAGUCCAUCAAGCGGGUACAAAAUGAACGGUUAAAAUCGAACGACAUCCUAAAAAUGGCUAAUCAGAUCCUUCAAUUUAAGAUCGGAGUUAUUGAUCUUUAUCUAUGUAGUGAAUAGAAUUUUCUAUCAAAAAUUUAAUCUAUUCUGAUUCUUUUACACCGUUAAACUAGCAAAUAUUUCAUACCGGCCGUUAAAAUUGUCAAUUUGUGACCUUUUGAUCGUAAGGUAAAUGAUGUCGAAAAAUUAUAAAAUUUGAUUUCUAGAAGUUUUAAAUACUCUAGAUAACGUUUAACGGUGUGGAUCAUCGAUUCGGAAGCUCUAUCAUUGAAAACAACUUAUGAGUACGAGAGCGAUCGUACUCAUAAGAGUAUAGUAGCCGGACUCUCUCUCUCUNUAUAUAUAUAUAUAUAUAUAUAUAUAUAUAUAUAUAGUUCUGUUGGGAUACUAUCAAUAGCGGUGCUAUCAAACUUUCUGCCGUUGGAUUUAUCUCUUUUGUUAUUUUCAUCCGUUUGAUUAUACUAUUCAACCAACCACCCACUGAACACUAGGGAGCCCACAUUAUUCUAACCGCAUAUCUUUUAAUCUAAGAAUAAAAAACUUAGUAGCAAUAAGUCAUUGGUGCUAUUAAUAAUAUUUCAGCCAAGUUCUAUAUCUAUAUAUAUAUAUAUAGAGAGAGAGAGAGAGAGAGAGAGAGAACUAGACUGGAAUUUCUCUAGACUGGAAUACUAUUAAUAGCAUCAAAGCUAUUGGUGCUAUAAAGUUUUCGGCCUUGGAUGAGCAAAUGUGCGGUUAGAAUGAUGUGGGCCCCUUAAGUUGAGUGAGUUAUUGGUUGAAUGGUAUAAUCUAAUCGGUAAAAAUAGAUAAAUGGUUAAAUCUAACGGCAGAAAAUUCGGUAGCACCAAACGCUUGGUGCUAUCGUUAAUAAUUCCAACCGAACUAUAUAUAUAUAUAUAUAUAUAUAUAUACACACACACGCGUGCGCGUUAGUUUUUUGAGCCUAAAUCGAGCGUGCCCAGUAAUACUCAACCUCAGUUAAAAUUUUUUUUUUUUAAUUCAAAUUCGACUCAUUUAAUUUCGAGUCAAGUUUGAGUGAGCCGAAUAUUAAGCCGAACGCGAGUCGAUCACAUGCCGGCUCGCUCAUCUGCCCAGCUCUCGAGUACUCUUCCGUACAACAAACUUAGGAUACCAAACAACAAAGACGUACGCAUGCGCAAAAAUUUGCCAAACUACUACAUCACAAACCUCUUAUUCCUUUAAGAGGCGCUUACGUGACGGGAGCAAUAGGCGGAAGAAAAUGAGAAAGUUUCUGGACAUUAGCUUUCCUUUCCAGGUUUUGGAAUAUUUAGAGAGAAAGAAAGAAAUAUCCGAAUUGGUCUUCCCGAAAGAAAAGUCAAAAUUCUGAAGCACAAAAUGCCAAAACCAAACUACGUACUAGGCCGAACUAAAAAGUGGAAGGAAGCCUACUAUUAGACCUGGCAAACGGCGGGAUAACCCGCGGACGAGUUAUUGUACCAAUGCGUUAGUUAGGUAUAAAUAAAAUUUAUUCGUAAAUUUUUGGAUAGCCAACCUCUUCAUUCGUAUCCGCCCGUGGAUGGAUAUGUGGGUUACCCGCAAAUUUUUUUUUCGCUCUUAUAUUUUUUAUAUACAAAACACACACACACACACACACAUAUAUAUAUAUAUAUAUAUAUAUAUAUAUAUAUAUAUAAAAGUUUUAAAAGCGUAAUAUAACUCAUUGUUUAAAAUAUUAUAAUAUACAAUAAAAAUAUUUAAAGUCUUAAAGCAAAAAUAUUUCAUAAUAUAAAAGACACACAAUAAGAAAUUAGGAUUAGAAUUUUUAGGAUGGUUAAAUAAAAAGAAUAUAUAUUAAUUAAGAAAAAUAUAUUUUGUAAUUAAAAAAUUUAUGUUCGGGUGCCGGUUGGUACCCCCGAGUUAUUUAAAAUACCCACAGCUUAAUGAGUACUUAUUUGUUUUACUCGUAAUUUUUUAGGUUCGAAAAGUUGGUAACUAUACCAGCAAAUUUGCACCCGCGGACACCCACGGGUUUGCAUCGAGAUUGUCAAGUCAACCGAUUAUAGCGCAUUUACACUACAUCAUCAAUAACCUGCCAAACACAUCUCUCUGUUUAAAAAAAUAUAUAUAAUAAAAAUAUUUUUCUAAUAACCAUGAUAGAAUGGGUGAAUCCAAAGGAGAGAGUCUGAUUGGUUAGGAUUGCCAUAUCUGUAAUAUAACUGGUGCAUUCUAUACUUUUUCAAAAAGUGGGGUAGCAGAAAUAUAAGAUGCAGUCGUCGUAUACAGGUGAUGAGGUAUCCCAAAUGAAUUAAAUUUCCCCGUCAUGAAUUGUAGACAAAUAUUUUUAUUGUACGUUUUCCAAGAAUCUGUGUUCUCCUUAUAAAUUAACCAAGUAGGAUGAUUCUACUGUUAUCGGAAUUGUUAGAUGCCGACUUUUGACUAUAUGUAUAGUUUGAAUUAUUAGUUAAGUAAGUACACAUGAGAAUCAUUAAUAAUCGAACAUGUGGAAAAUAUUUCCUCUUCCAAAGUCAUUAUAAGAAACAAACGUGCUAACGAGAAUAUACACUACAGUAGCUCUGCGGCGGUCGAAGAGAGUUUGAAAGGGUGGUGGUGAGAUCGAUCGAGAAGGUACGAACGUAUCGAGAAAGUUAGGGUUUGGGUACGAUGAAGAGCUUGGCUCGAAGCUUGUCGAAGAGCAAUGUCGGCGCGGGGUUGCUCGCGGGGUUCCUCUUGGUCUUGCUUACCUACUUCACCAUGUCGGAGCAGUUUGUGAUCCGCGCUACGAAUCGUGAGUUGUAGUUAUCUAUGCUCAGCCAUUUUGAUCCUUUCAUGUUACUUAGCUUGAUAUGUUCAAGCAACAUAUAUAUGUAGUGAGAAACAAGUUGGAAUAUUGAUAUAUAUUACAAAAAAAAUUUCAAUAUAUGGACAUUUUUAGAUGACGUUCCUAGGCGUCCCAAUAGUAUAGGAAGUACCGACCUUUAAUUCAAAAGGUGCAAACCAAUUUAUUAAAUAAGAAACUUUACUGUUAUUUUUAAUUUUUCGACGCUUUAAAAGGCCAGGUGCUUUAAAGCGUCACAAUAUAUUUUACCAAUGUCGACUCGUUAUUUGCCGACAGUUUAACAGACACUUUUAAAUGUGACACUAUAUUAUAUUGAAACGCUUUUAAGCAUUCUUAUACAUAUAUACAUAUAUAUACAUAUACGUAUAUAUACAUGUACAUAUAUAUACAUGUACUGUAUAUUAUAAGUAUAUAUAUAUAUAUAUAUAGUUGAGCUAGAAUACUAUCGAUAGUAAACAGCCUCCGUUGCCACCCAUUUGUUUUCGAUGAUGGAGCUUCCAAAUCGACGAUCGACACCGUUGAACAUGAUCUAUACCACUUGAAGUAUUUAAAAAUCAAAUUUCAAAUCUACUUUUCGAUAUCAUUUGCCUAAUGAUCAAAGGGUUUCAAAAUUUGUAAUUUUAAUGAUCGAUUUGAGGCGUUUUCUCGUUUAACCGCAUAAAGAUAUCCAAAUCAAUUGAAUUUUUAUUCGAAAAUUUUUUAAACUAUUUAAAAUAAGAUCUAUACUCUUGAUUUUGAUUACAAGACUCCUAUCAUCAUUUUUUCAAGAAUAUUUAAUUUCAGCCGUUCAUUUUUGUGUCUACUUGAUGGAUAAGAGAACAACAACGGAAAUGUAUAAAAUUUGAUUCUAAAUACUUCAAGUCGUAUAGAUCAUGUUCAACGGUGCCGAUCGUCAAUUUAAAGGCUCCAUCAUCGGAAACAAAUUGGUGGCAACGGAGCCCGUUUGCUAUCGAUAGUAUUCUAGCUCAACUAUAUAUAUAUAUAUAUAUAUAUAUAAAGCAUCCUUCAAUGUUAAUUUUCUUGUAGUCAAUAUAUGUAUCUUUUUAUUUGUAAAAUUAACAAAGCAAAAAAAAUAAAUUAGGCAAAUUAAACUUCUUAUUUUCUCUUUUUUCCUUCUCUUUUUUAUUAUUAUUUUUUUGAUAUUUAUGUGCAAUGUUGAUUCUUAUGAGCUUAUUUGAACUUUGUAGUUUUUUUGCAGCGACCGACGGAACAUGAAGUUGUAUCAAUUCCAUCUGCAACGGAUGUAGAGCACGGUGAGAUAAAUUUAAAUAAAAUUACCUUAAUUAUUCCUUUUCACUUUAAACCUUUGUUUUAUCUAUCUAUAUCUAUACUACUUAUAAAAGCGUGAGUUUUGAAUUUUUUCCUCUUUCCCAAAAUACCGUUCCCUAUUAAUAUAAUUUCAAUUACAUACUAAUAAUAUCAUUCAUUCAAUUUUAAUUGAAUAAAUCACAGCCGUACAAUUUUUAUUUUAUUUUUAAAUUAUCAUAAAAUAUAUUAAUUCUUAGUCAUUCGAUCUAAUCCAAUGACUGACGAAUUAAGUAUCUGUCACUUUUUUUACCUAAAUUGCCCUUAGAUAGUACGUAUCAAAUUUCACUUUUUAUAUGUAUGUCAUAUCUCCUAAUAACCGCCGCCAACAUAAUAUCAUAUUUUAUCACAAAUAACAUUCGCAUAUUCUUAAAUAUUUUCAUUCUCACACGUAAUAUCCGUCACCUAUAUAAUAUCAAUCACAUAAUACCUUCCGCAUAUAUAAUAUAUUAUAUUUUUUUAAAGUGAAAUAUAUAAAAUUAUCUUAAUUUUACCUACUAAUAUUUAAAAAUGAGAUAUUUUUUCAAUAAAAUAUAACAUAUAAAUUUACAAUUUAAAAUUUUAAAUUUGUAGUAAAAUAUGAUUCACAAAUUGAUAUUGAUUUGAGAUAAUAUUAAAAUAAUUGUUGACACAGGCAUACCUUUUUUAGUCGGAAAAAAUAUUGUAUUCUAUUUGCGAGAAUAGAAAGAAAUUUAUAUUAUCUAAAUUUUUGUCAACGAAAGAUAUCUUGCUCGUCCUAUAAAAUGAAUAUUCAAUACUUUAUCAAAAAAUCGAAAAAUUCUCUGAUGCAACAAACAUUGAAAAUAUUUUGUAUCUCAUACUAUUUCUUCAAUUAGCUAACCUAAAAAAAUUAGAUUUGAAAAAAAAAAAAUUAAUAAAGCUUAUAAAAUCAACCUUUAAAUUUUAAAUUUUGUUCAUAAUUUCAAAUGUGAAUUAAUAUUUUAAUUCAAAAAUUGAAAUAUAAUUAAAUUUUUCAAUAUUUUCUGGUGUUGUAAAAGUCCAUUUCAAAUUAAAAAUAAUUAAUUACUAAUAAAAUAUAUCAAAUUUGAAAAAAUAGAUGGAUGAUAAAUAAAUUAAUGUCUUAAUAAUUAAUAUUAUAAUUCAAAUUUAUGGAUUCAAAAUUAAUAUCAAAUUUGAGUUUUAUUUCAUAAAUUUAAAUAUAGAAUUUAUUAAUUUAAAAAAUUUAGAAUUAUUUUAGAAUUUUUAAAAUUAUGGAUAAUAUUAAAAAAAUUAAUUUUUUUAAAAAAUUAAACUGAUAAAUAGAUUUGUACCAUCAAUAAUUAUUUAAAUUUAAAAUAAUAAAUAUAAAUUUAACUUAAAUUAAAUGUUACGUGCAUUGCACGUGCACUAUAUAACUAGUUAUAAAUAUAUAAUAGUUAUUUAAUUAAAAGGUGCAUGGUUAAUAUUCAACAUAAAAUUACAUUAAUCCAUUUUCUUGCCUUUUCUUUGUUUUUAUAAAUAUGAUGGUUGAUUAACUAAAGAUGGUUAAAAAUGUACUGCAAUUGAUUAGAAUAUUAGCUUUUUGAGGGAAAAAACCCCUAAAUAUAUUUAUAUAUAUUAUAUAAAUAUAUAUAUAGGCCUAACUACUAUACUAUUACUGGAAUUAUGGAAGCCCACGUUACUUCCGAUAAGUUGUUUUCAAUGAUGGAGUUUCCGAAUCGACGAUCCAUUCCGUUAAAUAUGAUCUAAAGUAUCUGAAACUUCUAGAAAAUACAUUUCAUAAAUUUUCGAAAUCAUAAUAAAGUCCAUCAAGUAGGCAUAAAAUGAACGGUCAAAAUCGAACGACGUCCUAAAAAAGGAUGAUCGGAUCCUUCAAUUCAAGAUCGGAGUUAUUGAUCUUUAUCUAUGUAGUGAAUAGAAUUUUCUAUCAAAAAUUCAACAAAUUCCAAUUCUUUUACACCGUUAAACUAGCAAGUAUCCCAUACCGGCCGUGAAAAAUUAUUAAAUUUGUGAUCUCUUGAUCGUAAGGCAAAUGAUGUCGAAAAAUUAUAAAAUUUGAUUUCUAGAAAUUUUAAAUGCCGUAAAUAACGUUUAACGGUGUGUAUCGUCGAUUCGGAAGCUCUAUCAUCGAAAAUAACUUAUGAGUACGAAGGCAAUCGUACUCAUAAUAAUAUAGUAGCCGGACCCUAUAUAUAUAUAUAUAUAUAUAUAUAUAUACACACACACACCAUUUUAGUUUUAUUUAUCUUUAUGAAGAAAUGAAUAAAUGGCGAAUAAUAAUUAAAUAGCAGGAUCAAAAGAUGCGGCAAAAGAAAUCAAGGUGAGCCGCGAUGAGCAGAAGCCAAAAUAAAAAAAUUUCAAGAGGUAAGAAGAGAUAAAAGAAGAGCAAAAGAAAACAGAACCUUUAGAGAACACUCAACAAUUAGGUGAGAAAUUUAAUGAAUUCCGAUAACAUUCUACACAAUAAUAAAAUUUAAUAAUUUUCUACAUUGUCCAAUGCUACAAAUUUAGAAUGUUAACUUUCUAAUUAGCUCUUCUAAUUAAUAAAACAAAAGAGAGUCAGAAAAAGUUUUACUUUGCCCUUAGUCCUCUACAAGAUCAUCAUAGUUUGUUUCAGUUCUCCUUAUAUAUUAGGCGAUCUCAUAGUCCAGUAAAAAACGAGAUUGUUCUCAAUCGUUGGAUCUUGCUUCAGAUAGAUAAAAGAGAUCGAUAGAGUGUAGUAAUUUUCUGCAUAUUGGGUUAUAGAUUUGAGAUUUGUUUCGAUGAAAUUAUAAUUUACAUAUAAUUAAUAUUUUAUAUGUUAAUUUUUUUUCCAUAUGAUAUUAGAGAAAUUUUGGCUUUGUCCCAGAAAACAAGCUUAAUUUAUUCUUUAGUGAUAAAAAUUUUGUACUAUACAUGAAACUCCAAUCCACAUUAAGACAAGUUGUUUAAGGACAAGUUUCUUCAUAUUUUCUAUAGAAAGGUUUUUCUAUUAUCUUACCUUCCAUUAAGAUCAAGUUUGAAAAAACGUUGGGAAACGUAUCCGGUUUGGGAUUCGGGUCGGGCUCGAGCCGGGUUUUGGUAAGUUUGAAUUCAAGUGACGCAAAGUUAUUUGGGACCGUUUAUCAUGGCCCAUUUCUAGUCUAAAAUUUUAUUUUGGAUAUCCAAACCCCGGCUCGCUACUAGUCUUUUAAACCCUCUAAGUUAUAAACUAGGUAUAUUUGACGUAAACAUUUUCAAAUUAGUACAAAGUAAAUCCACCAAAAAUAAAAACCAAAAUUAUCGCUCAUAAAGUGUUUAUUUUGUGACUAAACUAUAUGAAUUUUAUAGAGAAAACACAAAACAAAAAAACCAAUUUCUCUCACUCCUUAAUUUAGAGAAUUUAAAUAAGUUUUAGCAUCUUAAAGUAUCCUAAUAUUUAUUUUAUUUAUGAAGAAAUUGAUUAACAACGUACAUUUGUUGGAAAAAAGUUGGGUUCCGACCUAAAAUAUACCAAAUGGAGAUUAGUUCGGUUGCGAUCAGUUAGGUUUGACGUCUAAUUAGCUCAAUUUGAUUGAGUCGCACCCCUCCCUACUGAGUUUUUUAGUUUCUUGCAAUAUCAGAACACUACAACAAAAACGGUCUAUAGCGACAUUUUUAAAUGUCUGUAUAGGUCAAAAAAGUGUUGCUGGCUAAAUUUACCGACACUUUUGAAAAGUGUUGCUAUAUGUGGGGUCGCUAGGUAUAUAGUGACAAUUAAAGAGUGUUGCUAUAAUCUAAAAGAGUGCUGCUAAUUUACCAAUAUUUAUUUAAGCAUCUAGCAACCACCGGAAUUCUAUCUCGUUGGCUGCGGUGGCGGAGGAGGACGAGAGGAAAUGAUCUUCGUCAAGGAUUUCAGUCGAUUGAGUGAGGGGAAAAGGAAAAAUGAUAAUCGAUUUUUCUUUUCUUUUUCUUUUCUUUUUCUUUUCUGUUUGUAAUCGGGCCGAAUGGGCUAAGUGGAGUGAGUUGAGUAGAGUACUCUUUGUUUUUUAUUUGGAUUGGACUUUAUAUUUAUGCAUUAGUAGAAUUUUUUUAAAGUUUUGGCAUAAAUGUGACACUUAUACAAAAGUGUUUCAAACAUGUGUCGCUAUAACCUAAUUCUGUUGUAAUGGAAGUUUAAAACUAUACAAAUUCUCAAAUAGAGAAGUUGCUCUUGUUGAUUUUCAAAAAUCUUUUAAAUAUCCCCAAACCUUUAGGGUUUACUACAUGGAUUUGGGGUUUAAAGGGGUAUUUUGGUAGAAUUAGAGUAAAUUUGAAAAUUUGGAAUAGUAGUGGGGGCUGAAUAAGCAAAAAUCCAAUUAAUAUAUAUAGGGCUUCUAUCACUAUGAGUAGAGUUAAUUUACUUGUUAUCUAACAGUGAUAUUUUAAUUUUCGUUAGUUAAUUUCACACUGUAGUGAGUUAGCAAAAAUUAAGUAACACCCAUUGGUAAGAUUAAUUAAUGAUUGAGAACCAGAAUGAAAUUUAGUAAUUGGCUGAAUUUUUUUCUCUUUUCGUACAGGCAGAGGUGGCAAAAAAUCCAACCAACUGGUAGAACUGAAGCCGAUCUACGACACGUCGAAUCCAGACUUUUGUGACAUGAUCGGCGACGCUCGAAUCCUCGGAAGCCACUCGACGGUCUUAUAUGUCCCUCCCCCCGAAAUCACCAAUCCUGAACCUCAAGAGUGGAAAACCCGAGUACGAACUAGCAAGCACCUUAACCGGCUCGGAUUCGUGACAAUAAAAUCGUUACGCGGUCCGUCCGAAGCCCCUCCUUGUACGGUCCGGCACGAUGUCCCCGCAGUCGUGUUCGAGCUAAGCGUCCUUACUGGGAACAUUUGGCAUGACUUCAACAACGUGAUCAUCCGCCUCUACCUCACUUCUCGUCGGUUCAAUGGCGAGGUUCAAUUCCUCAUAACCAAUCUCAAACCUUGGUUUGUCAAAAAGUAUAGUGUGAUACUCAAGAAGCUCUCGAGAUAUGAAAUUAUCGAUUUUGAUAGAAAUAAGGAGAUCCAUUGCUACCCGCGUGCCCUCAUCGGCCUUCGGAGGCAUCGCGAUUUUGGGAUCUUACCCAAUUUGCCUCCAAAAGGGUACACAAUGCUCGACUUCCGGUUGUUCAUUCGAGAAGCUUACUCGCUUCCAAAAGAUGUACCGUUAAGUUAUCGAGAUAAGCCGGAAAAGAAACCACGACUGAUGCUCAUAAAUAGGGGAGAAACCAGAAGGUUGUUGAAUAUAAAGGAAGUCGCGAAAUCGGCUGAGGAGUUAGGGUUUGAGGUGGUGGUCGUUGAGCCAAAGAGAGACCUAAACGUGACGAAAAUUGCGAAGGCGGUGGACUCAUUUGACGCGCUGAUGGGGGUGCACGGGGCCGGGCUAACUAACAUGAUUUUCCUCAGAACAAACGCCGCCAUGAUCCAAGUGGUGCCCUACGGGAAAUUGGAGCCCAUCGCCGAGAGGUGCUUCGGUUGGCCCGCGAGGGAAAUGAAAUUGCGAGAUGUCGAGUACACGAUUAGCUUGGAGGAGAGCACAUUGUUGGAGAGACUCGGGAGAGAUCACCCUGCGAUCAAGGAUCCGGAUUCAAUUCACAGAAGUGGGUUGCAAAAAGUGAGGGAGUUCUACAAGCUCAACCAAGAUGUGAAGCUAAAUGUCACAAGAUUUGCUCCCACACUAUUGAAGGCUCUUGAGCUUCUUCGCGAAUAGCGGGUGCAAGCAAAGUAUUCAAUUUUAAAUAUUCUUAUUAUUUGAUAUUUUAAUUUACUUAAUUCGUGCGAUUUGAUGUUUUUUUUCAUUGCAUAUUUUUGUUCUGGCGUCUGUGUUCGUUAAAGGAAUCGCACGAAAAACUUUAUUGGAAAAGAUGUUUAGAAAUUUUGUUAAGAAAGAACCAUCAAGUAAUUAGUUCUAAGAGCAUUGCCAAGCUAGAUAGUUAAAUUAAAAUUUUUAUAAAAUUUGUUGUUGUUUAACAAUUAAUGCAUGAGCAAUCAUUCAAAUUACUUUUUUUUUUUUAAUUGUAGUUUGGUUUCAAACUUAUUCUUUCCUUUAUCUCUCCUUUAGAUUUUGUGAAAAAGUGAAUCCAAUCGUAUAUUUACGGCCAUUGCGAUUGACCACAAAAGAAAAGGAAAUUAAGAACCAAAAAAAAAAAAAAAAUCGAAGCCCAUUUGCGCAUCUCAAAUUUGAAAUUCAUAGAAUUUAAACUUUUUAUUCGAAAUUAACUUUUCAAAGAAUGUAUUCUUGUAAUAUAAUUUUUGUUUUGUACGUAGGAAUAUAUUUAUUUGAUAUAUAUCUUAAAAAUGACAAGAUUAUCUAUAGAUCUAUUAAUUCUUGAGUUCCUCCGAAGCCUCCCUGCGUUUGGCGGGGGAAUUUGGUGGGACCUUUUUUUUUCUUUUUUCUUUUUUUUUUUUUUUCCUGGCUCUCUCUCUCUCUCUCUCCCACCCCCCUCUCCGGUCCUCUCUUUUAUCUCUCUCUCUAUUUCUCUCUCUCUCUUCGCACCGGGGCGUGUCACGCCCGCGGACUAACCCUAUUUGGACCGGGCCGCGGGCCGACAACAGACGCCGAGGACGCGGGAUUCCUUUUGUACGGGACGAAGUCUCCCCAUACGUUCAAGGGUGCAAUCCAAACAAUAUAGAUAUGUUCAACAGGAAGGAUAUCAUCAAGAUUUGAUAAAAGUAUCAAAUAAUAAAUUAUAGCUUUUUACAAGAUUCAUUCAUUUUACAUACAGUUCCUAUUUUACAUUUAAUUCCAGUUACAUUCUAAUUAGGGUUUACAAGUUUAAAUACAUUUUGUUUUUUCCUUGUCUUCUAGUCCAUAAGCUAGACGGCCUCAGCGGUACUUCUACCUCGGAUCUCCUUGGUGGGCGUAUCUCUGAAGUACGCCCCUCGCCUCGCGAGCGCCGCGCGCCCCAUGAACGACCUGAAAACCCCAAAACACGUGAUGGGGUGAGACAAACUCAUGGUUCCCAGUGAGGUCACGGACAGCCCAAGGGAAAGCUACGACGAUAGGCUCCGAGAGGGCACUAUGAAACAUGUUAGUUCAUAUACAAUAGAUAUAAUAUAUUCAAUUGAAAUAAUGCCAUGCCUCACGAUAUGCGAUAUUGAAAACAUGAACACUAGUUAGUCUAAUGAAUUUAUCUUUACUUGGCUACUUUAGACAUAACAUUUACUCUAGGUUUCUAUUCCCUUAGGAUCAACGACACCAACACUAGCUUCUAAGGUUUUAUUACUUGCUCAAGCCUCUAUCUCUUGGCUAUAAGGGGUUCUCUAACCAUAUCUAGCCUAACCGAUCGGGCUUCGAGUCAUCAUCUGCGGAUAGUCGAGCGCUGGCCUGAACUACAAGCCUACGCACUCUCUUGGACUAAGAUCUAGCGGCGAAAUCGUUAGAACACGCUGAAUCGGCUCGAGUCACAAGAAUUGACCAUGGUGGCGAUGGUUGACAUACCCAGCGUUUAGAGCUCGGAGAUUGAAAUACGUCUGGGGCGAAAACGGGUCGACAACAAACACCGAACACGAUAUGUCAGACUUCGUUCAUGGAGGCACCCGCAUAGUAGCUUACACAGAUGGAUUCAGAUCUACUCUGCGCCGGUCUGCUCCUCAAAAUGGAUUAAACACUCUGGCGCGAAAUCGUGACAAACGCCUGCACAAUGGUUCAAGCCCCGGGCGUGAUCUCCAUGUUCGACGCCAUCUACCGGUACCAAGGCUCGCAGGCUCGAAAUCGUCACUCGCGCCCUAGCCUGUACAGGGACAUCAUAAGUCUAGGAUUCGGAGAUGCUUAACACAGGUGAGGGUUCAUGCCAACCCUAUCUGUCGCUAGCUCAAUUAGUUGGCUCCGAAUAUACUCAUCAACUAGGUUCAACAUCUUAGGUUCUAUGGUCCACAUUCACUUAACUAUAUCACUUGCUAGCUUUUAUCUCUUUGCUAGAUUAUCACUUCUAUGUUUAAUAGUUCAACCUUAGGUUUACUACAUUAGGAUUAGUGCAACACCUAGAUUGUUCAACUCUUAGGUUUACUACCCAACUAUGUUUCUAUUAACACUACGGUUAGAUGGCACUUCGAUCUACCUGACAAUUAGUUGUCCAGUCAUCUUACUCAUUCUAGAGUUCUCAUCUUUUAUUAACACAUAUACAUGCAUCAUGCUUUCUAACUUAGCAAUUACUCUUUGCCAAUCAUUAUUACAUGCAUCUUUACUUAGCAUCCUUCAUAUGUUAUUAUUAAUAUGCUUUACUUCAUAUAUGCAUUACUUAGCAUUACAUUGUUAUCAUGCAUUAUUAGCAUUGUGCUAACUGCUCACUGCUUUCUAUAAGCAUUUUAUAUACUGCAUUAUCGAAAUUAUAAUGAUUACUUUACUUAGCUAGCAUUUAUCUAACGCCGAUCUUCAUUAAUGCACCAAUAUGCAUUGUUAUUAAUAUGCAUUUUCUCUAAGAUUAAUUUAUCAUGAUUUUAUUAGAUUACUUUAUGCAUUUUAUUAAAGAAUCUUGCUUUGUCUACGUGCCAAUGAUCAAAUGAGAUUAAUUGCCUAGACAUAAGAAGCGACUAGUCGCUUCGGUAAGAAAUCCCACCUUAACUUCGCGUUUGUUGUUGGUCGACACUUGAAUCGGCCUCGCCGGGAUCGGCACCGGCAGGGCCCGAUACUGCUACUGCGCUCACCGUGACUCGUUCGCCACGAAUUAUAGGUUUCGGUUUAUGGCCCGAAGUGCCUAAAUGCCAUUUCCAUAAUUUUACGACGUGCCUCGAGCCUUUCGGCGAACCCGAGCCUUAAAAGUCGUUUUUUGAAUACUUACUAAACGGUACGUGGAUACCGAACGGUCUUCAGCCAACGCGUUUGUUAACCUAUGCAAUUAGGUUUACGAAAGGUCAGAAUGAGAUCAAAACCUCACUAUACUUUACUAAACCCCAAUUUGGAGCUCUAAUUGCUUACUAUUGGCAGAUGCCAUAUAGCCUUUAAUUCAAGCAAAUAGCUUCUACUCUAGCAUCUAGGAGUCUCGUAAAUCAUUUCUAGGAUAUAUAUAUUAAUUCCUAGCAUACACAUUAGAGGUUAUGAGCUACUCAAACACAGAGCUUCCUUAGACAAGGAAUGGAGAGUAGAUGAAGCUUCAACUCAAGUACUUCAAUUUUCUUCAAGCUUGCUCAAUUUUCUUGUCAAUUCUUCUUGUUUGGCUGAGAGAUCUCUCUUUUGCGUUGUGUGCACGAGGGAAAGAUGAGAAAAGCUCAUCCUUAUUUUAUAUAUACAUAUAGGAAACUUGGCCUCCAAGUUAUCAAGAAACUAUUCACUCAUCGGCAGUUCAAUUCUGAUUAUCUUUCGCGACGAGACCUUGAAUUCGUUUGAGUCAAAUCUUGGAAGCAUGUUUGGUUUAAUGUACUGAACAGAAUAUAUUUUUAAUGUUUUCAGUUUUGACUCGUUUUGAGUCACUGAAAAACUGUGCCGAAUGCAUCUUUAUCAGAUAGAUUUUGAAUUUUAUUCUCACUCUAACGGGUGUCAGAAAUAUGGAAAAACUUUAAAUCUGCAUCAUAAAAAAUAUUCCUGACAUCCUGCAAUUUUAUAUUUUUGGAAUGUUGCGAUUCUUUUCUGCUAUUAUCUAAGUCCAUUUCAAAGAAAUUCUAAUCUUCUGUUUUCGCUCGAUUUCAGCCAGGUCCAUUCCAACUAUAUUUCAAUUCUCUAAAUCAAUUAAAAUAGUAUUAUAUAUUUUUUUUAUUUUCACUUUUAUAUUUAAAAUCGGUUGUUACAUUCGCCGCAACAUACGGAGCCCAUUUAAAUGUACACCGUAACUCGUUAGUUUUAGCAAGUCACGAGUACUUACAGUUUCCCUCUUAAAAGGAGUUCAGAUUACCUCGAACUAAAUCACUGUCAACCAAUUCACUCUAAUUCUUUUCUUGAGUGCAGCAAGGGGUACAGUGCACUUUCCGGAUUCGGAGUGGCUUUUCGUAUGGAACUAUCGGUAGCGCUUCAUACGUGAAGAUGUGAGAUAGAUUCAUCAAUUUGCAGCAGUGGCAAAAGUGUAUUACCACAUGCCCAAAGAAUACUCUUGAUUAUACACCAAACGGAAAAAUUUUCACUCCGAUUUCGAUCACCCUGCAAUUCACUUAGAAGCAUAUCGUUGGUUGACUCGGACAUGCGGAGUGGGUAUCAUCACAUGAGAUCUUGUUUAUCACGAGAUGGCAUUCCCGGCACAUCUCAAUCUUCAAUCCACAAAGAGCUAACAUUCCUCAGCUCCAAUUACCAUGUGGCUAUCCAAUCUCAAUAUCGCAAGAGAGCAAUUCGAUUUGAUAUCAAUAAGCCACGACUCAUCUUAUACUUUGCAUUUGCGACAAUACACAGAACCCUAAAGUUCGUGAAUCAAGCAACUCAACUAAUAGGAGUUAUCGGCUAAACCGAUACGUCUGUUCACAGUGGACAACAGUCACGCCGAUCCUACGUAGGUACAGUUAAAAUGUAUCAACGACGCCCUGCGUCUCUCAGGACUCGGCAAGCGUUAGGACCCAUUUAUCAUUGGGACGACAUUCUCAUUGGAGAAUCGCAACACAUCCAACAGGCAGCUAUCAAGAUCAUUCCAAUAAAUCUUGGAGUUGGCGGUCACUGACACAUCGGUGUAUCAUCGAUUCAUGAUACAAAACCGUGGCAUUCCGCUCACGGGUCUAAGCUCGGAACUACCGUCUGACCCAAUCUCUGCAACUACCGUAAGGUAUACAGGCGCUGUCUCUCACAGGUUGACGCGCCCUGCCAAUGGUUCCAGGCUCCCAGUCCCAGAUGGUCCCGAGGCACGUGUCGUACCCAAGCCACUACCCGCCAUCGUCGUUUAACGACAUGCUUCCGAGCCUACACACUUCUAUCGGACUCUAGAGAACCUAGUGCGAGCCACAGCCCUCACGAGUUGAUCCAAUGGCAGCCGUUACACUUAGCCCUGGAUGAGUGUUAUGCAUUCAUCGACGACUGGAAUCGAACACGUCUCUACGAGUAUCUAUUCGAGCGUUAAGCCUUAUCGCGUCUCACACGAAGCUAGAUAGGCACUUUAGCUAUGCACACUGCCACGGCAUAACUCAUCCCCCUCAAUCGCGUACUAGCUAGCCAACAGGCCAAACUCUGGCACGUAACGACCAUUUCACGACAGUGGUUCAUCUUCGCUGUUCGUUACCGUAUCACAUCUCACGACAUGGAUGUGCUUUCACCAUCAAGGUAGGCGGUCAAAAUUCUUGAAAAGUCAUGAGGCCUGCUAAAGUCGUCCCUUAUCCGCCGCAACAGUGGUGUCCUCGACGAGCCGCCCAGUGGUGCUUGCCACCAGCCGAUCCCAGUCUCUUGGAGGUCGUUCCAUUGACUCCUACUUGCGCAUUUAGCAGCCUCCUGGUGCGCUAUGCAAUCAGAAUUGUUGUGCAUCACUCCAAUGAAGUGUGGGCCAAACUGAAUUCGCGAAAGUGAGUAUCUGCUCGCGUUUUGAUUUGACUUCAGGAACCACUCUGUCCUCCGCCGCGAUCUACGUGAAGAUGCCUAUGAGGUGACAUCGUUUCCUGAAACACGAAAACUCGAUUAGUCUCGCCCUCCGGGCGUCGACACGAGACACUAACCGGCUCAAAGCAUCAGGCGAAGUCACAAGGACGUCUAUUCUCGCUCACAUCGGUUUAUGUUUGUGCGCGGCAAAGUAAACAUCACUUGGUUCGCGGAAUAAAACUUACCUUGAGUCUUGCUCUAAAUCCGUCUUAGAGGUUUACGACACACCAAAUCCAUAAUCUUUCGCAGAAUCACAAGUCCUUGUCUCUCCGAUUCUUAUUAUCUAUGGUUUACUAUCUAGGGUCUCCUAGGUCUGUCUAAACAUUUUUCCAUUUUUCUACUAUUUAUGUCUGAUACCAUUUAUCUGUCACGCCCGCGACAACCGCCUAUUUGGGAAGAAUACAAAACGAUCGGGCGGCGCCGAAAUCAGACCGCCGACAGGACGGGGAUUCCUUUGUACGCGGACGGUCUUCCCCAGUACGUCCAAGGGUCGACAAUCAAACAUAUAGUAUGUUCAACAGGAACGAUAUCAUAUUGCAUAAUGAAGUAUCAAAUACAUAAAUACUAGCUUUUACAAGCAUUAUUCACUUUUACAUACAUUACUAUAUUUACGAUUUUUACGUUCAGUUUACAUAAUUCAUACAUUAGGGUUUACAGUUUAAAUACAUAUUUGUUUUUCUUUAGUUUCUAUGUCCCUAGUAGAUGCCUCAGGGGUACUUCUACCUCUGGUCUCUGUUGGUGGGGCGAUAUUUCACUGAGCUACAGCCUCGCCUACGCAGCGCAGCCGCGCGCACCAAUGACGACCUGAAAAUCGCACAAACACGUGGGGUAGGAAAAACCAACUCCAUGAGUUCCAGUGGGAUUCGCAGCCAAGGGAAAGCUCGACGAAUAGGUCGAGGAGGACUGCAACAUGUUAGUUCAAAAUAUACAAGAUAUAUAUAUUCAUUUAAUAAAUAGCCAUGCCUCAGCGAUAUAGCGAUAUGGAAACUAUUGCAACAAUAGUAGUCAUUGGAAUUCUUUUUACUUGGCUACUUCUAAGCUAUACUUUACUCUAAGGUUUCUAUUCUUAGGAUAGCAACACAACCAUAGCCUUUAAGGUUUCUAUUACCUUAGCUCAAAGCCUCUAUUCUGGCUCAAUAAGGUUCUCUAACCCUAUACCAUAGCUAACCACAGACUCGGACUUCGAGUCAUUCAAUCUGCGGAUUAGUCCGCGCCUGCUGCUCAACAGACUACCGCACUCUCUCGUGACUCAUGCCUCUAGCGGCGCGAAUCGAUCGCACAGUGAAUACGGUCGCGGUCAAAGGGGAUUGGCAUCGGUGAGCGACUCAGCGUUGCACAUACCCCAGCGUGAGCUCCGAAGACAUGAAAUACCGCAUAUCUGCGAGCGAACGGAUCGCACCAACCCAAACACGAUCAUGUCAGAUCAGUCCUGGAGGCACCACGAAUCGUAAUUAACCAGCAGAUGAGAUUCAAGUCAAUCUGAAGCGGUCUGAUCUAAAUGGCUAAACCACUACUGGCGGCGAAUUGUCGCACAACGCCGCACAGAGUUAUAAGCACGGCGGUGAUCUCAUGUGAUCGCCAUCCAAUCUACCGGUUCCAAGGCUCGCGGGAAUGGUCACCACGAACGCCCUAGCUGUACCAGGGAAUCUAAGUACCUGGGAUCGCGGAAUAUUAUACAGGUCGUAGGGUUAUAGCCAACUAUAUGGUCGACUAGAACUCAAUUAGUGGCAUUAUACACAUAUACUCAUCAACCUAGGUUCAACACUUAGGUUCUAUGUCCACGAUCACGUUACCUAGAAUACAUUGAUAGGAUUCUUAUAAUCUGUUGCUAGAUAUCCACUUCUAGGUUUACUAGUUAACCUAGGUUUACUAAACUAGGUUAGAUGCCACAAACCUAGAUUGUUAAACUCUAGGUUUACUAACCAACCUAUUUGUUCUUUAACACUAGGUUAGAUGACAUCGAUCUAACUGACAACUUAGUUGUCGUACAUCUUAUCAUCCUUAGAGUAUCGUCUGGUUUUAACAUAUUGACAUGGGGGGCGAUUUUCGAUCGUACUGUUCUAGCUUAGCAAUUACUCUUUGCUCGCAUUACUAUAUGCAUCCUUAUUAAGGCAUCUCAUUCAUGAUUAUUAUUAAUAUGCUAUUUUAUUCAUAUAUGCAUUACUUAAGCAUAUAACAUUGUUUCACUGCAUUAUGUGAUUGAUGUAACUUGACUAUCCAUGAAUUUUACUAGCAAUUUUAUCUAUGCAUCUAUCUUAUUCAUGCAUUACUUUAACUUUAGUAGCAUUAUCGUACGCCUAUCUUCAUGACUCCAGCUAUGCAUGUUGUUAAUAUGAUUUGCUCUAAGCUUCAUUAAUAUCAUGCUUUCCUCAUUAGCAUUCUUUAUUGCAUCUUUUUAACAGUGCAUCCUUGCUUUUCUAACUAUGCACAUGCAUCCACUGAGAUAUACUUGCUAAGAAUAAGAGGACAUAGUCGCUCUCGGUAAGCAAACCACCUUAUACUUGGUUCGAUUGCUCGUCGCACUUUAGCACAAUCGGACCUUCCCGCCGGCGCACUCUGGCACCGGACGGCCAGAUACCUGCAACUGCCGCCUCAACCGUGCUCCGACUUGCACGCCCGAAAACAUUAAUUAGGUCUUGCGGUUAUUGCCACGAAUGACCUCAAUCGAUUUCCUAUGAUUUUACGACGUCGCUCGGCCCUUUCAGUCUGCGAACCCGAAGCUAAGUCCUGUUUUUUAUACUUCUAUACGGACUCGUCGGGAUUAACGAACCGUUUCUUCGCAACGCGUUUCGUUAGCCUAGCAUUAGGUUUACGUAAGGUUCAAAUGGAGAUAAAAUCUUAUACUUUACAAAACCCAAUUUGGAGAGACUCUAAUAUGUUAUUGCAAUGAUAGCCAUAUUAGCCUUUAAUCAAGCAAAUAGCUUUACUUAGCAUCUAGGGAGUCUCUAAAUCCAUUGUCUAGGAUAUAUAUAUUAUUCACCUAGCAUCACCAUUAGAGUUAUGUAAGUUACCUCAAAAACCAAGCUUCACUUCAGACAAGGAAGGAGAGAUAAGAUGAGCUUCAACUCCAAGCUACUUCAGAUUUUCUUCAAGCUAUGCCUCAAUUUUCUUUUCCAUUCUUUCUUGGUAGAGAGAUUCUCUUCUUGUGAUGUGCAGAGGGAAAGAGAGAAAGGUCAAGUCGUUCAAUUUAUAAUAUACAUAUAGGAAAUUGGGCUCAAGCUUAUCAAGAACCUAUUCCUCAGGCGUUCUCAAUCUGUAUCUUUCGACCGGAGCCUGCUGAAUUGCCGUUUUGAAAGCUCAAAUUUGAAGCAUUGUUGAUGGUUUAAUGUUAUGACAAGAAUAAUUAUUUUUAAGUUUUCAAAAGUUAUUGACUCCGUUUUGAAGUCACUGAAAAAUGUGGCGAACUGCAAUCUUUUAUAGUAGCUUUCGAUGUUCUUAUUUCUACAUCUAGGGUGUCGAAAUAAAUUAUGAACCUUAAUCUAGCAUCAUAAAAAUAUUUCCUGACAUCUUGGCCAUUUUUAUAAUUUUCGAGACUGGUGCAUUUUCUGCUAAUUAUCUGUCAUUUACAAGCAGAAAAAUUUUAAAUCUUCUGUUUUCGUCGAUUUUGAAGUAUUCCAACCUUAUAAUUUCACUUCUCUAAAAUCCAUAAAUAGUAUCUAUCUAUUUUAUUUAUUUUCAACUUUUAUAUUUUAAAUCGGAUAUGUUAUCAUUCCGCACGGCAACCUCACCGGAGCAUUUAAAUGUACACACGUAACUUCUGUUUUAGAAGUCCGGACCCUUACAGGCGGGUCGCGCGCCGCCCCGUCUUCUCUCUUGCCUCUCCACUCCGCAGUUCUGCGUUUCGCGUUGCGCAUGAAGCGGAACAGCGCGGAGCGGGUGUCGUUGCUCACGUUGCGGGUGGAGAGAGAGGGGUGUGGGGACCCGACUCCGCAUUGCGCUUCGAGUGGGCCGAGAGAUGAGAGAGAGAGAGCCGGGGGGGCUGCAUGUCGGCGGGCCGCCCCGCACCUCCGCGCAGCACCGAGAGAGAGAUUGAUCCCUCCCCACCCUCUACUUCCCCCUUUUCCUCUCCCUCCCACCCUCUUCGCUUCCUGCCCCUCUUUCUCCUCUUUUCUUAUCCCUUCUCCCCCUAAUUUCAUCUCUCUCAUCUCUCUUCCCUCUACCGCGCGAGCGGCGGGCGGGCCAGGCAGCGAGAGGGACGGUGUGCAGGGCGACCCGCUGACAGGUGGAGACGGGGCGGAGGUGCCCGGGGCGCUUAGCGCGGGAGCGCUCUGUGGGUGGUAUAAUAGGCGCGGUGGGGACGCGCGCGCGGGGUGCGCGUUGGCGGGAGCGCGGGGCGCGGGCGCGCGUGGGUGGGGCCCAGUCGAGGGAGAGAGGAGAGGGAUUUUAUUUUAUUUUAUUUUUUGUCUCUCUCUUUAAUUUUUUCUCUUAAUUUAUGGGAUAAAAAAAUCACAGGAGCGCGGGCGCGGCGUGGCAAGAUGAUUUGUGUAGCUUUUGUGGCUGGAGAUCAUUUGGUAUAUUAUGUGCACGGAUGUACCAAAAGAAUAUUUCAGAAAUUAAAAGAUGAGAGUCGAAUGAGAGAGAUUUAGAAAGAAGGCUCGAGUUGAAACUAUUCUACGGAGAAGAAAAGUCAACUGCAAUUAUUCUCAUGCUUGUAUUGCAAAAUUUCAACAACUCGUAUUAGAGCAAGUACAAAACUUUUUAGCAAUUAGUAUUAAAGCGGAUUGCAAAUUUUAAACAAUUGGUAUCAAAGCGUAGGAGUGGAAACGAGCCGAGCUUGAGUGAGCUUACCUCAGCUCAAGUUUGACUGGAAAUUAAUUUUGAGCCUAAAUUUAGACUCAAGCUUGGUUUGAAAUUAAUUUGAGCCGAGCUAAAGAGAGUUUAACUUCGAGUAGAGUGAGCUCGAGCCCUAAAUGAGCCGUUAGAAAUUCUUAAUAUCAUGCAACCUAUAGUUUAAACUUUUAUAAAAUAUUUUCUAAAAUUUAAUACAAAAAAACCUAACAUUUUAACAUACAAAAUGAAUGUAUGAAAUAUGAUAUUAUAAUAUUAAAAACUAAUUAGGAAAAAUAACUCUGCAAGCAAGUGAAAAAGAGAGAGCAAUUAGAGAAGGGUUUCGUUGGUUUCGUUUUAUGGGUCCAAUAACACCUAAACUCUACAUAUACAUAUAAAUAAUAUAUAUUUAUUACAUAUAAUUAAAUGUAUAUAUAUAAAGUCGGGUUAUUAUACUCUUAUGAGUAUAGACUUUUUUAUCCUAAUAAGUUUUCAAACGUUAAAUCUAUUCUUUUAACCAUUUUCAUCCAUUAAAUCAUAUUAUUCAACCAACCACCAUUCAACGCUAAGUGAUCAUUAUCAUCCUAACUGCACAUCUCUUCAUCCAUCGGCCGAAAAUUUAUGAAUACAAAAAAAUCAAUAUUCAUAAGAGUAUAAUAAUUAUAUAUAUAUAUAUAUAUAUAUAUAUAUAUAUAUAUAUCCCAAACCUAUUCCUUUAAGUGGUGCUUACGUGACGGGAGCAAUAGGCUGAAGAAAAUGAGAAAGUUUCUGGACAUUAGCUUUCCUUUCCAGGUGUUGGAAUAUUUGGAGAGAAAGAAAGAAAUAUGGGAAUUGGUCUUCCCCCGAAAGAAAAGUCAAAAUUCUGAAGUACAAAAUGCCAAAACCUAACUACUAGGCCGAACUAAGAAGUGGGAGGAAGCCUAUUAUUAGACCUGGCAAACAGCUGGGUAAUCCAUGGAUGGAUUAUUGUACCCGUAGAUUAGUUAGGCAUGGAUAAAAUUUAUCCAUAAAUUUUUGAAUAGCUAACAUUUUUUUCCAUACCCGCCCGUGGGUGGGUAUGCGGGUUUACCGUAAUUUUUUUUUUUAUUGCUCUUAUAUUUUUUAUAUACAACACACACACACACACACACACACAUAUAUAUAUAUAUAUAUAGNUCUACAUAGCACUGUAAAAUCAAUAUUUAUGCCUUGCAAAUCCAUAUUUUCAUAAGAAAAAACUUUAAAUACUAUUUAUGUGGUUUCGUACUUCAUUAUUUUUAGUAUUUUAUGGUUUAAAGUAUAUCACUGUUGUACCUUGUGAUUUUUUUUUCUUUUUGUUAUUUUUCUACUAAUUUUUUCGUUAAAAUAGUGAUAAAGUUAAAAUUAAACGGUACUAAAGUGAAUAUUCUAUAAACUAUAUAUAUACCUGGCAAACGAGCAGGUUGGGUAACCCGUGGGUGGGUUAUUGUCCCCGUGGGUUACUUGGGCAUGAGUAAAAUUUAUCCGCAAAUUUUUGAGUAGCCAACAUCUUUAUCCAUGCCUGCCCGCGGGUGGGCAGGUGGAUAUGCGGGUUACCCAUAAUUUUUUUUUUAAAUUUUUUGCUCUUAUAUUUUUUAAAUACAAAACACAUAUAUAUAUAUAAAUUUUAAAAGCAUAAUAUAACUUAUUAUUUAAAAUAUUAUAACAUACAAUAAAAAUAUUUAAAGUCUUAAAAUAAAAAUAUUUCAUAAUAUAAAAGACACGUAAUAAAAAAUUAGGAUUAGAAUUUUUAGAAUGGUUAAAUAAAAAAAAAAUAUAUUAAUUAAGAAAAUAUAUUUUGUAAUUAAAAAAUAUAUGCGGGUACCCGUGGGUUAUCUAAAAUACCUCCAGAUUAAUGGAUACCCACCCGUUUUACUCGUAUCUUUUGAGUUGAAAAAGUUGGUAACCAUAUCCACAAAUUUGCGGGUAACCCACGGGCACCCACGAGUUUAGGUCGAGAUUGUCAGGUCUACCUAUUAUGGCACAUUUAUACUACACCAUCAAUAACCAGCCAAACGCAUCUCUCUAUUUGAAAAAAAGAAUAUAUACUAAAAAUAUUUUUCUAAUAAUAGGAUGGAUGAAUCUAAAGGAGAGAGUCUGAUUGGUCAGUAGUCGUAUACAGGUUUGUGGUAUCCCAAAUCAAUUAAAUUAGGUUUGUGGUCUGAUUGGCAAAUAUUUUUAUUGUUCUUUUUCCGAGAAUUUUUUUUUUUUUCAGAAAUAGCUAGCACGCUAUCCGUUUCGUUUAUUUCAUUUAGAAAUAAACUUAAUUGAAAAUGUGAAUCAACUAAGAUUCAAACUUGGGUCUCGGAUACCAACGACUAAGCCCUUUGCCAUUUGUUUUAGGGACGGUCGUUUUUUCCAAGAAUCUUUUCUUCUUAUAAAUUAAGCAAGUAGGAUGAUUCUACUGUUAUCGGAAUUGUUAGAUGCGCACUUCUGACUAUAUAUAGUUUGAAUUAUUAGUUAAAUAAGUACAUAUGAGAAUCAUUAAUCGAACAUGUGGAACAUAUUUCCUCUUACAAAGUCAUUAUAAGUAACAAACGUGCUGAGGAGAAUAUACACUACAAUAUCUCCGCGGCGGUCGAAGAGAGUUUGAAACGGUGGUGGUGAGAUCGAUCGAGAAGGUACGUAUCGAGAAAGUUAGGGUUUGGGGAUGAUGAAGAGCUUGGUUCGAAGCUUGUCGAAGAGCAAUGUCGGUGCGGGGUUGCUCGCGGGCUUCUUCUUGGUCUUGCUCACCUACUUCACCAUGUCAGAGCAGUUUGUGAUCCGCGCUCCGAAUUGUGAGUUGCAGUUAUCUAUGAUAAGUCAUUUUGAUCCUUUCAUGUUAGUUAGCUAGAUGUGUUCAAGCAACAUAUGUAGUGAGAAACAAGUCGGAAUAUUUGAUAUUAUAAGAAAAUCUCAAUAUAAGGACGUUUUUUAGAUGACGCGCCGGGGAAGCUUUCUCAGGCGUCCCAAUAGUACCGACAUUUAAUUACAAAAGCGUUGUCACAUGAGCCCUCUAUUAUUGUUAUUUUUUAUUUUUCGAUGCUUUAAAACGUCAGGAUUUCAAAAAAUCCUAACUCUUUAAAGCGUCAAAAUAUAUUUUAUCAAUAAUGACUUGUUAUUUGCCGACGCUUUAACUGACACUUUUAAAUGUGACACUAGAUUAUAUUGAAAUAUAUAUAUAUAUAUAUAUAUAUAUAUAUAUAUAUAUAUAUAUAUUCUAUUAAAUAUAUAUAUAUUAUAUAUAUUAUAUAUAGUCCGUCUCCCGUACUUUCGAAAGUACGGGGCCCCGGUGCUUGUAAAUUGUUUCGAUGAUAGUAUUCGAUUCGCGAUCGGUCACGUUAGGUAUGAUCUAUCCUAUUGGAACUAUCUAGAAACCAAAUUUUAGAUUUUUUUGACAUCAUUUACUAAGCGAUCAAAAGGUCUAAAAAAUGACUAUUUUAACGGUCGAUGUGGCACAUUUUUAAGUUCAACGGUAUAGAAGUACCCAAAUUACAUGAAAAUUUAAUAGAAAAUUCUACUUAACAUCAGUAGCAAGAUCAAUACUUUCGAUUUAAAAUUUGAAUCCUUUAUCACUGUUUUUUAUGAGAUUUUCAUUUUCAACCAUUCAUUUUGAGGCUACUUGUUCACUAGACAAACGAAAUCAAAAAAUUAUGAAAUUUGGUUUCUAGAUAGUUCCAAUAGCGUAGAUCAAGUUUAACGGAACCGGUCGCCGACUCGGAUGGCCCAUCAUCGAAAACAACUUACAAGCACGGAGCCUCCCGUACUUUUGAAAGCAUAGGAGCCUAGCUCUAUAUAUAUAUAUAUAUAUAUAUAUAUAUAAUUGAGCUCAUAUUCUUUUAAAAGUACCAAGUCAUUGGUGCUUGUAAGUUUUUACCCCUUGGAUUAAGGGAUGUGCGGUUAAGAUAAUGUGGGCCCCUUAGGGUUGAGUGAGUGGUUGGUUGAAUAGUAUAAUUUAACGGGUGAAAAUAAUCAAAGGCGUAGAUCUAACGGUAAAAAAUUUACAAACACUAAAUACUUGGUACUUUUACAAGCACCAUAGCCGGACUCUAUAUAUAUAUAUAUAUAUAUAUAUAUAUAUGUAUAUAUAUAUGUAUACAUAUAUAUAUAUACAUAUAUAUAUAUAUAUAUAUAUAUAUAUAUAUAUGUAGUAAGUCUUCCGUAUGUAGUAAGUCUUCCGUACUUUCGAAAGUAUGAAGGCUUCCGUACUUGUAAGUUGUUUUCGAUGAUAAGAUAUCCGAUUUGACGAUCGGCUCCGUUAGAAAUAAUCUACGUUAUUGGAACUAUGUAUAAACCAAAUUUCAUAAUUUUUUAACAUCAUUUACCAAGCGAUCAGAGGGUCUCAAAAAUGAUUAUUUUAACGGCCAAUGUGGCACGUUUUUAAGUUCAACGGUAUAAAAGUAUCCAAAUUAUAUAAAAAUUUAAUAGAAAAUUCUACUUAAUAUCAAGAGUAAGAACAGUACUUCCGAUUUGAAAUUUGAGCCAUUUAUCACCGUUUUUUAUGAAAUUUUUAUUUUCAGUUGUUCAUUUUGAGACUACUCGUUUACUAGGCAAACGAAGUCAAAAAAUUAUGAAAAUUUGUUUCUAAAUAAUUUCAACAGCAUAGAUCAUGUCUAACGGAACCGAUCGCUGAAUCGGAUGUCCCUUCAUCGAUAUUUUUUAUGAUAUUUUUAUUUUCAGCUGAUCAUUUUGAGACUACUCGUUUACUAAACAAAUGAGGUUAAAAAUUAUAAAAUUUGGUUUCUAAAUAAUUUCAAUAGCAUAGAUCAUGUCUAACGGAACCGAUCGCCAAAUCGAAUGUCCUAUCAUCAAAAAUAACUUACAAGCACGGAGGCCUUCGUACUUUCGAAAGCAUAGGAGCCUAGCUCUCUAUAUAUAUAUAUAGAACUAGGCUGGAAUACUAUCAAUAGCACAAAGCUAUUGAUGCUAUUAGUUUUUUAACCCUUGGAUUGAGAAAUGUGUGGUUAAGAUGAUGUGGGCCCCAUAGGGUUGAGUAGGUGGUUGGUUGAAUAGUAAAUCUAACAGGUAAAAAUAAUCAAAGAGUUAAAUCUAAUGGUGAAAAACUCGAUAGCACCAAGCCGUUGGUGCUAUCGAUAGUAUCCCAGCCGGACUUUCUCUNUCCCCACACGGGAACCAUUCUUUUUCAAAACCAGCUACCACGAGGGGUAGAAAACUGUUUUAUUUCGAGAAAACACCAAUCCUUUAGUACAUUUCAAAACCAAUUGAAAACUCAGAUAUCCAAAUAGUAAAAUAACAGAAACUGAACCAUACAAGUAUCUAAGUUAGUUAUUUAUUUAAUCAUGAAGAGUAAGGGUAGAUAAACCAAACCACGGGACGGAAAGCUCUAUCGUAUGCUAGACCCAUUCCUCACCAGCUGUCCCACUCGGACCGGCUACGUCACCUGUAAUGGGGGCGGGGGGUGAGAACAUGUAAACAUGUCUCCCCUCCCAGUGGGUAUCGCAAGCCGAAGACGGCGAGGGGUACUCACUAGUCACGGAGAUAAACAAAUAUAUGGAUAAUGGUAGUACAGUAGCUAAAAUAAACAAGUACUGAAGUAUAUAUAAAUGAACAACUACAGCUACUGUAUGUAUCCAUCAACGGAACAAUCAGUCCAAAAGUACUCAAUCUGAACCCAAUGCUCUCUUGGUCAGCACCGCAGACCUCAAGCCAAUGCCACUACUACUCUCCAGUGCAUAUAACCCCUCUAGGGCUCACGGGUUGUCACCAUUCAACCACUUUUUCGGAAAAGAACACUCCUUGCGGUGGAUCAGACCGCCAGUGUUCAUAAAAUGCGACGAGUAUCGGGCGAUCAAUGCAAUAUGUUCAAUGAUCAACCGUCGGCGACCAACCGACAAUCCUGCCCCCCAGGGCCCAUCGACCGCAUGGGUCAUCAUGUAAUCAAAUCAACCAACCAGGUCACAAGUAUGGAGUAUGAAACUCGACCAACCAGGUCACAAGUAUGGAGUACGAAACUCGACCAACCAAGUCAUAGAUACAACAAAGGAGAAUCAACCAACCAGAUCACAGAUAUCAUAUGCUGAAGAAAUCUACUCUACUCCUACACAAGAUACUGAGCAUGGAAACAACCGAGUAGAGUAAUACGAGGAUAAUAUGAUAAGCAAUGUAUAUGAUAAGCAAUGUAAACAGGAAGGGUGGAAGGAACGUCACCGAGCGUGCACCACUGUACCGACGUCGGAUCGAAGUACCCACCUGUACGUAUCUGACGAAGGUCUCUCGACUGUGAAGACGGUGCGACCGAACCUACGAAAGGUCCAACGGGUUAAGGUCUAACCCACUGACAUGUAAUGCUAACUCACAACCCCCGCUCACCAGAACCACGACCGGUUUCCCAAAACCGAUUACCGAAUAAGCCGGAAGUCCCGAAAACCGCACCGGAACUUCAUCGUCGCUCACCCGUCGUUUCCGAACCCUCAAAACGACGCGGGUGACCAGCCAACAAGGCUCAGCGACGCUACAAUCAGCCACGAGGCACCGUCGGAUGAAUUCCGAACCAAAACCGCGUUCUAUCGGCGGAUUUCGCCGAAAACGCUCCGGAAAUCACUUUUCGAUUUCCGCAAGGGCUUGGGCCUUGGACGAUCAGUCCAGAGGUUAUCCUCAGCCCAAACAUGCUGCCAACAGCAUCUACAACGAAGCAGAAAACCUAAAAGCCCAUACCGAUACAUGAAAUCGCAUCAUUUCAUGUGAUUUCUAGGCUUUUCUGGACCGUGCACGCAAACCAGAGGUCGAUUAAUCCGACCGUCGUACUCGCUGACAGGUUUCAGCAUGUCGGAGGCCGUGCUCACCUUUCGGAGCACUGCCGGCCACUGCGGUGCGCGCACGAGCGACGCGAAGUUCUGAUAAACUGCGCGCACAGCGCGAAGAUCGCGACUAACUCACAAACCAGGGCAUCUUUGCCGCUGUUGGAGGUGAGCACGAUGUUCAGCACGAGUUGUAGAUCAUCGUGCUCACUUCCCGAAGCUUAGGAGGCUUAUCGGAUCACCGGAAAGGAGACCGGAACCUCGAAAAACAGUGCUGGAACAUAAAAUACCCUUACCAGACCCGAGGAGAGCUAGGGUUGGUCGCCGGCGGCCGGGAGGCGGGCGGUCCGGCCGGAGGAGGGAGCACUCGGUCCAGGAGGUCCGGGGAGGGUGCUGGCCGGCGGCGGGCGGCAACCGGUGGCGCGGCGGCCGAGAUCCACCCUUCACACUUCCUCUCGGGUUUGAUCUUCCCGGCGGCGCGGCGGCGGCCGGAGGAGGUCGGGGCGGCGACGGUUCGGCGCCGGAGGUCGAGGGGAAGGCCGUGCACCCUACGGUGGCCGGCGGCAGCACUCGGGAGCGGCGCGGCUCCAAGGUCGGCCCGCACAGGUCUGGGCGGCUGCGGGGGUUCCCAGCGGCGGCCGGCGGCGUGCGGGGGCGACGGGGGGAGGCACGCUGGGGGUCACCGAGGUCGGCUGGGAGACGGCGCGGCCGAAGAAAGGUGGUGGCGGCGCCCGCAGCUCGAGGUUGGCCCGGCUCGGCCUGGGCUGACCCCGGGCUGGCCGCAGCUUCCAGGCGGCUCCGGCAACGUCCGGGGAUGGCCGGAGCUGGGAGAUAAGUGCGCUGGAGGUGGAUCACGGCCGGGGCUUCCUUCCAGAGGUGGUGUAGAUGCCCCACCUGCUCUCGGCCAAGGAGGAGGAAAAGGUGGCCGAGAGGGUGGACCGGGAAGGUUGCAGGAGGGUUUCCGGUGGCCGGAGCAGCACGCCGGCGGCCGGGGCGCGCGCACCGACAGGGCAGGGCUCAGCUGGGGCGGCUAGGGUGGUCUGGGUCAGCUGGGGGCGGAUUAGGGUUAGGGUUUCACCUCGAAACCCUAAAUCUUCCUAUAUGUAGAUAGAGUAAACAUUGCGGAGAAACCCCCGGAGUUGAUCAAUUUCGACCCAGCUCCCUACCCGUUGGUGCACCUUGCACGACCGUCCCUCCGAGUUUGAAAACCCGCAAAACGGCGCAUAAAAUAAUGGGCUUCUUCGCGAUUUAUCCAUUUUGUCAAAUCAGCCCCUUUGCGGACUUUUCGCGAUUCCCGAAGAUCCGUCCGUCGGAUUUCCGAACGGGUUGCGCCAGCGCGAUCAGCACGACUGGGGCAUCGAAUCUAGCAUUUCGUUUCGUCUGAAAAGGUCUCCGAUUUGCGACAAAACCCACCCUCACUGGUUCCAUCAAAACCACAUAUAGGUAUAAUCAUAUGUAAAAACCAUUAAACCCCUUUUUCUCGACAACCGUGCAUCAGAACCCAAUUCCGUCAGCGCCAAUGGUUCCAGUAUAGUCGAGAGGUUCGAAACGAGCUAUUGGAAGGCUAUAUUCGGAGUCCGAUACGCGUCGAAAGUCCACUCUACUCCGCGGCCUCUCCGGAAAACCGGAGUUACUAUUCACUUAAGUCGAACUUCCGGGUCGCGUAACUUCUCCGUUUUAACUCGUUUUCUCCUGAAAUUUGACGAGUACACUUAUAAUUAUAUUACACACAAGAACAUCGUCAAACAAAAGGGUUUAAUCAAUAAAUAAAAAAUCUCAGUUAUUACAUUCUCUCUCUCUCUCUCUAUAUAUAUAUAUAAAGCGGCCUUCAGUGUUAAUUUUCUUGUAGUUAAUAUAUGUAUGUUUUUUUCGUAAAAUUAAAAAAGCAAAAAUUAAUAAAUUAGGCAAACUUUUUAGUUUCUCUUUUUCCCUUCUUUUUUCUUCUUAUUAUUUUUUUUGAUAUUUAUGUGCAAUGUUGAUUCUUAUGAGCUUAUUUGAAUUUUGUAGGUUUUUUGCAACCAUCGACGGAACAGGAAGUUGUAUCAACUCCAUCUGCAAAGGAUGUAGAGCAAGGUGAGAUAAAUUUAAAUAAAAUUACCUUAAUUAUUCCUUUUCACUUUAAACCUUUGUUUUAUUAUAAGAUAUAUAAUAGUUAUUAAUUAAAGGUGCAUGGUUAAUAUUAACAUAUAAUUACAUUAAUUCGUUUUCUUUUUUUCUUUGUUUUAUAAUAUGAAGGUUAAUUAACUAAAGAUGGUUAAAAGUACUGUAAUUGAUAGAAUAUUACCUUUUGAGGAAAAAACCCUAAUAUAUAUAUAUAUAUAUACUAGUGAAGGCCCGCGCUACGCAGCGGGCAUUUUUUUGUAAAUUCUAAAAUAUUUUAAAUUAUAUAGUAAAUAGCACCUAAAUGAAAAAAUCAGCAAUAUAAGGAGAUAUCCGAUUUAAAAUUUAAAUUUAAAUUUAAAUUUAAAAUCAAAAUUUAAGUUUUAAAUUUAUUUUUUAUUUUUUGUAUGUGAUCCACAAUUAUACGAAAAAAAAUGGCUAGAAAAGAGGGAAAGGAAGAUUAGAUGAGGGUCCCAAGGAAAAAAGCUAAAACUAAUAUUUAUAUAUAUAAAAUAAAUAAUUAUAAAAAUAAGUAGUAAUUAUUAAUAAUUAUUAUAUAUAAGUUAUUAUAUCUAUAUUAUAAGAUAAUAUUAUAGUAAAAAAUAAAUAUAUAUUUAUAAUAGAUAACAUUUAUAUUAUAUAUAAUUUGUGCUCCUUAUAUAUGCUUUUAAAAGUACCAGACAUAGGUACUUGUAGUUUUUAGCCAUUGGUUAAGGAUAUGCAGGUUACGGAUGAUGUGGCCACCCUAGGUUGAGUGAGGUGCGAUGGUGCAUAGUAUAAUCUAAAUGAUUUGAAUUGUCGCUUAAGUAACAUCUCUCGGCUAAAAAACUUACAGAUUCAGUGGCUUGGUGCUUUUACACGACAUGUGAUUUUAUAGUAUAUAUAUUAUAUAUAUUAUAUAUCUAUAAAUAUAAACUAGAGGCUACUAUGCUAUUAUAGUCCAAGUCAUUGGUUGUACCAAUUUUUAGCAUGUGGAUUAAGAGAUGUAUCGGUUGGGGAUGAAGUGGAGCUCCCUAGGGUUGAUGUGGGUGUUGGUGCAUAGUAUGAUCUUAACGGAUGAAAUGUAUUCAAAGGACUAGAUCUAACGGACUGAACUUUGUUAGCACCCGUGCUUGUUGGCCCUAUCGAGCUAUCGUAGCGGAACUUAUUAUAAAUUAUAUAUAUAUAUAUAUAUAUAUAGUUGGACUAGCUACUAUUAGUAGCAAAAUCCCAUUGUUGCUACCAAUUUUUUAGCCUUUGGAUCAACUCUUUUCAUUAUUUCUAACCAUUGGAUUAAAUAUUAUAACCCAGUAGGGACCACUCAACCCUAGGGGGACCACUCAACUCUAACCAACUGAUAUCAUCAUGACCCUACAAUUUUUCAUCCAAAGGUUAAAAACUUGAUAGCAAAAAGAGCGUUUUACUAUUAAUAGAGCUAGAAUACUUUUAGAAACACCACCUCCAUGGUGUAUAUAUAUAUAUAUAUAUAUAUAUAUAUAUAUAUAUAUAUAUAUAUAUAUAUAUAUAUAUAUGUAAUUGAGCUAAAAUACUUUUAGAAAAACCACCUCCAUGGUUCUUCUAAGUUUUUAGCUCUUGUAUCUACUCCUUGAUUAUUAAUAGUACGUCUUUGGAUCAAACAUUAUUCCACCUACGACGACCUACCAUGCACUAUCAUCUCAGCCCUACAUCUCUCCAUCCAAUGGUUACAACUCAACAGCUCCACCCCCUUGGUGCUUUUGUGAAUAUUCUAGCUCAACUCUCUCUCUCUCUCUCUCUCUCUAUAUAUAUAUAUAUAGCAUUUUGGUUUUUUAUAUUUUUAAUGACGAAACUGAUUAAAUGGCAAAUGAUAAAUGGCAGGAUCAAAAAAUGCGGUAGAAGAAAUCAAGGCGGGUGCUAAUGAGCCGGAGCCAAAAUCAAAAAAUUUCAAGAAGGAAGAGGAGAUCAAAGAAGAGAAAAGAACACCCGAAUCUUUGGAGAACACUCAACAAUUAGGUGAGAUGCAUACUAAUUUCUAUAAAAUUCUACACAGUAAUAAAAUUUAAUAAUUUUGUAUAUUAAUUGUCCAAGGCCUCAAAUUUAGAAAGUCAACUUUUUAAAUAGCUCUUCUAAUUAAUUUAAUAAGAAAAAAAAACCAAAGGCCAAAAAAUUUUCACUUUGCCCUUAGUCCUUUACAAGAUCAUCACAAUUUGUUUCAUUUCUCUUUAUAUAUCGAUGAUCUCAUAGUCCAGUAAAAAAUGAGAUUGAUUUCGAUCAUUGGAUCUUGCUUUUUAGCAUUUGAUCAUUUUUAAUUGGUUGAGAUCACUUCCGUAUAUAUCUUAAUUUCAAAUGAAUAAAAGAGAUCGAUGGUGUACAAUAAUGUUCUGCAUAUUGAGUUAUCGGGUCCAGAUUUGUUUUGAUGAAUUUCCUAUUCACAUAUAUUAUUUUCUAUGUUUUUUUUUUUUUUUUUUUUUUUUUUUUUUUUUUUUUUUUUUUUUUUUUUUUUUUUUUUUUUUUUUUUUUUUUUUUGUCCUGUGACAUAGGGAAAUUUUAGCUUUGUCACAGAAAACAAGCUUUAGCUUAUUUUUUAGUGAUGACAAUUUUGUACUAUGAAAGCUCCAAUCCACAUUAAAACAAGUAGUUUCAAGGCAUACACGUUUCUUCAUAUUUUUUUAUUGAAAGGUCCACGUACCUUCCAUUAAGCUCUAGUUUGAAAAUGCGUGAGCUACAUUUUUUUCUAGAUUAUAUAAUUUUUACAUAAAAAAAACCAAAACGAAAUUUAAAAAUUCCUCUCACUCCUUAAUUUAGAGAAUAUAAAUGAGUUUUAGCAUCUUAAAGCUUCCUCCUAUUUAUUUUAUUUAUGAAGAACUUGAUUACCGCGCGUAAUUUUUUUGUAGGUUGACGGGAUCAGAACUUGAUAUAUUGUAUCACACCUAAAACAAAAAUGGGUAGAAAAAAAAUGCAUUUACCCUACAUAUUUAACUUCGGGUCGGAUCUAUAUCUGAAUAUAUAGUUAAAUUAAUAAUAUACUCAUUGGAUCUAUUUGAGUAGGUCUAGAUAGUAACUAUCCGUAUACUACCCACUUAAGAUCGGAUACGAGUCAGGUACAAGUCGGAUCUAAAUCGGAUAUAAGUAUCCGAAUGCAUAUAUAUUUAUAAACUUUAUUAAAUAAUUUAUGAACAAAUCAUAAACCUCUCACUAUAAAAAACUCAUGUUUUAAUGAGUUACACCCAUUUCAAUAAAAUUCGUUUAAAAGAAAAUUUCAGGCAGUGAACAGAACGGUUGGAGUUAAAGAAAAAGAGUAAAAUAAAACAAUAGGAAGUAAAUAGAGCGACUGGGGUUUUACUAGCUAGGAUGCAAAUACACAGAGACCAUUUAUCUUUAAUUAAGUCCCAAUUGAAAUUUAUCCCUCAACUUCCAAUCUUUUUUUAUUUAUUAUCUGGUAUUUCACGUGUUCGGAUUCAGGUCCAGGUCCAGGUCCAGAUAUGAAAACUCUCCUAAACCCUACUCAUUAAAAGGUCAGGUCCAAGUCGGUUAUGAGUAUAAAAUAUCCGAACCAUUAUCAAAAACUUUAAUAAUAAUUUCUUUUACCUGCAUAUUAUCUAUUUUUUAUCUGGCCCAGUUCGGGUCCGAAUAGGGUUCCAACUAGGAUCUGGAUCGGGUGUGAAAUAUCGGGUAUUUUAAACAGCUAUAAGCAAUUGUCACACUCCAAUAAUUCCACAUCAGAUAGGAAUGGAAAUGUGAUUGAGUAUAUAAGGGACUUAGACACUAGUAACAAUAAUUGAACUUAAGCAUUUUUUGCCGUUGUUUGGGACUAACGAGUUAUAUAUUGUUGCCUGCUGAUCUUGGGCUGUGUGGUAAGGAUAGGAUUUAGAAUUCGGAGUCCCAAAUUUGAUUGCUUCAUAUAUUUAGCUUAGUUCAUUUUUAAAAGCUGAACAAAGUACGUUGGAGUCCCAAAUUUGAUUGCUUCAUAUAUUUAGCGUAGUUCAUUUUUAAAAACUGAACAAAGUACGUUUGGCACAGUUUAGAUAAUAAUCAGGUGUUUGAGACCUCAAAACUAAUUUUAGCAAACUUUUGAUUUGAUUCCUAAUCACCAUGUCAUUAACUUUUUAUUUCACUGCAUUUCUUAUAUAUGUUUUUAUUAUUAAAUUUCUCAAUUUCAUUGAGUAGUGGCGCCAUAUACAUGUACAUGUACAGCUCGUAUGUACUGUAAGUAGAGAGUUAAUAUACUCUUGACCUAACGGUGACAUUUUAAUUUUAAUUAGUUCACUUCACACUGUAGAGAAUUAGCAAAAAUUAAGGAACACCCAAUGGUAAAAUUUAAUUAUUGAGGACUAGAUUAAAAUUUGGCGAUUUGAUGAAAUUCUUGCUCUUCUCAUGUAGGCGGAGGCAACGAAAAAUCCAACCAAUCGAUAGAGCUGAAGCCGGUCUGCAACACAACAAAUCGAAGAUGCGACGUCUGUGACAUGACGGGCGACGCUCGAAUCCUUGGCAGCAACUCGACGGUCUUAUAUGUCCCUCCCCCCGAAAUCAUCAAUCCUAAACCUCAAGAGUGGAAGAUCCGAGUACAAUCUCGCAAGCACCUUCCAUGGAUCAAAUCUGUGACAAUAAAAUCGUUACGCGGCCCAUUCGAAGCCCCUCCCUGUACGGUCCGGCACAAUGUCCCCGCGGUCGUCUUCGCACUCGGUGGGCUUAUUGGGAACACGUGGCACGACUUUAGUGACGUGAUCGUCCCCCUCUACCUCACCUCCCGUCGGUUUGACGGCGAGGUUCAAUUCAUCAUAACCGACCUCAAACCUUGGUGGGUCGAAAAGUAUAAUGUGAUACUCAAGAAGCUCUCGAGGUAUGAAAUUAUUGAUUUUGAUAGCGACAAGGAGAUCCGUUGCUACCCGCGUGCCCUAGUUGGCCUUUGGAGCCAUCGCGAUUUCGGGAUCUUACCUGGUUCCCCUCCAGAAGGGUACACAAUGCUCGACUUCCGGUUGUUCAUUCGAGAAGCUUACUCGCUUCCAAAAGACGUACCGAUAAGUUAUCGAGAUAGGCCAGAGAAGAAACCACGACUAAUGCUCAUAAAUAGGUGGCAAAGAAGGAGGUGGAUGAAUGUGGAUGAGGUCGCAAAAUCGGUCGAGGAGUUAGGCUUUGAGGUGGUGGUCGUCGAGCCGAAGAUGGACGUAAACUUGACGGAAUUCGCAAAGGUGGUGGACUCGUGCGACGGGCUGAUGGGGGUGCACGGCGCAGGGCUAACAAACAUCAUUUUCCUCAGAACGAACGCCACCCUGAUCCAAGUGGUGCCCUACGGGAAACUGGAGUCCAUGGUCGAGGGAUUCAUCGGUUGGGCCGCGAGGGAAAUGAAGUUGAGAUAUUUCGAGUACACGAUUAGCGUGGAGGAGAGCUCAUUGUUGGAGAAAUAUGGGAGAGAUGACCCUGUGAUUCAAGAUCCUGAUGUAGUUCACAUGGCUGGGUGGCGAGCAGUGGGGCAGAUCUACAUGCACGACCAAGAUGUGAAGCUAAAUGUCACGAGAUUUGCUCCUACACUAUUGAAGGCUCUGGAGCUUCUUCGCCAAUAGUGGGGUGUAUGGAGAGCACUCAAAACAACUAUAUAUUUAACUUUUAAACUUUACUAUUUAAUAUUUUAAUUUAUUUGAUUUGAAUAAUUUGAUGAUUAUUUUCGUUACAUAUUUUGGUUCUGCCCUUUGUGUAUGACGUGUUAAAUUAAUCUAAUAUGUAAUAAGUUCAAGAGCAUUGCAAGGCUAGAUAGUUAAAUUAAAAUUUCUAAAAAAUUGGUUGUUGUUCACAAUUAAUGCUAGCUUGAGCAAUACUUCAAUUAAUUAUUGGAAAUAUAUUUGCUAUUUAAUAUGUUUAUAGUAAGCUGUACAAAAUUAUCUCUAAUUUUAUAUAUUUCUAUGUUGUUGUAUUAGCAGUGUACUGAUAANAAAUAAUUCGAAUAUUUGGAUUUAAAUAACUAAUUACAUCCUUAGCUUUUUCUUUUUUAUCAGUACACUGCUAAUACAACAACAUAGAAAUAUAUUUGCUAUUUAAUAUGUUUAUAGUAAGCUGUACAAAAUUAUCUCUAAUUUUAUAUAUUUCUAUGUUGUUGUAUUAGCAGUGUACUGAUAAAAAAGAAAAAGCUAAGGAUGUAAUUAGUUAUUUAAAUCCAAAUAUUCGAAUUAUUUGGCUGUUUCAUGAUCAACUCGCAGGUAUCUAAGCAACAUCAUAUUAAUGAUUUGGUUAUUUAAUAGAUUAUUUUAGCCCUUUGCAUUACUAAUAAUUUGGAAUAGUCAAAACGAAAUUUUGAAUAUAACUUUAUUUUUAAAAAAAAGGUGAUAUUAUUUCUUCCAUGCUAAUAUCAUCUUGAGUAGAAUCAUUAGAAGAUUAAUCUUCCGAUUGGAUUAAUAUGGCUCGUUAUAACUUACAUUUGAAAAGAUAUUCGGUAAAACCCAAUAUUUCAAUCAAUCAAAAUCUUAAUUACUAUUUCUUAGUAAUGAACGAAGUCACCACAACUUUCAGAGACAUGAAUUUGAUGGGGCUAAUCUUAAUUUGUUUCCCGCUUGUUUUUUAUACUCCACUAACUACAUUUUAGUUUGCUCUAAUAUCACAAUAAUUUCUUACUGUUGCACAAAUAAAGAAUAACUUACAUGUCCACAUGGUUAGGUACAAGUAAGCUUUUUUUAUUUACCAUGCAUCUUUUAUAUUUUGCUCAAAUUAUGCAAAUAUCUUCUUAUAUAGCUAGUAUUUCAAGAUAAAGUCAUAUUAAAUGCAUGACUCGAAACAAAAACAACAUUGAUCACCUGAUAAUCUAACUAAAUAAUAAAUAUUCUAUGCUAAUGAUAAUUCGCUUGACAUUUCUAACUCAUUAAGGGGCCGUUUGGUUGUGUGUAAUUGAAACCAAAUUAUAGUUAUAAUUACAUGCAAAUUUAAAUAUGAAUUUUGUUUUGAUGCAUUUGAAUCCAUCAAACUGCAGUAGUUAGAACUGCAUGGGGAUGCCUAACAGCGGCAGUUGGAAUUACUCUCAAAUUGGCCGUAAUUCUAGCUGUUGCAGCUGAAGAGAGUACCUUGAAACGAAAAAUAAAUUUAUCUCCCAAAUCACUCUUUAAAUAGAAAAUACUUUCUUUUCUAUUUUGGACGUAACCUGUAAGGAUUGAGAAUUUGAUUGUAUAGUCAGACUCUCUGUUGAUGAUAUUUUUGUGUGUAAUUUAAUUACAAAAGGACUCGUCAAGUUUCGGAAGAAAACGAGUUAAAAUGGAGAUUUUACGCGAUUUCCAAAUUUCACUUAAAGUGAAUAGUAACUCGGUUUUUCGGUGAAGCCACGGUAUGAAGUUCGCUACUGGCACAUAUCGGACUCCGUUUAUAGCAGUCCAAUAGCUCGUUUCGAACGAUUCAGCUAUUCUGGAACUACUGGCGCUGACGGAUUUUGGGUUUGACGCACGGGUUUCGAGAAAAUCUGAAAAUACAUGUUUUAUAUGUAUUAUCUGUCAUUUUGGCCUUUUGGAGAGAAAGCGGAUUUCGUCGCGAAUCCGUAAUCGAUCGAGGCGAACCAAAAUCAUAGCUUUGUUGUCUCCAUCGUGCUGAUCGCACUAGUGCUAUCCGUUCGCAAAUCUGACGGACGGAUUUGCGGAGAAUACGCGUUGUUCGCGGAGAGGUUGGUGAUGGCAAAAUAGUAAUUUCGCAAAAGUUGCGACAUUUUAUGUACCGUUUCACAUGAGAUCGCAAGUGAGGGUGUGUUCGUGCGUUUUACACACGCUGUGGAGGACUAAGUUAGAAAAUCUGAGUUUCGGGGGCCUUUGUGCAAAUUUGCACCUUAUGUAUUUAAGGUUUUCUAGGGUUUCACCUUGGAACCUAACCCUAGAUGAUCCCUAGCUAGCCCCCAGCCACCCUCUUGCUUUCUCUACCCUAGCCGCGCGCCUCCCAGCCGCCGCUGACCGAUCUCAGGCCAGCCACCACCUUCCCUCAGCCGUUUUUCUUCCUUUUCUUCAUCCUCUCCUCCCUCUCCAACUCUACCUCUCCCUUCCUCUCGGGUAGAGGCCAGAUCUGAGGUUGCAUUCCUCCUAGCUCCUCUCCGGCGUCAUCCCGGAGCCCCGGCGUCCCUUCCCACCGACCGCCGUCGCCUCCGCGCGCCGCAGCUGCCGCUUCUGCACCUGGCAGCAAGCUUGGCCGAGCCGAGACCGAGGUCAGCUCGCGACCUUCCCUUCGCAUCGCCGCCGCCCUGGGCCACUCCCGUGGCACCUCCCCGACCUCAGGCAGUCGGCCGCCGCCGCCCCGAGCCGCCCAGAGCGCCGCCGCCGCCGUCUCGGCCAGCCUGCAGCCGCCCAGACUUGCUCGGGCCGAGGUGACCUCGCACCUUCUCACCCGCGCUGCCGCCGCCCUGGGCCACCCCGUAGCACCCCCUCCGACCUCAGGCGACCCUCCUCCGAUGUCCCUGAGCUCCCCCGCUGCCGCCGUGGCCGCCAGAGCAACCGUGGCCGCCAUUGCUCUGGAACCCGAGCCCUUGCUUGUGCGUGCUCGGUUUGCACCGCCGCCGCCGCCGCUGCUCCCCGCCGCCAUCCGAGGUGAGCACUGUUCUCCUCCCUUCCCCCGUACCGACCUCUGACCUGCGUGCACCUCGCCGUGCUGCCGGAAGCCGGCCGGAGCAAGCUUGCUCCGGCCAAACCCGAAAUAGGGCUUAUUUGAGUAGGUUACUGUUCCUUGCUUCCUGAGGCUUCUCGAUCUCUACGAAAGGGAGCACGAUGAUCGUGACUCAUCGCUGAUCAUCGUUCUCACCUUAUUUUCUGUUGGAAAGGUUCCGUACCGCUGUUUUGGCGGUGUCACUCCAUUUAGGGCCUUUUUGGCUGCUGUUUCGGGAUUGCGCAUGUUUUUUCGGUGAUCCAAGGCUGUUCUGAUGCCUCCGGAGGUGAGCAUGGUGAUCUUCGGUCAGUACCGAUCACAGUGCUCACCUUACUUUGGAUCAACGGAUUCCGGUUAGUCCUGUGUGGAGCGAUUUUCCCCCACUGCAUGCUAUUCGGAGAAUUUUCGGAUCGCUCCCACGCCUCCCACUGUGAGCUGUUGUGCUUUGGAUUGAGAGCAUGGCCUCCGGCACACCGAGAUCUAGCAGUGUGCAUCUCGGCGGGUCUUAGAAGCCCUCGGUUUGAGUUAACGAGCCACAAAGUCGCCCGUUUUACAUAAAAUGAUAGGAUUUUAUGUACGCAGAGGGACUUUUAUGCAAUUGUGCACCUUGUGGCUAUUGUGGGCAGUGUGUUUGUGUGUGUGGUGACCUUUGGACUGAUUGUCCAUGAUUCGUGAGCUCUCGCGGAAUUCAAAAGUCGAUUUCGGUGCGUUUUUCAGGCGAAAUUCGCCAAAAGAACGCGGUUUCGGUUCGGAUUUCUUUUGACAUUGUUUGGUUGCCCUGUGAGUUGUCGUUGAGCCUUGUUAGCUGGACACCAUCGUCAUCUCGUGUUUUCGGAGAUGACUGGUGAGCGACGAUGGGUUCCGGUGUCGAAAUAGACACUUUCGGGAACCCAGAUCCGAACAAUUAUCCGGCGAUAAUUGUUUGUUUGUGUUUCCUUGAGUCUGCUGCCAAGACACCCAAAUCGGUGUGUUUUGUGACAGCAGAUAACUUGUGGCACGAGUCGGUGAGUUUCGGGACAGUUCGUGAGUCCCGGCGGAGUCCCGGUGUGAUUUUUGGGACUUCCGGCGUGUUACGGCAAUUGGUUUUGGGAAACCGAUUCCGUGAGUUCGUUAGUGGGGUUCUGUGAAUUAGUGUUUUGAGUUAGCGGGUUAGAUUCUAUCCCGGUGGACCUUUCAUAGGUUCGGUUGAUUAUUCCUUCGCAGGUGGAAGGCCAGUAUCGCGUUUGUACAGGUGGGUAUUUCGAUCCGAUGACGGUACAGUGGUGCACGCUCGGUGAUAUCCUUCUACCCCUAUACUCCUAUUGUUACUGUUGCAUAGUAUAUAUUGAGCCUUGCACCCACGUUAUUCUAUUACACUCUACUCGUUGUUUGCAUGCUUAGUAUCCUGAGUAGGAGUAGAGUAGUUCUAUCGACAUGCGUAUCUGUUGACCUGGUUGGUUUCGUAUCUGUUGACCUGGUUGGUUGGUUCUCGUACUUCAUAUCAGUGACCUUAUUGGUCGGUUAGACUCUGUGGACUUUGGAUCCAGGCAACACGUUGACUCUCUCGUCAUGUGUUUCGAUCUGGGUGAUCGAGGUUCGGCGUUGUACACCCUUAUUUCUGGCUUUGGCCUAGGCACCGGCUUUAGUCGGAUUUUGUUUGAGCAUACUAGCAUGACUUAGUCACAGCACUUGGGGGUAUUUAUGACACCGGAUCGGUUUGGCCACCGAUCAGAAGUGUACUUAUCCGGAUGGGUCGUCCUGUGGGGCGGAUGAAUCAAGUCGGUGCAGAUUAGCGACAGGCAACGCUUGAGGUCUGCGGACCAAUAUAACAGGCACCAAAUUGGGUAUAGUUUUAAUUUGGUUAUCUUGAGACAUAUUCGGCUUUGCAUUCCUUACAGUAGUAGUUUUAUUUAUUGCUUCUUAUUUAUCUGUUAUAGUUACUGUAGUUUCUUCGUAUCAGCAUCUGUAUUUGUUUACCAUAUUGUUAUUUAUCUCUUCCUGAUCCGGUGAGUACUCCUCGCCUUCGUCAGCUUGCGGUAUCCAUUUGGAGGGGAGACAUGUUUACAUAUUCUCACCUCCCCCACCAUUUUUCAGGUAUCGCGGGCAAUGAGGGUUGAGACGAGACGUGAGACACGUUCGUAGCGGUCGAUAGAGCUUCCGACCCAGUUUAUUUGGUUUAGUUUCUACCCUAUUUGUUUCUGUUGAUAUCUCUUAGACACAUGAUUCAGUUGAUUUUGUUUACUUGGAUAUAUAUACACUUGAUUUUGUGAAGUUAAUUAAAACGCUCGUGGUUUUCAUGUAAAGAAUUGGAAACGGUUUUUUACCCCUCGUGGUAGCGUGUUUUAAAGAAAAAGGAUUUCCGUGUGAGAAACAGUUUUGAAAAGGUUUUAUCGGUUUUCAUGGACUUAGUAUUUCAAAACCAGUUCCGGAUAGGAAACGUUUUAAAUAAGAGUGUGGUUUUAUGUUUAAACGCUGAAUGGUAAACCUGUGAUGAAUGGUGUAUGAAUACGCAUGUUUGCAUAUUCAGUUGUGAUUGAAUCAUGUUUCGUAUCUUGUACUUGUGCGAAGCCGUGCAAAUACAUGGAAGACUCUGUACGUGUGAACAAUGGACUCCCUGUAUUUGUGGUGGAUCUGGCAUAUCAGGGGUUCAGGUUUUCCAAAAAAAAAUUUCACUGGAGUUCAGCAGUUGAGCCUUGUCGACAGCUUUGGAGAGUGUCGGGACAAGUCCUAGUCGCGUUGGUGCGAAUUAGACGCUAAACGGACUCAUUGCGACGCGAGAGCAGGGUGUGAGCAUUACAAACUGAAAAAAAGGCUAUUUCUGUCUAUUGUAUCGGUACAGCCAUCGAGUUGUAACCGGUACACUUUUUAUCGGUACAGCCAUCGAGGUGUACCGGUACACUUUGCCAGAACCUGAGCAGCUGCUCUCGGGUUGCCAUUUGUACCAGUACAAAUGCCUGUGUACCGGUAUACCAGGGUAGGUGAGUGGGCAAUUUGGUCUUUUCUUGCCUUGUACGUGUCACCCCUACCUCCCUUUGUUAUAUAACAGUAUAGAGAGGUUGAGAGGGGGAAUUUUACUGGUUUCCUUUCCCUCUCUUUCUAUCUUGGUCCGGUGGUGGAGGAGCUCGGGUGGAGUUUGGGUGUCGUCGACGUCCCGCCGCGGUGCCGUUCGAGCGUGUCUUCGUUGUCAUAGCAUCGCGAGGAGGCCGGGCGAGGCUACGAUUCCGCCGUUCUCGACGUCGCAUCGAAUUAUAACAUGUCAUAUGCUUAAACUACCUGAUUUAGCUCUAGGAGCCGUUUUUAUAUUAUAUCGUUGCAGUUUCAGCGUGGUGGAUACCCCAGGUAAUUUAAAUUGCCGUUACGCUCGUGUUGAGGAUGCCGAGUGUAUUUGACAGUAGCGUUCAGGCUGUUCCGGACUAGUGGGUGCCGUCGGGGUUAACGGUGGACCCAGAUCGCCGUUUUGGCAUCAGAUUGUGCCGAGGGCGCGUGACUUGUUGGUUAUUAGACCAGUUAGACCCUGUUUACUUAUUUUCGCUUGUGAGAGCCUGAUUGAGCUCGACAGAGAUAUGCUGCAUACUAGGUUGGGUAGCUCCCACGAGUGCCACUCCGGAGACCGGCGCUGUGCUUUCUUGUUGGUGUCGUUCAUGCAGGUUGGACUUGCUCUCCACGGACUGCUUUGUGUGGAGGUAGCUGUAUAGUCCCAACAGAGCGGGACGGGUGUGUUCACAGUCCCAAGGACGGGUAGGCUUACAGUCCCAGUUGGAUUGGAUCAGAUUUGACAUUUCCUACAGUUGGUUAGUGUAGAGUAUGAUAGUGUAGUGACUUAUAGCUGUAGAUUUCUUUCCAGCAUUUCCUACUAUCUUGGUGGGUAGACCGACGUUGUUGAGGGCGAUACCCACUGAGGAAUACUUGUGUUUAUAGUAAUUCUCACGUCCUGUUGUUACUCUUUUUUUGCAGAGCCUUCGGUUCCGGCUGCUGCAUCUUCUAAGGCAGAUCGUGGCAAGGACGUUGCGAGCUAGAGCCCUACUCGACGAGUCGCCCAGCUAGAGAGGAUUACCCACUGCAGGUAGUAUAGUUUUUUUGAGUUCAUAUACAUACUGUUGCUGUAUCUCUCUAGGCGAGCUUUUGUGUACUGAACGUCGUAUGUAUAAUGAACUGUUUGUUUUUCUACCUGGCUAUGUUUUAUUUUUUUUCCUAGCAGCUCUAUACUGCUGGUUGUAACAUUGUAUGUAUUACAGGUACAGCAAUCGCUUCGUAUACAGAAAAUUUUUUUUGUACACGGCGGAUUUGUCGGCGUGCCCGGGGAACGUGAAAUCCGGGGCGUGACAGAUUAAGUUGGUAUCAGAGCUCAGUAUUAGGUUGUUUGGACCUAGGAACCCUAAGCAGGCAAACUUUAGGAAGGCAAGACGCGAGAGGCGUGAUUUAUCGCGAAAGUCAAUGAUUGAUUAUUUUAACUCAUCCUAGAGUGGAGUGAGUGACUGAAGGAGCAUCUGUUUCGGUCUGUAAAAUUAUGUUUGCUGCAGACAACAUAAUUUUGAGGAGAAACAGGGACCGUCUUCUAGAUUUUCAUUGAUUGGGUUGAGAGUGUUUGUGUUUUAUCUGACCCCGUUCUGUUUCGUGCAGCUAUGUAUCGACGUAGAGGACGACCGCCAACAUAGAGUUGCACACCACCGCCUGAGAGGCCUGAGCAGGUGGAGCAAGGUACCCGACCAGAGGCGAGUGUAUCCCCUGUUGUGGAGCAGAGUACCCGAUCGGAGGCGAGUGCACCUCCUGACUUGAGUCCACAGAUAGCCGCCCUGAUAGAGGUGACGAGGCGGCACGGGGAGUUGUUGUAGAGGUUGUGUGAAAGGGUAGCUCCGCUACAGAGUACAGUACCGAGAGCACCAGAGCAGGCUGUUCCACCUCCGACUACUCCAGCGGUAGCACCAGCCGGUUGUACCCCCGCCAGUGGAGCUUCCUGCAAUGCCAGUUGCACCUGCCAGGGGGCCAGUACCGUUGAUAGAGGCCGAGCAGGAGCGGUUGACAGAGAGGCUAACUAGUUUUCGCCGUUUUGAUCCGCUGAUCUUCGAUGGCAGUUGCACUGAGGGCUGGGUUGUUGAGGUUGGGUCAGUGCGAUGGGGAAGCUAUUCGACGACCUAUACAUUCCUAAGAGGAAGCAGGUACAUCAAGGAGUACAUUGCUUGGCAGGGGAUGCACACGCCUGGUGGAGGAGGGUGAGGCGAGACCAGGGGCUGGUGGAGUUGCAGCUGAGGUGGGACUAGUUCUGUAGAAUGCUGUUUGGGAUGUAUUUUCCAAACAGCGUGAAACAGAAGCUGGAGGAAGAUUUAAAGAGGAUCCAGUAAGGGGAGCGGACAGUUCAGGAGUAUGUUCGGGAGUUUACUAGACUCCUGAACUGUGUUCCGUUCGUGGCCAGAGACGAGGCGCAUAGGGUCUACUUGUUUGAGCAGGGUUUGAGACCCGACAUCUUCAUGUUUGUACGGGCGUAGAGGUCGAGGACCCUGCAUGCGUCCAUAGAGUAGGCAUUAUGGGAUGAGAGAGGCAAGGUGUCGCUGCGGGAGUUGGCCCAGGGGCCGGGGAAGAGUCAGGACCGGAAGUGCCCUUUUCCAAAUGACGGAGGGCAGUCGAGCAGCAGAUGUCCGCCGAGACCUCCACGAUCACGUUCUCAGGGUCGUGGGUCCUCGGGGCGUUAGCGUUCCAGAGAUUCUCGUCAGCAGGGGCAGACACCGAGGACACCGCAGUAUGUGAUCUGCGGGGGACCACAAUGGCCCCGACAGUGCGAGCAGAGAAAGGGUCAUUGCUACCCUUGUGGUCAGCUCGGACAUAUGAGGUUAGCUUGUCCCGAAGCAGCAUCACCAGCACCAUCAUCAGCAUCAGCACAGCCGAGACCUCCGCAGUCUUAUGGGGUACCGCCGAGUUACCGUCAGGGGGAUAGGGCAUCCAUAUCGCGACAGGGUGAGCGGCGACAACACGAUCCGAGUGGCAGGAUUUAUACAGCCCAGGUGGAGGACUCUUCGGCAGCCGACUGAGUGGUGGCAGGUAUUAUUUUGAUUUCUGGCAUUAGAGCUCGUACUUUGUUUGAUAUCGGUGCAUUACAUUUUUUUGUUAGCCGAGCAUUUGUAUUGUUGCAUGGUCUAGAGUUAGGGUCAUUGUCACAGGCACGAGAGGUGCAGAUCACCGACCAUGUGUUAUAGGUUCAAGAGUGUUGCUGGUCAUGUCCGGUGCAGUUAGAUUUUUGGAUCAUGCCCGCAGACCUGUUGGUGUUAGGGCAGCUGCAGGACUUUGACGUUGUGCUCGGUAUGGAUUGGCUAGCGCAGUACUAUGCUACGAUCGACUGUGGAGUGAGGGUUGUGAUGUUCCGCGAGCCAGGCCAGGAGGAGUUUACAUUCAGAGGCUGCAGGAGUACGUUGUUUGCCACUUGGAUAUCUUCGGCGAGGUUUCGACAGCUGAUGAGUAGAGGAUGCGUUGCUUUUCUAGCGACGGUGCAAAGAUACCUACGGCGGCGCCGUGGCUCGAGGAUAUCCCUAUAAUCCUCGAGUUUUCGGAUGUGUUUCCCCCGGAGUUGACGACGAUGCCCCUGGAGAGAGAGAUUGAGUUUGUGAUUGAUGUAGACCCUAAAACUGCACCAAUCUCGAAGGUACCAUACCGAAUGGCACCGGCAGAGCUGAGAGAGUUAAAGACACAGCUGCAGAAUCUGAUGGAUAAGGGGUUUGUGAGAUCGAGUGUAUCGCCUUAGGGAGCGCCGGUGUUAUCUGUGAAGAAGAAGGAUGGUUCGCUCAGAUUGUGUGUAGAUUACCGGGAGCUAAAUAAAGUGUCACGCCCCGAGCCCGAUCCCUUUUGGCCGAUUCGAGAGCGUCAAACAGACGCCGAACGAACAGAGCUUCCCCUGUCCGCCCAAGGCUCAACACAAAUAUCAAUAAAGUACAAAUUUGCAUAAGCGGAAGCAUACACAAUGGCUUGCACGAGGGCAAGAAAUAGCCAAGGUGAAAGAAUUAGCAAUUCAAUAUACAAAUAAUAUGACUAAAUUUAAAACACAUACAUGUAUCCAACUAUAAUCAAGUUCUGUCACAUUCUUGCAUCAUUUCUUUUUACAUCUCAUUUCUCCCAAAAUAUAACUUUUGACAUUUAAAGUAAAUAUCCUUUACAUCAUUCAUUAAAGCAAGUUCAUAAUACUAAAAUCAUCAAAUACAAAAGAUGAUAGUAAAGGGUAUGCAAUUACAAAAUGAAAUCCAUCUCGGGCGGUCUCUACCUAGGGCGCGAUGCCCUUACCGCGAUCAUCUGCCGGCUCGCUCGGUCCCGGCUCUGUGGAAAUAGUAGGGUGAGAACUACAACAAAGUUUUCAGUGGGUUCGGCAACCAACCACGCUGACUAUCCUACUAGGUCUAAUCAGGCAUAAUAGAAGAAAGAAUAGAUAAUAACCAACUAACAAAUGCAGCUAAUAUGCCUGAACGAUAAAUAAAACUAUGUUCGAUAGAAUGCUCAUGAUGAAUGCAAGAUUAACUUUUCAUUACCCAAUCUCAUGGCUAGCUCGUAGGUUUCGCUCUCACAAACUCACUAACCCAAAUCCCUAUUGUCGGGGAGAUAACCGCUACGACCUGACGGGACAGCCCUCUGGGGAGAUAACCGCUACGACCCAGUGAUGACAACUCUGGAGCACAUCGCCCGAGGGGGAGCUACCGCCCUCGAGCAAGGACUAUUAGGUGAGUACGAUCAAUCCUUAACUUUAAGGAUUCUAAGUUCAAUCCACUCCUUGACUCCAAGGAGAACCAUGUUCAUAUGACCCUUAACUCUAAGGUGCAUUCGUCAUAAUAUCACUAACCCAAUUCACUUGCAUUCUCUAACCUCUACUAGUGUCAUGUACACUUCUUGUUCUUGUUCUUUGUCAUUGAUGCCACACUUGUUUUCUAAGUGCUAUGUUCUUGUACUCCUGCCCCCCCAGGGCCCAUCGACCGCAUAGGUCAUCAACUGUAAGGAAGCACAAGAACCGACCACUCAGGUCAACUAGGAUGGGACAACAUCGACAUCCUCUCAAACAAAUGCAAAUACUGCUCAAUGAACCACAAGGACUGACCACUCAGAUCAACUAGGAUAUGAAACUCGACCAAUCAUGUCACAAGUAUCGGAUAUGAAACUCGACCAAUCAUGUCACAAGUAUACGAUAUGAUGCACUUACCGACUAGGUCACAAACAUGUCAAAUAGUGAAUAUGAGUAAAGUAUAAUCAUCCGUCGGCAACUAACCGACAAUCCCACCCCUCAGGGUAUACCGAUCUUAACGGCCAUCAGACAACAAAGGUCGGGGAACUCACCGAAUAGGUCACAAAUACUGAAUACUAGAAUCGACCGACUAGAUUGCUGAUCUCAUAGAUAAUCACGAAAUCGCUCUAUUAUAAACAUGAAUCAGGGUAUGCAGAAUAGCUAAGUAGAGCAACAAGGAAACAUAGUAUCACAUACAGAUAGACUAUACUCCUACACAUGAUACUAAGCAUGGAAACGUCUGAGUAGAGUAUAAUCAAACAACGUGGGUGUAAUGUAAACGAUAGAGGUGCAAAGCUCAACAUAUAAUAUAUGCAUGGAUAAUAACAAAA